rnacentral:lncRNA from 1 species
AUGAAAUGUUAAGACUCCAUGUAACUCAAACAUUUCCGCAAUGAGCGGGAGUUCUAAAUUUAAUAAUUGAAAUUGUCAGUGGAACCAGUGGACAAGAGUUGGUUUGUGGUUGACAAACUUAUCCGUUUGAUCUUUACUUGAACAGUUCCAGUGUGUGGAUGGGUACUGAUGAAGUGUGCGCAUUUAUUUUGAGAAGCCUGCUUGUUCGCAUAGAUUUUAACGACAUGAACAUUGUGGUAAGGUUAGAGAGUAAUGCGAAUGUAGGAGCUUAUAUUAGAAAUGACACAAACACGUAAAUAGAAGUAAUCUAUAUAUGAUAUUACUCAUGGACUACAAGCAAAGAAGUACAAUACAUGGAGUAAGUGAUGAAAUGAGCAUUCCUCACUACUACUGCUUGACUGAUGGAACAUGAUGCACGAGAUAGCAUAAGUAGUAGUAGGAAGCAGCUCUUAUUUGUGGCGUCGGUAUACAUCAUACUAGGUAGAUGGUUCAAUUGGCAUGGAUGGGUGGUGGAGCCUUGAAGUGCUUGUGAUGGGGAGCCCACGGCUUCUUCUCAGGAGUUGGUGGCUUCUUGUAUGGAGUUGAUGGAGGUGUUUCUACUGGAGGGUGGCCAGGGUAGUGACCCUGGGGUGGUGAAGGUUCUUUUGUCGGUGGUGGCCUCACUAUUAUUGGCGGUAGAGUUGGUGGCUUGGGCGUUGGCGGUGGUCUCACUACUCUUGGGGGUAGAGUUGGUGUCUUGUGUUUUGGUGGUGGAGGUGGCUUAACAGGAGUUGGUGGCUUGUAUUCUGGGGGUGGUUUCUCCACCGGAGGUGGCUUAUAAACUGGAGUUGGUGGCUUGUAUUCUGGGGGUGGCUUCUCCACUGGUGGUGGCCUGUAAACAGGGGUUGGUGGCUUAUAUUCUGGGGGAGGCUUCUCCACUGGAGGCGACUUAUAAACAGGGGUUGGUGGCUUGUAUUCCGGGGGUGGCUUCUCUACGGGAGGUGGCCUGUAAACAGGGGUUGGUGGCUUCUCCACCGGAGGUGGCUUAUAAACGGGGGUUGGUGGCUUGUAUUCUGGGGGUGGUUUCCCCAGUGGUGGAGACUUGUAAACAGGAAGAGGUGGUUUGUGCUCAUAUGGGGGUGGCUUGUGGUCAUUAGCAAGUGAGGGAGUGGUGAGGACCACCAAUCCAAGGAACAACACGAGUGAGCAAGCAGAAGACAUGUUUGGGCUCUGGUGAUGCACAAGUAGAAGAAAUGGGAACCAUUUAUAAUGCUUCGAGACCUUGGUUAGCACCAAAAUAUGUCAAAAUCUUGAUUACUUCAUUUCAUACAUAGAUUUAAAAUUAUUUCAAUCAACCAUGAUCCUUAAUUUUCUGGGUGGUCCAUAAAUGUAAUGGGGUCAAUUUGGGACCUAACAAGCUGAGAAGUUUGACAAUGCUGCAAGGCUUCAUCCGAAAGUCCGGGGAAGAAUAUUAGGAGUUACACUCCGUUUCCUUUUUUGGGUGCAUUUUUCUCCUUUAACAUUCUAUUCCCUUUUACAUUAGCAUUUGAUCUUAGCUCAUUUCAAGUACAAGUUUCUUGAACCCUAUACCAUUGUCAAAGUUGAGUAACCAUCUCUACUUUGCUCAAGAAACAUAAAAGACAAUGACAAUAAAGAAAAAGGAGAGAGACCAUACGUGACUUGGUUUAUAGGUGGCUUUGUGUUGACAUUUGAGUAUGGAAGCCGACAUGCAUCUUAGCUUCGAUUUUAAUUAAAUUUGUACAUUAGUGUCUGUGUCAUUCAUUUUGGUAUAAAAGGUCUCUUGAUUUCGUAAGUUUGGUAAGAACCGUUGAAAAUAGCAGUAGCAGCACAUGGUCCACUUUCUUUCACAAAAUAAUUUUAAAAGUUUAGAAGCAUAGGAGGUAACAUUAGUGGCCUUGUGGCUCAGCCACGAGUACUAUGUGGUGCUCGAGAAAUUGAGUUUAAUUUCCUUCCGAUAGUUCAUGAUAAGGUCCGUCACUGUCCUGAGACAGAUUGCGUUUUUUCUUUUUUCCUUUUUUAGUGUUUUAUUGACUAGCUAGGUGUGACUUUUCCUACUUUAAGGCACGAGGCAGAAAAGAAACUGGGAUUUAGUGCUUAAGAAGGCAAAUUUAAUUCGAUUUGGAUCUAAAAUUUGCCAGCAACAUGAGAUUUUCCAGCCUAUCGUUGCUCCACAUAUAGACAAGGCACUUGUAGAAGUGGCUUGUUUGUAGCCAUUCCCGAUAUUUGGACUCACUUGAUUCACCGGACACUUUGAUAAAAUUUAAUAUUUAUUAUUUAAUAAUUUAAAUUGAUUUAAAAUUAAAUUAUACCGAAGUUGUGAUUUAAAAAUUAUUAUUUAAUUCUUACUUUUAAAUAUGAAGAUUAUUUGAUAAAAAUAAUUUAAAAUUUAUUAUAAAUUAUCAAAUUAACAUAUUUAUCCUUAUAAAUUAUAAUUAAAACAGAAAAGGUCAAAUGAUUUGAGUAUCCAUAGAUGUGGUAAAAUAAUAAAAAAGAUUAUAAAAACAAUUAUGAUAAAUAAAGAUAAAAAGUAAAAUGAAUAUGUGAAUUUAAAGAAUAAAUUAAUUAUUUUUAUUUAUUACUUAAAAUUAUUUUUGACUUUAAAUUAUAUUAUUAAAUUAUUUUACCAAACAUACUUAAUUUAGUUAAUAAUUUAAAUUUAAUUUAAGUUAUUAAAUUGAUUCACCAAAUACCCACUUAAUCAAAGACUGAAGUAUACAUUAUUUGGCCAAAUGCAGCUAUUGAAAUUUAACUUUUUCCAAACUUAUUCAUUUUGUGGAAAUAUUUUUAGAAAUGAUUUUAAAAAUGCACUAUUCUGUGUGUUGAUUUUAUAUUUUGGCAUUAAUCCAACAUAGAAAACGGUUCUUAUUUUCGCUGUUAAAUAGGUACCAGAUCCUUAAUUAGUGCCGUGAAUCCGGCAGCUUCCAAUGAGUAAUUUGGACUUGGGUAUUGACAAUGUGUGGCCAUGCUUCUACUAUUUUAUUAUUCUUGAAACAUAUAUGAUAUAUUGGACUUUAUACAGGGAAAAAAAAAAAAAAAAGUCUUCACCAAAAAUGAUUCCUCCUAAAAAAUAGACUCCACAAACUAGGUUUAACAGGAAAAUGAUUCUAAUCUAGUAGUUUCCAGCCACAUGAGCAUUUACGUAACAAUAGUAUAGUUGAUAACGACUUUUAUUUUAUUUAUUUUUAAAUAGUUAAAGGGAUAAUUUUUGAGCUUAAAUUUUAUUUUUUUAUUUAGAAACAUUUUACUUUAUUUUUUAAUCAUAAUUCUAUUAUAUUAAUGUUUUAUUUUCUAUUUUUUAAUAUAUAAGGAGAUACUAAAUUUAUGUGAUUAUUUUUUAAAAAUUUAGUAUAUGAAAUUAAAUAAUUGGAUAUAUAUACAUAUAUCAUAUAAUGUUUUUUAAGUGUGAUUUUUGAACUUUUUAGUCAUUUUAUAAGUUUAAGCUUUUGAUUUUUUUUUUUAAACUUUGGUAUUUUUUAUUUUAUAUAAAACUAUUUUGAUUUAAUUUUAUUAAAAAAUAUUGGUAUUAUAAAUUAUUGUAUUAAUUAUUUUUUUAUAUUAUAAUGUAACUGGUAUAUACUAAAAAAUGUAUGCAAGUUCAAUUUAAGUUUCAAAUUAAAAAAUUUCAUUUAAAUAUUUAAUAACUUGUUCAUAAUAAAAAAUUAAACAACAUAAUACAAAUGAAAAGAAACAUAAAAGAAAAAGGAAAAAAUGGUCCUCUCUGUGUGUCACAUUACUAGGUCAUCCUCUUUUUCUAUGACCCUUACAAUAGAAUGGCAUAUUUGUCAAAUCUACUUAUGAAAGUUGGAAUGUUUCUACAUGUGUAGGGUCCAUUGGAACUAAUGGAGGAAAGGCUUAACGUCUAUGUAAAUCACAACGUUGCCUAGGUGGGCAUAGAUCUAGUUGUGUAACAUGAGAUGGUGUGAGAGUACAAUAUAUGCAUUGUAGUCUCUAUGGGAAGAGAGAUAGGUAAUGGUAGGGUGGUAGACGGUAGGGUGAUCUCUAAUAUAAUGACAUUUGAUGUGGUGGCUUCUAAGAGAGGAGAUAUAAGAGAUGGUAGAAUGACAUUUGGUGUAAUGGUCUCUAGUGCAAUGACAUGUGAUAUGGUGACCUAUAAAGAAGAGAUAUAGGUGAUGGUGAAGUGGUAUGUGGUGUAGUGACCUUUGAGAUAGAAAAUAGAGGUAAUGGUAGGUUGGCAGGUGGAGUGGUCUUUGGUGUAGUGACAUCAAUUAUAAAUGUCUCCAAGGGAGGAAAUAAAGGUGAUGGUAGGUAGUAAAUGUUGAGGUGGUCUUUGAUAUGUUAUGCUCUAAGAGAGAAGGUAUAGGUAAUGAUAAUAGGGAAUUUGACAUAGUGGUGUUGGAAAUAAAAAGUGAAAGUGACCGUAGAGGUGAAAGGGCAAGUGUAAAAGCCUCAAGUACGAAUGGAGUAAUUAAUGUGGAUGGUGCUAACAUAGUCUUAGGUGGAUACACAAAUAGUCAUAGUCAUCAACUAGCUUGCCCACCAUCUGUCUUUCUGCUAGUGAUAGGUUACAUCUUAAUAGUAAUGGCCAACAUAAGUGGUGUGGAUCCGAUUUUUUUACGUGUGUCCCCACUCAAUCGACAAGACUUAUUUUUUAUUAGUGAAAAAUUAAUUUUGGAAAAGUUGGAGUCACCACUUAUUUUAUUUUAUUUUAAAAAGGAAAGUAAAACAAGAAAGAGAACUCUAAAGAAGUGACUUCAUAGUUUUGGAAAAGUUAGUCUUAAAAAAUCCAAGUCUUGGUCCGGAGAUCAGGUUACUUAUUGGGAAGAUACCUCUAAGAGGUAAUACCCCUCUAAACCCUAAAGAAGUCUCUAAUGACUAAGUUGAGGAGAAUGUGGUAAUUAAUUAAUUGAUUGAGGGUACCUAGGUAGACUAAGGUGAUUUCAGAAUUAACAUACCAAGCUAGAAAGUCCAAUCAUGAUCAUAAAAGAGAGUCAAAGUAUGUACCUGAACUGCUUCUCAAACGCUAUCAUAAAACAUCAAAGUUAGUAUAGAAAUAUAACACAUAAUAUUUGUUUUAUCCAAGCAAAUAAAGCAUACAUCUAAGCACCCAAGAAUCACAUCAAGUAUGGAUAUAGUCAUCAAUAGCAUACGUGUCCAUAGAACUAUCGAAAGUAAAUGUGGAGGAGCGUAUCUGGACAACAUAGAUAACUUAUAAUGUGCUUCCACAAGACAUGGGGGUUAGAUAAAAGUUAUAAUAAUAAUUAGUAAAUGAAAGAAUUCUAGCAUGUUUGGUAUCUAAAUAACAUAGCAAAAAUGAACAAGAGUACACGAAAACAUCAAUUAUCACACGAGUCAUAUUGGCUAGUAUUUAAUCAAUAAACCAACAAUAAAUGACUAUAAACAUAUAAAAUGACAUAUUCAAAGAGACCCAAACAUAAAGAGCCUAGAACACAAGCUUACACUAAAUUUAGAAAACUAAAACAUGGAAUUUUAAAAGCAUAAAUUAGCAAACAAAUUGAUGGAAACUAAAUUUAGAUAACUUAAGAAUAUUUUUCUUAUCCUUCAAUUUAAAUCAGUAAGCCAACAAUAAAAAAUUAUAGAAACAUGGAAUAUCAAGAUCAAUGGGAUACCUAAACUAUAAUUUUUAAAAGAAAAUAAACUAAGCAUAAUAUCUACAAAGCAACUAAACUAACAUUUUUUUAAAAAUAAAUUAAACAUGACAUUAAUGGAGUAACCAAACUAAAUUAAAGUAAACUAAAAACAUUUAUGAAUUUUCAAACAUGGAAUCAGCUUUCUUAGUAAAUUAAAAUUAUUAAAAUAAAAUCUAAGCUUAAAAAUGAAUUAAAUACUAACUAAAGCAAAUCUAAAACCAAAUAUUUAACACAUAGGAUCAAUUAUAUUAACAAACUAAAAUUUUAUAAGAACACUUAAACCUAAAGUUGAAUUAAAAACUAACCAAUUUUUAAAACUAGAUCUUUAACCCAUAGGAUCAAUUAUAUUAACAAAUAAAUAAUAAAUAAUAAAUAAAUAAAACUCAAACCUAAAGAUGAACUAGAAAUGUACCAAAGUAAAUUCAAAACAAGAUCUUUAACACAUUAGAUCAAUUAUAUUGACUAACUAAAAAAAAAAAAAAAAAACACUCAAACCUGAAACGAUGUAUUAGAAACUAACCAAAGCAAAUUUAAAAUAGAGUCUUUAACACAUAGGAUCAAUUAUAAUCACUAACUUAAAUUACAAUUUUUGAAACAUGAACUAAUUAGUGUUGGAUUAAUUAAACUAAUUAACUAAAAAAAACUAUAAACUAGAAUACGGUGAAUCAAGAAUUCAAAUCAACAAACAUAAAAUAUGGGUACAAUGAAAUGAAAAUCUAUUAAACUAAUAAGACGGAAAUAUGACAAACUCAUGAACCCACAUUUUGAUCAACUAGGAAAUAGAAAUUAAUAGACCUGUAGCAUGGAUACAAUGAAAUGAGAUCAGUUAAAUUUAUUUGCCGAAAUUCUAAAAAACACAUACACUCAAAUAAGAUCUAAAUCUAAGACCAAGCAAAACUCAAACUUUCUCAAUCUAAUGCAAUGAAUCAAAACUAAAAUUAAAUAGAAAUCAAACCAUUUUUUUUUUAUCUAAUAUAAUAAAUCAAAGCUAAAACUAAACAAAAUCGAAUUUUCUUAAUUUAAUAUGAUGAGUCAAAGCUAAAAUUGAACAAAGUUCAAACCUUUAUAUAAUGGAUCAAAGUUAAAUCUAAAUGAAAUCCAUACUUCCACAAUUUGAUAUAACAAAUCAAAAAUAAAACUAGAUAAAAAAAAAGUCAAAGCCUUUCAACUUGACAUAGUGAAUCCAAACUGAAACGAAACAAAAUUUUAACUUUUCCAAUGAAACCCAAUAUAGAAAAAAUUAGCUUACCUUCUUUAGAAUAUAUGUAUGGGCCAUAAAGAAGUCACCUUGGUGCAUGUGUUCCUCACUUUGACGCCAAUGGACGACUUUCUAUGGUAGCAAAUGGAGAUCCUUUUUGGUGGUAACUUGCGUGUGGAAACCUAUGGUACAACCAAUGUCAUCUUUUAUUGUGCGUGUGGACCAAUUUCUUCUCGAGAACUCAUGUGUGUUGUGCUCAAAAUAUGUUGCCUGUGAGAAUCUAUUGGUAUACCCCACAUAUGGUUUCCUUGAGAGAAUCUGUGGUUGUGUGUGGGCGUUUUCUUCAUGACAGCAUGUGGAUGUUCCCAUCUAUGGUAGAUUGGUUGUGAUGCUUUAGUGCAUGGUCUCCAUAGGAAUAGUGUGUUAUGGAAAUUUGGUUUUUUUAUUGGUGCAUGUUGUCUAGACUUUCCCAUAUGCGUGGACUGUGUGUUCAUGCUUUUCUUUUCGGAUGGUCGCCUGUGUUAAUGUGUGGCGGUGUCUACAAUGAAAGAUACAACCCUUUCUCUCCUUCUGCGUGAUAGAAAAGUCAAUCCCCCAUGGUGCGACUAUGUUCCCUCGUCCUUUUUGAAAAAUUUUGGUGUUUUCCCCCCAAAAAAUCCCCUCCAAAAAUCUAAUUAUAAAUGUCUGCUUUGGCCUAAUGUGUGUGCUACUUUUUUUUUCCUUCUUUUUAUGGUUGUGCGUGCUUUUCUUGAUACGUGGCUUAUUUCUUAAGGAUAUGAUUCGCUCCCAAUUGGUGUCUCAGCUGAUUCAUGUCCUUUCAAUGGUCCCUGACAGUGGUGCCAUUUGAUUCGUGUCCAGCUGGUGUCCCUUGAUUGUGGUCCUCAGAAGGGAGUAAUCAAUAAAAUUUAUAACCUAUUACACCAUGUAUUAGGAUAGCCUUAGCUAGCAUAGCAUAGUGGCUCUAGGGUCGUUUAUUGGGAUGAGUUUUCACUUCACAAUUGAUAUUAAUUCAAGAGCUGAAUUGGUGCCUUUUCAUUUCAAGGUUAGCUUUAAAAGAAAACAUAAUCUUUGGUGGAAAAAGGUUUGGUUUUAAACUAACCAAAAAUAGUAACUGAUUUUACUUACAAAGAAAAGUGUUCUUUGGAGUUUAGAUCACUAGGCUCAGGUUCCUCAUACAAAAAGGAGAGUUCCGAUCAUUUGUUUCUUUUCCUCGCAUUAGAGAAUUAACAUAUAGUUAAUUCUCUAACCGGUGCGGUACAUAUGCUUCCCAUUAAUGGGUUCAAACACUAAAUACCUCUCACUGAUGCACCUUGCAAUGGCUCGUGCCUCUCACCUAGCAUUUAUCAUUCAAGGUGAUCUUUAACCUUGGAUUACCCAUCAAAAGCUCGCAAGAGAUAACUAAAGGAUGUCUCCUUAGAGUCCAAAAGCUUACCAAGUGUUGGUUAUUCUAGAAAAUCCUACCUUCAAACCACCUCCCAAAGGCUCGCAAGAGAUAAACAAGUGCAUCUCAAUGGAUGAAGAUCACUUGCCUUACCAAGUUUUGGCCCAGAUGAUUUAAUGACAUUUUAAGUUAACUAAAAAGAUAAAAACCAUUAACGGGUCACACUUUCUCUUCAUUAAAAACUAAAACAACAAAACUUCCAAUUUAUGCAUGAGGAAACUUACCUGGCUUUCUUCACUUCAAGAGAUGAAGAGCCUAGCCACUCAUCAUUUGAGGAAAAAUCCUCAGAGUUUGAUUUGCUAGAAAUAAAAAUAAUGAGAAAACAAAAAUAUAUAUAUGAAAAACAGAGCAAGUUCUCUGUAAUAUAUUUUUCUUCCUUAUACAAAAGGUUGUCUCUAAGAACAAGUUCCCGAGAUCUAUCUGAUUGUAAAUAAAAUUACAACUAUAUAUAAGAGGUUAUUCACCCCUUUGUUCUUUCUUAAAGACUAAGGAAUCCUAUGAUAGGUGGGUUACAAGGAGAGUUUGGGGAUUUAGACAUCAAAUAUCUAAAGCAAAAUAUCUCAAGAUGUUAGUCGGAAAUAUCAGGAAGCUUCAGGAGAACACCGCGACACUGUAUACUGAGAGAAAAACUCUCCGGGUAAGCUCUAUCAAAGGAUCCAGACAUGUCUGACUGGGAAAGUUGAAACGUCCUUCUCUCCCAUCCGGAUGUGAGAUAUCCGGAGAAAGUGAAAUGUCGGUCGGACAGAAUUCUUUCCCCGGGUGGAAUGAGUUGUGUUGCGCGUCGCAAGGGGGACCGUCUGCGUGUACAAGUUGUAGGGACCCCUCUCCCGGAUGACACCGAGCGCGUAAGGCUAUCCGGAUCAACUCCAUUCGGAUUCCCCAAGAGGACAUGUGGCGUGCUCCCCUAUCAGGACUCCCUUAGGGAGAAGCACACGACACUCGUGAACAUCAUACCCGGACGAUAGCAUGUCCUAUCCGGAUGUGUUGUCCGGAUCAUUGACUAAAGUGAGCAAGCCUUGCUACGUCAUUCGGACAGCUUGCCACAUACCAUGUUCCGUCGCCAUCUGAUGGUGUGUCCGAACGCCUUGUCCGGACAUCUUUUGCUCCUUGCAUUCCGGAUUUGCUUAUGACAAAGGACUUCAAAGCUUCGGUUCUUCAUGUUUCUGAGCUUUCCAUUGCUUUGCCAUGGAUUCCAAAGAACUCUCCUUAAUCACGGAUUGCUUUGGUGAUCAAAAAGUUAUCAAAACACAAAAACUUAACAUAGUUUGAUUAGAAUUGAUUGCAAGGGUUCUUAAUAUGUUAAUUGGGUUAAAAGGUGAUAACUACUACUCAAAAGUGUUUAUAAGAAUUAAUUACAAGCUAUGAAAUAACACUUUUUGAGUAGUAAUCAGGAUACAUCCUAGUUUUUCAUGGAAUUGAUAGUGGGUUGUUGUGCAUGAAUGCCACCAUUUCAACUAUGCUGUUGUUAUUUUUAAAAAAAAUAUGGAUUAUGCGCGAGUGGCAAUUCUCCACUAUGGAAAGUGGAUUGCUCCUUCAACCCAUGCAUGGCUACGUAUUCCUAUGUCUUUCUACUUGUGUUUGAUCCUCCAAAAAAAAUUUCGGUUUAGUGCUAGUAGAUUUUAAGUGGUGGAUCCCCAUUUUUUGAAAAUGAAGUGGCAGCCUCCCAUUUCAAGACAAAAUGGUAGCCUGCCUUUAAUCUUUGGAGAAAAAUCUGUGCAUGACCUUUUUUUUUCCCAAAAAAUCCGUGCAUGGUGUCCUUUAAUAUUUGGAGAAAAAUCUAUGUUGGAUCUUUUCUUUUCUAGAAACAUUUGUGUGGUCUUUUUUGUUAGCCCAAGGGUUCUUCUAAUCAAGUUUUGAUGAUAACAAACCAUGGUUAAGUGACUAAUUGGUUUAAUGAUUAAGAAUCUCAAACAUAAAAUCGAAAAUUCAUCAAAGGACCAAAUGGAUACAAGAUCGAGACGCUUGGAAGACUUGUAAUCAUAGGAAACUAAUGUAAGAUGAAUGCAUGAGUGCACUUAGGAUUUUCACACGUUUCAUGCAACUUAGAAAACCCAGUUUAUUCUUUAAAACUUCAUCCCAGUUUAUUCUUUUUAUGGUUGUGUGUGCUUUCCUUGAUACGUGGCUUAUUUAUUAAGGAUACAUCCCAGUUUUUCAUGGAAUUGACAGUGGGUUGUUGUGUGUGAAUGCCACCAUUUCAACUGUGCUGUUGUUAUUUAAAAAAAAAAAAAAUGGAUUGUGCGCGAGUGGCAAUUCUCCACUAUGGAAAGUGGAUUGCUCCUUCAACCCAUGCAUGGCUACGUAUUCCUAUGUCUUUCUGCUUGUGUGUGAUCCUCCAAAAAAAAUUUUGGUUUAGUGCUAGUAGAUUUUAAGUGGUGGAUCCCCUUUUUUUGAAAACUAAGUGGCAGCCUCCCAUUUCAAAACGAAGUGGUAGCCUGCCUUUAGUCUUUGGAGAAAAAUCUGUGCAUGACUUUUUUUUUCCCAAAAAAUCCAUGCAUGGUGUCCUUUAAUAUUUGGAGAAAAAUCUAUGUGGGAUCUUUUAUUUUCUAGAAAAAUUUGUGUGGUCUUUUUUGUUAGCCCAAGGGUUCUCCUAAUCAGGUUUUGAUGAUAACAAAUCAUGGUUAAGUGACUAAUUGGUUUAAUGAUUAAGAAUCUCAAACAUAAACUCGAAAAUUCAUCAAAUGACCAAAUGGAUACAAGAUCGAGACGCUUGGAAGACUUGUGAUCAUAGGAAACUAAUGUAAGAUGAAUGCAUGAGUGCACUUAGGAUUUUCACACGUUUCAUGCAAUUUAGAAAACCCAGUUUAUUCUUUAAAACUUCAAUUUCAUUAAAACCCGAGUUUUUAACUAAUGUACCUUAGGCAAAAUGUUUUAUAAUUGGCUUAAUAAUUCACCUAAAUACAUUUUCUAAGUGUUAGAAAAGAAAGGAAUUAAAAAAAGGUUUUCGGGGCAAAAAAGGCUCAACCGGUCGAGGCUAUGGUCAACCGGCUCAACCGGUUGAGGAACCAAUCGAUCGGUUGUGCUUGUCCGAUCGAAGACCAAUCGAGGGAUGCCAAAAAAUUUCUCUCUCUCCUAGUGGCCUUCUCUUCCCGGUCGAGGUUCGGUCUAGGCAACGGUAACAUGUCAAGCAUUAAAUGCUCCGACGACUAGUGAAUCGGUCGACCCCUAGCCCGAUCGGACGAGGUUGCCUUUUGCUGUUUUUGACUCCCGAGCUUAGAAACCUAUAAAUUGAGAGCUCCACUUCAUUUAUUGAUAAAAGAGAACACUUGCAUUCAAUAGUCUACCUACCUUUUCUUGAUCAAAAAGCUCUCAUUUCCUUCAUAGUGCAUUAAAUCAUCACUUGCAUAUCCUUUAGUGCACUAUUGUGUGUCAUCCUAGCUUUGUUUUGUAUUUGAGCUAUCCUUAAGCUAGGUUGAGGGAUUAUUUCUUAUAAAAAUCUGAGUGUUAAAGCCUUCAAGAGAUUUGAAUCUUGAAGAGAUUGUGUAAGAGCCCAUUGGAGCCGGAGUCCAAGUGUAAGAAGAUUGGAAGCUUGGUUGAAGCUUCAAGUUAGUGGAACCCUCACUCGGUUAGGAGGUUGAGGAGAGUGGACGUAGGUAAGGAAGUGUCGAACCAUUAUAAACCCGAGUUUGAAUUCUCUAACUCUAUCUCUUUAUUUUGCUUAUAUUGUGUUUGAAUUUGUUGUGAUUGAAAAGAUUUUAAAAACCUAAUUCACCCUCCCCCCUUUUGGGUUUUUUUUUCUUAAUUAAGCAUAACCUUUGUUUUCUAAUUUUCUUUUUAGGAAAAUCCAUGCGUGGUAUGUCCAAACUCUCCAAGUGGCAGUCUGCCUUCUUCUAAAAAAUUUGUUUCUAUUUCUUUAUUCGACUACCUUCCAUGUCUUCCUAAUGAGUGCUUGUGCUCAAUGGUCAAUCCCUGGUGGUUGCCUCCUUUUCCCAUAUAUACGUGUUGCAAAAUCAACAUCCCACUAUAUGUGGGUUGCCUCUAUGGCAAGUUCACAUUUCCCACAUGAAACCUAUGAGUUUCCACCAAAAAUUGCCAUGAAAAAGUCUUUAUAUGCAUCUCAUGCAAUAAAAAGUCAAGCCAAUACUCAUCUUAUCUCGAAAAAUAAGUAACCAAAAUCAAGAUCAUGCCUAAGUGAACUAUGCCAAAAGAAGUGUCCAAGUGACCUAUUAUGAAAAAAGUGCCUAAGUGACCUAAGGUGAAUGUGUGUAAGCUGGAAGGUGUCUAGGAUGUUUAGGACAAUGCCUAAGCCUAAAAUAGGGUUGCCAAGGGUCACAAUGGGGUUAGAUAAAUCUCUCAAUCAGAGUCUCCAAGGUGGCUCAUAAAAGAUAAGCUACACGAGUAAUGAUGGGCCACCAGGGAAUUAUUGUAAAGCACCAAACGAACACAUAAUAGGACAUGUGUUAGAAUGAAAAAAUGGAGGGUUUACAAGUGGUCUCAUGGAUGAGCUUGAUAAUUUAAAUGACUCACAUAAUGAACGUAUGUGAUGUUUCUCUCCAAUAACAAGCAAAACAUCACUAGCAAUAUGAUGAAUGUCUCCUAAAUCACUUGAAGUAGUCCUAGCAAAUCAAUUAGAAAAAUCACACAUAUUGCUCUAAUGUAAUAUUAUAUACAUCUGUCAAUGAAUGGGAGAACUAAUGACACAACCAUCAUGUUGAUAUCUCGAACCCUCUAAUCUCAUAUGUAGGUGGGAUCACACUUAGAAACUCAUAACACAGUAAUGACCAAUCUAAGUCAAAAUGUGUUGGUGAUCGGAGGCCCAUGAAUAUGAAGUUCUAGGAUGAUAAUGACAUCUUAUAAAGUAAUGAUCAUCUCCUUAAUAGAUAGGUGAAAUGUGUGUGUCUUAGGACACCAUCUCUCAACAAGACUUGUGAUCAAUCCCCAGUCUAGUGUAACAUGCCUAUUAUGACAUCCAUCGUAAAAUCUAGACUAGAUAAUAUAAGGACAAAUGUGAGGGUUCAUCUCCCUUUCCCACAUAAAUUUAAAAAAUUAUUAUUGACAAGUUAAGACCAAACUAAGUUGCAAAAUAUAAAUAAGUCCAUUAGAUAACAAAUUUAUGUUUUCUCAUUUUCUCAUUUUUAAAGAGAUAUUAUGUGCUUCCAUGUACAUACAUGCUAAAGUCAAUUAUACGAGACUUAUAUCCAUCUUGUAGAACCAAAUCGAACCUAUCUAAUAGAUCCAGAUUAGAAGUAUGUCCUCUAUACUCCAUAUUUAUAACACAUUUAUAAAGAUAAAUGCUAAAAAAAUGUUAAAGAUAUAAAUUUAAUGAACCAUACUUUAUGAUUUUAAUUCUCAAUUAUUGUUCAUAUUUAUAAGAGAAAAGUUAAAAAAAUUGAUAGAGUUUUCCCUCUAUCAUGGACAUUAUCCCAAAUAAAAAUAAAUUGAUUAUGCAAAUUACAUUAAUAUUUGUAACCAAAUGAUCAAUAACUAUCUUGUAUCAAUUUAGUAAAUAAAUUUAAGUAUAUCUUUUCAUUUAUGACUAACAAAUAACUCAUACUUGUCCAAUAAAAGCCACACCUAAUUUCUAAAAUUUUGUCUUCACCUCAAGUGAGUGUUACAUUGAGAAAGAAAAAAUAUGAAAGAAAAAAUGAACACCUUUUUCUUUUAAUAAAAAAAGGCCAUAACGAAACAUUAAAUCUCACUGUUACACCUAUCUUCAAUGGAAACAUGAGGAUGUGAAUGGUGGCGGUGAUAUUCUUUGCUUGAAGCUCAUAAACAAAUAUUCCUUACUAAGCCUAUGCCAUUUAGUAUUUCAAUAGUGGACCCCCCCCCCCCCCCCCCCCCCCUCCUUGCAUUUCAGAUUUAGCAAACUUAGAACCAAAUAACAAAGUGCAUUUGAACCCAUAAAGAAGUAAUGAGACUCUCCUAUAUUGGCAAUAGAAGAAAUUUUUGGAGGUAUAGGAGAUUCACGGAUGAAGAAGUUGGGCCCCAAUUGAGAUAAGACCCAAGAAAAGAUGGGGUAGAGAGGGAUGGUUGGAAAUUGUAAAGUAAGAUUUUCAAAAUGUAGUUGAUGACUAAGAUUUUGACAAUUUAAAAAAGGUUUAAAAAUGUAGUUAGCAAUCGGGGUUUUGUAACAUUUAAAAAAUAAAAUAAAAUCUCAGGCCACAUGGUAGCCCAUGUGAUUCAGAAGCUUGAGAAUUAUUUUAUAAGAAGACUUAAUUUGUGAUUUUUUUAUAACUAUAUUAUUUUUUUUCUUAACACACGAAAAAAAUUAUGAAAUAAGACAAUUUUCCUAAGAAAGCAUGUAAGUGACUCUUGGUUAUUUUAUUUAACUUCUUCUAGUUUGGAGAGGAUUAAUACCUUUGCUUUUACUCACUUGCUUGGAUAUGUACACGUUGUUCAUGUCACUUUUCAUUUAAUUUUCUGAUUAAGGGAAUUGGAACCGUACGUAACUGUCUUUAUUCCCUCUGAAACUUGGACUUGGAGUUGGACUUUCAAUCUCAUCAGUCGUGUUUCCAUAAAAAAGAAGAUGGAUUAACCAAUUUUCCUAUGCCUACUAAUCAUACACAAAACUCCACUUCCAAAUAAAAAGGAAUGGGAUAUCACUUGUUAAUAGUGGCUAAAGACUAUUAAUAACCAUGCAAAGAAAUGUCACAUUUUUUGUUCUACGCAAAUUUUAUUCAUCAACUACUAGAACCAUUUCAUACAAUAGUAGCUUUUCGAUCCUUUGAUAAAUGGACACUUGAUGUGAUAACACCAACUACACCUAUAUAUUCAAGCAAUCAUGCGUAUAUAAUAGUGGAUAUGGAUUACUUCUCUAAAUGGGCAAAAGUUUUGUCAUUCAAGGAAAGUGAACGAGGAAACACAAGUUUACUUUCAUCGGAACUAAUAUUAUAUAUUGAUAUGACUUCCCAUUAUUACUUACGAUGGAAUAUGCUUCCAUAAAAUGGCCUAGAUGAACAAACUAUCCAAGAAGUUUGGGAUCAAAUAAUAUAUAUAUAGUUCAUGUGUGAUUCUUUGGUUGACAACCUUGUUAAGGGGUGAGUGAAGCACUUUGGGCAUACCACAUACUACAUGCUAGACUUCCACCCAAGCUACCCUAUAUUCCUUAUGAACAAAGUAGAAGUUGUCAUCUCUCUUGAAUACCAAAUCCUUUCACCUAAUAAUGCUAUCUAAAAAGGUCUUAAAAAGGAUAAAAAUGCGCAUAUUUGAAUUUUUGAAUUAGGAGUGCUACUUAAAAAGAAGCUAGAUAUACAAUAAUAGAAUGUUAUCAAGCAUAUCUCUUCAAAGUUUUUGACCAAAAAAUAUAUGAUUUCUCAUUUUAGGUAGGAGACUUAGUACUCACUAUUCAAAAACCAAUUAUCAUUACUCAUAAAAACUAAUAGAAAGUUUGGGCCAAAGUAGGAUGGACCUUAUAUUAUGCAACAAUUAUGCCUAUAAAAUUGUUGCAAAAGAGGUUUUAGAAUCAAAUCAAUGAAUGAAAAAUUAUUAAAGCAUUACUAUGCUUGAAGGCUAGUCAUUUUCCCUUAAAGUGCAAUAUUAAGUUGCAUAGUACUAUGUGGAUCCGCAUUUUUCACAUGCGUUCCCACUCAUUGUCGAGACUCACUUUUUAGAAGUGAAAAAUUAGUUUUAUUAAAGUCGAAGUUGCCACUGGGGAUUUGAACCCUAACAAAAGGUUCAAUUUAAGGAUAAAAAUAUCGAUAAUCACAUAUAUAUAUAUUGGUACUUUGAUUUUAUGAAUAUAUUGAAGAAAUAUGGACAAAUAUUUUGACACAAAAUAUGUACAAAAUAAAAAUUAUAUAAAAAGUAAAAAUAAAUAUUUUAAAAUUAUUUUUUUAAAUAUAUAUAUAUAUAAUUUGACAUAUUUGAUAAUAAUAUAUAAGGGUCUCCAAAAAGCCCGUGGCCCGCUUUAGGCCCGGUCCGACCCGACAGGCUAAAGCCCGGCCCAAGCCCGCCGGGCCCAAGCUCGGCCCGAGCCCGUUUAUGGGUGGGCCGGGCCGCGAGCCCGUAGGCCUGCUCCUUUAAAAAAAAACUACAAAAAUAAAAAGUAUUAAAAAAAAUAUUCAUUUCAAAAUUUUAUUCAUUGAAUGUAUAAUUACAUUUGAAAAUGUGGGAAAAGUUUACAUCACUACAAAAUAAAUACAUCCCAACUAGGUUGGCACCUAUUUAUUUGUCAAUCAUCUGUAUUUUUCAACCACAAAAAAUAAAAAUAAAAAUAUAAUAUACAUUUAGUCAUUAUUUUCUGGCGGUGAUGGCGAACUAUCAUGCAUCCAUGAAGAUCUUGAUAAUUUUAAAGAUUCCAUAUCGGUAAGCAUCUUUGUUUCUCGAAUGGAAUCAUACAUCCUUUUAUCUGCUAUUUCCCAAUCUUUCACACAUAUCCCUGCUUUAAUAACAUCUGACGCUAAGUUGCAUCGUUUUUUACUAACUACUCUUCCACCUGCACUAAAAGCAGCUUCUGAUGCAACUGUACUCACAGGAACUGUUAGUACAUCACGAGCAAUUAUAGAAAGCACAGGAUAUUUGUGUUGAUGUGAUUUCCACCAUAUUAAAAUAUUAAAAUCUUCUUGAUCUUCAAAUGAAAUUAUAUCAGUAUUAAGAUAUUUAUCUAAAUCAGAUGUAUUAUUUGGAGAAUUAUUUGUUGUCUUUUUUCGACUUUUCAACAUUUCUAGAGCUCCUUUAUAAAAAGAUGAGGAGUUUGUAGAUGUAGGUGGUAAUUUAAUAGUAUUAAUAUCAUUACCAUAUUUUUCUUUAUAAUAGUUAUAUAAAUUAUAUAAUAAUGAAUUUAUUUCAUUUUUAAUUUCUUCAAUUUUUAUUUGGUCAUUAAAAUAAAUAAUUGUUAACCAUUCAUCCAAAGCUUCAAAUUUCAAUCUAGGGUCCACAAUUAAAGCAAUAUAAAAAAUUAAAGGUAUUUCUCCCCAAUAUUUUCUAAAUUUUUAUAUCAUUACAAAUAUUGUAUCAUUAAAUAUUUCAAAACUUAAAUAUUUUUGAAGUACAAUAAAAAUAUUAGUUAUUUGCGUAAUAACUCGAUUUGAAGUUGGAUAAUAUACACCACAAAAAAUGUUUGUUGAAGUAUCAAAAAUUUCAAAAAGAUCUCUUAAAACAUCCGCAAUAUGCCAAUCAUAAUCAUUUAAUGCAUAAAUAUCUGCUUCAUAAUCAUUGUUAAUUAAUUGUAUUUCAUAUAAUUCGACUACUUUUCUAUAUUUUGUAAUAUUUUCUAAAAGUUUAUAUGUGGAAUUCCAUCUAAUAGCCAUAUCCAAAUUUAUAUUUUUUCUUUUCAUAUUUAACAUUUUGCAACAAUCAAAAAAUAAUUCAUGUUUUGCUUGAAAACUAUUAAUACUAUAUGCAAUGCCUCUAAUUUUUUUCCAAUGUACUAUCAACAUUUUUUAAUCCAUCCUUUACAAUUAAAUUUAAAAUAUGUGCACAACAACGCACAUGAAAUAUUUUAGCAUGAUCUUCUUUUACUUGCCAAUAUCGUUUUAGUCUAUGUAUUGCUGCAUCAUUAUUAGCAGCAUUAUCUAAUGUUAUUGUCAAUAUUUUAUCACGAAUGCCUAAAUCUAUAAUUUCAUCAUUUAUUAAAGAUGCUAUAUUUUUACCACUAUGUGGAGUAUUUAUUAAUUUAAAUAAAAUUAUUCUUUUAUUUAAUUUCCAUUCAUUAUCAAUGUAGUGAACAAUUAUAUAUAAAAAACCAGUAUGAGUUAAAGAUGUCCAAAUGUCAGAUGUUAAACGAAUAUUUCCUUCAAAAUUUGCAAAAUUUUUUUUUAAAAUUUCUUUUUGUGUAUAAAUUUUUUUCAUAAUAUCUCUUUUAACUGUAUUUCCAGAUCAACCUUUAAAUUGAGGAUUAAUACCUCGUUGAAUUGUUCUUGCAAAAUCAUGAGUUUCCAUCAUGUUGAAAGGUUGUUCUGCUCUUAUUAUAUAAUCAAUCAUUUCUUCACAACAGUUAGAUUCAUCAUAAGAAAAUGUUUUUAAAUUUCCACUUUCAUUUUUACUUAAUUGCAUAUAAUUUCUAAUAUCUACAUUAUUUUUAGUUUUACAAUUUUCAUGAUGUCUUUUUAAAUGACUUGUAUCUGCAUUUGAGCCACCAGUAAGAAAUUUAUUACAAAUUUUACAUUUUGCUUUUAUUUUUUUUUUAUUAUUUUCUAAAAUUAUUUCUAUUCUAUCAAAAAAAUUCCAUAUAUUUAAAGUAAAUUUUUUGUUUGAUGAUAUUUCAUCACAUGGACUAGACGAAGAAGCACUUGUCAUAUUAUAAUUAUUGAUAAAAUAUUAUGCCAAAAAUAAUAAAGUAAUAAAUAUAAAAAAAAAUGUAACAAAAAAAAUAAAGUAGUAGGGGUGAAGUAUGUUACUCAAUUAGAGAACCUAUGCAGAAAUUCCUAGCAAAUUUGAACUCUUGGAGCCACCAAUGCUUGUUUUGCACCAUCAACAAUAUUGUAUAAUUUGAGGGAAAAAUAAAAGAAUUUAAAAUAUUGUAGAAUGUGAGAGAAAUAGAGAGAAUUUGAUGAAAAAAUGAAAAGGAAGAAAAUGUAUUUAUAGGAAGGUUAAAAAUAAUAAUAAUAAUAAUAAUAAUAAUAAUAAUAAUAAUAAUAAUAAUAAUAAUAAUAAUAAUUGGCCAUGUGACCGUUGGAGGCUUAGCUCCAACGGUCACAUGGGCUGGAGCUAGGCUCCAACAGUCACAUGACCGUUGGAGCCUUUAAUUUUUUUUUUUAAAAUAAUAUACUUUAUUUUUAUAUAUAUAUAACUAACUCAAUUAAUAAACAUAAAAAGAAUAUAGUUCAGUUGGUUAGAACCUUGAAGUUUAAACAUGAGGGGAGGGGUUUGAAUCCCUCCCUCUCCCUUAGGGGCUUUUUUAAAAGCCAUUUUGGCUUAUUUCAAAAAGCCUGUCGGCCCGACCCGCCCUGCAGCCCGCGGGCCUAGCAUUUUAGCAUGGCCUGGUCUGUUGACUAGUCAAAUGGCUCAUAGGCUCGGCCCGAACUGGGCCGCGGGCCUCUUAUUUACGGACCGGCCCGACCCGGCCCGCCCGUUGGAGACCCUUGAUAAUAUCUUCUAUAUUAAGUUACAUUAUAGUUUAUUUUACAAUAUUAUUAUGAUAAUAUGUCUAAUUUUAAAAUAUAUUUAAUAUUAAAAUUAUGAUCUAUUUUAAUUUAAAUGUAUUCAAUGAUAUCAAAUAAAUAAUAAUAUAUGUAUAAUUCUUUUAUUAUUUAUAUUUAUUAUUUUUAAUAAAUAUAUAGAUUAUAUAAAAAAGACCGGAUAUAUCUUUUCAAAUUUUGUAUCGCUCUCCAAGGAUAUUAGAUGUAUGGGAAUUUGUAUUGCUAUCUACGGAUACGUUGAUAUAUGGGUGAUUUAUCAGGAUAAUUAGAAAUUCUAAUUAUGUAAGCAGGUACGGAGUUCUGUGUCGGUGCGAUCUUGUCGACAACAGCUCCAAAUUGUGCAUCUUGCUCAUAGAGAGUAGCGGAAUGCACCAAUCGUAGGCUCAGAGUACCACUGAGUCGUCUGGCAGAGACCCAACUGAAGGUGCCUGUGUUGUUCCUGAUCUGAUCAGGCUUCAAACUACAAGGUGGAAUACUGGUUCCCCUAUAUCAGAAGCUGGAGAUACCCACCCCAUAUGCUCGUCUGGAUGUGCUCCUACCCUUUGAAGCCUUCUUCCGAGUCAAGUCCGAAUUGAUAAGGCUAGUGAGUUCCCAACCAACUGUACUCAGCAUGCUGCCAGGUGGAGACCCUCCAUAUUUGAUGGCUUCCUAAUAUUAAAAUGCUGACCACUGGUCUUCAUGUUCCACAGGCUUAAUUGUGUCCUUUGCUGAAAGAAUGGAUAGUGAUCCAUUUUAACACAUGAUUCACGCCGUCUUUGCCAUUCUUCAUGGUCUAGCCCUUUUAUAUAUAUGCUUCCUGAACUGUUGCUAUUAAUAAAAUGUGGUAUCUAUCCCGUACACCUUCCUGAUGGCCAGCGAAUGCAGAAGCUACAGAAACGGUUCCAUCUUUUGCUUCCGCCACUUUGGCAUCCUCCAUGAUGAGAUCGAAGGUGAAUAAUCAUAUUCUGGGGAUUUAUGUCCUGGAUAUUCUCAGUAAUGCCCAAUUUCCUGGUGCCGGCCUCAUUUCCAUGGGAACUGAUGGAUAACUUAAGGCUUCUACCAUCUGCGUGGUUCGCUUCUAACACAGGAAACUUCACGGCUAAAAGCAAGAUACCAAGAACAUCAAGGCUGUGACAAAAAUUAGUAUUUUUAACUUGUAGGAAUUUGAAAGGCAACCAACCAUCUAGCUCUGUUCUUAAAGCUCCCAUAGGAGGAUCAGAGGCUGGAUUGCUCAAGAUGAACUCAUCCAUUGUUGCACUUAAAAAGAAUUGGCAUGAAUUGUGGCCGCUCUAAUAGGUUCCCUAAACCAUCAUCCAAGUGGGCUUGCGGAAGGUAGCGAGUUUAAAACACCUAGGGCGAUGAACAGUGGACUGUGAUGCUCACAAAAGAGAAAAGGAAGAAUUCAAUAAUUCCUAAGAAUCCAUUUGCCUGUCAUCCAAAUUUUUAUAUUCUCUUCAGUCUGACGCGUUAUGCCAUAUAUUAAAAAUAGCGGCUUCUUCCAAGCCGAGACAGACUGUGCAAAGUUCGCAAGGCCAAUCAUCACCAUAAUCUGAAGUUGGCCUCCUCAAUCGCAGCUUGUAUCCGAAUGCUCACUUCACGGGAUGGAUUGUAAUGAAAACUAAUCUCAGUCCCAGCUAUGGCAGCAUCCUCACUUGACAGCAUUUUCUGCAUAUUCUAGAACAAAGCAAUAAACCCUCAAAGGCUCCUUCGGAUCAGAGUUAGAAGACUGUCCCUCAGGAACGUGAACACUAUGGUGGUUCUGAUAAGCAGUGAUAUUGCAUUAGAGCCUUUUGGAACAAGAGGAUCUUUUCAGGUGGAAACUGUAAACUGCUUCAUGUUGGGCUGCAACCUUUUCUUCAAGCAAUACUUUCUUUCUGUAUCACGACUUAUGUUGCUUCCGGAGCCAUCCCGUGUGGACUGCCCUUCAGUGAAAGAAUAUGUGUGUUGACAUGUUGGAUUGUAAUCUUUGUUCCACUCUAAUGGCUUUUGGUCCUCCUCUUUCUCUUUAUGACAGAGAACCAUUUAGUGAUCCAUCUCUAUAUUGUAGCAUUGCUGGUGCUUUGCAAUACUACACUCUCACCAAGCAUAACAUCUAUUUUUCCGUGACCAAAGUAUGUCGGUUUAUGCAUGCGCAAACUCUUAUUCAUUGGCAAGUUGUCAAGCGUAUCUCAUGAUUUCCCAAAGCCACAAGUUCUUAUGGUCUUUCUGUUCAAGCUUACAAUGAUCUAUCUUUUCUUGGUUAUACUGAUGUCGAUUGGGCUAGUUGCCCUGAUAACAAGCACAAUACUAGUGGGUACAACACUUUUCCUGGUCCUAAUCUCAUUUCAUGGGCAUUUUCAAAGCAGAAGGUUGUGUCUCACUCCAAUAACGAAUCUGAAUAUAGGGGACUCACUAAUUAAUGUUGUUGCCAAGGUCACUUGGAUUGAAUCUGUCUUACGUGAGUUGCGUGUUUCUCUACCCCAACCACCAAUUUUGUUGUGUGACAACAUUAGUGCUACACACUUGGACAAACCAUGUUGAAAUACACUAUCAUUUUAUCCAUGAAAGGCUUAUGCAUCACACACUCAAAAUUCAAUACACCUCUUCUAUAGACCAACUAGUCAAUGCUAUGACCAAAGCUCUUCCUUCAUCUCACUUGUACAAUCUUCAGUGCAAGCUGAUUGUUCUUCCCAAACCACUCAACUUGAGGGGAGAUGUUAAGCCAAUUUAAUAAAUUGAUUUCUUUUGGUUAAUUUGUUAGAAUCAUUUUUAUUAGAGGUUUGUUUGUACAAUUACAUCCAUUUAUCAGGAGAGUACACGUGUACAACUCCUCUUUUAAUCUCACCAUUGUAUAUAUAUGAUACACGACCUUACUCAGAAUUGCAUAACAUUUCCUCUGCUCAUUCCUUUUCUUCUUUGAAUUUUCCCUUACCUCACUGAUUUUGAUUUAUACCUGGUGUUUUCACCUUUGGUCUCUACCUUUCUAGCCAGUUUUCUAAUUAAUCCGUAUAUGGUAUACCUGUCAACUAAUGAGGAGAAAGAGAAAAGGGGAUUGCUGUUCCACCAGCUACAUAUAAUAAUUAAUUACAAUCAUGGUAAUGGAUCCUGAAAUCCAUCCUUUGUGGAUUUUGUACGGAAUAUUGUUGUUAUGUAUGUGGGCUCACUUAGAUGUAUAUUGCUAGCCUGUCUGGGAAAUGUGAUUGCAGGUCCAGAUUAUGAUGUUGAUAUUAGUGGGAUAAGCAAGAGAUGCAGUUAACACGUAUGUGAUGGACUUGAGUAACUUUUCCAUUUCAGUCCAUUUUUUAAGAUUAUGCUUAGUCUUAUUACAAGGAAAGACCAUAAGAAUCAUGAGUCAUUGGCAAGGUAAUAUCAUUCCCUCUUUACAGGCUUCUUCACCUUUUGGUUUUUUUAAUAUCCAUCAAGAUCUUUUAAUUGGAGGACAAUUACAAGUAUAUAUAUAUGUAUUAAAAGGGGAAAAUAUUAAAACAGGAAAUUUUAGGGAAAAUAUAAUAAUUAUUUCUUCCUUCUUUCCCAUAUAGAACUACACAAAAUAAAACUUUAAUAAUUUUUUCUUAUCUUUUUUAUUAUUAUUUUUUCUUAGAAACAUCCGUGGUCUCACAAGCUUGUAAUCCUAGAUUGUUAGGCUCCUUUAACAGUGCCCCAACAUCGUGGUCCAAUGACAAGCUUCCACGCCUUAAAAUCAGAAAAUGCCAUUAAACUUUAUCAGACAUUACAGUUCAAGACAAAGCUUUCAUUUGCUUAAUGUGAUAAUGAAAUUGUUAAUUUCAUUUCGUGGGCAUCUAAAUUUGGACGAGCAAGACCUCUGAAUUCCCUGUUUUUAUCACCAGCAGAGGAGAUAAAAUCUUAAUGGUGAGAAUCUCCACGUGAAAUUUAUGUGUACUGUCAACAUAUUUUUGUUUAUAUAGUCCAGUAGCUGCAGGAAGUCUAGAUUAUAUAGGUAGCAGUAGCACUAUUUAUAGCACUCGAUAUUCGCUGUAUGAAUACAUUAAACCUUGUUUUCAAUACGCAUCACAAGCAAGUACUAGAUACUACAAGGAGUGACAGUCGCAUCAACAUUUCUUGAUAAUAGCAGUGACUGAUUUAUACACAGAACAGUACUGUACACGUACCAGUCACCAGAGAUAGGAUCUUAUUCCUACAUACGACUCUUAUUGAUCGAAGUCACUCAGUUGGGGUAGCCUGGAGUUGGAGGUUUGUGUGGUGGCUUCUUCUUUGGAGGAGGCUUUAUCUUUGGAGGCAUCAUCUUUGGAGGCAUCUUGUGUGAGUCUUCUUCAGCAUUCUCUACAGGAGGAUGGCCAGGCUUAUGACCCUUAGGUGGUUUGCCAACUGGGAUUGGUGGCUUGUGUCCUGAGAGUGGCUCCUCUUCUUCGGGAGGUUUGCCAACUGACGUUGGUGGCCCGUGUCCUGGGGGUGGCUUGUGUUUUGGGGGUGGUUUCACUCCACCGGGAGGUUUACCAAUUGGUGUUGGUGGUUUGUGCUCAAUCGGUGGCCUCUCAACUGGGGGGCGCUUGGGGUAAUCAGCGAGUGAAGAAGUGGUGAGAACCACCACUCCAAGCAACAACACUAGCAAGUAUGUGGAAGACAUCUUUGAGUUUGGCUCAGAUGGUGUAGAACUAGAAUCCUGGGUGGCCUUUUAUAUUAGUUGGGCCCUAUGCCCGAACGACAAGUGUCAUGGUGACACAUAAAGUGAUGGGGUCGAUUUGGGCCUACCGGAUUUGAAAACUUGGACAAUUCGAGAAGCGUCUCCUGACUCCGGGUUGUAAAGUGAAAGAUUAGGUAUCGACCAUUGAAGUAUGAUCACAACUUUUGGCCUUUGGCUCUCUCUACUGCCGUAUAGCUUUUUUCCUUUGGAUAUUUUUCUUAGCUAGACACAAUUAUUGAGCAGUCUAAUCUCGAAAUGGGAUUAGUAUAGCUUUAAGCAAAUUUAUUAUAGUUAGUGGAGGACUUUUAAGAGUGCAGACGACAUUUAACACAUGCAUGCAGUAGUAUAGGGGACAUAACACUAUUCUUUUUCCAAAGAUUCACAUGAUUUUUAUAUUAUAGUAUUGGCACAUUGUAUGUAGCUGGUUUUGUGGUUAAAAUUCCAUAUGUAGACACUGGCGUUUCUCCAUUUCUCACAAUUGAUGUUUACCUCCACGAUUACUAGAUUAGAUAUACCAAACAAUAACACAUUGUAUAAUCUAUCCGCCCUUCAAAAUCUACUGUAUGAUGAAAUGUUUCAUGUGUGUGUGAAGUGUUAGAAAUGCACUAUAGGCAACAUCAUCUUCUUUUGUCUAGGCUUGGGCCUCAAAUUAUACUCCCAUGCCAUGAUAAAUUUUCAUGUGCAUUCUCUAAAGAAGAGUGUCUUGAAUGUGCCAAAUCAUUUUGAUUGAUUUUAUGAUGUUAAUUGCUCCGCAUAUGGAUGGGUAUGUGCUUUAUUUGCUUAUUCAAUCCACAAUUACCUUGAACUGAAGUCCUAUUGGAGCUCUAUUAUUUUAGCAACGUCCUGUCAAAUAGGCUGCUAACUUGGGGUGGUAUGGACCCAAUGAUCCAUCUUAAUCUUGGGUUGAUUUUGUCUGACUCUAUCUAUCUCAGAGAGAACCAGGAUCACCAGUGCUGGUCUGCUUAAAGAAGACUCAGUACUGGAUUAAUAUUGGUUUGGGUCAAUAGCUUAUAAUGCAUUGAAUGCAGAAUAAACAAGAUCAAUGAAACCCAAAACACACUGCCCACACAACUUCACUCUGGUGUCUGUUAUUCAUCAAUUCUAUUCCCACAUGAACUGGUUCAAGUUUAAGAAAAUGACAACGGAUCCACUGUAUUAACUUGGUUUUGCUUGGUUUUGAGCUAGUUGCCAAACCAGCCAUGAGUUUUACCUCUAAUGUCAAUGAACAAACCCCAAAUGAACAACUGCAACAGCUUAAAGAGAAGGAAUGGAGAUGAAAAUCCCUGUUUCUUCUCAUUCUGGGGACAAAUUAGAACAUAACUACAAAGGUUCUAUUAAUUGACUUACUCUACCAUGAAUUAUGGUUCUUUGGUUUUCCAAAUUUAAAUUGUACAUGAGAUUAUUUUUUUCCUUUAUAUAUAAACAUAUUAAGGUUUUCUUAUUUCGUGGGCAAAUGCGCUAAGGAUGAAAGUCAUUUCAUUUGGCUGCAACAGCAUCUUAUAAUCAACAUGCAUAAGCAGCAGUUUUAAUUGAUCGAUUGAACACCGACUCACAAGAAUAGAUAGAAUGGUACAAGACAGCUCUUAUUAAUUUAUACUCGUUACUCAUUUUAUGUAGCCCCAUUAAGAUGGCUGGCUGGACCACCGAGGUCUGGGGGUGGUGUUGCUUGUGUGAUGCAGCGGGCCGGGCAGACACUUCUCUAGUUGCUUCUAUUUGGAGUUAGAGGAUCAGUCUCUGCCAACCUUGAGGACUCUCUACCUCAGAGGGUCCAGGUGGUGGACUCUGGUGUCGGUAGCUUUGAACUCUCAGUAGACUAGUGUGUCUUAAUCAGUCACUGCCAGAGGCUGGCGUAGGCAGUGACGAUAAGGUGAGACAAAUUACCGAAUAGUCAAUAUCGACUGCACUUGACCAUUAUAGAUUUGUUCUGACAAAAGUGAGAAAAGGGAGAAAAUCGGAUGUUGACCUUUAUAGAAAAAGAUAAGAUUUACUGCAACACAGAGCACUGAUUUGUUACUUGGAAACCAAGUUAUGCUAUUAGCUAGCCUCCAUUAGCAGCAGGGUACCUUGCUGCCUGAUCCUAAUCUGAGUUCCCAAGGUUUCAAUCUUCGUUUGUUAACGCUUCAGGAUUUGGAUAUUUCAGCUUCGUUUCUCCAUUUAGCCAACGCUGCCUGGUUUGGAUUUCAAUCCUCAUCUGGAACAUUCUUUUUUCGGUCUGAUUCAGGAAGUGUUUGGUGAUAGUUGAUUAAAAUUAAACAGUACUAUCAUACAAAUAAAGCUGAUCUAAUUUUGGUGGGCAAUAUACCAACUCAUUUAUUCUUGAAAACACCAUGGGGAAUUGGAGGUCCAUCCGAAGUACUAUUUGAUGGGACUCACAAAAAGAACAGGUGCACAUUUAUGAGAUCCGUGGAAGAGAUAACUAUGACAGCUAUGCAUGUACAACAGAUUUAUGUCGAGUUCACCUCGUAGAUAUUUUGUUUUCAGUGUCGGUGGACCCCAAAAUGGAAAUCGGAAAUUAAGGUUAUAUUUAUUUUUUUAUUUAAUUUUAAAUAGAAUUUUAAUUUUUAAUAAUAUUAAGUAUUAAAUUAUUUUUUUAAGGGUAUUUUAUUUUUAUUAAGUAUUAAAAAGUAAAAAAAAUUAAUAUGUUGCUUUUUUAUUUUAAAAAAAUUAUAUAUUUUAAUUUUUUCUAUUUACUAAAAAGUUUAUAAUAAAUUAUAAAAAAAUAAAAAAAUAAAAAACUUAAAUUCUGAAAAUAAAUUAUUUUUAAUAAAAAAAUCCAAAAAAGCAAACACCACCUAAAUUUGAGAUGACUCAAAAUUUUAUAUUUUUUUUCACCUAAAUUAUAUUCAUAAAUUUAAAAUUAAAAAAUUAGGAAGUUGAAUUUUAUUUUGGAUAAUUGGAAACUACAAGAAAUCAAUAAAAAUAUUUGGAAAAAAAAGAAAAAGAAAAACUAUCUAUAUAUUCACCCCCUUCUAAGAAACAUAACUUUAGUUUUUAACUAUUUUUUAAAAUAAUUUUUGAAAAAUGUUAUAUAAUAUUUUAUAAAACAAAAAAUCUGUUUGACAAUUUGAUAUGUCUUUAACUUAUUUUUAAUAUUUAUAUAUAUAUAUUUUAAAAAUAAUUUUAUAUUUAGAACUUUAUCUUUAAUUAUUAUAUAUAUUUAUAUAAUUAUUUUUUUUAAAACAACUCUUAAAAAAUAAGUGAAAGUAAUUGAAAACAACUCAAAGAUAUUUGAUGAAAACACUCUAAUUUGUAUUUUUGAGAAUAAAAAAAUAAAUAAAUAAAUUUCUAGUUAUCAAAUGUAUUUUUUAAUUCUUUUAUUCUAAAAAAUAGAAAAUCGUUUUUGAAAAUAAUUAUUAAACAACAUUCUUAAAAAUUCACUCGUUACAAUCUAGAUUUAAUGCAAGAAUGAUUGAAGGAGUCCUCCAAUAGAACCCAAAGUUAUAAACAUGAACAAGAAGCCCUAGAAACACCAAAGAUCUCAUAUGGUAUAUAUAUGAGCUUGAUUGAGAACUGUUUUAAAUUCAGUUUUUUUUUUUUUUUUUUUUUUUUGUUUUCAAAGUCAAAACAAGUUUACUUUUAAUUUUUACUUCUUUUUUUUAAUUUUAUAAAUAACAGUUUUUUAAUAAUUUAUUUUGAAAACAUGAUUAUUUUUAAAACUUAUAAUGAAAAUAGGAAUUUUUUUUUUAAUAUCAUGGUUAUUUUCCCUUCUUUUAAGGAGGGCUAUUUUAAAAAUAAAUUUACAAAUAUGAAAAAUGAUUCAAACUAAAGCAGUACAAAUAAAAAACAUUUUUAAGAAAUAUUUAAAAAUAGAGAAAAUUAUUUGAGAACAUUUGAAGUCCUUAAAUAGACUUUUGUUUUAGAAAAGGCAAGAUAAUUAUUUUUGAAAAUUGUUUUCAUAAUGAUAUGCAAAAACCUACGUAAAAACCAUAAUUAUAAUCGGCCACAUAUCAAAUCUACUAAAUAUGAAAAGUAAGUACAUAAUUAUAUUUGACUUAGAUGCAAGGAGGAAAAUGUCGCGAUAUUAUCGCCGAAAUAUCGUGUGUCGAAGGGUAUCGACACGAUUUUUCUUGCAGAAAUAUCGGCCAGUCGAUUUUUCGGGAUAAAUCUCGAGAAAUCGGCAAUUUAUCGCGAUAUAUCGGCGAUUUUUCCUCGAUAUAUCUUCUGGUCAACGCGGGUCAACGGAGUCAACACGCUACAGUGAAAGUCAAAUGUGCUACAAUGUCCCCGCUACAAUCACCUCCCCAAACAAAUUGCCAAAUUGCUUCCGAGGGGAUUUGAACCAGCCUUCUUGCCAUUUGGGCUAACUCGCCCUUAUGAUAUAUAUUGCAUUAAACAUAUAUAUACUUAAAGUCCUUAUAUAAAGAAAAUGUUAAAAAAAUAUUUUAAAGAGCAAAUUAAUUAUAAUUAUUUUAUAAUUAAAAGCAAAAUUUUCUUUUAAUUAAUUACCAAAAAUAUAAAAAUUAUAUAAUUUUCUUCAUAAUGUUUUUAAUAUCAUUAAUAAUUAAUUAAAUAUUAAAAAAUUAUAUAUAUAUAUAUAUAUAUAUAUAUAUAUAUUAUAAUUUAUUUUAUAUUGUUUAAUACAAUUGAAUUAAAUGGAUCAUAUUUUAAUAUUAAUAUAUAUUUUAAAAUUAGACAUAUUGUAAUCAAAUAUCAUAAUAUUAUAUGUAAUUUAAUAAUAAAUGUACACUUAUAAAAUUCAUAUUUUUAUCGAUGCAUACAAUAUUAUUAUCAAAUAUGAUAAAUCAUGUUAUACAUAUAUCAAAAUUUUCAAUAAAAUAACUUUAAAAUGUCUAUUAUACUUCUAAUUAUAUUAUUAUGAGGUUUUCUUUACAUUUUCAUGAGUUUUAAACAAUUUUAAGCACCAAUAUUUUUUUCCAAAAUAUCCACCGAUAUAUCUCCGAUAUAUCCAAUAUAUCUCCGAUAUCUCCGAUAUAUCCGUAAAAUCGAAGUACCGAUAUAUCCGUGAUUACCGAUAUUUUCAUCAUUGCUUAGAUGCAACCUUCUUCCAAAUGACAUACUUUAGUCAAUACUUAUAUUUUUUCGUUUCACUUCUUUGAUACAACACCUCAUGGAUUUAUUGUUUAAUUUAUUUGUAAUUAUAAAACUAUUUUUCAUUUUUAAUAAGACUUGAAUUAAUUUAAUAAAUAUUAUAUAAUUUGAAUUUAUAAUUCUUUUUAUAAAAUCAAAGUAUAUUAAAAAAAAAACAAUUUAUCCGAAGAAAGUUUUUUAUUUUUUAUUUUUUAAAACCGAUUUUAAAAAUAACUAGCUAGACACCCUUAUUUUGAUAAAAUACGAAAUAAAAGUGUAAAAACAACAUGGCCAAAUAGGGGCUUAAAUUUUAUUUUUAAAACAUUUUUUUACACUAAAGUGCAUUUUAAAAACACCAUCAAAACCAACUACAAGUUAUGCUUCUUCCCGUAAUAGAAAUAUUUUAGGCCAAAAUAGAACCUCCCCAAAUAAAGACCCUAUACUAAACUCCUUUUCAUUUUAUUAAUACAAAAGUGGGGAAAAAAGGUCUAUGCUCACCUAAAAAACAUGAAUAUUGUGAAUUCACCAUUUCUAUAAGGAAGUUGAAAACUUCAAAAUUUUAUCAACAAAUUCUCUAAAAUCCUCAAAAUAUAUAGGGCCUGUUUCACAAAGUUUUUUAAAAUUUGUUUUUAUAAAUUGCUUUUAAAAUAUAGAAUAAAUAACAGUUUUUUAGAUUUUUUGAAAAAUAAGAGUGUUUGGUAAGAUGUUUUUUUUUUUUUUUUUUUUUUUAAGAAUUAAAUAAAAAAUAAAAAAAUUGUUUAGAUAAAAGAAUUUGUAUUGUUUUUAAAAACAAUGUCUUACUUUUAUGUUAUAAAAAUUUUAUUAAUUUAAUUUAUAAUAAUAUGAAAUGAAAUUCAAGUUAAGUCUUAUUAAAAAAUACAAAUUAAAUCUAUAAUUAUGCAUGAGUUAAAGAUAAAUAUAUAUUUUUUAAAACUAUAAAAUAAAUUUUCUAUUAUAGUGAAACAAAAAUUACUAUAAAAUAAAAAUAAUUUUAAUAUUCAUUUUUAAUACAAGUCAAAUAAGUACUUUAAUUAAUUUUUUUUAUCAUGAUUUCUUAUGUUUUUUUUUUUUUCUAGAAAUUAUUUUAAGUAAUAUAACUAAUUUUUUUUUUAAUGUUUUAUAAAAAUAAGGAUAUUUGGCAAGUUGUUUUUAUAAAAGGAUUUUAAAAAUAAAUGGAUUUUUUUUUUUUUUAAAAAAAGAACAAAAUGAUUUGUUUGAAUAAAUUGUUUUGAUUUUGUAAAAACAUUUUAAAUUCAAUUUAUAUAAUAUUAAUUAAUUAAAUUAAAUUGAAGUUUUAUUGAAAAUAAAAAUAAUUUUGUAAUUAAAAUUAGAUUAAAAAAUAUAUAGGUUUUAAUAAAUCGUAAAUAGUAAUAUUAUAAUAAAAUUAUAAAUUAUAUUUUUAACAUAAAAUAUACUAUUUAUUACAUAUUAAAAAAAAUAUUUUAUUAUAUUAAUAAUUUUAUGGUAUUAAUGAGUUUAUUAUUUAAGUUUUAAAUUAUUUUUAAAAAUUAAUAAAUUUGUUAACAAAUGCAAUGUACUAAAUGUGGUUUAAUUUGGAGUUAAUUUGUUUAGGGAAAAAAAUAAAAAAUAAAAAUCUUAUGUAAAAGAGAAAUAAUAGAGUGUGUGUGUUUUUUUUUAUUAUUUUUAAAAAUCAGUAAAAAGAACUUUUACUUAUUGCCUAAAAAUUAUUCUCUAUUUUAUUUUAUUUUUUAAAUCUAGAAAUAGAUAACAAUAAUAAAAAAAAUUAAAAAAGAAAAAUGUUUUUUAAAACUCAGACUUAUAAUUGCUUUUGUUUCUCAUUCGCACCCCUGGAUUCCUGGAUUCUAAACACAAAAUUAAGUUGAAUCGUCCAUCUAUCUUGUAAGCCAAGAAUUCACAUAGAAGAAAUAAUCGGAAUUUGAUUUGAUAUCAGAUUUAGAGUGGCUCACUACUCAUGCAUUGUCCCACAAUAGUAAUGCUUUGGGCCGAGAUAAACCCAUUUGUGGGCCCAAAUAAAACCCCUGGUUUGAAAACAUCGAUUUUACAGUGGCCCAAAAGAUUAUCUAUGAGGGGAAGAUAACUUGGAAGUCAAGCAAACACAUUUAUCGCUAACUUUUCUCUAAUUAUAAAAUUAUAACUUGGUCUUCUACACGUCUCACUUAAGAGGCGGAGCCACUUGGCACUACCUUUCCAUAUUGUAAAAGGAGAAGAAGCAGAAGGAGAAGAUUCUUAUGCCAUUCCACACACCAUGGCUAGUACUGCUAUGCUGCUUGGCCCGCCGGCUCUCCGCCAUCCUAAUUCUCCCGCCGGCACUGUCUUUGAAGAUGGGGUCAUUCUAACGGAUUCCCUGAUCGUCCGCACCAGUAAUCUGGAGCUUUCUGAAAAACCGCCACUGGAAUCCCUGGCGUAGUGCUCUGUCAGUGGGGAUAUUGCUAUGGAUUGUUUGGAUUCCCAAGCCCACAAUCUUCAUCUUCCCGGGAAACCGCCGAUGGGCUUAACGGAAAACAAGUCUCCGACCUUUUUGUCUUCCGGGAACCCGUGCUUGGACUUCUUCUUCCAUGUGGUUCCCGAUACGUCGUCUGAUGAUCUGAUCCGACGGUUUGAGUUGGCUUGGGAAUUCAAUCCGCUGACGACGUUAAAACUGAUAUGCAACUUGAGAGAGGUGAGAGGCACCGGAAAAUCUGACAAAGAGGGUUUCUACACGGCGGUUCUCUGGCUCCACGACCACCAUCCCAAAACCCUAGCCUGCAAUGCUAGGGUGUUGGCCAGCUUCGGUUAUUUCAAGGAUUUUCUCGAGAUUCUCUACCGGCUUCUGGAGGGCCCUAAAAUUCGAAGAAUCGAAAAGAAAGACUGGCUGGAUCGAAAAGGAAGGAAGAAAAAUUCCCGGAAAAGGAACUCAAUAUUCAAGCGAGAAAAUAGGCCUGGAGUUGAAUUUCCUGUAGAAGAGAAGGAUGUGGAGUAUAUGGUGGAAGAAUUUGUGGAUAAAGAAAAGGCUAGGGUACUGAGAAAGGAGAGAGAACUUGCUCUUGCCAAAAGAGCCCUGCACAAGUAUUCUACUGAUUCUAAUUAUCAGUUCUUACAUGAUCAGAUUUCAGAUUUAUUUGCUGAACUUCUGAAAUCUGAUAUUCAGUAUUUAAACUCCGGUGAGCUUUACAAGAUUAGUCUCGCAUCCAAAUGGUGUCCCACAAUUGAUUCUUCUUAUGAUAAAUCCACCUUGAUAUGUGAAAAUAUUGCUCGAAAGGUUUAUUCUCGCGAGGAAUAUAUAUCCAGAAUACCAAGGAAUUGAGGAGGCUCACUAUGUUAAUAGAGUCAGGGAUAGGUUGAGAAAACAAGUACUUGUUCCAUUACGUAAGGCCCUGGAGUUGCCAGAGGUUUUCAUGUGUUCGAACCAGUGGGGAUCACUUCCCUACAACCGUGUGGCUUCAGUGGCCAUGAAAUCAUACAAGAGCCUCUUCUCAAAACAUGAUACAGAGCGGUUUGGUGUGUAUCUUGAGAAAGUGCAAACUGGGAAGGCUAAGAUUGCAGCUGGUGCAUUACUUCCCCAUGAGAUUAUAGCUUCAUUGAAUGAGGAGGAUGGCGAGAAAGUUGCAGAGCUUCAGUGGGCGAGAAUGGUGGAAGAUUUAUCAAAGAAUGGGAGGCUCACAAAUUGCAGUGCGGUAUGUGACGUAUCAGGAAGUAUGAGUGGAACUCCAAUGAAGGUGUGUGUGGCUCUGGGGCUGUUAGUUUCAGAGCUCAGUGAAGAUCCAUGGAAAGGUAAUGUAAUUACUUUCAGUGCAAGUCCUGAGCUUCACAAGAUCCAAGGAGACAGCCUUGUAUCCAAGACUGAAUUUGUGAGGAUGAUGGAAUGGGGUGCGAACACUGAUUUUCAGAAAGUUUUUGACAGAAUCUUACAAGUAGCAGUGGAGGGAAAUCUGAGUGAAGAUCAAAUGAUAAAGAGGGUUUUCGUUUUCACUGAUAUGGAGUUUGAUGAAGCUUGUGGGAGGUAUAACUAUUGUGAAUAUGACUAUGAUAUGGAGGAAAUUGAUGAGAGUCAGAAGGCAUCUCAGAAGUGGGAGACAGAUUAUGAAGUGAUACAGCGGAAAUUCCAGGACAAAGGAUAUGGAAAAGUUCCGGAGAUAGUGUUUUGGAACCUUAGAAACUCAUCAGAGACUCCAGUGAUGGCCACAGAGAACGGGGUGGCCUUAGUAAGCGGGUUUUCGAAGAAUCUGUUAGACCUUGUUUUUGGAAGGAGGUGGAAUUCUGACCCCUCAGGAUGUGAUGGAAUUAGCCAUCUCUGGUGAAGAUUACAAGAAACUUGUUCUAUUUGAUUAAGAUAUCAAGAGAUUUAUCAAUAAUAAUAUGUUUUUUUUUUUCUAUGUGAAAUACAUGUAAUAUUAACUAUGGAGUUAUCAAAGUUCUGGAAAUUUAAUUAUUUCUUCUUUUCAAGUUUUGUUUGUCUUUGUUAGGAAUUCCCCUUGGGCGGACCCAGCUGGGGACUUGGAUUGAGGAAGUAAGGAGGCGAAAUUGUGUUCUUCUAUGGACAGAGAAAAAAGAUAAAAAUAAAAAAUAAAAAAGGAGGUUAUUUGCAUUUGGAUGUCAUGUGGUUUCAGGGUACAACUACAAGUUCGAAAUUGUACAUAAUGUGAAAAUUCCUGUGUGGAGAACAGCAUAAAUAUGUAUCUCAGUGUGUUUUGUUUGAGCUAAUUGGCAAAUUCGCUUUAAACAUGGUCACAUGGAUGCAUAUUUAUUUGUGAAAUGAUAGUAGUCGAUUACUUGGUCAGUAAGGUUUGUAUCUCUAACUCCAACAUCUUAUUGUAGUCUUUUAAAAUGUCAAAAGUUUAAUGCUAGCUUGAGAAAUUUUGGAAUGGAGACAUUCUAAACAAAGUUAAUAAUCCAUGAGACUUGGUAAAACCGAUCAGAUGAUGCUUACGUACAUGAAUGCCUUCUUUAAGCCGUAUCCUAUUUUCAUUGAAUGAGACGUGCCAUCUAGUUUUGUUCUUGUCUUGAUUGGAUCAUGAUCCCGGGAAUUGAUUACUGUUCUGAAUUUGCGAAUGUUCAAGGUAUUAGAGAAAGUUAAUAUUAUCGUUAAUUUACAUAUUAGUAUUUAUCUAGUUAUUAUAUAUUAGUUUGAAUUAUAAUAUAAUAUAGAAUUUGAAUCAAGUUUACUAUUAGUUUGAAUUACAAUAGGAAAUAAAGUUUGAAUUAUAGUAUAACUCAAAUAUAUUUGUAUAUAAAUAUCCAUCUUUAUCAAUGAGAAUAGUAAACCAUAUUUUUCUCUAUCUUCUUCUUUCUCUAUAUAUAUGGUAUCAAAGCCUCCAAAUCCUAAACCUAGUCUCAACUUAGAGCAAAUUUAGGGUGCAGGGUUUAGGCCCCGCCUCCCCCAACCCUUACCACAAAUGGUAGUGACCUUGUUAUGCCUAUGUAUUGUCAAUGCCUCAUUUUCUAUGGUCUUCAAUACAAUAUCUAGUUUCAAUGUCUCUUUCCUUACUAUCUCCAAUGCAAUAUAUUGAUUUCAAUAUCUCUUUACAACCAAGAGCUCCAAAUUUUCCUGGUUCAAAUCUACCAUAAUUUUUAUUCUCCUUUGCUUUUUACCAAUAUUAGUUCCCCUAAUUUAAUAUAUAUCUCUUUAUUACCUUCAACUCUACCUCUCUCUUUCUUUAAAAGCUUCCUCAAAGAUUUGAUUGCUUUCUUGCAUGUUUUGGGAAAACAAACAUGCUCAUAUUCUAUUACCUCUACUUGAGAUCUGCCUUAUACUCUACCUUCUUCUUUACCUCCUAUAUCAUCUACUACAUUAGCUUCAAAAACAUUAUUUAGUUUGAUGCUAAAUAAGGCUCCUAAUCCUACCCUUCCUUCAACUAACUUUCUUUUACAAGUCCCUCAAAGUUUUUUUUUUUUUUUUUUUGGAAAUUUGGCUUAGAAAGAUUUCAUUACUCUUACCUAAUCUUUCAACCAUCAAGUCGAAUCCACUUAUCUCUUGAAUCCAAGGAGACUACCCUCCACAAAAACAAGGAGAUUGACCCCCACAAUAACAAAGAGAUUGUCCUCCAUAGAAACAAAGAGAGCUUCCUUCAUGGAAGCCGAAUACAUCGCAAUCUAUUUUCUUUCUCUCAAGAUCAAAUCUCCAAUCGGAGCUCCAUCUUGUGGGGAUAUAUUAGAAAAAGUUAAUAUUAUCCUUAAUUUACAUAUUAGUAUUUAUCUAUAUUAUAUAUUGAAUUAGAAUAGAAUAUAGAAUUUGAAUUAAGUUUACUAUUAGUUUAAAUUACAAUAGGAAAUAGAGUUUGAAUUAUAGUAGAACUCAAAUAUAUUUAUAUAUAAAUAUCCAUCAUUAUCAAUGAGAAUAGUAUUCCAUAUUUUUCUCUUUCCCUGAGGCUUCAGAAUGUGAUCUUGAACAUUUGAUCUUUUGGAUUCUUCUUGUUUCGGUGGUUUAAUAUAAUGGAAUGUUUAAUUAUAGCCUACUUUAUCACCAUGGAUGUGCUCCUGCAGAUUUCUUGAGGGUGAUGGUUAUUUUGUCAUGUUUCUUGAAUGGUUUGCAUCAGCUGCCUGAGCUGUUGUUGCUGGUCACUUUUGCAACCAGGGAAAGAAUCAUGGCUUUGGAGAAGCCAGCUUCUGUUUUUGUUGCCCAGCUGUUAGUUCACUAAGAUUGGGGGUCCUAACAUGUAUGUAUAAUCAUAAGCAAGGAAAUUUUAUGUCUUACGCUAGAUAGGUACCAUGAUAUGAUGUUUGAUUGAUUUAUUAACUCUACCUGUUUCAAAAGGCAUCAACAUUAAUUUUACCCUUUUAACACAUUGGAUUGUUUGACCUUACGAGAUUUUCUAUUUCUGUACUAUUUGAACUGCAAUCGUUAUGGUCCUUAGGUCUCUAAACCUUCGUUUAAAAUAAAAGUAAGGAGCACACAUAGUAAAAGUUAAUUUUGGGUAACUUUUAAAACAAAGAGAAAAGUAAAAGUUGUUUUUGAGAAAAACAUAUAGAAAUUGAAAGAUUUUUUAUUUUGAGAAAAAAAAGUCAUAGAAAAGAAAUAAUAUCCCCAUAUAAGUAGAUAUGAUCUAUCCGAAGUGUAGCUACUCUCCUGGAUUUAUUCUAACAUUUUAAAAUUUUUCUCAAUGGGCAAAGGAAUAUCAAAUCAAGCUUGAGUAGGAUUAAUUUCUUAAUUUUUAAAAUAACUUAUAAUUAAAAUUUUUUGGUGUUUUCUUUUUUGGACAAUUUUUUAUGAAGACUCUGAAUCAUGCAAGAGAUAUGGUUAUUUUAAAAAAAAAAAUAAUUUAAAACUCAAAUACAUAAUCAAUGUCACAAAUUUAUAAACAAAAGGUUUUUAAAAAAUACUAUUAUUUCCCCUCUACACAUAAUUUUACUUUUCCGAUUUAUUUAUUUUUGUUGGAAAACAGUCUUCAAAUCAAGUAAAAUUAAUAUGUUAAAUUUGUUAAACAAAUAAAUUUUAAAAUACAAUUUGGAACUCAAAAAUCAAUUCAAGUAAUGCUAAAAUUCAAAAAAUCAAAUUUGGAAUAAAAUGACUUUGUAAAUUUUUUUACUAAACAAAUGAAUUUUAAAUCAAGUGAGAUUUAAUACAUUGGAUUUUUAUGAGAAUAGUAAUUUUAAAAAUUAAUUUGGAACUCAAAAAUAGACACAAUAAAUACCAAAAAUCAAUGAACCAAAAUUGGUUUGGAAUAACUCCAUAAUUUUUUAUUUAUUUAUAUAUUUAUUUUUUUGUGCACACGAAUUUCUUACUAAGCAUAUUGCUUCCAAAUUGAGAAAAAUUUACUAUUUAGAUUUUUUUAAUGAGUUUAAUGGUAUUUAAAAAUAAUUCAAAAAUUCGAAAAUUGACUAAUUUAAUAUUAUAAAUUCAUAAACCAAGACUAAUUCAAAAUGCAUUGGGGGCUAAGGGGGUUGAAAUUAAUGCUCCAUUUGGUUGUGGCCACCAAUUGGCAAUGGCCACCAAUCAACCAAUCAAGGUGGCUAAGGGGGUUGAAAAUAGGGACAAUGGGGUGGGUUUGGGACAGGACACUCAUAUCCCAUUCCCAUCCCAAUUACACAGUUAUUUCCCAUCCUUAUUCCAAACUUGUGUUGGGGCAAGUUGAUUUGUUCCCAUCUUUGUUAACGAAAUGACUAAUAACCUCAUCCUCUCCUUGUCUUAGAUGUACAUUUUCUCAAAUUUGGUCAGGUAUGAUUGAUUCAAGCCCUAACCUUAAUUGGUAAUGAGUGGAUACCACACCUAAUUGCAUUCUUCUUUCGUUGCAAAAUAAUGAGAUUAUAAUAAUCUAGCAAAUAAGAAAAAAUAGUAUGGAAGUUCAAAUUAACACCAUAACUAUCAAUAAUUUUAAGCUUAUAGAUGACUUAAAUGAUUGAAAACUAAUGCAAAAUACUAAAAAAAAAAAAAAUCAUCUAAAGAAUUCACAAGAGAAUAGAACGAACAAAACCAAAUAGGAACAUGGGUCAACAUUAGUUACAGAUUUUGAUCCCUUUCAAGGCCAAUCUUUGAACCAAGACUUCAUCAAAUCUACUACUUCAAAGGCUUUUGUGUUCUUCUUGAGUUGUACUCUGGAACAAAGACUUCGAGGUGAUGCUUUAGAUGAUUGCAUUACACAUAUUUAGGGUAGGGAGAUUGGAGAAGCUUGAAGAUGCCAACGAUGGGUACAAUUGAGUGGUCAAUAAGAACAAUGUGGCCUAUGACUAGUUUGAUGUCAUGGUAUAGGAGUUUUGGGCAUUGAGGUGAAAGCAAGAGCAACAUGGAAUUGAUUUCAAAGUCUUUCAAUUAGUGUAAAGGAGGAAGAAGAAGUGGUAUUGAUCCUAGAAAUAGUGUUUUAGGUGUUGCAUUAGAGGAAAAGAAAAAGAAAAAGAAGGAACCAUUGGAAUUAGUACGAGUGUGAAGAGAGAAGUGUAUACAUAAGGGGAAGUAAAAGCAAAGUUCUAAAAAUUUAUUUUUUUAUUGGUGGUGUAUGGUUGCAUGAUUAUCCCUAUAAAUAAUAGGAGUUUUUUGGUGUUCUACUAGUAGUUGAAGGAUAAUUUCAUAAGAUAAUAUUUAGAGCGGGGUGGGGUGAGUUGUGACAAAAUCCAUACCCGUCCCAAACAUUGGUUCAGGUUUUUAAAAUAUUUUCAAACUUAUCAUAUACCCAAUUUUAUAUUUCAUACUUGUCCUAAUAGAGACAGGUUAGUCAGGGUUACUUGAGUAGCCUACAAAACUAUCAUCCCUAGUUGAAAUGCUCUUUUUGGCAGUGGCAGCUAGAAGCUCGAUCGAUUGACCUACAAGACUAGUUGUCAUCAUUUUAAAAAGAGUUUUGGCUUUGGUUGUGAGUGCAAUUGAAUCUAAACUAACAUUUCCUUAAUGCAUCUACUUCAAUCCUAAACUUCUUACUUAAGCCUCAAUUGUUGUUAAGAUUUUGGAAAACCCAUUUCCUUAAAUUGUAAAUUUAAGAAAAAAAAAAUUAAAAGUGAGACAUUUCUUGAUUGAAUGUUGUUAAAGGUCCCUUGGAAUUAAGACUUGGUUGAAGCCUUGGAAGAUUAGCAGAACUCUCAACUUAUGUUUGAACCUUGAGGAGAGUGGACGUAGGCCAAAAUUUUGUCAAACCAUUAUACAAAUUGAGUUUGAAUUCUCAUUUCUUGAUUUCUUAUUUAUUUGCUUUUUCUUAUUAUUACUUGAAUUGUCAUUUGCAUUCAUUAAUGUUAAAAUUGGUUAUAAUUAGCCAACACUAAUUCUCUUUCCCCUUCCCUUAAUUUCUUGGGUGUAAACCUAGGUUGGAUUAACUAGAUUUUAUCAAAUCUAUUAAGAUGGUAAAAGAAUAAUUAUUCUUAACAUACAUAAGAUCAUCUUCAAUCAAAUGACUCAUUGGCUGAUAUGUUGAAUUUGCUUAUUACUUGCAACUCAAAAUUGUGUUCUAGUUGAUAUGUCAAGUCCUGAGUGUAUGGACAUUAAAUUUGUAGUACGUGAUGAGUAUUUAGAUGGUCCAAUUCCAAGAAAGUGAUUGAAAACUAGUUCAAGAAAGGUGCAAAAGGGAAUUGUUUUGGUAUUUUCGUUUUUAUUCUUGAAGGUGGCAGAGCUAAAAUUUGAGAAAUCAAGCAAAACAUACUGAAAUUACAUUGAAAGAAAGAAAAUGGGAGUUAAUGUCUUGCAGUACAUGAUAAGGACUUCAUGCAUGUAGUGUGACCCAUGUCUUGGACUGAUGCCACACUCACGGUUACACUUAUACCCUUAGUUCUCUCUUUACUACCUUAGCUAACCUAGAUCAGGUUAUGAGAUAGGCACCUCACCACACCAUUACUUGCCCAUUAAUUAGUGACAUUUUCAAGCAAUGAGGUAACAUGGUGACACCAAGAGGGUAUAUUCCUCACCCCCAACAAGCCUAGACCUGGUCUAAAAAAAAUGGAGAAAAAUGACGUGUUGUUAUGCAGAAAUAUAGCAACCAUGCCUUCCUCAUUACUUAGAUUCAGAAUGUGAAGGUGAAAUUGAGAAACAGAAACUCUUGAAACCAAAAUGAAAAUUGAUACUUUUACGAAGAAUUACAACAACAUUAGAGGAAGACUACAUUCUUCCUCUUUAUUCCUACAUUUCUACACUACUUCUACUCCACUCCAUAUUUCUACAUACAUCUUUAAUCAGUCUUCCCUCCUUUAUAUAGAGCCAUCUUCACACAAAUUCCGCAAGGUAGAAAAGAGGAAUGAAACUUGGAGCAAGGUUCGACUACUGGCUGUAGCUUGUCAAGGCUGAAAGUGAACUUUUUUUCUUGGCUUUUCUGGGCAUAGGUAGUAACUUGUAGGUUCCUUUUUGGAAUGAAAAUGGUACGGCUAGAACAUGUGGCACUCUCUUGUUGGAUGAUGUGUCAAGCAUGUGGCAGCCAUCUAGUGGAGAUUAUGUCAAUUUUGGGAUGGAGAGUUGGCAUCCAAUUGCAAAGAAAUAUGACAUCUACCAACAUGCAAUGUCAACCUAUGUAGAUCAUAUGAAGAUAGAGAGGAAAAAUAUAGAAAUGGAUAUAUAACUAGAACUAGCUUUUUAUUAAAUGAGACGGAGAGCCAACAAUGAAGGAAAAUCAAAAUUUUUGGCUCAUAUCAAAGAAUUCACAUUGUGUUACCCUAGGUUUUCUUAAAACUUACUUUUAUGAUAAUAAAAAAUCAUUAUUGUUUAAUCCUUUGUUUUAAACGCAUGUUUAGCAGGUUGUAAAAUGUAAAUAUCUUUCGAAAUUCAAAUAUGAAGAUAUGACAUCAUUUCAAGCAAUAUAGUCUCUAGGAAUUAAUGUAAAGCUAAAUUAAGGUGCAAUUAAGUUAGUUCAAUGCAUUAUUUUAAGAAACUUGACCUAUCAAAACCUUGUCUUACUUCAAAGCCUCUUUUUCUUUUCUUCCAACUAACAUUUUAAUAAGUGAUCGCAAAAGUACAAAAUUAGAUGAAAUCCAUUUCAAUGGUUAAAAUGAUCAAAUUCAAACUUUUUCUAAGUAUCUUUUAAAAGCAUCAAUAUUGAAAGACAAUUUUAUAUUUAGUCAAAGCUUGGACAGAGCCAAAAAGCACACAAAAAUUUAUAUUUUCUAGCUCUCUACCUUGGAUGGUCUCUUGAUCCUACUUGGAGAUGUGCAUAAAUAAAAGGAUUUGAAAAUGACAAUUGACUAAGUAUGUAGUCAAUCAAUUACUCAUUGAUUGACUAGUUGAUCAAUUAACUUUGCAACAUCAUAUGCAAUCCUAAUAGCUAGUCAUCUAAUCAACUAGGUAGUAAAUCAAUAGGCCAAAAAUAUGUUUAUAAUGACUAUUUUGUACAAAAACCACUUAUAUAGUUAAAUAUAAUGCAUUUCAUUUAUAAAUCUUCUAAUUCUUGAAUAACAAUCCUAUCAUCCUUUGAAAGUUUUUAUUACACCUUUUCUACAUUUGUUCUAAAACUUAUACAUCACCCUUAAUUGUACCAUGAGAACCUAGCAUUUUUUUUUUUUUUUUUGUAUUUCAUCAAAGUUAGCUCUUGUACUCAUUGUUGUAUUAUUUUUAUUGUAACUUAGAGAGCGAGUGUUUUCAAGUGAGUGAAAUUGACUUGUAAAUAUUGUAAAGAUUCAUUGAUAUGUAUCUCAAACUAGGUGUACAAGUUGAAACAUUUGCUAGUAGAUUUUCUCAAGAUUUAGAAUGAGCUUAAGGCUAUCGAAUUAGGUGGGGUUGCGCCAAACCAUAUCACAUCGUUGUUUGCACCUUUUUUUUCACUCUCUUUUACUUAGUUGCUCUAUAUAUAUUGUCUAGCAAUAUCCUAAAGGCUUGAUGGGCUAGGGAGCAUCCCUCUGAAUGAAAAAUUUUCAUUCAAUUCUUAGUUGUAUUACGCAUAUAUAAAAUGCCUCAUUGUUUUAAUGGUAUUCAGUCGUGGCACCACAGAUAUGGACAUCUAAAUUUUAAAAGUUUGAAACUUUUAGCUAAAGAAAAUAUGGUGCUUUGCCUUUUUGGAAAGCAUGUUGAUGAAAUCCAUGAGAAUUGUAUACUUGGAGAGCAACAUCGAGAUAACUUUUUUUUUUUCUUUUUUUAUAAUGCAUUGUUUGUCCAAAUUCCGUACAAAUUAGGCCACCACAUGUUCAUAAUUCUCCCUUCUUGAAUUUGAAAACUCGGACAAUUUGACAAUGCGACACCUAAGUCCGGUUUUUAAAUGCUAAAGUGAAAGGGCAGGUAUGGACCAUUGAAAUGUGAUAACAACUUUUGGCCUUUUCCUUUUCUCUGUAGCCAUGUUGUCUCUUUUUAAUUUCUUUUGCAUGAUUUUCUUACCUAAACAGAAUCAUAGACUUGUUUAAUCUCUAAGUGGGAUUUCAUCCACCUUAAGCUACUGUAUUAUAUCUCGGUGGAGGACAACCGACAUAGAGCACAUGCAAGUGGGUAUAUGGGACAUGAAAUAUCUUCUUAUAAAGCUUGUUUUGCAGUUAAAUUAAUUGGAUAAGUAGACACUGGCGUUUCUAAAUUUCCCACCUAAGAUAAUGACCUUAUCCUUGACUGCUAGAUACACAAACAAUUAUACCUUCAAAAUCUACUGUGAAGUGCUUCAUGUAUGUGUGAAGUAUUAGAAAUUUCUUUCUUGGCAACUUGUUUUUUUCUUUGCGGUCUACUGAUAGGUUUGACUAAAAUUAUAUUCCCUGUCCUGCUAAUUAAUUUUCACGUGCAUGCUCAAAAGAAGAGUAUGACCUUAGUGCACCAAAAUCACUUUCAAUAAUUUGUGAUAAGUUUUUUUGCAUGACAUUAACCUUAUUCAUUUAGAUAAUGUUUAGUUCUCAUAAAUAUUAAGAAAAUGAAAAUAAAUAUUAAGAAAAAUAUUCUUAUAUUUGAUUGUAUUAUGAAAAAUAUCAUAAAAAAUCAAAUAUAAUUAAAAUUAAUUAAUAAUUUAUAUAUUUUAAAAUUAUUUAAUUUUUAUAUUAAAGAUAUAAUAUAAAUGAAAUGAGUUUUAAGUAUUAUAUAAAAAUGAUUUAUUUAUUUAUUUAUAUAUAUAUAUAUAUAUAUAUUUAGUUUUUCUCUUUAUUUUAUUUUCCUUAUGUUUUCCUCACAUUUUCCGGAAUCAAAGAUAGGGAAAUCCACAAUUACCUUCAACUGAGUAGAUUCUAUUGUUUUAGCAAUGUUAGGCUGCUAACUUGUGGUGGUACGAACCAAAUGAUCCAUGUUAAUCUUGGCUUGAUUUAAUUUGGCUCUAUCUCAGAGAACUCAAGGAUCACGUCAACUCUGGUUUCUACUAUUCAGGUCCAUUCCCAGAUGAACUGGUUCAAAUUUGAGAAAAUGGUAACAGACCUUUAGUGAUAUUGGUUUGGAGCCAGUUGCCAAACCUGCCCUGAGCUUUACCACUAAUGUCAAGGGACAAAGCCAUUUGAACAAAAACAAUAGCUUCAAGAGACUGAAUCGUGGAUGAAAUCUGAUCCACAUUUCUUCUCAUUUUGGGAAAAAAUGAGGACUUAACCACAAAGAUUCUACUGCCUCAUAGUGCUUUUCCUGAUCUAAGGUUGGCUCGUUUCCCAAAUUGUGAGGUGCACGUGCCACUCUCACGCUCAGGAGUGUAUCCACGUGGUGGACAUAAGAUGGUGGCUUAAUAUCUGGUGUCGGUGGCUUUACUUUACUAGGAGAGUAGUGUGUCUUCAUCUCAUUCACUGCCAGAGGGUGGCGUAAGCAGUGACGCUAAGGUGGGGCACAGUCAAUAUCAUUUGCAUUUGACCAUUAUAAUUUUCUCCCGGCUUUAAAGUAACCUUAUCGUGAUAAUGGAUUACUAGCACUAGUUCAGAUGACAGUCAUGUUAAAUUCGGACCAUGUUUGUGUCACAUUAUCAGCAACCAUGUGCUUGUGGUUCAUGCUAUCUGCAACUAAACUUGAUAUAUAACCAGGUGAACUUCAAUCUAAAUUCUGGAAGUACUCAUGUGAUAGAUGGUGCCUGUCUGCAGUGAGUGUAUCUAUAAGAGGGAAGGCUUGGCAAAUGUUCAGUUUUCUGGGAAUUCAACAGGGAUCUAAAAUAGAUUGUUUUCUUUGCUGAUUUCAAUGGUUGAAAUUUGAGAAGAUUGUGUCCACAUAACACAACUAUUACUGGUCCUUCUGUUGCAAUUUAUCCUCUAAGGCUCUAACAUGUCUUCCAAUUCCCACUUCCCACUUCCCUGUUACUCCAGGAAAGCUGUUUCUGUCAUUGUGAAGAAGAAAAGAGACUGUACAUAUCGAUGCUUUUAAGUGGACUGGAGAAUUCAUAUCAGGUGGUCUGCAGCCAUACAUGCCACUUUGUGAAGGUUGGAACAGUCAAUCACUAGGCUAUAUUAGUGGGGCCCAGCCACUUCAAUCAAGGACAAGUCUUCAUACUUAAAGUCAAAUUCUGCCUUUAGUCUCAUUAUAAAUUGCUGUUUAAAUAUCAAGCAAACAUUUGUUUAAUGCGAUUAAGACAGCACUAACUCAAUACUUGUUCUAUUUUUGGAUGCAAAUGCUUGAUAGUUUCAUCAUUGGAGGGGAUAAAGGUGCAUUCAUGAUUAUGAAUACUUGUAGUUAUAUUUUCAUUCUCUUUUUUCUCAAUGGGACUUGUUGGCACAAUUUUGCUGUUCAGAAACCUACCUCUCCAUGGAAAAUCAGUUGUGAUUGAUAUUACUGGAUAUAUUCAAGAAAGCUAAAUGUAGAUAGCACAAAAUAUUAUCGACAUAAAUAGCAUUAACAGCGUACGUAUGUCUCAAUGCUCAUCAGCUAUAAGCAAGGGGCAAACACUUACUAUGAGCAACUUACGUCAAAAUUCCGGAAUAGGACAUAGAAGUGACAGGUCAGUAAAUAUAGAACACUGCAUAUGAGUCACAAGAAAGGAAAUUACGGGUACAUAGCAGCUCUUAUUUUACAUCCUACUCAUACUGAUCAAAGUCACUCAGUUGGGAUGGGUGGGAGUGGGAGGUUUGUGGGGUGGCUUGUGCGGAGGAGUUGGCAGCUUCUUUCCAGGACCUGGUUGCUUCUCUGCUGGAGUUGAAGGAGGCUUAAUCUUCCGAGGUGGCUUGUAUGAGUCUUCAGCAUUCUCAGCAGGAGGGUGACCAGGGUUGUGACCACAAUGUGGUGGCUUCUCUCCCUUAGGUGGUUUGCCAACUGGGGUUGGUGGCUUGUGUUCCGGAAGUGGCUUCUCUUUGUGUUCAGGAGGUGGCUUCUCCACUGGAGGCUUGUGUUCAGGAGGUGGCUUCUCCACCGGAGGCUUGUGUUCAGGAGGUGGCUUCUCCACCGGAGGCUUGUGUUCAGGAGGUGGCUUCUCCACCGGAGGCUUAUGCUCUGGUGGUGGCUUCUCCACCGGAGGCUUAUGCUCUGGUGGUGGCUUCUCCACCGGAGGCUUAUGCAAUGGUGGUGGCUUCUCCACCGGAGGCUUGUGUUCAGGAGGUGGCUUCUCUACCGGAGGCUUAUGCUCUGGUGGUGGCUUCUCCACCGGAGGCUUAUGCUCUGGUGGUGGCUUCUCCACCGGAGGCUUGUGUUCAGGAGGUGGCUUCUCCACCGGAGGCUUGUGUUCAGGAGGUGGCUUCUCCACCGGAGGCUUGUGCUCUGGUGGUGGCUUCUCCACCGGAGGCUUAUGCUCUGGUGGUGGCUUCUCCACCGGAGGCUUGUGUUCAGGAGGUGGCUUCUCCACCGGAGGCUUAUGCUCUGGUGGUGGCUUCUCCACCGGAGGCUUGUGUUCAGGAGGUGGCUUCUCCACCGGAGGCUUAUGCUCUGGUGGUGGCUUCUCCACAGGAGGCUUGUGUUCAGGAGGUGGCUUCUCCACCGGAGGCUUAUGCUCUGGUGGUGGCUUCUCGAAUGGGGGAUGCGUAGGGUAAUCAGCUAGUGAGGGGGCGGUGAGAACCACCAGGCCAAGCAACACUACUAGCAAGUAUGUAGGAGACAUCUUUGGGUUUGGGCUCAGAUGGUGCAAAACUAGGAGAAUUGGCUAGCCUUUUAUAGCGGAUCGUACCCAAUAAUGAAAUGACACGUGUCAUUAUGACCCAUGUGUCAUGUGGUCGAUUUGGGUCCUACAGUGUUGAAAACUUCGACAUCCACUUUUUUGGCCUUUUGCUUUCUCUACAGUCGCCUUGCUUUUUCCCUCUUUUCUUUUGUUUUCCUCCUGCCCCAUUCUAUCAACUAAUCACAAUUAUGUAGUUGUUUAAUUCUUAAAUGAGAUAUUAUCCGUCAAUCAUAUUAUCUUUUAUCAAGAGAGAACGGAGUGAAAAGUGGCAAUCCAAAGAAAGAAGAUCCAUAAUGCAGCUGUAAUUUUAUCGUUUACUUUUAUCUCUAGGACCACUGCAUUUUUGUUGAGAGGUGCAAUAAUACACGUCUUUAUCUGCCAUUCAAUGUUUACAGUAAAGAGAGGGCACAAAACUCUUCACUGCUCUGCAUGUGCCCCAAAAAUGCAAUUGGACAAAUUAUGAUUUGCAUGCUAAAAAGAGGCAAAUGAGGUUAAUUAGCACCAAAAUUAUUUUGUUUUCUGGACACCCCGGGGCCCUUUGGUUGGUUUGGGGGUCAGAAAAUGAACAUCAUAGGGGGUUUUUCCCUAAUGUGCAUUUGCAUUUGUAUCUGAUGGCUUUAACUCGCCUUGUUACUACAAAGAAAUUGUCACAGAUAGGAACUUAUUCCAGGCUGAGUAUCUCCGCAUGGACCCUAUAAAAGAAGACAAGUCAUAAUGAACAUCUAACCUUUGUUCAAUUUGAUUCAAUGCCCCUAUUGUGUCCAUCUCACAAAUCUGAAUUAUUAUAUCCAUUGAAUACAUAAAUUAAUGAAGAAAAUAUGAAACCCAAGAUACAUCUCUGCACAACCUCAACCCUGGUUGCUAUGUUUCACUUCUAUUCACAUGAGGAUAUUGAUUACGGAAUAAGGAAACCUAGCAAGGGUUUACUCGGCUCUGGUUUGAUGCUAAUUGCCAAACUUGCAACAAGCCCUGAGUUUGACACCUAAUCGAUGGGCGAAUUAAAAGUCUCCUCCAAACAUAUAUUCCACAGCUUGAAGCUCACAGAAGAUGCUAUACAGGCAGGGAAAAACCUUCAGAGUUAGCUACCAAAGAUAAUUAUCAAGGAGAUAUCACCAAGAGAAUUCCAUGGAGUCUGAAUCAAAGACAAAUUGCUCGCUCGUGGGGGUUCUUACUUAAUUUCUUUUGGGUAUAACUCACUGAGGGCACUGGCUUUGUUAUUUGCAUUUCGCAUUUAGAGUUCUGUUCUGGAAGGUUUGUUCUGGAAACAUAUAAAAGGAGCAUCAUUUUGUUCUAGGGUAACCCAUAGUUGUGAGUGGGUCCAUUUGCAUGCUACUUAGUUGAAAAGUUGGACAAUUUGCUCCGACGCCUACCUCCUGGAUUCCAUGCUCGGAUAAAGCAAGAAUAAUAAAAUAUUUAUAAUUUACAAAUGGGGGAAAGAAAAAAAUGUCAACAACAAACUAGGAAAAAAGAGUAGUAAAAUUUAUGCCACAUGCUAUUGAUAGAAGGGGCAUGUAUUAGAUCCAUCACCAUUUGGUAAGAUUUUAGUAUUAUAUUUUUCAAGGUUCAUUAUUUGAGGGUGUGUUCUUCAUCUCUGUUGCAUUGCUUCUUACUAGGCCCACUGAGGUGGGUUCUUCACCUUUUGUAUAUUCUCUGCACUAGAUCAAUGAGAAAGGGGGAAUUUUGGUGAAUUUGCAGCCGUUGGAUGAUUGAUUCUAGGCUCAGUCCACCAAUGAUGCUCUCUUCACUCUUUCUCAUCUAGUGUCAUUCACAACUAUGUUUUGAUUCAUAUUUGUACUAUCAAAGAUAUCUCAUUAUUCUAGCUCAUUAGGUAGAGUUCCUAAUCUUCCUCCUUUUUGGUCUAUGGACAGUAUUGGCUUCAUAUUAAGAUCAUGUUUCAAUAAUUGCACAUUAAUGAAUGGAUCAUGACCCACAUAAACAGAGUCAGGGUUGAGUCAGUGAACCCUAAAAUUUCACAAUUCUAAAUUUGGGUUCUUUAACAAUGCAGGGUCAAGGACGCGUGGUGAUGAAGGAAAGCUGGUAAGCUCAGUGUUACUUCAAUUCCUGCCAUGUAGGAUGGUGAGGAGAUAUUCACUAUGCAAUUAAUAAUAGACAAUAUUCACUAUGCAAUAAUAAAGCAUAAAUUAAGUUGAAUGAAAAGCAUUUUCUUUGCAAGGAGUUGAUUUUGGUUUCAUAGUUUGUUCAACUGCUAUUUUGGAUAGGAAAGUGUGAGGAGAAGAAAAUAAAAAAUAAAAAUAAAACAAAAAAUAAAAAAUAGAUUUUAUAAAUUCAUUUAAUUUAUUUUUUUUUUAUAAAAAUUAACUAAUUUAAAAUAUAUGUAAAUUUCUAAUUAAUUUAAUUACAUUUUUUUUUUCAGUUUUUCAUAAUAAACCAAAUAUUAGAAAAUUAUUUUUAUUAAGACACCCAAGAUGAGGUAAUAUGCAAUGAAAACAUGAAUUAUAUUAAAAUUCAAAACAAAUUAAGAGAAAUCGGAAAAUAUACAUAGAUAUCUAAACAAAGAAAUUUAAAGAGAAGGAACCACAAACUUUAUUUACAUAAUUUGAAAAUAAAAAACAUAAAACAUACUUAUAGUAAGGAGAAAUUGAAUAUCUUACAAUGGAAGAAGGGAGAAAAGCUUUGAAGAAAGCUUUUGCUUGGAAGCUUACAUGGUGAGAGGUAGAGAAAGGAGAGAGAGAGAAGAAAAUGAAAAAUGAGAAGUGGAGAAAAUUGGAAGUUUUGUGUGCUUACAACUGAGGAUAGAGCCUCCUUAAAUAGCAAAAAAUGGAAUAUUAAAUAGUACCAAUCAGGAGACAAAAUAUUGUUUGCUUUUGAAACCCGUGCAUGAAUAGUAAUCCCGUGAGUGAAUAGUGAAUAAUAAAAGUGAAUAGUAAAAGUCACUUUCUACUAUAGCACUUUAGACUUUUUCAUCGAGAAUCUUACUUUCGGCUGAGUGAUGAUAGCUGAUAGGUUGCUUUGGAUUGUGGAGUCAUAUGUUUGAUGUUUUCGGUGCUGAAACCGCUUAGUUGGAGAAUAAUCUCGUCAGUAGAGCAUCAUGAGAAGCUUGAAUGGAGAGAGCUUAAUGAUGCCAUAUGAUUGGAAGGAAUCCUAUUUUAAUUUCCUUAUUGGAGGGAGAAUACCCUCACAAUCAUCUUCAUUAUCUUGAAGGUAGUUUGAUAUAGAGUCAUCUGACUCAGCAUAAGAGUCCUCUUGGGAGAAGCUUGAACUGCUUUUGUCAAGGAUUUUCUGAAAUUCUUGAGGGGUUUUUGCUAUUGCUAACAUGGUUUGGAGUUGCUGUUUCUUAAGAAGAAACUGUGCAAUAUCAUAAGAUGAUGAAGCUUGUGUAGGAUGCUUUAGGAAAUAUUGCUUUAUUGCUUGUAGUGAGGUAUCAUUUUUCAAGGCAUCCCACCACUUAGACUUGAAAGUCCUUCCAAGGGUUGGAAAGGCUGCUGAUUCAUCUGCUAUAAUGAUAUAAUCCCACUGGACUAUCCAGGCAAGGCCAAAUUCACUAAAAAAGAAUAAUAAUUGGGGAAAACUGAAAGUUCUCUAGGGAUAACAAAAGAACUUUGGAAUAGCUCAAAGCCAUCCAAAAUGGGUUUUGGGAGAAUUUUAAUAGUUGGACCAAAAUAUGUCCACCAAUUGUGGAACCAAAAUGGAAAAGAGGGGAGUUGAUGCUUAGAUGGGAAAUAGAACAUCCCUGAAUGAUGGAAGUCCUUGUUCUGGAUCAGAAAAGCAUUGAACCAUACUCUUUGGUAGUCUCAAUAAUUGAAAAUUUUAGGUUUUGAAGGCUUAGAAAAUUCUCUUGAAAAAUUAGGAUUCCCACCCCACUGCUUAACUGUAAGGAUUUUAUAAAUAUGGUAAGUGGAGAAUGCCAAAUCCAAAUUGCUGAAUUUAUCAGCAUUGUGCUUGAUUUUAACAGAGCCGGUUUCCAUAAGGAUUGCUUCAUAAAAUUCUCUUGUUUUUAAAAGAUCACCAAAGGGAUAAUGAAAAUUUUCAUGAAAAGCUUUUGCUGCAAUAUCUCUAGGGUUUUUAGAGAAAAACUCUUUUUCAAUAACCAAAAGAGGUUGAUUUAAAUCUUUUUGCCAAUAUCUUGCUUUUGCUGAAAGAGGUGUGGGGUUGGCUACCACCACAAUUUGCUUAUUUGAAAAAGAAGAGCUUGAUGCUAAUUCAUUUUGAGAGGGAUUAGCUUUAGUAACCUGCUUAAAGGUCUGAGACACAGUAAUAGUUGGAUACUGAGUAGCCUUGACUGGUUUAGAAGGAUUCGAAGGAUCAUAGUACAAGGACAAAAUCUUAUUAGGCAUAUGGUCAGAAGAAUGAAGCCUUGCUUCUUCUUCUAGCUCAACUUGUUGGCUCCAAAGUAUUUUAUGGGGAGAAGGUUCUUUGCUGGUUUUAGAAGACUAGGAUUCUGGAAGUUUAGGAGCUUGGGUAUUCUUUUUAGGGGCCAUGGUUUCGUGAAUCCUGUAAAAUUCACAAGUUAAGAAAUCAGGGCUCGAAGAAUGUUCUCCUUUAAUAUACUCAAUUUGUAAAUUAAAAUUGCUUAAAAUAGCUUGAUAUAUAGCAAAAAUAUGCUUAGAAGUUAUAUUCUUAACAUCCUUUUGUAAAACUAAUUUUGCAAAUUUACAAUCAACUCUUAAUAAAAACUUUUGAUUCAAAAGAUCAUCUUGAAAUUUUGAAAUGCAUAAAACAACGCUUAAAGUCUCUUUUUUAAUGAUGUUAUGAAUGAGUUGGGUAGUAUUCCAGGUUCUUGAAGUAUACCUAACUAACAUCUCAAGGUUACCAACACUUUGCUUAAGAAUCCCACCAUAACCUAUGUCUGAGGUAUCGAUCCCAACAAACUCAAAGGUUUCUGGAUUGAUAGAGCCUAAACAUGGUAGGGUCUUGACUUUGGACUUAACAUCAAUAAUGAAAACAAUGGUGAAAACAGAAAACUGGUUAAAGUUUUCAUCCAUUAUAUUCUGGAAUUCUGAGGUGCAUUCUUAAGAUCAAAGGGCAUUAUGAACCAUUCAUAAUGUCCAAGAGAUACCACAAAGGUGGUCUUAUUUGGAAUAGGACACCUAAUCCAACUUAAUGUAUCAUUAAGAGGCAUGUAGUUGACGACUAGUCUAGGUGUUCCUUUUUCUGAUUCAACUUGUUCCUGAACAUAGAAGGUUGAACAACUCCAAAGGGACUUAGACUUCCUUAUCAACUUUUUAUCAAGAAGAUCCCAAAUCUCCUUAUCACAAUAGCUUAACAAACCCUUGUUCAUCUGGAUAGGUCUUGAUUUAGUGGGAAUAUUCUUGUCACUAAAGUCUAGUUCAUAAGGUAAUUCUACCUCAUGUUGUUUCCUAUGCCAAAAUGCAUUAGGAAUGUUAGAGCAAACUUCUUCAACAAUCAGAUUAAUUUCUUGCUCAUGACUUUCCUUAGCUUGAAUCACCUGAUCCCUUAAGGUGUUUAUAUUUUUCUUAUUAGGUGGUUGGCAAAUUCAAAAAUAAUUUCCUUAUCUAAGAGCUUUGUUCUUAUACUUUGGUCAUCUACCCACAUGGGAUAGAUGGAGCUUAAAAAGGGGAUUCCAAGGAGAGCUUUCUCCUUAAGAUCCUUAACUAGAAUGAAGGUUUGCUUGAUGCAAAUGCCUUGGUUAUUUAUGUGAGCAUCUGACAGCUUAUACUCAAUGUCAAGCCUUUUACCAUUAGCUCCAAAGAGAGAUUCUUUGGUUUUCUUACAAAACUUAAUAGGACCUAGACCUUCUUGUAGGCAAUUCAAAGCUGUUCCUGAAUCAAUCAAAGCAACAAUAUCAAUGACAAAUUUACUCUUAAUUACUAUAGUAAGGGAGACUUUCCACCUCUGGAAAAUAACCCUACUAACAGUAUUUAAGUAUCCAUCCGUCUUUUCAUCAUUAGCAUGUGAAGAUUCUAGAACCUCUUCAAGGUUUUCCUAGUUAUCAACAAGAUUUUCUAUAACAAUCCUAUUUAUUUGUUCUUGGAGAUCUGAAAAACCUAAGCUUGUGUAUUGUCUUAAAUCUUUAAUUUCCUUCUUAUACUGUCUUACUUCUUCUUGAAGAUCCUUAAUGGUUACGUCUUUGGUAGACUACUGGUUAAAUCUUCCUAAGAUUUCAUUUAAGUUAUAAGAAUUUACUGUCUUCUUAAUCUCUUGCUUAUCGACAAAUUUCUUAAAAACUUCAUAAAGAUCUUGUUUAGUUUUUUCAUCUUCAACUUUCCUUAAAACAUCUAGGACAAGUUCUUGAUCUUGGCUUAUGACAUUUAUAGUCUUAGGUUGGCAAUCACAAUUAUCCUUAAUGUAUUCUUCUUGGUCACUAGAAGUUUGGCUUGAGAUUUCCUCACCACUACUAUCUAGUUGGUUAAUACCAUUUUCAUUAUCUGAAUCAAUCCUUGAUUCAGACUCUGUGGAAUUUAACAUUACUUUACAAAGCAUAUCUUUUAAGUCUUCUGUGACAUUUAAGUUAUUAAUUUUCUGCUUAACCCUACAAUCUUUCUUAUAGUGGCCUAUCUUACCACACUUAAAACAAACUGGCUUAGAUUGUGAAGGAGCUUCUAGCUUUUUAUGGGCUUCUUUGUUCAUCAUUCUUUGGAUGUGCCUUUGUUUCUUAGUUUCAUUCAUCCUAUAGUUGCCAUGAGUUCCUCUCUUGUUGUGAUAGGACUUUUCCUUACUAGGCUUUGUACUUACUUGUUUCUUACGUUGCUUAGAGGGGGGCUUAGUUUCUUUUUGGUUGAAUCCAAACUAGCUACAAAAUGAACCAAACUCAUUCUUGUAGAUCCUUUGUUCAUUUUUCAUCUGUUGCUUAAGCUUAAAGUCAUUGCACAGUUUAAUUGCUUCUGAUGUGACAAUGCUUAUAAUUUCUCCAUAAGAAAGCUUAUCAUAAGGGAUUUGUCCAUUAAACUGUUCCCUUAUCUUAAUCCUAAUCCUCUCAGAGAAAAGUCUAGGUAGUCCUAAGAUGAAUUUUUCUUUCCAAAAAGACUGGUUAUAGUUUGAUCUUAGUAUGACUUUGGUUAGGAAAACUUCUCUAUACCAUCUAAAGUCAUGAAGCUUGGGACACUUAAGGUUGGUUAAGAGAUCUACAAUCUUAUCCUUAAUCUUUGCAGGAUCUCCAAUGAAGUGCUUUGAAAUUGAAUAGAUUAGAGUAGCCACUACAUCCUCUAUAUCUUGUCCAUCUUCAUCCUUAACCACUUCAUUUUCCUCAUUAAUCCUAUAGGCUUUUAGGAUACCAUUUCUAUCCUCAAAGGUGAGAUAAUUAUCCCACCAACCCUAAAGUUGACCUGUAAACCCAACAACAAUUGUUUGAGCUACAGCAUGGCCUGACAAUCUAUUGUUUAACUUAUAGGUUGUACUAACCAUGGUCAUUUCUUGAAGCUUAGUGAGUAUGUUGUACUCAAUCAUACCAUCUAUGUUCCAUUCAUAGAUAGUGUCACUAGUGUAGGAAGCUUGAGUAUGCUGGUUUCUUUCCUCAUACUACAUAUCAGGAAAAGUUGGUCUAGGGUAGUAAUUCCUAGUUCUUGGUUGUUGAUAAUCCUCAUAACUGUUUGGUUAGGAGGUUCCUUAAAAAUCUUAAUUAGUUCAUCAGCCUCUGCUUCAGAACUAAUUUCUCCUUUAACCAUAUUGAUUCUCUUGUGAGAUGGUUGAGGUGUCUCAGAGACAACAAGGCUAUCCUUAACCUUUUGGCUUAUCCUAUCAAUGAGGGCUUGAUCAAUAUGGAGAUUCUCUAGGAAUUUCUUAGAGAAUUCAAAAGGCUUAAAUAAAGACUUAUUAUCUUUCUUAACAAACGUAGUCUUAAUGUAGUCUUGUGUUUCAAUGAUAUCCUCAAACUUGUUGAGUUGAUCGCCUGUAGUCUUAAGAAACAUGUUAGUGUAGUUGUUUUGUUCCAUGAUUCUUCUAACGUCAACAACACUAUCAAUUCCUUUAUUCUUUGGCCUAGUCUUAAAAGGUGAAGCUUUGACUAUGGUUCAAUUAAUGUUCUUUUAUAUCUUAGCUUCUAGAGGGUGGAUGGAUUCUAUGAUAGUAUCGUCACUAGUUUUCCAUAUCUUAGUUUUUUUGGAUGUGUCAUUGACACGCUUACUAGGGUAAUCUAGAUAUUCCUCUUGUUUGAAGAGUUCAAACCAGAUCCAAUACUUAAUGUUCUUCUUUUCUUGUCUUAAGUAUGUGUAGAAUUCUUCUUGGUAGAGGGUUCUAAUGUCUUUAAGGACCUUGCUAAAGAACCAAACUCUCCUUUUCUUAUUGACUUCAGAAUAGAAGUCUUUCCUUAAGAGGUCCUUGUUGAUUCAAAGUCUUCGUUAAUUAGGCUUACAGUGUUAAUCAACUGAGAAUAAGUAGGAGACAUAUCAGGAGAUUCGUCCUGAUGUGAUUCUUGAGUAAACUCAUUUUCCUCCAUGUAAAAGGGUUUGGCCACGUUGGUGUGACUUCUAACACCUGUUAGCUUAAUAUUCUUAGGAUUUGCUGAACUAGAUCCUUCCUCUAUCCUAGUGGUUCUUAUUGGGAUAGAUGAACUUGAAGCUCUAGAGGGCUCAUAAUAUGAAAUUCUAAGGCUGCUAGAAUGAUGAAAAGAGUUGGAGAAAAUUAGAUCUCGUUCUCCAUCAGGAUAUUGAACAAUCUGUUCAAUUCUUUCAGAUCUUUGCUCUAUGGCUGGGACAACAUUAGCAAAAUGCCAAUUUUCUGGAAACUCAACCUCAUUCCACUUGAUUUUCAUGGGGACUAUGAAAUUAGACUUGUUUAUCAUAUCUAAGUGGAAGAUAGUGGUUUCACCCUUGGGACUGGUGCACAAUGCUCCAAAUCCAACGCUUAUGGUCAUGCUCUUAUAGGCAAAUCUGGUGAUGAUGGAAACAUGAUUGUUUCCUUGCUUGAACUUAAAGUCAUGGGUCUUAACAUGAAGGACAACUGAAUCUAAGAUGUUGACAUCUCUUAGUCUAACUGUGAAGUUAGGGAAACACUGGAAAUAAACAGGACCAUCAUUUAAUCCUGCUUGGGUAGCUCCAAUAAUAGAAUCUCGGUAAUCAAGAUGUCUAUUAUCUCUUAAACACAUGACAAUAAAGGUGUUUAGACCUAGUCUUGUCAAGGGCUUAGCUGCAACUUGAAUCAUGCCAAAGUGUAUGAAGUUGUAGUCUCGCUUAUGCUUAUCAAUGGACUUACUAUCCAAGAGUCUUAUGACUUGAUCGUCGUGUUCUAAACUUACUGACAUUUCAGGGGUUUUAAUGGUGUAAUCUGUAAAGAACUUAAAGGUUCCUUUCUUAUAAAUUUCUUGAUUAGGUACCUUGGGUAACUUCCAAUCAUCUAAAUCAUCUUGGAUCUUAGGAUAAUUGAUCUCUUCAUUGUUUACUCUUGAGAAUUUGUGGAUUUCCUAGACAUGGUUCUGAAAAUCAAACUCAUUUUAAGGUUUUAAUCUAGAGCCUAAUAGCAGAUUAACAGACCUAGUGAGUAAUCACCCCAACCCUUUUCCAACCUUAACAAACGCCUAUCUCCAGCUAACAAUGGGCUCAACUCGGCAAGGAUCGCACUCAGGCACACUACUAUCUUUCCUAGGAUAGAUCAAAACACCCAAAACAAACCCGACUUCCUUUUCCUAGGAUAUAUAUAGUAUUUUGGGUUUGAGUAGGAGUUCAUGUUUUGUAUGUAAUUGUAGUCUACGUUGGACUAGGUUGUUUGCUCCUAAUUGAAAUAGGAAUGGUUGGUGUCACAUCUCAUUCAUUUUCUCAUCUAUUUCCAUGUUUAGAUAACUCAAGUAAUCAUAGGAAUGAAAUUAAGAAUGAUUUGAGGGAAAUGAAAUCUCACUUGUAAGUGGGAUCUCAAUUCAUCAUUAAUAGAAGGUAUUUUGAUUACAUAGUGCAAGUUAUUUUUAAAAACACUUUUCAAAAAUUGAAAAACCAAAAACUCUCUUGGAUAAGUUGUUUUUAAAAAGAAUUUUUGUAUUUUUAUUUUGUAAAAAAAAAAAAUAGUAAUUCAAUUUAUAUAAUAUAAAUAGACUUUAAUUUUAUUAAAAAUAAAAAUAAUUUUUUAAUUACAAAUAAAUUAAAAAAUAAAUAUUUGUAAUAAAAUAUGAAUAGUAAUAUUAUAAUAAAAUCAUAAAUAAAUUAAAAAUAUUUUUAAAAACAAAUAAGUUUAAUUUUUUUGAGGUACAAAUGAGCCAAAUUUUUCAUUAGGUACACAACCAACAAUUUUUAUUGGAAACAUUCCUCAAAAAAGAAUUCGUUUCCCAUAUAGCAAAGAUAUUUAUUAUUUAGUAUCUAACCAUCCGUAGUAAUCAUAUCAAUUCUACUAAGUUAUUUAAUAAUUCAUUUAUAUAUAGUACUCAAUUAUGAAUUUUUUUAUUUGAUGUAUAAUUAAUUAAUCAAUGUUUUGAAUUUUGAAUUAUUCUUAAAAUUUAAAACAUUAAUUAUGUCUAUUACUUUUUAUAGUCAUUAUAUAUAUAUAUAUAUAUAUAUAUAGAGAGAGAGAGAGAGAGAGAGAGAGAGAGCUUAAAUUUAUCUUUAAAAAUUAUUAAAUUUAUUAAUAAAUUCAAUACAAAGACUCAUUUGAUUUGAAAUUCAUUUCUUUAGUGAAAAUUUUGAAACUAAAUAGUACUUUGUUUUACUUUGUUUUUAAAUCAUACUCACAAAUAAGUUUUUAUCAUUUAGCCAAAAAAUCUCAAAGAUGUUUCUAAUUUUAUUUAUUUAUUUAUUUGUAAAUGAAAAUAAAAAAUUAGUUUAAACUAAAUAUGCGGAUAUUAUUGUUAAUUUAUUUCAUUUUUUAUUUCCAUUGUUAUUUAACAUUGAAACGGAAACAAAUAAUCAUUCCAAUCUUACAUUCUUAUAUGCAUCUAAACACAAGAAUUGAAAUCACCAAAUUCAUAUUCAAGGCAAAAUAGAAAUGGAAAAAAAAUAUUCAUUUUCAUUCCUCAUUCUCAUGUGCUAAACAUGACAUUAGUUCUACUACCUAUUUCACCAUUCUUCUUGAUAAAUUUGGUAUAUGCAAUAUUGAUCUAAGUGUGAGGUGAAUAAGAAUGAUGAUGGGAUGGGCUUGGAAAUAAGGGCAAAGUUUCUAGGUGCUAUCUAGAGGGGCAACGCGACUUUUUCAAAUUUCGAAUAUUUGUUCUCAACAUAAAGCAAAACUUUACUCACACAAUAGAUAAGACUCUGUUUGUUUUCUUCAUCCACGACUAUAUAAUGUAUAGCUCUUACUCAAGGGAUGAGCUACUUACUAUUAAGGAUUGGGUAAGAUAUUGCCUAAUGGCCAAGAAGGCAUGUCAAAAAAUAAAUCUAAUCACCAUAAAAAAUAAUAGGGGAAAAUUAAUAUAUUAUGAAUGAUGACUUUACUAUUUCUCUAUAUACAUAAUUAUAUAUUUUGAAUUUUCUCACUAGGUAAUGAGAUUCUAAAUCAACUGAAACAUAAUUAAUAAUUUAUAUUUUUAAUGAAUCUUUUAAUUUUUAAAAAUAAUUUAAAAUUUUAAAAAACAAUUCAAUUAAUUACAUAUUAAAUCAAAACAUUUCAAAAUAUUGUGUUUGUAGAUGAGUACUAAAUGCUUGCAUAUAAUAAUAAUAAUAAAAAAAUUGACUCAUUUAGAUGUUAAAAAAGUUAAAUGUUUUUCAUUAUUCAUUUUAAGUAAAAUAUUAUUGACAUUAUUAUUAUAAAAUUAUUAUUAUUCAUUUUUAACAAAAAACAAAAUAAGUUAUUCUUUUACCAAGAUGUCAAUAUCUAUAUUUUUCUAACAUAUAUUAAAAUAGUAUACUUUUCUUUUAUUAAAAAUAAUAAUUAUUAUUAUAUUAUUAUUCAAGUUUUAUUAAAAAAAUUUAUCUUUUAAUUCAUUUGUAAUUACAAAAUAAUUUUAUUUUAUUAAGAAUUUAAUUUAAUUACGCUUUUUUUUUUUAUAAAAAAAACAGUUAUGCUUUUACCAAGAUGUUAAUAUUCAUAUUUUUCUAGCUAACAUAAAUAGAAUAGUACACUUUUUCAUAUAAAAAAAUAAUUUAUGAUUUUAUUAUAAUGUUACUAUUCACAUUUUACUAAAAAUAUUUAUUUAUUUUAUUUAUUUUUAAUUAUAAAAUAAUUUUAUUUUCAAGAAUUUAAUUUUAAAAAAAUAGAAAUCAUUUAUUCUUUUACCAAGAUGUUAAUAAACAUAUUUUUCUAACAUAUACUAAAAUAAAAAAGUUUACUUGUUCAUUAAAAAAUAUAAUUUAUGUUUUUAUUAUAAUACUACUAUCUAUGUUCUACUAAAAAUAUUUAUUUAUAAUUAAAAAAUAAUUUCAUUUUUAAUAAGACUUGAACUAAAUUAAAUUUAUAAUUUUUUUUUAAAAUAAAAUAGAAAAUUAUUUUUUAAAAACAACUUAUUGAAAGAAAUUUUUUAUUCUUUACUUUUAAGAACUGUUUUUAAAAGCAACCUAUAAACCCCUUUGGGUCUGUUUGGCUAUGUUUCAUGCAACUUGUUUUUAAAAAUUGUUUUUUAUUCUUUAAUUUAAUUUUUUUUAAGUUAAAGAAUAAAAAACAACUUUCUAGUGUUUUAUAAAAAUGAGAGCUUUUGACAAGUUGUUUUUAAAAACCAUUUUUAAAAAUAAAAAAUAAAAAACUUAUUUAGAUAAAUUGUUAUAUAUAUAUAUAUAUAUAUAUUUGUAAAAACAUUUUAAAUUCAAUUUAUAUAAUAUAAAUUUAAUUUAAUUUAAGUCUUAUUAAAAAAAAAUUGUUUGGAUAAGUUUUUUUUUUUAAAUAGUUUAUUAUUUUUGUUUUGUAAAAACAUUGCAAAUUCAAUUUAUAUAAUAUAAAUUAAUUUAAUUCAAGUCUUAUUAAAACCAAAAUAAUUUUAUAAUUACAAAUAAAUUUAAAAAUAAUUUUUUUAGUAAAACAUGAAUAAUAAAAUUAUAAAUUAUAUUAUUGUGGACCCUGCAUUUAUGCUCAUGCGCUUCCACUUGUUGGCGAACUCAUUUUUUAUUUGAAAAUGAUUUAUUUUUUUAGAAAAUGACUUAGAGUCGCCACUUAUUUUUGUUUUAUUUUUAAAGGGCAAGCAAAAUAAGAAAGAAAACCCUAAGUGUGACUCCUUAUUCGAAAAAGGUAGUCUGUGUAAAACCGGAUCAGGGUUCAGGGAUCAGGUUACUUAUUGGGAAGGUAUGACAAUGACCGUAGCACUCCUCUAAGUCCUUAAAAACGGGCCUCUACUAAAAAAAAUAAAGUAAUCAUGGCAAUCAGUAAGGAAAUCACUGGAUACCCAGAACAAUUAUGCACAUGUGAGAAUUAAAACAUGCAUAAGAAUGGACAAAGUGAGAGUGGGUGCGUACCUUGACAACGAACCACAAUGCGUUAUCAAGAAAUGGGGUUAGUGCACGAUCAAUGAACAUAAAACACGUCACACAUGUCACUAAGCAGAGUGAGAAAUCAUCAGAUAUUACAAUUCAAUCAAAUUUAUUUUUAGAAGAAACAUCUGUUGAUGUAGAGCCCCUACCAAAGCCUAAUUUAUUUUUGCAUGAAUCAAUUUCAUAAAUUCAAUCGCUUGGAAUUACAGAAUUAAAUUCAUGCUUAUUUUAAAACAUCUUUUUAAAAUCAUGGAAGAUGUGAAAAUGGUUUUCCAAAGAGAAAAUGACAACUGAUUUUAUUGAAAAUGGGAUUUUGGGGACCUAAACGUUAAAGAGGGAUUAGGAAUUGAAAAUUAAAUCAUUUGAAAAUUGAAUUUUUCAAAAAUCAGUUUUGAAAGCAUGCAUGCAAGUAUGGACUGUGAAAGUGGGCCUAGGGAGGGUGGCCAUGCAAAAUGAGGUCAUACACGUGGGCCUUGGGUACAAUUGGGACUACUUUGCUGGUGCCAGUGGUGCUUGCAGCUGUCAUCCAUGAUUUCUUCAUUGGGAUCAAUUUCCAUUCUUACUGCCAAACAUUCCAUAACAAUUGACCAAACUAGUAACCCUGACCUUGCAUGAAAAUGAACGUUACCUAGAAACUCACUGCCAGUGAGAUUCAUUGCUCUUUCAAAAGGUCUCAUUUUCUUUCUCAUCCAAUUGCUUUAAGGAGCAUUCUAGCGUCACGAUUGGUGACUGCGCAUCAUCUAGAGCCUUCUUUCUUCUCAGAAUCAGGUUUGCGUGCAGAGGCCUGUGCUUGUUCAAGGUUGACCUAAAUUCAUCUAGGUUUAGAACCGACCAGUUGAGCUUGGGGAGCAACGACAAGAAUAUCAGUCACUUGCGAAGAGAAAACUCGAGAUCUUUCAAGUAAUGCCUGACAUAGAUUCCUCCAACCUGUGGCCAAUAUCUCAUUCCUUGUUGGCCAGACGCCUAUUAGGGCGUAUCUCAAUCAAUAAUAUGAUUUUUCGUUUGUUCACAAUAAAGACCGGAAGCCAUGGUUGUGAUUUAUGCAGUACAGAAGAAGUUGCCAUGGCUGGUAUCCUUACAAAUUCUGGUGUUUCUGCUAUCUGUUCAAGUGCAAAACACAACAGCUUUAUCAAGUUUGUCCCUAACAACUGAUAUUGAGCCCUCUGGAGGAAACCUUGAUAAAUUCAUAAUCACUUUUGACUCAUGCAUGGGCUGCCCAUCAAAUUUUCCUAGCAACGAGACGACUGCUGUCAUCUACUGCAAAGAGAAUUUCUUCUCGCAAAGACAAGAGGAGUUUAAGAAUACACACUAUUCUGCCAUUUCAUUUCCUCUUUCUCCACAACCAACAUAAACCAUAGUGUCUACAUUAGAGUACUUAGAAAGAGCUUAACUGAUGACCGUUUUUCCACAACCAAAUGCCCCAGGUAUGGCACAAAUUUCACCGAAAACAGAAGGGAAAAGGGCAUCAAGAACACGCUGUCCUGUAAGUAGUGGGGUAUCAGGACUACUCUAGGGAAGUUAUUUCUGUCAUUUUGAAAAAGAAAAAUUAAAGAAUGUACACAUGCUUUCAAGUGGACUGGAGCAUUCUACAUAUCAGGUGGUCUGUAGCCACAUGUGCCACUUUGUGGAAGUUGGAACAGUCGAUCACUAGGCUAUUUAGUGUGGCCAAGCCACGUUAAUCAAGGACAAGUCUUCAUACUUAAAAGUCAAAUGGUGCCUUUAGUCUCAUUACACAUGGCUAUUUAAAGAUGAACUAAUCUUUAGUGUAAUGUGAUUAAGACAGUACUAACUGAUCAAUAUUUUUUCUAAUUUUGGAUGCAAAUGCUUGCUGGCUUCAUCAUUGGAUGGGAUAAAGGUGCAUUCAUGACUCUGAAUACUUGCAGUAAUACUUGCAGUAAUACUUCAUUCUCUUUUUUCUCGAUGAGACUUCUUGGCACAAUUUUGCUUCUCAGCAACCUACCUCUCCAUGGAAAAUGAGUUGCGAUUGAUGGUACUGGAUAUUUUCUAGGAAGCUAAAUAUAGAUAUAUAGCACUCAAUGUCAACGAUAUAUAUAGCAUUAACAGUAUAUGUCUCAAUGCUCAUCAGCUACAAGCAAGGGACAAACACUUACAAUGAAUAACUCACGUCAACAUUCCUAAACAGGACAUAGAAGUGACAGAUCUAUAUAUAGAACACUGCAUAUGAGUCACAAGAAAAGAUAAUACGGGUGCAUAGCAGCUCUUAUAUUACAUAUUACUCAUACCGUUCAAAUUCACUCAGUUGGGAUGGGUGGGAGAAGGAGGCCUCUGGGGUGGCUUGUGCGUGUGAGAAGUGGAAGAAAGUUGAAUGGAAUGAAACUGAAAAACAGGGUAGAAUAGAGGUUUCUUGAAUCUUCUGAAAUCUUUAUUUUUCUGAGAUUUAUUCUCUGUUUUUGUGAGUCGUGACUCUACAUAUAUACAUGUAUUUAAAGUUAGUUAUGCCUUAUAACUAAUUAUCUAACAGUACCAAAACUAAUCAUCUAGUUGCAUGUUUCUAAUUAAUGCUAUUUAGUUACAACUAUAUAUGGCUUAACAUCCUCUCUCAAACUCAAAAGUCUAGCUAGAACAGUGAGUUUGCUUCAUAGAUUGAGAAAUUGUUGAAUAGGUAAGGCUUUGGUAAGAGCAUUAGCAAUCUGGUCAUAAGAAGGAAUGUGUUGAACCACCAAAGUCUUAUUGAGCACCUUUUCCUGAACAAAAUGGCAAUCUAGUUCCACAUGCUUAACUCGAGAAUGAAAAUAGGAUUGGCAGCAAGAAAGGUGGCUGAAAGAUUGUCAUAGAACAAAACAAAAUAGGAGAAUAAGAAGAUGAGAUAGAAAACUCCUGAAGAAGAUGUUGAAUCCAUUGAAGUUCAAAAGCAACAUUUGCUAAGGCCCUAUACUCAGCUUCAUUGCUGGAACGAGACACAACUUUCUGCUUACUGGAGUUCCAGGAGACUAGAUUAGAGCUAAAAAAGAUGCAAUGACCACUUGUACUUCGACGAUCAUCAGGGCAACCAACCCAAUCAACAUCAGCAUAAGCAGUAAGUUGAAAAUCAGGAGAAGAAUAAAAGGAAAGACCAAAGGAAGUAGUGCCCUUAAGAUAAUGCAACAAUCGUUUAACAACUUGCCAAUGAAGAUCAGUUGGUUAUUGCAUGAAUUGGCAAAGUUUAUUGAUAGAGAAAGAGAUGUCAGGCCUUGUAAUGGUACAAUAUUGCAGGGCUUCAACAAUGUUGCGAUAUUGAGAAGGGUCAGCCAAGAGGGAACCUUUAGAGGCAGAUAAAGUGUGAGAGGUAGUCAUUGGUGUAUCAAUAGGUUUAAAAUAUGGAAGACCAGCACGAGUUAACAAGUCCUGAAUAUAUUUGGUUUGGGAAAGAUGAAGAGAAGAUCCUUGCCAACAUACUUCUACACCCAAGAAGUAAUUCAGAAUACCAAGGUCCUUGAGAGCAAACUGAAAGUGUAAAGACGAAACCAUUUGGUGGACUAGCACGGUAUUAAGACCACUAACAAUAAUGUCAUCAACAUAGAUGAGAAUAAUGAUCAUGUCAGUCCCUUUCCGAAGAGGAGCUUGCUUCAGACCCUACAAGGCUUUGCGAAGUUUACAGAAAAAACCGGGUUUAGAAUGAUCAACAAAGCCUGGAGGUUGAACCAUGUAAACCUCUUCUUCUAACUCACCAUUGAGAAAGGCAUUAUUAACAUCUAAUUGUUCCACUAACCAACCAUGAGAAAUAGCAAGAGAAAGAACAAUUCAUAUAGUAGUUGGUUUAACAACAAGGCAAAAGGUUUCAAAAUAAUCAAUACCAUAUGUUUGAUUAAAACCCUUUGCAACUAAGUAGGCUUUAAAACGAUCAAUUGAGCCAUUAGCUUUGAGUUUCAGCUUGUAUAUCCAUUUACAACUAAUAAUGCGUGUAUUAACAGGUUUAGGAACCAAUGUCCAUGUGGAAUUGGUGAGAAGAGCAUCAUACUCAGUCUUCAUAGCAGCUUGCCAAUUAGGAUGCAAUAUUGCUUCUUUGAAAGAGGAGGGUUCGACAACAGUAGUUUGGAUAGCAAGGCUAAAUAUUUUUUUGGGUUUAAAAAUACCAUUUUGGCUACGAGUAACAAUAGUUCGGUUUGGAAGUGAAAGAGGAUCAGUGGAGGAGGCUGGAACAAGGGAUUGUGGUAAAGUAGGAAAGGAAGGUGGAUGAGAUGGAACAAAAUCAGUAGGGACAAUAAUGGGAGAAGAAAAAUUAGGUGGAGAAUGAUGAGGAUUCCUUGAAGAUGGUGUAGGAAUAGAGAGAAUACCAGAAUCAAGAAGUGUUAAAGAAGAGUUGGAUGAUGAUACUGGUUGACAGGAUAAAGACUUUGUUAAAAAUGGAAAUCGAGUUUCAUCAAAUACAACAUGACGAGAAGCAUAUAUCCGAGAGGAAGCCAUAUCCAAACAGAGGAAUCCCUUGUGUUUAGCACUAUAACCCAAAAAACAGCAAACAACAAAUAUAUUUGCUAGCUUGUGAGAAGCAUAAGGGCGAAGAUAAGGAAAACACAAGCAUCCAAAACUUCAAAGAGAUGUAUAAUAAGGUAAACGAUUAUAAAGAACUCCAUAAGGAGAAUUUUGUGAAAGAACAGCAGAGGGAAGGCAAUUUAUGAGAAAAAUGGCAGUUUGAAAUGCAAAUGACCAAUAUUUGAGAGGGUAUACCAGCUUGUAUUAACAAAGAAAGACCAACUUCCACAACAUGACGAUUCUUUCUUUCAACUCUUCAAUUUUGCUAAGGAGUAUAAUGACAAGAGACUUGAUGAAGAAGACCAUUUGUAGCCAAAUAAUUCUGAAAAGCUGAAACUGAAACUCAUCAAAUUGAUUUUUAGUAUCAAAUUUUCUUCAGACUGAACACAUUGAUUUUUAGUAUCAAAUUUUCUUUCAACCAUGGCUUGAAAAUGUUGGAACAUAAGUAAAGCUUCAUCUUUAGUUUCCAAAAGGUACAACCAUGAGAAUAUGCUAAAAUCAUCAAUUAGCAAGAGGAAAUAUUGAGCAUUACCAUUGACAGAAACUAUAGGAGUUGCACCCCAAAGAUCAACAUGGAUGAGACCGAAUGGUUUUAUUGCUCUAGAAGUGGAUAUUUCAAAUGGAAAACGAUGGCUUUUAGCCAACUGACAAGACUCACAUACAGAGUUAUUAUUGUCAUGUUUCAAAGGUAUUUUAUAAAGAGAUAAGAUUUUGGAAACUACAUUAAUAGAGGGAUGACCAAGUCUAUUAUGCCAAAGCCUCAAAGAACCAACGGCUAAAGUACUACUAGUAGAGUAAAAUACUAGUGGAUGACCAACAACUCUUGGUGUAGCAAGAAGUUUAUAGAGACCCUUCUCAAUUUUUCCUUGAAGAAGAGCAAGUCUCGUUUCCUGAUCCUUUACCACAAAAUGAGAAGAACGAAAUUCAAUAAAGGUGCCAUUGUUUGAGUAAAAUCGUUGCACGCUAACUAAGUUGGUGGUAAUAGAAGGAACAUGUAAGACAUCAUUGAAAAACAAAGAACCACUUGAAGAGGCAAGAGAAAAUUUACCAAUAUUUGCAAUGGAUAAACCCUUACCAUCUCCAACAAUUACUUUGUCACCACUGGUAAAUGGAUUAUGGAUUGUUAAAUUGUUAAGAUCAGAUGUGAGAUGAUGGGUAGCCUUUGUAUCAAGAAACCAAUAAGUGUCUCCCAUUGUUGCAGAAGUUGUAGUCAUAGCCUCAGGAUUGUUAGAGGUGGAAUGUUUAGAAUCUUUUGGCUGAUAAUCAGAGUUAAACCGAUACCAGCAUUGUAAAGCGGUGUGUCCGAACUUACAACCGAGAGAAAUAAUCUUUACUUAUUCUCUAAAAACUGUUCUUUAUUCCACACAUUAUUUCUAAAAACUGUUUCUAGAUAACAAUGACAAAAUAGUAUUAGGAAUUUUUAAAAAUAAAAAUUGUUUUUAAAUUACAUGAUCUAUAUCAUUCACAUUUGACCAUUAUAGCUUUGUUCAGGAAAACACUUGAAAGUAACCUUAUCGUGAUAAGAGAUAUAAGUUGGCUGUAGUUUCAAACUGAAAACAGAGGAUGGCAAUAGAAAGCAAAGCAUUAGUUAUCUGCAAUCAGUGGUGAUCAUGCCCCAUGUCAAUUUCGGACCCAUAUCUUAAAACCGUAUAAUUUGCAUUUCAACAUUUCUGAUUUCUCAGAUGUUUCAUACUCCACAGAAGAACAUUGUUUGUGAAAGCAUGCAUUUAUGCUGGAUUUUGGAUGAUGUGGGAACUGGGGCAAGGAUCAUAUGGAAGAGUGGUCGAUUUUUUCUGUACUUUAACAUUUGAAAUAGGAGCAGCACGGGCAUUUGUGGGGCUUAAUUGAUUUUGAAGCCUGAAAUUGCGUUUCUGUCAUUUUGUAAAAAAUAUGGCAGAUUCCAUGCUCUCAUAUGUUUGGUCUGUGGCCAUGUAUAGAUGCCACUUAGUGACCAGUUUGUAACUGUCAAUCAUAGUGUUUUGACUCUGGCUCAACAACAUCAGCCAUUGACGGAUUUUCAUACAUGCAAAUCAAAUAGUCUUCUUCCUCCCUUAGGAAUUUCGGUUUAAAUGUUAUUAAGCAUACAUUUGGCUGACAAUUAUUAACCACUUCAUGAUAUGGUUUCUUACCCUUAAUCAAUGGUUUCUAAGUGAAUAUAUGCAGAAGGAAAUCUGAACUGUAGACAGCAGUAUUGAUAAUUAUCAAUAUUCUUUAUAUAAGAGAAUAAACAACGUCAUAGUGAUCGUCGCCUACAAGAAAGGUACAUUUCCCAACAAGAUGUAGUUGUGACUGGUACAUGGACGUAAUUAACUCGUAGAAAAGGAUAAGACCAGUGCACGGCAGCUCUUAUUUUACAUGCUAAUUAUGCUAACCAAAGUCACUCAGUUGGGAUGGGAGGGAGAUGGAGGUUUGUGCGGUGGCUUGUGGGGCGGAGUUGGUGGCUUCUUUUCAGGAGCUUGUGGCUUUUUCGGAGCUGAAGGAGGCUCAAUCUUAUGAGGCGGCUUGUACGAGUCUUCUUUACUCUCGACAGGAGGGUGGCCAGGGUUGUGACCAUAAUGUGGUGGCUUCUCUCCCUUAGGUGGCUUGCCAACUGGGGUUGGUGGCUUGUGUUCAGGAAGUGGUUUCUCUCCCUUGGGAGGUUUACCAAUUGGGGUUGGUGGCUUGUGUUCUGGGAGUGGUUUCUCUCCCUUGGGAGGUUUAGUGGGUGACUUGUGUUCUGGAGGUGGCUUCUCCACCGGAGGCUUGUGCUCCGGUGGUGGCUUCUUGGUUGGAGGGGGCUUGGGGUAAUCAGCAAGAGAUGGGGGGGUGAGAACCACCACUCCAAGGAACAACACUAGCAAGUAUGUGGGAGACAUUUCUGAGUUUGAGCUGAUCAGAUGAUGCAAAACUAGAAGAAUUACGUGACCUUUUAUAGCAAGUAGCUCCCAAUACCCACAUGACACGUGUUACUGUGACCAUAAAUAUUAUAGGGUCCAUUUGUGCCCUACCGGGUUGAAAACUUGGACGCUUGGCCGAGGACACACCGAACUAUGGAGGACUAUUGACGUGUGAUCACAGCUUUUGGAUUUUUCUUCCUGUGCAGCUGUCUAGCGGUUGGCAUUAUUUUUUUAAUCUUAAAUAAAGGCAUAGUUAUAGAGUACAUUUAUAUAUCUUCAGAUAGCCAUUAAUAUAUUUGAUGAAGAAAGACAAGUGCAUACAACAUGUAUACGGCUUGCUUCAAUCGAGUACAUUUAUGAUCAGUUUUCCAGUGCAAGUAAACCAGUUUUUUGUUCCACAACUAUUUUGGAAUCUUGUUUAUCAGUUUCUAUCAUUAUAAUGUCACAUAGGCUGCAAACUUGGGCACCCAAAGAUCUAGUUGGGCAAAUUUGUUUCAGAAUUUCAAUGGUGGAUUCAGUAAUUGUUAAAAGGUGUUUCUUCAUUAAGGAAAGAGUCCUGUAAAAAUAUUGUUAAAAGGUGUCAUAGAAACUAUAAUAAUUAAAUAACUUCUUUUCCCCGUGGGUGGUGUUUCUUCUGGGGAUACCCAAAAUGAGUUCAGAUUAAAAUUGGUUCGAGUCAAAGCUGUCUCUUUUGUCCAGAAAUCAACUAUUUUGCGCAUUGCAUGAAUCGAUAAAGAAAAAAUGAAAGCCAAAUCACACCUCCCCUGCAAAACCUAAACCCCGGUUGCUAACUUUCUAUGUUUCAGUCCUAUUCAUACAGGAAUAUUGGUUCAAGUUUGAGAAAAAUGGCAACUUACCUAGGGAUUACUUGGUUGUGGUUUGCGACGACUAUUUACGCAACCAACCAUGAGUUUGACUUUAACGUCAUGGGUUGAAGCCUCCUACAAUCGUGUAUGAUAGUUCAAAGCUCGUAGUAGAAAUUAUACAGGAAGGAAGAAACCUCCAAAGCUAGCUCCAAAAGAGAAUUAUCACAUCGAUAGCUCCAGAGAUUCCCAAGGGGACUGAAUCAAAGACAAGUUCCUCACUUUUUCUUCUUUUGAGGCCAAAUAUGAACCAAGGAUCACACGACCUCAUUCAACUUCAUAAGUUUGAUUUCAUGCAGUUGAACACUGGGUGAAGGCCAUGACAAGAAUUGAUUAAAAAAUUCUACCACUGUUUUAAGUAAUGGAAGAUUAUUAUCUCUGAUUGGCACCACAACAGCACAUGCUGCUAGAUCUUUCUAGACACUCCAUGCAAUGAAAGUACAAUGGAUCUUGUAACGAUAGAAACUAAGCCAUGCUACAGUACUAGAUGACGAGGUAAAACUAUUAGACAUGGGUGGCAGCCUAUAUGGGAGGGACACAAGUCUAAUUGAUUUGCAUUUCAGCGUUCUAGAUGGGUAUGUUUUGGAAGAUUUGUUCUGGAAAUACCGCACCAAGUAGGAUUCUUUUUUCUCUUGAGUGGGUCCACUUGCAUGCCAAUUAUCGAGUUGAAAAGUAGAGCACCUACCUCGUGCUCGUGGAACCGAAGGUCAGUGAAGUGGGGCUCCUUUUGGCCUCUUGUGUUUCUGUUCCAACCAAGGCGGCGGAGGGAAAAACAGCAAUAUGUCUCCGCUAAAUAUCAACGCAUGAUAGCGAAUGAGGGAGAAAAAAAGUAAUUGGCAUCUCAAUCUCACAAACUUGGUACAGUAGUGACAUUAAUAGUCUUCCACAUGGUUUUUAUUUUAUUUUAUUUUAUAUUUUAUAUUUUCCAUUUUUUUAUUUUUUUGUAUGUCAAGGCUAAUGAAUAAAAUGCGUUAGCUUGUUUUGUGAUUGGAACUGCAAAUGUCCAAAUUGGAGUUUCUCCAUUUCUCAGUUCGGAUGGUUAACUUUAUAAACAAGAUAUAGGAAACAUGUGAACGUCUUGAGGAACAAUUCGAAUUAUUGAUUAGAACUCCUAGGUUGAGUUCCAAGAUUUAAAUCAGACCCCUCUAGCAGCUUCAGGGGUACCUAGCAAUUAGAACAUAUUAAUGAAGAUUUAGGAUUUAGACUCCGGAAUACAAAUUAAUAUGUAUCUUAUGCUCUGACUAGCUUCCCUGCAUAUGCACAAAAUGGAGAUGACCCAAAAAAUAGCAGAAUCGCCUUAGUUUAUGUGGUUAAGGUGAUUCUCCGGUUAAUAUCCACAUUGGCUCAUUAUGCAAAUCAACUGAGCUAUUUUUUUUUUAAUGUCAAAUAGGAACUCCUAAUUAACCUAACCAUUGGCCUGUGUAAAUUGAUUUCACAUGCACAAUGUUGUAGUAGAAGUCCACAUUUUGAAUUUUAUUUUUGGAAAGGUAAGGAAAAUGAAGCAUUGUGUAAUUAUAAAAAUAACUUCAUUGGAAUUCACAAGGUUCACCCAAAAUGGAGCUACAUCCGUAUUCUAUCUUACAGUAGACUAUAUAGAUUGUACAAUAGUAAAUUGCAAAUACAAUUAAUAAGUCUUGUGUUUCCUUACUAAUAAUCCUUUGACAUAAACAUUGCAGCACUAAGGUCCUCUUGGGCAGACACCUUGCACCCAUGAGAGCACUAAGAGGAAGCAAGGCGGAGUCAUGGGUGCAAUGUCAUGACUUGUUGCACUAAGAGAGGCUUGGUGAUGGCAUAGUGCUGCAGUAGCAAGAAUGUUGCCUUGGCAGGGACACGAUCUAGGGACAGAUGCCAAGAAAGGCUUAGCACUCACAUGAGUUGCACAAAGAUGAAUGAAAUAGAACAUCAAAGAGACAUCUUGGCAAGCUCAAGAAAGACAUGUGGGUUGGUAAAUGAAUGGAUGCAAGAGGCAACAACAUGAGGAGUUUCAAAUGGAUAGGGAAUGAGUCAAAGACAUUUGAAAGCUACAAGUUGGAUUCUAAUUACGAUUGCAAUUUGAGUUUGAGUAGGAGUUUAUAUUAUGAUUGUAAUUGUAGUAUGAGUUGGACUAGGAUUGCUUAUCCCUAGUCAAAAUAGGAGUUGUUCAUGCCACACCCUAUGAAAAGAGUUUGAGUAGGGACUAGGAUUGCUUGCUCCUAGUCAAAUAUGGAGUAGGUGGUGCCACACCUAUAAAAAAAAAAGGGACAACAUGAGAGAGAGAGAGAAUGAAUUCACCAAAGAUAUUGUGGGAGUUUUGCUUUGUUACAUCUUGUAUUAUUAUUUAGAAUAGUAAUAAAAUACAAGUUGGGGCUAGAGCCCCAUAAUCUCGUGUGCCUUUGUGGGUUAUUCUUUAUUUGCCAUCUCGUGUGGAUUGGAUUAGAUUGAUGAGGCGAAAUAUUAUGUGGGAAAUUUAUGUUGGGACACUUACCAUAACCAGGUAAAAUCUACCAAGUCUUUUGUAAUAUCUUCUACAAAUAUUUUAGACCAGUUCUUCACAAAACAUCAUAAUAUGUUUUGUGUUUCUCUUGGAUUUUGAGUUGAAUUGUCUUAGAUCAAUUGAAUGCAUCUCAAUAUUAUUAUCUUGUUUGAAGGCUUGAUGAUUUUCCAUUUAACUUUACUUUCUUUAGGUUAUGCUUGAUUCCUUAAAAGUACUAAGGAAAACAAAAAAUAAAAAAAAAUAAAAAAUGCAGAGGGUUAGGACAUGUGUUAUCUAAUUGUCCUAUCCAAAGAUAUUAAGAAAGUCAUGUAGGAAAGUAAUUGAAAACUAGGUCAAGAAAGGAGCAAAAGGGAAUUGUUUUGGUAUUUUCUUUUUUAUUCUUGAAGGUGGCAGAGCUAAAAUUUGAGAAAUCAAGCAAAACAUACUGAAAUUACAUUGAAAGAAAGAAAAUGGUAGUUAAUGUCUUGCAGUACAUGAUAAGGACUUCAUGCAUGUAGUGUGACGACCCAUGUCUUGGACUGAUGCCACACUCACGGUUACACUUAUACCCUUGGUUCUCUCUUUACUACCUUGGCUAACCUAGAUCAGGCUAUGAGAUAGGCUCCUCACCACACCAUCACUUGCCCAGUAAUUAGUGACAUUUUCAAGCAAUGAGGUAACAUGGUGACACCAAGAGGGUUUAUCCCUCGCCCCAACAAGUCUAGACUCGGUCUCAAAAAAAUGGAGAAAAAUGAGGUGUCGUUAUGCAGAAAUACAACAACCAUGCCUUCCUUAUUACUUAGAUUCAGAAUGUGAAGGUGAAAUUGAGAAACAGAAACUCUUGAAACCAGAAUGAAAAUUGAUACUUUUACGAAGAAUUACAACAUUAGAGGAAGACUACAUUCUUCCUCUAUAUUCCUACGUUUCUACACUACUUCUACUCCACUCCAUAUUUCUACAUACAUCUUUAAUCAGUUUUCCCUCCUUUAUAUAGAGCCAUCUUCACACAAAUUCCGCAAGGUAGAAAAGAGGAAUGAAACUUGGAGCAAGGUUCGACUACUGGUUGUCGCUUGUCAAGGCUGGAAUUGAACUUUUUUUCUUGGCUUUUCUGGGCAUAGGUAGUAACUUGUGGUUCCUUUUUGGAAUGAAAAUGGUACAGCUAGAACAUGUGGCACUCUCUUGUUGGAUUAUGUGUCAAACAUGUGGCAGCCAUCUAGUGGAGAUUAUUUCAAUUUUGGGAUGGAGAGUUGGCAUCCAAUUGCAAAGAAAUAUGACAUCUACCAACAUGCAAUGUAAACCUAUAUAGAUCAUAUGGAGAUAGAGAGGAAACAUAUAGAAAUGGAUAUAUACCUAGAACUAGCUUUUUAUUAAAUGAGACGGAGAGCCAACAAUGAAGGAAAAUCAAAAUUUUUGGCUCAUAUCAAAGAAUUCACAUUGUGUUACCCUAGGUUUUCUUAAAGCUUGCACAAAGCCAAAAAGCACACAAAAAAUUAUAUUUUCUAGCUCUCUACCUUGGAUGGUCUCUUGAUCCUACUUGGAGAUGUGCAUAAAUAAAAGGAUUUGAAAAUGACAAUUGACUAAGUAUGUAGUCAAUCAAUUACUCAUUAAUUGACUAGUUGAUCAAUUAACUUUGCAACAUCAUAUGCAAUCCUAAUAGCUAGUCAUCUAAUCAACUAGGUAGUAAAUCAAUAGGCCAAAAAUAUGUUUAUAAUGACUAUUUUGUACAAAAACCACCUAUAUGGUUAAAUAUAAUGCAUUUCAUUUAUAAAUCUUCUAAUUCUUGAAUAACGAUCCUAUCAUCCUUUGAAAGUUUUUAUUACACCUUUUAUACUUUUGUUCUAAAACUUACACAUGUACAUCACCCUUAAUUGUACCAUGAGAACCUAGCUUUUUUUUUUUUUUUUUUUGUAAUUCAUCAAAGUUAGCUUUUGUAUUCAUUACUGUACUAUUUUUAUUGUAACUUAGAAAGCGAGUGUUUUCAAGUGAGUGAAAUUGACUUAUAAAUAUUGUAAAGAUUCAUUGAUGUGUAUCUUAAACUAAGUGUACAAGUUGAAACAUUUGCUAGUAGAUUUUCUCAAGAUUUAGAAUAGAGCUUGAGGCUAUUGAAAUAGGUGGGGUUGCACCAAACCACAUCACAUUGUUGUUUGCACCUUUUUUUCACUCUCUUUUACUUAGUUGCUCUAUAUUUGUUGUCUAGUAAUAUCCUAUAGGCUUGAUGGGUUAGGGAGCAUCCCUUUGUGAAAAAUUUUCAUUCAAUCCUUAGUUGUAUCACGCAUAUAUAAAAUGCCUCAUUGUUUUAAUGGUAUUCAGUCGUGGCAUCACAGAUAUGGGCAUCUAAAUUUUAAAAGUUUGAAACUUUUAUCUAAAGAAAAUAUGGUGCUUUGCCUUUUUGUAAAGCAUGUUGAUGAAAUCCAUGAGAAUUGUGUACUUGGGAAGCAACAUCGAGAUGACUUUUUUUUUUUUCAUUUUUUAUAAUGCGACACCUAAGUCCGGUUUCUAAAUGCUGAAGUGAAAGGGUAGGUAUGGACCAUUGAAAUCUGAUCACAACUUUUGGCCUUUUCCUUUCUCUGCAGCCAUGUUGUCUCUUUUUUCUUUUGCAUGAUUUUCUUACCUAAACAGAAUCAUAGACUUGUUUAAUCUCUAAAUGGUAUUUCAUCCAGCUUUAAGCUACUGUAUUAUAUCUUGGUGGAGGACUUUUAAGAGUGAAACCGACAUAGAGCACAUGCAAGUGGGUAUAUGGGACAUGAAAUUUCUUCUUAUAAAGACUGCAUGGUUUUUAUAUUAGAGUUGUUGAGGCGCAAUGUAUUUAGCUUGUUUUGCAGUUAAAUUAAUUGGAUAAGUAGACAUUGUCGUUUCUAAAUUUCCCACCUAAGAUAGUGACCUUAUCCUUGACUGCUUGAUGAGAUACACAAACAAUUAUACCUUCAAAAUCUACUGUGAAGUGCUUCAUGUAUGUGUGAAGUAUUAGAAAUUUCUUUCUUGGCAACUUGUUUUUUCUUUGCCCUCUACUGAUAGGUUUGACUCAAAUUAAAUUCCCUGUCAUGCUAAUUAAUUUUCACGUGCAUGCUCAAAAGGAUCACGUCAACUCUGGUUUCUACUAUUCAGGUCCAUUCCCAGAUAAACUGGUUCAAAUUUGAGAAAAUGGCAACAGCCCUUUAGUGAUGUUGGUUUGGAGCCAGUAGCCAAACCCGCCCUGAGCUUUACCACUAAUGUCAAGGGACAAAGCCAUUUGAACAAAAACAAUAGCUUCAAGAGACUGAAUCGUGGAUGAAAUCUGAUCCACAUUUCUUCUCAUUUUGGGAACAAAUGAGAACUUAACUACAAAGAUUCUACUGCCUCAUAGUGCUUUUCCUGAUCUAAGGUUGGUUCGUUUCCCAAAUUGUGAGGUACGUGCCAUUCUCACGCUCAGGAGUGUAUCCACGUGGUGGACAUAAGAUGGUGGCUUAAUAUCUGGUGUCGGUGGCUUUACUUUACUAGGAGAGUAGUGUGUCUUCAUCUCAUUCACUGCCGGAGGGUGGCGUAAGCAGUGACGCUAAGGUGGGGCACAGUCAAUAUCAUUUGCAUUUGACCAUUAUAGUUUUCUCCCGGCUUGAAAGUAACCUUAUCGUGAUAAAGGAUUACUAGCACUAGUUCAGAUGACAGUCAUGUUAAAUUCGGACCAUGUUUGUGUCACAUUAUCAGCAACCAUGUGUUUAUGGUUCAUGCUAUCUGCAACUAAACUUGAUAUAUAACCACGUGAACUUCAAUCUAAAUUCUGGAAGUACUCUUGUGAUAGAUGGUGCCUGUCUGCAGAGUCCAUCAAUUGAAAAAUGGAGUGAGUGUAUCUAUAAGAGGGAAGGCUUGGCAAAUGUUCAGUUUUCUGGGAACUCAACAAGGAUCUAAAAUAGAUUGUUUUCUUUGCUGAUUUCAAUGGUUGAAAUUUGAGAAGAUUGUGUCCACAUAACACAACUAUUACUGGUCCUUCUGUUGCAAUUUAUCCUCUAAGGCUCUAACAUGUCUUCCAAUUCCCACUUCCCUGUUACUCCAGGAAAGCUAUUUCUGUCAUUGUGAAGAAGAAAAGAGAAUGUACAUAUCGAUGGUUUUAAGUGACUGGGGCAUUCAUAUCAGGUGGUCUGCAGCCAUAUAUGCCACUUUGUGAAGGUUGGAACAGUCAAUCACCAGGCUAUAUUAGUGUGGCCCAGCCACUUCAAUCAAGGACAAGUCUUCAUACUUAAAGUCAAAUUCUGCCUUUAGUCUCAUUAUAAAUUGCUGUUUAAAUAUUAAGCAAACAUUUGUUUAAUGCGAUUAAGACAGUACUAACUCAAUACUUGUUCUAUUUUUGGAUGCAAAUGCUUGAUGGUUUCAUCAUUGGAUGGGAUAAAGGUGCAUUCAUGAUUAUGAAUACUUGUAGUUAUAUUUUCAUUCUCUUUUUUCUCAAUGAGACUUGUUGGCACAAUUUUGCUGUUCAGAAACCUACCUCUCCAUCGAAAAUCAGUUGUGAUUGAUAGUACUGGAUAUAUUCAAGAAAGCUAAAUAUAGAUAGCACCAAAUAUUAUCGAUAUAAAUAGCAUUAACAGCGUACGUAUGUCUCAAUGCUCAUCAGCUAUAAGCAACGGGCAAACACUUACUAUGAGCAACUUGCGUCAAAAUUCCAGAAUAGGACAUAGAAGUGACAGAUCUAUAUAUAUAUAGAACACUGCAUAUGAGUCACAAGAAAGGAAAUUACGGGUGCAUAGCAGCUCUUAUUUUACAUCCUACUCAUACUGAUCAAAGUCACUCAGUUGGGAUGGGUGGGAGUAGGAGGUUUGUGGGGUGGCUUGUGCGGAGGAGUUGGCAGCUUCUUUCCAGGACCUGGUUGCUUCUCUGCUGGAGUUGAAGGAGGCUUAAUCUUCCGAGGUGGCUUGUAUGAGUCUUCAGCAUUCUCAGCAGGAGGGUGACCAGGGUUGUGACCAUAAUGUGGUGGCUUCUCUCCCUUAGGUGGUUUGCCAACUGGGGUUGGUGGCUUGUAUGAGUCUUCAGCAUUCUCAGCAGGAGGGUGACCAGGGUUGCGACCAUAAUGUGGUGGCUUCUCUCCCUUAGGUGGUUUGCCAACUGGGGUUGGUGGCUUGUGUUCUGGGAGUGGCUUCUCCCCCUUGGGAGGUUUUUCCAAUGGGGUUGGUUUGUGUUCAGGAGGUGGCUUCUCCACUGGAGGCUUGUGUUCAGGAGGUGGCUUCUCCACCGGAGGCUUGUGUUCAGGAGGUGGCUUCUCCACCGGAGGCUUGUGUUCAGGAGGUGGCUUCUCGAAUGGGGGAUGCUCAGGGUAAUCAGCAAGUGAGGGGUUGGUGAGAACCACCAUGCCAAGCAACAGGACUAGCAAGUAUGUAGGAGACAUCUUUGGGUUUGGACUUAAGACAGUGGAAAACUGCGAGAAUUCUCUAGCCUUUUAUAGCGGGUCGACCCAGUACUCACAUGACACGUGUCAUUAUGACACAUGUGCCAUGGGGUCGAUUUGGGUCCUACAGUGUUGAAAAGUUGGGCAUUUGAGGUGUGAGCACAACUUUUGGCCUUUGCUUUCUCUACAGCCGCCAUGCUUUUCCCUUUUUUCCUUUUCCUUUUGUUUUCCUCCUGCCUCGUGUUCUCAACUAAACACAAUUAGGUUGUUUAAUUGUUAAAUGAGAUUUUUGUCUGUCAAUCAUAUUAUAUCCUAUCAAGAGAGAACAGAGUGUAAUGUAGUACACAUAACACGAGGCAGUAGUAAUUUUAUCAUUUAUUUUUAUAGCUUGGACCACCGCAUUUUUUCUUCUAAAAUAUUCUGUCUUGUUAAGAGACGCAAUAAUACACAAUUUUAUCUGCCAUUCAACAUUUACUGUAAAGUUCUUUUAUCUCUUUGUAGUUCUAGAAAAGUACAAAAUGGAACAUCAUGUAUAUGGUGCCUUCUGUCCUAAAAAAGAAACUGGACAAAUUAUGAACUGCAUGCUAAAAAGAGGCAAAGGAGCUUAAUUCGCAGCAUAAUUAUUUUGGUUUCUAGAGAGCCCGGGGCCUUUUGGUUGGUUUGGGGUCAGAAAAUGAACAUCAUAGGGAUUGUGCCCUUAACUGGCCUUGUUACUACAAAGAAAUUGCCAUAGAAAUUUAUUCCAGGCUGAGUAUCUCCGGAUAGACCCCAGAAAAGAAGAGUCAUAAUGAGAAUCAACCUUUGUUGAGUUUGAUUCCAUGCCUCCAUUGUGUUCAUUUCAUGAAUCUGAUUUGCAUUUAACAUUACAGUUUUGUUCUGGAAACAAUCAAAGGAGCAUCGUUUGCUUCUUGGGUGACCCAUAGUGGUGGGUGGGUCGAUUUGCUUAGUUGAAAAUUGGACAAUUGGCUCCAUCGCCUACCUCUUGGAUUCCAUGCUCGGAUAAAACGACAACAAAUAAAUAUUUAUAACUUACAACUGGGGAAAGGAAAAAAUAGUACUAAAUUCAUGGUACAUGAUAGUGAGAGAAGGGGGUGUUACACUCAGCUAAAGUUCUUUUCUAAAUAUUGCAUGGUGUUUAAUUUUAUGUGUCGGCGCGCGUGUGAAUGGAACCUGCAAAAGUCCAAAUUGGCGUUUCUCCAUUUUCCACAUAGGAUGGUGACGUUAAUAGACAAAGAUACAAUAUCUGUAGACAUUGCUUAAAAAUCGAUGUGAAGUAUUAGAAAUUACAGGCCACUGUACUGGGGGAGCGGCUGCCCCGCCAAAGGAAGAAUGUAGCAAUUUCUUCUGUUAGCCAGGCCUUAGGAUUUAUGCAUGGGAUGCCUAAUAACAAACAGAGAAAAUAUGCUUUUGGGGAAGGUAUCCAACAACAGACACCAUCAUUCAGAUGGUGGGAAGGUAUCCAACAGAUGCCAUCAUUCAGAUGGUAACAUAUAUAUACAUUUAUUAGUGAGUUUUUUUAAUACCUAUAAAAAAAAUAUACACUUUGAUAUUGUGGCUGAAUCCAUUACAUACUCAACUAACCUUGCUCAUUAGGGAUUUGACGUAACAAGGGCAACGUUGCAGUAAAAGCUCGAAACUUUAUGCAGGUGACAUUACAUUUGGUAAAGAAGAGGAAAAUAAGGAAAGCCAUCCAUAAAAGCAAAAUUCCUCAUGGGAUGAAAUUCACAAACUUCAUUUACGUUAGAGUCGCAUCCAGGCAAUUAAUUCCACAUUAGACCGCCUUUUGACAUGUGUACGGAUCUUUUUUCAAAAAUUAUUUAUAAAUAAUUGAUACUUACAAAAAUAAUUUAAGAUUUAUAAAGGAUAAAAAAAUAUUUUCAAAUCUAUGACAAUUUAUAAAAUAUUAAUAAAAAAUUAUCUCUUAAACUUAGUAUAGUUUUAUCGUAUUAAACUUUUAUUUUGAACAAAUAAUUUUAAUCUAAGUUUUAAAUUCUAAAAUUAUUUCCUUAAAAUAAAAUUUUAAAAUUCAACACUUCAAUUGAAAUUGUCUUUUAAAAAAAAUAUCUUCUUAUUUUAAUCCUUAUAAACUAUAGUUGAUUGAAAAUACUAUUGAAGUUCUCUCUUCAAAAAAAGUCUUAUUUUAAUCUUCAUAAAUUGCCCUUGAUUUGAAAAUAAACUUUGGGUUAUCAUAUUUUAAAUAAUAUAUAUAUAUAUAUAUAUAUAUAUAUAUAUAUAUAACAAAUACUCUAUUUUUUUUUUAAAUGAACUAAUUUUAAUUAUAUUUUAUUUUAUUUUUUUAUAUAUUUUUAAUGAUAAACCAAACAUAGAAAAUCAUUUUUCUAAAUAUUUUAAAAUUUCUAAGCAACCAAACAUAAUCUUCAAAAUAAAAGGAGAAUAAGGAGGGACAAGUGAGAAAUGGCGAUUAAAAAAAAGUGUACAAAAGCUCAAUUAAUUUUCUUCUAGUCUUUUAUAUAAAAAAGUAUUGGUAUGUAAAUUAAUAUUUGGAUUUUAAUAGUAUUUUAUUUGUCUUUCUCUAUCUCAUGUAAAAGAGAAUUUAAGAUAUUUCCUAAAGCAAAGCAUUAGUUAUCUGCAAUCAGUGGUGAUCAUGGUCCAUGUCAAUUUCGGACCCAUAUCUUAAAACCGUAUAAUUUGCGUUUCAACAUUACUGAUUUCUCAGAUGUUUCAUACUCCACAGAAGAGUAUUGUUAGUGAAAGCAUUUUGUAACUGUUACUCAUAGUGUUUUGACUCUGGCUCAACAACAUCAGCCAUUGACGGAUUUUCAUACAUGCAAAUCAAAUAGUCUUCUUCCUCCCUUAGGAAUUUCGGUUUAAAUGUUAUUAAGCAUACAUUUGGCUGACAAUUAUUAACCACUUCAUGAUAUGGUUUCUUACCCUUAAUCAAUGGUUUCUAAGUGAAUAUAUGCAGAAGGAAAUCUGAACUGUAGACAGCAGUAUUGAUAACUCUCAAUAUUCUUUAUAUAAGAGAAUAAACAACGUCAUAGUGAUCGUCGCCUACAAGAAAGGUACAUUUCCCAACAAGAUGUAGUGGUGACUGCUACAUGGACGCAAUUAACUCGUAGAAAAGGAUAAGACCAGUGCACGGCAGCUCUUAUUUUACAUGCUAAUUAUGCUAACCAAAGUCACUCAGUUGGGAUGGGAGGGAGAUGGAGGUUUGUGCGGUGGCUUGUGGGGCGGAGUUGGUGGCUUCUUUUCAGGAGCUUGUGGCUUUUUCGGAGCUGAAGGAGGCUCAAUCUUAUGAGGCGGCUUGUACGAGUCUUCUUUACUCUCGACAGGAGGGUGACCAGGGUUGUGACCAUAAUGUGGUGGCUUCUCUCCCUUAGGUGGCUUGCCAACUGGGGUUGGUGGCUUGUGUUCAGGAAGUUGUUUCUCUCCCUUGGGAGGUUUACCAAUUGGGGUUGGUGGCUUGUGUUCUAGGAGUGGUUUCUCUCCCUUGGGAGGUUUAGUGGGUGACUUGUGUUCUGGAGGUGGCUUCUCCACCGGAGACUUGUGUUCUGGAAUUGAUUAAAAAAAUUCUACCACUCUUUUAAGUAAUGGAAGAUUAUUAUCUCUGAUUGGCACCACAACAGCACAUGCUGCUAGAUCUUUCUAGACACUCCAUGCAAUGAAAGCACAAUGGAUCUUGUAACGAUAGAAACUAAGCCAUGCUACAGUACUAGAUGACGAGGUAAAACUAGUAGACAUGGGUGGUAGUUGAUUACUACUCAAAAAGUACUCUUUUAUAGUUUGAAACUAACUGUUUUAAACACUUUUGAGUAGUAGUUAAUAAAUUUUAACUCAAUUGGCACAUUAAGGAACCUAGCAAGGGUUACUAAUAAACUUUUGGCAAGUUUUGGUGUUUUUGGUAGUUAUUCGAUCAUUGAAACAAGCCAAGAAUGAGGGAGAAUUUUGUGAAGUCCAUGGCAAUGCAAGUUAAAGCUCAAAUACACGAAGAAUCCAAGCUUUGGAGCACUACAUAGCCCUUUGCCAAGCCAAUUAGAGAUGCAAGGAACAAAACCAAAGGAAGAAAUCCAACAACCAACAUUUUCGCAUGGUUGUGUGAAAUUUCGCACACCAUGCGAAACCACAAGAGGUAGCCAAAGAAUUUCACAUGGUAUGCGAAAUCUUCUCAUGCACCGACUCCGUUAGAUUUUUAUCUUCAGAUAUUUUGUGUAAUUUCCUAGUUUCUCCUUGUAACCAACCUAGAUAUUUUCUUUUAUAUCUUUUUUUAUAUUUUUUAGGUAACAUCAUAUAUAAGGGGAGAGACAUAAGGAGGAUAUGGAUGUUUUUCAUAGAACACUUGUAAAUUUUCAGUAGUAAGAAAUAUACAAAGCUUUUUGCUAUGCCUUACCUUCUCAUUUUGUUUUCACCUGUCUUUCUAGCCAAACAACCUCUAAGGAUGAUUUCUCAGGGGAUGAGUGGCUAGGUUUUACGUUUCUUGGAGUGAGGGAAGCUAGGUGAAGGACCUGAAUGCAAAGAUGAGAGUUUUCCUUGCUUUAAAUGAAAGUAGUUGUUAAACAUUAAUGGUUUUUAUUUUAAGGUUUAGCUUUAAAUCCCUUAAAAACACCUUGAAUGACCAAUACUUGGUAAGCUUUUCGGAUUCUAUGGAUGCUUAUUGCUAGAUCCAUGGAUGUCUAUUAGUUAUCAUUUACGAGCCUUUGGAAGGUGAUUCAAGGUGAGGGUCUUUAGUGUUUGAAGCCAUUAAUGGGAAGCAAUUACCAUUUUUUCAUGAAUCCUUUGGAUCAAAUCUUAAUUGCUAAAUAUAAAACCGAUUUGGGAAAUAACCAUCCUUUAUGUUAUUAUCCCCAACGCAAGGAGAAGAUCCGGAAUCUUCCCUUUUGUCUAAGGAACCCGAUCCUAGUGACCUAAAGCUCCAAGAGACCUUUUCUUUGUAGUUAACUUCAUUUAUUGUUUUUGCUUAACUUAAAAUCAAUCUUUGCAACCACAAUUCCAUUUUCUUUAAAAGCUAAUUUUUAUAAGGAAAAACACCAUUUUAUUUCCUUCACUAAGUCAACUGUACGAUGAAAACCCAUCCCUGUGGACGAUCCUAGAGCCAUUAUACUAUGUUAGCUAUGCUACCCUAGUGUGAGGUGAUUUAGGUUUUAUAAAUUUUGUUGAUAACACCCAUCUGAGCCAGAAUCAAAUGGCACAACUGAACCAGGGACGAAUCAAAUGGCGCCGCUAUCGAGGAUGGUGCCAAAGUACAUUGACAUGACUUUUGGUGAACACUUGUGAUCUUCAUCACAAGUUUGGUGAUUUUUCUAUUACUAAUUUUUUUCUUUGUUUUUAUUUUAGCUUAUCUUUUAUUUAGUUUUUAGCUAACCUUAACUUUUUCUUAGAAUUGUAUUUCUUCUAUUUUCUUUGUUUUUGUUUCAGUGAUCUUUAGUUGUGCAUGCCCUAUUGGAUAAGAAAUAUUGAGGGAAUACUUGUGAAGAUUGAAAAUCCUCGAGAAACUGAGUUGGAAGUGUGAUUGAACAUCAUGGAUGUUCCACCUGAAGACCAGAAUAGCCAACAUGGUUAAGAGGAUAAUUUCAAAGCAUACCGAUCCAUGAGGGACUGCAUGCAUCCACCUCGUAUGAGUGCACCGUCAUGCAUAGUGCCUCCCACUGAGCAACUAGUAAUCUGACCUCACAUUGUGCCACUCCUACCUACUUUCCAUGGGAUGGAGAGUGAGAAUCUCUACUCGCAUAUUAAGAAAUUCGAGGAGGUUUGUAAUACAUUCCAAGAAGGAGGAGCUUCAAUUGACUUGAUGAGGCUCAAGCUAUUUCCUUUCACUUUGAAGGAUAAGGCUAAGAUUUGGCUUAAUUCUUUAAGGCCAAGGAGUAUCCGAACUUGGACUAAUUUGCAAGCCGAUUUUCUUAAGAAGUUCUUCCUUACCCAUAGGACCAAUGGUUUGAAAAGGCAAAUUUCGAACUUCUCAGCUAAAGAGAAUGAGAAAUUCUAUGAGUGAUGGGAGAGGUACAUGGAAGCUAUUAAUGCUUGUCCUCACCAUGGCUUUGACACAUGGCUCUUAGUGAGUUAUUUUUACGAUGGUAUGUCUUCUUCAAUGAAGCAACUCCUAGAAACUAUGUGUGGAGGAUACUUCAUGAGUAAGAAUCCGAAGGAAGCCAUGGACUUUUUGAGUUAUGUGGCUGAAGUUUUAAGAGGAUGGGAUGAACCAAAUGCUAGAGAGGUGGAAAGAAUGAAGUCUCAACCUAAUGCUAAGGGUGGGAUGUAUGUUUUGAAUGAAGACAUUGACAUGAAAGCAAAGGUUGUAGCUAUGGCAAGGAGAUUGGAAGAGCUAGAAAUGAAGAAGGCACAAAAAGUGGAAGCCAUUUCUGAGACAUCAGUGCAAGCUAUGCCUUGUUCCAUUUGUCAACCUAAUGCUAAGGGUGGGAUGUAUGUUUUGAAUGAAGACAUUGACAUGAAAGCAAAGGUUGUAGCUAUGGCAAGGAGAUUGGAAGAGCUAGAAAUGAAGAAGGCACAAAAAGUGGAAGCCAUUUCUGAGACAUCAGUGCAAGCUAUGCCUUGUUCCAUUUGUCAAUCUUAUGAGUACCUAGUGGAGGAGUGUCCUACAAUUCCAGUAGUGAGAGAGAUGUCUGGUGAUCAAGCAAAUGUUAUUGAUCAAUUCAAGCCUAAUAAAAAUGCUUCAUAUGGCAACACCUACAAUUCAAAUUGGAUGAACCAUCCAAAUUUCUCUUGGAAACCAAAGCUACCUCAAUACACACAACCUGCUCAAGCACCUUAGCAAUCCUCGAAUCUUGAACAAGCUAUUGUGAACCUUAGUAAGGUUGUGGGAGAUUAAAAGUCCAUCAAUGCUCAACUGAAUCAGAGAAUUGACAGUGUAGAGAGUACAUUGAACAAAAGGAUGGAUGAGAUGCAAAAUGAUCUGUCUCAAAAGAUAGACAAUGUCCAAUAUGCAAUCUCAAGGCUUACCAACCUCAACACAGUGCAAGAGAAAGGAAAGUUUAUUUCUCAACCUCAUCAAAAUCCCAAGGGUAUCCAUGAAGUGGAGGCUCAAGAGAGAGAAUCUUCAAAGGUGAGGGAAGUCAAAGCAGUUAUCACCUUGAGGAGUGGUAAAGAGGUUGAUCAACCCACAUCCAAGCCAAAGCAUAAUGAAGAGAGUUUUGUAGAAAAAGAAAAGAGAGGAAAAUAAAGGAAAGAGAAUAGAGAAAAGUACAAAGAAAGAUGACCAUGAGUCUAGUGUGGAUGAAGAGCCCAAGAGGAUAGUGAUCAAGGAAAAUAUGAUGAAGAAACACAUGCCUCCACCUUUCCCCUAAGCUUUGCAUGACAAAAAAGGAACCAAUAAUACAUCGGAAAUUUUUGAAGUAUUGAGGCAAGUGAAGGUCAAUAUCCCUUUGCUAGAGAUGAUCAAACAAGUGCCGACAUAUGCAAAAUUCUUGAAGGACUUGUGCACUGUAAAGAGAGGGUUGAAUGUGAACAAGAAAGCUUUCUUGACCGAGCAAGUGAGUUCCAUCAUACAGUGCAAGUCUCCAGUGAAGUACAAAUAUCCGGGCUACCCUACCAUCUCAGUGAGUAUUGGAGGUACUUGUGUGGAAAAAGCUUUGUUGGACUUGGGAGCAAGUGUGAAUUUGCUACCCUACUCUGUCUAUAAGUAGUUGGGACUUGGAGAGUUGAAGUCAACAUCCAUCACCCUAUCUCUGGCAGAUAGAUCAGUGAAGAUUCCAAGAGAGAUGAUAGAAGAUGUCUUGGUUCAAGUUGACAAAUUCUACUAUCCAGUGGAUUUUGUUGUUCUUGAUACGGAUCCGAUUGUCAAAGGAACUAAUUAUGUUCCUAUCAUACGAAGACCCUUCCUAGCUACAUCAAAUGCAAUCAUCAAUUGUAGGAAUGGAGUCAUGAAACUCACGUUUGUCAACAUGACAUUAGAGCUCAACAUCUUCCAUUUGUACAAGAAGCAUAUCCAUUCAGAAGAAAAAGAAGGUCUAGAGGAAGUGUGCAUGAUUGACACUUUAGUGGAGGAGCAUUGUGAUCGACAAUGCAAGAAGAUUUAGUUGAGAGUUUUGGGGAUCUUGAUGAAGGGUUACUUGAACCCUCAGAUUUGCUUGCUACCCUACUCCAUUGGAGGAAGAGAGAAGAAAUUCUACCCUUAUUCAAUGAGGAGGAGACACAAAGAGCUGCUAAAGAUAAGCCCCCAAAGCUUAUUCUUAAGCCACUACCCACAGAGUUGAAGUAUGCAUACUUGGAAGAAGACAAGAAGUGCACUGUUGUUAUAUCUUUAGCUCUUACCAUUCAUCAGGAGGAUUGUCUACUUGAAGUCCUUAGAAGAAGUAAGAAGGUAAUAGGGUGGCAAAUUUCUGAUUUGAAAGGGAUCAGCCCUUUUGUCUGCACCCAUCAUAUUUACAUGGAGGAUGAAGCUAAGCCAAUUCAUCAACCUCAGAGAAGGUUGAACCCUCACAUGCAAGAAGUGGUGAGAGUUGAAGUUCUUAAGCUACUUUAGGCUGGUAUUAUUUACCCCAUAUCAGAUAGCCCAUGGGUGAGUCCUACUCAAGUUGUGCCAAAGAAGUCGGGGAUCACGGUGGUGCAAAAUGAUAAGGGAAAAGAUGUCUCUACAUGUCUCACUAUAGGUUGGAGGGUGCGUAUCAAUUACAGGAGGUUGAAUGUAGUGACAAGGAAUGACCAUUUCUCGUUGCCCUUUAUUGAUCAAGUGCUUGAGAGGGUCUCUGGGCAUCCUUUUUAUUGUUUCUUGGAUGGCUACUCGAGGUAAUUUAAGAUAGAAAUUGAUGUUGAAGACCAGGAGAAGACCAUUUUCACAUGCCCAUUUAGAACCUAUGCAUAUAGGAGAAUGUCUUUCGGCUUAUGCAAUGCACCCACAACUUUCCAAAGAUGCAUGUUAAGCAUUUUCAAUGAUAUGGUGGAGCAUAUUAUGGAAGUCUUUAUGGAUGAUAUCACCAUAUAUGGAAGUGCAUUUGAUGAAUGCUUGGUCAACUUAGAAGUUGUUCUGAACCGAUGCAUUGAGAAAGACUUAGUGCUUAAUUGGGAGAAGUGCCAUUUCAUGGUACACCAAGGGAUUGUCCUUGGGCACAUCAUCUCCAAGCAAAGCAUUGAAGUUGACAAAGCAAAGGUUGAACUCAUUGUUAAGUUGCCAUUCCCAACAAAUGUCAAAGGAGUAAGGCAAUUCCUUGGCCAUGCCGGGUUCUAUAGGAGGUUUAUCAAGGAUUUCUCUAAGCUUGCAAGGCCUCUUUGUGAAAUAUUGGUGAAGGAUGUUAAAUUCAUAUGGGAUGAUAGAUGCCAAAGGAGUUUUGAAGAAUUGAAGCUAUUUUUGACAACCUCACCAAUAGUGAGGGCUCCCAACUAGCAACUGCCCUUUGAGGUAAAGUGUGAUGUCAAUGACUUUGCUAUAGGAGCUGUUCUUGGGCAAAGAGAAGAUGGAAAACCUUAUGUGAUCUACUAUGCGAGCAAGACAUUGAAUGAGGUGCAAAGAAACUACAUAACCACCGAGAAAGAAUUGUUAGCUGUAGUUUUUGCCUUGGAUAAGUUUCGUGCUUACUUGGUGGGAUCCUUCAUCGUGGUUUUUAUUGAUCACUUUGCUUUGAAGUAUCUAUUGACUAAGCAAGAUGCUAAAGCAAAACUGAUUAGAUGGAUUUUCUUGCUUCAAGAGUUCAAUCUCCAGAUCAAAGACAAGAAAAAAAUGGAGAAUGUGGUAGUAGACCACAUUUCAAGGCUAGCUAUCGCACAUAAUUCCCAUGCUUUGCCCAUUAAUGACGAUUUUCUAGAGGGGUCUCUCAUGUUGGUGGAAGUUGUCCCUUGGUACGCUCACAUUGCUAACUACCUGGUCACAAGAGAAGUUCCAAGUGAGUGGAAAGCACAAGAUAAGAAGCACUUCUUUGCAAAAAUUCAUGCCUACUAUUGGGAAAAGCCAUUUCUAUUCAAGUAUUGUGCGGAUCAGAUAAUAAGGAAGUGAGUUCCUGAAGAAGAGCAACAGGGGAUCCUCAGUCAUUGCCAUAAAAAUGCAUGUGGAUGCCACUUUGCUUAUCAGAAGACAACCAUGAGGGUGCUGCAAUCGGGUUUCUGUUGGCCAUCACUUUUCAAAGAUGCCCACACCAUGUGCAAGAGUUGUGAUCGAUGCCAGAGGCUUGGGAAGUUAUCAUGUAGGAACAUGAUGCCUUUGAACCCCAUUUUAAUAGUUGAUCUUUUUUAUGUUUGGGGCAUUGACUUCAUGGGACUUUUCCCUAUAUCUUUUGGCUACUCUUACAUCUUGGUGGGAAUAGAUUAUGUUUCUAAGUGGGUUGAGGCAGUCCCAUGCAAACACAAUGACCAUAGAGUGGUUCUCAAGUUUCUUAAGGAGAACAUCUUCUCAAGAUUUGGGGUGCCCAAAGCCAUAAUUAGUGAUGGGGGUACUCAUUUUUGCAACAAGCCUUUUGAAACUCUCCUAGCCAAGUAUGGGGUGAAGCAUAAGGUAGCUACACCUUACCACCCUCAAACUAAUGGGCAAGUUGAGUUAGCAAACAAGGAGAUUAAAAACAUAUUGAUGAAGGUGGUGAACACAAACAGAAAAGAUUGGUCAGUCAAGCUCUUCGAUUCACUAUGGUCAUGUAGAACAGCUUACAAGACCAUUAUCGGGAUGUCUCUUUAUCACCUAGUCUAUGGAAAAAAUGCCAUCUCCUUGUGAAAUUGGAAUACAAAGCUUGGUGGUCAAUCAAGAAGCUCAACAUGGAUUUGAGCAGAGCUGGGUUGAAGAGGUUCUUAGACCACAAUGAGAUGGAGGAAUUGAGAAAUGAUGCCUACAUCAAUUCAAAAAUUGUAAAAGAAAAAUUGAAGAGGUGGCAUGAUCAGUUGAUUUCCCGCAAGAAUUUUCAAAAUGGAUAAAGAGUCUUGCUCUAUGACUCUAAACUCCACAUCUUUCCGAGCAAGCUGAAAUCAAGGUGGAUAGGUCCUUUUACCAUUCACCAAGUGCAUUCAAAUAGAGUAGUGGAACUACUCAACUCCAACAACAUCGGGAGCUUCAAAGUGAAUGACCAUUGUCUCAAGCCCUUUGUAGAGUCUUUUUUCUCGCGACAAGGAGGAAUUCAUCCUCCUUGAUCCACAUCAAGCUUGACAAGACCAGUUUUUUUUUAUGGACUUAGUCUUUCUAAAGACUAUCGAGUCCAUAACUUUUUAUUUUAUUUUUUAUUUGAGAGUUUUUCGGUAUUAUUACUUGUUUUGUUUUUUAUUUUUCGUUUUACUUUUAUUUGGUUUGAUUUAACUUAGAUUUUUUAUGAUCAAUUGCAGGGGGGAUUUCAAAUAGAGGAAAAACCAAGAUAAUUCGCACACCCUGCGAAAAUUUCGCAAGGCAUGCGAAAUUUAUGGCUCAUUUCGCAUGGGAUGCGAAAUUUCGCACACCCUACGAACCAAUUUCGCACACUUUGUGAAAAUAAACCAACCCUACGAAAUCAUUUCAAAUACUCUACGAAAUUUUCGCAGAGCAUGUAAAAAAUUUCGCAGACCAAACACCAUUUCGCAUACUAUGCGAAAAUGUAAGGGGUCUACAAAACCAUUUCGCACCUCCAAAGCCAUUUCGCACAUUGUGCAAAAAUGAAAAGUCGCCCUAUCAUCCAUUUUUAAACCCCUUGAGCCCUGAAAUCCCCAUUUCGCAAGCACCCCUGUCCUUGCGAAUCCCUCAUUUUCCUCUGCCACCUUGCGACCUUGUCCCUCUCCAUUUGAUAUCGUGCCCUGCGCACAUCUCAUUUCAAAGACUCGCACUCUGCGCCCUCUCAAAGCACGAACCCAAGGCUCACAUUCCAUUUCCGACAUGGCACAGACCCGAGGAGCCCUUCCCGCCCCUUCAUCGAGACGCACACCAAGGUAGAGAGCCUCUUUUGCUCAGAUGCCAAGUGAUUCUCCAUUUCAGGCCACGGAGGCCCUGCGGAUUCCACAUUCCAAGGGUAGAACAGCCACUGGUCCUUCCUCUUCUAUUCCUCAGCGUAGAUAUGAGACGAGGAGACCACCUACUACACAAAGGGCGACUACUUCGCGCCAUGAGAAUUCGGUACGACACCCUCCUGCCAAGAGGGCCAGGACUUCAGGCCCAGGCGAGUCAUCCAAAGCUUCACAGCCUGAGCCUCCUGCAGAUUCCGAGGUUCCUACUGACAUAUCAUCGGAGUCUAUUAUCAAACGCCCGAUGCUCACAGCACCGCCCAUUGAGGGCAACUCUGAUUGUAGAGCGAGACCUUUCCACUUGGAGCUAUAUUUUAAUUAAGAGGCCAUGCCACAGCAGCCUGAGCUCCAAGACUCUUAUGGCUUACUACAGAGGUACCAUCUUGAGGACCUUAUGACUCCUCGUGAGUUCUUUUAUCCCAGAGUAGCACUAGACUUUUACCAGUCCAUGACUACUCGUGGCGUCCCGAGUCCUACCGCGAUGCACUUCACCAUUAAUGGACGUCAUGGUAUCCUCGAGGCCAGACAUAUUGGAGAGGCUCUACAGAUUCCUUUCGAGCUAGAGGACCCAUCUGUUUUCUGCCAAUGGUCCCCAAUAUCUCAGAGGGACAUGGUCCAUAUUUUAUCCAGGGGGACAUCUACAUAUUCGAUCCUUCUACGGAAGGAGCUUCGACCUGGGAUACUCCUCGUAGAUGUGGUGCUACUUUCCAACCUCUUUCCCUUUUAGCAUUCGAUACAUAGGCGAGGAGCUAUUUUGGACGCUUUAUUCUGUAUAUCAGAGGGCUUCUACUUUGGCCCGCACCACUUGAUCAUGGUUUCCCUCAUCCAUUUUGAGGAGAAGGUCCAUAGAAAGAAGCUUCAGAGGGCGAACACCAUUCCAUUACUAUUCCCGAGGUUGCUCUACUAGAUCUUGGAGUACAUGGGCUUUCCUACUGAGCCUCGGCUUGUGUGCCGCCGCCUUUGUCAAGAGCGAUCCACUCUCGACAAAUGGAAUCAGUUGGCGGGCUAUUCUACACCUCCAGGAGCCCCUCCCAUGGUAGCACCUCUAGUGUCCCCACAGGCAGAGUAGGGCAAGCUCCCGGUAGAGACUGCACCCCUAGUGCCCACACCUGAGGCUACUUCUGCUGUUCCGCCUACGACUCCUACUGUUCCACCAGUUGGUCCUUUUACAUCUGAGUCUUCCAUCAACAUCUCGACUUCGGAGUUUCGCGCCCUUGUGCAUACCUUUCAGACACUCACCACCACACAUACUGCUCUCUUCUAGAAAAUGGCUGAGAUGCGUGCCCAUCAGGACCAGCAGACUACUAUACUCCGCCAAAUUCAACAGCACCUGGGACUUCUGCCUCUGCCUCAGCUUGACCUUCCCACAUCAUCAGAGCCUCUAGCUCCAGUUGAGGAUACUAUUCCACCUGAGGACACUACCACAGUAGAGGUUCAGAUUCCACCACCUCAGGAGGCCACCACAGCUACAUUAGAGGAUGCAUCAUCUCCACCUGAGGCUCCCACUACUUGAUCAUAGGACAUCUCUUUAUCUUAUUGUAUUUACAUAUUAUAUUACUGGAGAUUUGUCUUUGUUUUGAUACUUUAUAUUCUGGCAUUGAAUGUAUUGCCUAAUGAUAUCUCAAUUGUACUUUCUCAUAUUAAUAUAUAGACAUCAAUUUUUUUUAGUAUACUUAGGAUUUUUCUAUUUACUCUACUCAUUACUCUUUUGUUUUUUUUUUUUUACUCAUGUGGUUUCUCCUAUACGACUCAGACUCCAUUUCACUCAGGAGGUACCACUUCUUCCCUUUAUUUUCAAUUGCUCUUGAAACAUUGAGGGCAAUGUUGAUCUUGGUUGGAGGGAGAGUUGAGGAAGGAAGUGAUUACUACUCAAAAAGUGCUAUUUCAUAGCUUGUAAUUAACUCUUUUAAAACACUUUUGAGUAGUAGUUAUCACCUUUUAACCCAAUUAACAUAUUAAGGACCCUUGCAAUCAAUUCUAAUCAAAUUGUGUUAAGUUUUGGUAUUUUGAUAGCUUUUUUAUCACCAAAGCAAUCCGAGAUUGAGGAUAUUUAUUUGGAAUCCAUGGCAAAAGAUGUUUGGACAGGACGUCCGGACACACCAUCGGAGGGCGGCGGAACGUGGGCUGUGGCAGGCUGUCGGAAUGACGUAGCAAGGCUUGUGCACUUUAGCCAAUGAUCGGGAUAACAUAUCCGAAAUUCUGCUCCGCCGACAUUCCACCCGGAUGUCUCACAUCCGGAAUUCUGCUCCGCCGACAUUACACCCAGAUGUCUCACAUCCAAAAUUCUUCUCCGUCGACAUUCCAUCCGAAUAUUUCACAUCCGACGCUUGACGCCGGAUGGGAGAGGAGGGCGUUUCAACUUCCCCGGUCAGACAUAUCCGAAUCCUUUGAUAACGCUUACCCGGAGAGUUUCGCAGCCAUUUUGCACAGUGCCGCGGUGUUCUCUUGAAGCUUCCCGAUAUGUGCGACCGACAUUUUGAGAUAUUUUGCUUUAGAUAUUUGAUGUCUAAAUCCCCAAACUCUCCUUGUAACCCACCAAUUAUAGGAUUCCUUAGUUAUUAAGUUUGGAAAAAUGGUGAAUAACCCCUUAUAUAUAGUUUGCAAUUUUCAUAAAAAAGAUAUGUAGAAUCUCGGGAGCUUGUUCCCAGAGAGACGCAUCCUUUGUACAGUUUUGGAAGGAAGUAAAAUACAGAGCACUUGCUCUGCUUUUCAUAUAUAUUUUUGUUUUCUCGUUCUUUUUAUUUCUAGCCAAUCAAAGUCUGAGGAUUUUUCCUCAGAGGAUGAGAGGCUAGGCUCUUCGUCUCUUGGAGUGAAGAAAACUAGGUAAGUUUCCACAUGCAUAAAUUGAAAGUUUUGUUGUUUUAGUUUUUAAUGAAGAGAAAGUGUGACCCGUUAAUGGUUUUUAUCUUUUUAGUUAACUUAAAACGCCUUUAAAUCACCCGGGCCAACACUUGAUAAGGCAAGUGGUCUCCAUCCAUUGAGAUGCACUAGUUUAUCUCUUGCGAGCCUUUGGGAGGUGGUUUGAAGGUAGGAUUUUCUAGAAUAACCAACACUUGAUAAGCUUUUGGACUCUAAGGAGACAUCCAUUAGUUAUCUCUUGCGAGCUUUUGACGGGUAAUCCAAGGUUAAAGAUCACCUUGAAUGGCAAGUACUAGGUGAGAGGUAUGAGCCAUUGCAAGAUGCAUUAGUGAGAGGGAUUUAGUGUUUGAACCCAUUAAAGGGAAGCAUCUGUACCACACCGGUUCGGGAAAUAACUAUAUGUUAAAUCCCCAAUGAGAGGAAAAGAAACAAGUGACCGGAACUCCCUUUUUGUAUAAGGAACCUGAGCCUAGUGAUCUAAACUCCAAGAAACACUUUUCUUUGUAAGUAAAAUCAGUUACUAUUUUUGGUUAGUUUAAAACCAAACCUUUUUCAUUCAAACAUCUUUAUGUUUUCUUUUAAAGCUAACCUUGAAAUGAAAAGGCACCAAUUCAUAUUUGAAUUAAUAUCAAUUGUGAAGUGAAAACCCAUCCCAGUGAACGAUCCUAGAGCCACUAUGCUAUAGUAGCUUUGUCUUUGCUACCCUAGUUCAUGGUUUAAUAGGUUAUAAAUUUUGUUGAUUACUCCCACAAUCAAAGGAGCACCAGUUGGACAUGAAUCAACUGAGACACUAAUUGGGCACAAAUCAGGAAGUUUUGUUAAUAAUGCUAGGUUAAUUUGUUAAUUUAGUUACUUUCUGCUUAAUUUUAAAAGUUUUCACUUUACUUUCCAUAGUUAUUAAGGAAAAAUUCUCAAAAUGAAAUGGGAGAAAUUGAAUUCUUACAUUUUUACUUGAAUUUUAGAAUUUGUAUUAUGCUUAUUGAAGCUGAUGAAUUAUUGAAACUCCUAUUGAAUUCAACCUUAUUUCUUCCACUUUAAUCUUACCACACACGGUGCACAUUAGGUUCCGAUUAUAAGAGGUGCGUUCUUAGCCUAUUGGAGGUUGGUCAAUUUGUUAAAGUUUGAGAAAGAUCUAGGUUAGGGGAGAGAGAAUAGUCUGACAUACUAUAAUCGAAAACUAAUAAACUUAACACUUAGAUCUUUGUGGAAGAGUAAGGAUUGGACCUUUGGGAGUGGAAAUUCGUUUGAUGCUUAAAUUUGCAUAAUGCUUACACUUUAUAAAUUGUGAUUAGGCAAGAGAUUUGAUGACUCUUGUUCAAGGUUGGGUUUUGCCUCUUUGAUGUUCCAUGAGAGAGUAUAAUCCUCAUCAUGCCACUUGAAAUUUUUUUUGGAGUGAUUAACAUGAUUUUGUAAAUUACUUUACUGUCUAUUUUUUUUUUAUCUCUCCUUCAUUGCUAAUGGACUAGCAAUAUGUCAGUUGAGGGGAGUGAUUACUACUCAAAAAGUACUCUUUUAUAGCUUGAAACUAACUGUUUUGAACACUUUUGAGUAGUAGUUAAUACCUUUUAACUCAAUUGGCACAUUAAAGAACCUAGCAAGGGUUACUAAUUAGUUUUUGGCAAGUUUUGGUGUUUUUGGUAGCUAUUUGAUCAUUGAAACAAGCCAAGAAUGAGGGAGAAUUUUGUGAAGUCCAUGGCAAUGCAAGUUAAAGCUCAAAUACAUGAAGAAUCCAAGCUUUGGAGCACUUCAUAGCCCUUUCCAAAGCCAAUCAGAGAUGCAAGGAAGAAAACCAGAGGAAGAAAUCCAACAAUUAGCAUUUUCGCAUGGCUGUGCGAAAUUUCGCACACCAUGCGAAACCACAAGAGGCAGCCAAAGAAUUUUGCACACUAUGCGAAAUUUCGCAUGGUAUGCAAAAUCUUCUUGUGCACCAACUCCGUUAUAUUUUUAUCUCAAAUAUUUUGUGUAAUUUCCUAGUUUCUCCUUGUAACCAACCUAGAUAUUUUCUUUUAUAUAUUUUUUAGGUAACAUCAUCUAUAGGGGGAGAGACAUAAGGAGGAUAUGGAUGUUUUUCAUAGAACACUUGUAAAUUUCCGGUAGUAAGAAAUAUACAGAGCUUUUUGCUCUACCUUACCUUCUCAUUUUGUUUUCACUUGUCUUUCUAGCCAAACAACCUCUGAGGAUGAUUUCUUAGGGAAUGAGUGGCUAGGUUUUACGUUUCUUGGAGUGAGGGAAGCUAGGUGAAAGACCCGAAUGCUAAGGUGGGAGUUGUCCUUGCUUUAAAUGAAAGUAGUUGUUAAACAUUAAUGGUUUUUAUUUUAAGGUUUAGCUUUAAAUCCCUUAAAAACAUCUUGAAUGGUCAAUACUUGGUAGGCUUUUUGGAUUCUAUGGAUGCUUAUUGCUAGAUCCCUGGAUGUCUAUUAGUUAUCAUUUAUGAGCCAUUGGAAGGUGGUUCAAGAUGAGGGUCUUUAAUGUUUGAAGCCAUUAAUAGGAAACAAUUACCAUUCUUUCAUGAAUCCUUUGGAUCAAAUCUUAAUUGCUAAAUAUAAAACUAGUUCGGGAGAUAACCAUCCUUUAUGUUAUUAUGCCCAACGCGAGGAGAAGAUUCGGAAUCUUCCCCUUUGUCUAAGGAACCCGAUCCUAGUGACCUAAAGCUCUAAGAGACCUUUUCUUUAUAGUUAACUUCACUUAUUGUUUUUUCUUAACUUAAAAUCAAUCUUUGCAACCACAAUUCCAUUUUCUUUGAAAGCUAAUUUUCAUAAGGAAAAUCACCAUUUUAUUUUCUUCCCUAAGUCAACUGUACGAUGAAAACCCAUUCCCAUGGACGAUCCUAGAGCCACUAUACUAUGUUAGCUAUGCUACCCUAAUGUGAGGUGAUUUAGGUUUUAUAAAUUUUGUUGAUAACACCUGUUUGAGCCAGAAUCAAAUGGCGCAACUGAACCAGGGACGAAUCAACAACUUAUAUGGGAGGGACACAAGUUUAAUUGAUUUGCAUUUCAACGUUAUAUAUAGGUAUGUUUUGGAAGAUUUGUUCUGGAAAUACUGCACCAAGUACGAUUCUUUUUGUCUUGAGUGGGUCUACUUGCAUGCCAAUUAACGAGUGGAAAAGUAGGAGCACCUACCUCAUGCUCGCGGAACCGAAGGUCAGUGAAGUGGGGCUCCUUUUGGCCUCUUGUGUUUCUAUUCCAACCAAGGCGGCGUAAGGAAAAACAACAAUAUGUUUGUGCUAAAUAUCAACGCAUGAUAGAUGUUUUUGUUUUUUGGUAUGUCAAGGCUAAUGAAUGAAAUGCUUUAGCUUGUUUUGUGACUGGAACUGCAAAUGUCCAAAUUGGAGUAUCUCCAUUUCUCACUUCGGAUGGUUAACUUAUAAACAAGAUAUAGGAAACAUGUGAACAUCUUGAGGAACAAUUUGAAUUAUUCAUUAGAAGUCCUGGGUUGAGUUCCAAGAUUUAAAUUAGACCCCUCUAGCAGCUUCAGGGGUACCUAGCAACCUAUAGCAUAUUAAUGAAGAUUUAGGAUUUAGACUCUAGAAUACAAAUUAAUAUGUAUCUCAUGCUUUGACUAGCUUCCCUACAUAUGCACAAAAUGGAGAUGACCUAAAAAAAUAGCAGAAUCUAGCUUCCCUACAUAUGCACAAAAUGGAGAUGACCCAAAAAAUAGCAGAAUUUCCUUAGUUUCUGUGGUUAAGGUGAUUCUCCGCUUAAUAUCACAUUGACUCAUUAUGCAAAAUCAACUGAGCUAAUUUUGUUUAUUUAUUUAAUGUCAAAUAGGAACUCCUAAUUAACCUAACCCUUGGCCUGUGUAAAUUGAUUUCACAUGCCCAAUGUUGAAGUAGAAGUCCAUAUUUUGAAUUUUAUUUUUGUAAAGGUAAGGAAAAUGAAGCAUUGUGUAAUUAUAAAAAUAACUUCAUUGGAAUUCACAAGGUUCACCCAAAAUGGAGCUACAUCCGUAUUCUAUCCUGCAGUAGACUAUAUAGAUUGUACAAUAGUAAAUUGCAAAUACAAUUAAUAAGUCUUGUGCUUCCUUACUAAUAAUCCUUUGACAUGAACAUUGCAGCACUAAGGUCCUCUUGGGAAGACACCUUGCACCCAUGAGAGCACGAAGAGGAAGCAAGGCAGAGUCAUGGGUGCAAUGUCAUGACUUGUUGUUGCACCAAGAGAGGCUUGGUGAUGGCAUGGUGUUGCAGUAGCAAGAAUGUUGCCUUGGUAGGGACAUAAUCUAGGGAUAGAUGCCAAGAAAGGCUUAGCACUCACAUGAGUUGCACAAAGAUGAAUGUAAUAGAGCAUCAGAGAGACGUCUUGGCAAGUAAAUGAAUGGAUCCAAGAGGCAACAACAUGAGGAGUUUCAAAUGGAUAAGGAAUGAGUCAAAGACAUUUGAAAGCUACAAGUUGGAUUCUAAUUACGAUUGCAAUUUGAGUUUGAGUAGGAGUUUAGAUUCUGAUUGUAAUUGUAGUAUGAGUUGGACUAGGAUUGCUUAUCCCUAGUCAAAAUAGGAGUGGUUCGUGUCACACCCUAUGAAAAGAGUUUGAGUAGGGACUAGGAUUGCUUACUCCUAGUCAAAUAUGGAGUAGGUGGUGCCACACCUAUAAAAAAAAAGGGACAACAUGAGAGAGAGAGAGAGAGAGAGAGAGAGAGAGAGAGAGAGAGAGAGAGAGAGAAAGAGAUAAUGAAUUCACUAAAGAUAUUGUGGGAGUUUUUCUUUGUUACGUCUUGUAUUAUUACUUAGAAUAGGAAUAAAAUACAAGUUUGGGCUAGAGCCCCAUAAUUAAUCUCGUGUGCCUUUGUGGUUAUUCUUUAUUUGUCAUCUCGUGUGGAUUGGAUUACAUUGACUUAGAGGGCUUCUAAGCACCACCUUUGUGGGUUAUUAUUUAUUUUCCAUUUCUUGUGGAUUAGAUUAGGUUGACUUUGAGGGCUUUUAAGCACCACCUUUGUGGGUUAUUCUUUAUUUUCCAUAUCGUGGGGAUUGGAUUAGGUUGACGAUGAGAAAAAUUAUGUGGGAAAUUUGUGUUGGGACACUUAUCAUAACCAGGUAAAAUCUGCCAAGUCCUUUGUAAUAUCUUCAACAAAUAUUUCAGACUAGUUCUUCACCAUAAACAUCAUAUUGUGUUUUGUUUUUCUCCUGGAUUCUGAGUUGAAUUGUUUCAAGUCAAUUGAAUGCAUCUGAAUAUUAUUAGCUUGUUUGAAGGCCUGGUGAUUUUCCAUUUAACUUUACUUUCUUUAGGUUAUGCUCACUAUAAGAAAAAUGAGAAAUAAUGACGCUUUUUACGCGUUAAGAAAGGCAACAGAUGAUGCUUCUCUAAAGCGUCCUCUUCGGCUCUGUCAUUAUAUGUGUUAGCCAAUAAUGACGCUUCUAGGAAGUGCCAUCUUUGAAUAAUGUUAAUAACGACACUCGUAAAAAGUGUCAUCUUUAAACAUAUUCUGGUCAAAUAAUUUUUACAAAAUUAGUAAUCUUCAAGCCGUUUCUGAAUCAUAUCUGAGCCUAUUUCUGGGGACCAGAAAACCAUCUUUUUUCCAUUCGCCUGAGAGGUCUGAUUAGCAUUUCUGGAAUCAAUCUCUAAACCCAAGCUUCCCUCAUCUACCCAUUUAACCCUCAUGCCCUCCUGUUUGAACAACUUUCCCACUAUAUACACAAAUUUUUUACCUUCUGUUGUUGGUAUUCGACCUCUUCCCAUUCCCAGCACAGAAUCCACCAUUAGUGCCACUUUGUGAAUAAAAUCAUCGAACCAGAUCUUUCGGGCGGAAGAUGAGCUCCAGAGAAAUAAAAUUUUUGGGGUCUUCCCAGCAUGAAAGUCAUAGGUAGCAUUAAUGACAUCAAGAAAUGGGGCACUGUUGAGAAAAAACAUGUUCCCAUCAACCACCCAAGAAUUGUACCAGACUCCAAACACUUCUGGAUUACAUAUGCCUUUACUAAGAUAUAUUUCUUGAUCUCCAUAUCAGAAUCUUGGAGACUCUUCAUUUUAUGAGCUCUGACACUACUGUGAAAUUGGUCCACAUCAAUCACAGGAUGACCCCUUCUAGCAAGAUCAAGCAGGAAGUCUGAAUUCGGGCCCAUAAAAAUGUAGUUCUGAAUAUUGAAACUCUCAAAGUGGCACAACAAAUUCCUUAUGACUCUUUCAGAUGCUCCAAACAGGCUCACAAGUAUAAUGGUAUCCUGUUUUUGCACAGAGUAAAGAAAAUAUCCGAGUUCUUCAAAACUCCUUACAACUAUUCCAGGAUGUACUUCUUUGAAACAGAAAUCGUACCACUUUAGCUUAGUCAGAGGUUGAAUCUAAAAUAACAAAACCCAAACUGAAAUCAAAAUCGAAAUCAACCCUAAUAGAUUUCAGAAACAACAAAUUAAAAGAGUAAAGCACAAAAGGGGGAAAACACAUAUGAAGCAAUCUCCAUACAAGCCCUAACCUUAGAUAAACCCAAAAAAAAAAAUCAAAGCAGAGAGUUACCAUAGAGCAUCUCUGUUUCAAGCUUAGAAAAUGUUUAAUGCCAUUGAUAACUAGUUGGCUAGUGGUGGACUUCAAGCUUCUCUAUUUCGGUGUUAGUAGCUCUCAAUGGCUAUGGUGAGAACAAAGAAAUGAGAGGCUUAGGGUUUGGGAUGUGAGGUUAUUGAUGAUGAUGAGGAUAAAGUUAUGGGCUCUUGGAGGGGUUAGGGAAAUUGAAGAUGGCUGAGAGUAAAGGCUAGGGUUUUUGAGAUAGUUAAUAGCUUUUUAGGGUGUGACUGUCCAUAGAUAGAAGAUAAAUGAGGGUGUGAGAAUUUAUAGAUCUCUAGGUGAUAUGGCGGGUGUGAGAAUGAAAUUUUAGAGGGAAUUGUGUGUUUGGUAGAAAUUUCACACAUGCAUAUAUAAUGUUUCAGAACAUGGCACUUUAAAAAUACGACAAGGAAGAAAUUAUUUAUUGACGCUUAAAUAAAGCGCCAAGGUCUCCAACAUUUUUGCAAUCAAUGACGUUUGUAAAAGGUGCCAUUGAAUAGGAGUGCCAUUGCUUUCCCACAAAGCAUCAUUGUUAAUCAAGCCUUUAAAAAACGCCAAGAUAUGUUGCCACUUAGGUUAAAUAUUGACGCUUUUAAAAAACGCCAAGGAAAAAAACGUCAUUAUUCAUGUUUUUUGUAGUAGUGGCUUGAUUCCUAAAAAGUAAAGGAAAGCAAAAAGUAAAAAAAUAAAAAUGUGGAGAGUUAGGACAUGCGUUAUCUAAUUGUCCUAGUCCCAAAUAUAUUAAGAAAGUCAUGUAGGUUACUUGGAGUAACGAGUCAAGUAAAGCAAGCCUUCUAGUGUUUAAGACAUUAGAUAUUACCGAACUGAUUAUGUCAUUAAUGUAUUGCAUUUGUUGUUUCUAAUAUAUAGAAGAAGAUGAAAUUAUUGGAAUAAGUGGGAAAUAGGAAUAAAUCCAAGGUACCAAAAAGUCACUUUAUCUUAGAUGUUGUUGGAAACAUAAGUGAUUUCACAAUAACGACUAUGAGACAAUCAAGGAUUAAUAAGAUAGACUUUAUAUGAUAUACCUCCCAAUUAGAGCCUAAAAAUAUGGAUGAAGCACUUAGAGAUGAAUCUUCAAUUUUUGUACUAUAGGAAGAAUUAAAUCAAUUUGUUAGCUAUUCUUUGGAUAUUUGAUUCAUCACAAGCUACAAAUCACUUUUGAUGACCAAACACGAAACUAAGAGGAUUGGGCCCAAUUCGAUGCCUAUCAACAAUGAUUUGUAUUCCACCUCAUUAAUUAUUCAAAGUUGGGAAGCUAGGUCUAACCACUUUCUCUACCUGUUCACCCUUAGAGGAGCAGAAGAAAAUUCUAACUUUGGUGCCUAAUGCCUUUGACAAUCUUUCGACAAAGAGAGUUCACUAAUUACUUUGAUUAUUUCUCUGUUGGUCACUGGGGGACAAGACUUUUGUAAUGAAGUCAACUAGAACUUGCCCUUUGAGGGCCAUUCAUGGACGAUAUUACACCAUGAAUUCCCUUAGGUCAUGUUUGGUAUGUGAGAAUGAGGAGUGGAAUGGACAUCUUAUUCAUUUUUUCAUCUAUUCAAAUGUUGGGAUAACUCAAGUGACCAUGAGAAUGAAAUCAAGAAUGAUUCAAGGGAAAUGAAAUCUUACUUAUAAGUGUGAUUUCAAUUAAUCUCUAAUAGAAAUUAUUUUGAAUCAAUAGUGCAAGUUAUUUUUAAAAACAUUUUUCCAAAAUUAAAAAAAUCAAUUUUUUUUUUUUCGAUAAGUUGUUUUUAAAAGGAUUUUUUUUAUUUUGUAAAAAGAAAAUUGUAAUUCAAUUUAUAUAAUAUAAACUAAAUUUUAUUUUAUUCAAAAAGAAAUAAUUUUUUAAUUAUAAAUAAAUUAAAAAUAAAUACUUUUAAUAAAAUAUAAAUAGUAUUAUUAUAAUAAAAUCAUAAAUAAAUUUAAUUUUUUUUAUAAAUAUUAUAAAAAUAUGGAUAUUAACAUUGGAUAAUUGAUUUAUUUUGUUAAAAUAAAAAAUAAUAAUUUUUAAUAUUAUUUUAUGUUAAAUGAAUUUUAAAAUAAAGAAAGUUUAAUUAUUUUAAGGUAUAGAAGAGCCAAAUUUUGCAUUACAUACAUAACAAACAAUAUUUAUUAGAAACAUUUCUCAAGGAGAAUCUUAUUCCAUCUCACAAAGAUACUCGUUUAUUCGAUGUUUGACCAUCCGUAACAAUCAUGUCAAUUCUACUGAUUUAAUAAUUCCUUUACAUUUAUUACUCACUUAUGAACAUGGUAUUGUGAUUUAUUUAUUUAUUUGAUGUAUAAUUAAUUAAUCAAUUUUUUAAAUUUCAAAUUAUUUUUAAAAACUAUUCAUUAAGGAAUUUAAAGCAUUAAUUAUGUCUAUUAUUUUUUAUAGUCAUUAUAUAUAUAUUGAGUUUUAAUUUAUUUUUAAAAAUUAUUAAACUUAUUAAUAAAUUCAAUAUAAAGUCUCGUUUCAUUUGAAAUUCAUUUCUUUAGUGAAAAUUUUGAAAAAAAAAUUGUUAUUUAUUUUACUUUGUUUUAAAAAAAUUGUUUCUAGAGAACAAUAAUCAAAUAAUGGUAUGAAUUUUUAAAAACAAUUUUGUUUUUAAAUCAUAUGCCCAAAUAAUUUUUUUUUAUUUAGCAAAAAACUUUGUUGUAGUAUGUGGCUCAUAUUGAGGGAAAGACAUAUAUGGAGAAAAAUGUGCAAAUGUUGGAGUGGAGCGGAGUGGAAUGACGACAUUUGUCAUUCAAACUUGUAUUUUUAUUGUUAAGGGUGACCGAUAGGUUGGUACGGUUUAGGGGUAUUUUUGGAAUUUCAUUACCUGAGGGUUAGUAUAAAUACCAUUUUAUGUAACCCUAAUUUUACAUAUAAUGUAAGUUUUCUUCCUUGUUCUUGUGGACAUAGGCAAUCCGUCGAACCACGUUAAAUCUGUGUGUUUUUUUUUCUUUUUUCUUUUUCUCUAAUUUCUUCACCAGGAAUCGUUACACUAAGAUCAACAAACUCUCAAAGAUGAUUUUUAAAAUGAAAAAAAUAAUGUAUAGUGUGAGAAUUUUUUAUUUUUUAUUUUUUUAAAAUGAAAAUAAAAAAUUGCUUUAAGGUAAAAGUGUGGAUAUUAUUGUUAAUUUAUUUCAUUUUUCAUUUUCAUUUCCAUUGUUACCUACAAUUGAAAUGGAAACAACUAAUCAUUACAACCUUACAUUCUUAUAUGCAUCCAAAUACAAAAAUUGAAAUCACCAAAUUCAUAUUCAAGGCAAAAUAGGAAUGAAAACAAAUAUUCAUUCUCAUUCUUUAUUCCCACGUGUCAAACAUGACCUCAAAGUUAUAAACAUGAACAAGAAGUCCUUGAAACACCAAUGAUCUCUUCUGGUAUAUAUAUGAGCUUGAUUGACAACUGUUUUAAAUACAGUUUUUUUUUUUUUUGUUUUCAAAAUCAAAACAAAUUUAUUUUUAUUUUUUAUAAAUAGUAGUUUUUUAAUAUUUUUUUUAAACCUUAUUAUGAAAAUAGGAUGUUUUCUAAUAUCAUAUUUUAAUUAUUUUCAAUUAUUUUCCCUUCUUUUAAGGAGGGCUAUUUUAAAAAUAUGAAAAAUGAUACAAAAUAAAGCAUUACAAAUAAAAAUCAUUUUUAAGAAAUAUAUGAAAAUAAUUUGAGAACAUUUGAAGUUCCUUAAUUAAACUUUUGUUCUAGAAAAUGCAAGAAAACUGUUUUUGAAAAUUGUUUUCAUAAUGAUAUGCAUUGAUCGUUUAAAAUUUAAUUACAUGAUAAAAAGACCUAUGUAAAAACCAGAGUUAUAUAAUCAGUCAUAGAUCAAAUCUACUAAAUAUGAAAAGUAAGUACAUAGUUGUAUAUGACUUAGAUGGAGCCUUCUCCGAAUGACAUUCUUUAGUCGGUACUCAUAUUUUUUUGUUUCGUGUCUUCAACAUAACACCUCAUGAUCCUUAAUAAAUCACCUGAAAACUAUAUUAGCACCUUAUUGUUUAAUAUUUCUCUAAAUUUUUUUAUUAAGCAAAUAAAUUCCAAAUUUAAAAUGACAAAUAAAAUUUAUUAAUUUUUAAAAAUAAUUUAAAACUCAAAAACCAAUUUAAUUGAUAUUAAAAGUCAUGAAACUUAAUAAUAUUAGAAAGUCAUGUAUCCAAAUUUAUUUUAAAUGACUUGUUUAAUUUCUUGUUUAUAUAUAUUAUAUUUUUAUAAUUUUUUUUACUAUACAAAUAAAUUUUAAAUUAAACAAAACUUAAUGCGUUGAAUUCAUUAACGAGUCUAAUAAUUUUUAAAAGUUACUUAAAAUUUAAAUACUAAAUCAAUUAGUACCACAAAUUCAUGGAAAAAAAUUGAUUUAUUACUACUAUAUUGUUUCUCUAUUGCAUAGAACCAUUAUUUUUCAAUUUUUUCAUUUGGCAAAUGAACAUCAAAUUAAACAAGACUAAGUGUAUUAAAUUCAUUAAUGGGUCUAGUAAUUUUUUAAAAUAAUUUAAAAUUCAAAUAUUGAUACUCCAAAUUAAACAAGACUUAGGUGGUGUUUGUUUUUUGGUUGAAUAGAAAAAGGUAAAAUAUUUGACUUUUUCUAUUUAGUUAAAAGUAACUUGUUGACAUCGUCCAAUAUAAUUAAAGUAAACCUAUUGAGGGCAAGUUCACUUUAAUUAUGUUGGACGAUGUCAACAGGUUACUUUUAACUCAAUAGAAAAAAUCAAAUAUUUUGACUUUUUUUUUAACUCAAAUAAUAAAUCCAUUAAUACAAAAAAAUUAUGGAUAAUUUGAAACUUUCUUUCUUUUUUUUUUUUUUUUUGCUACACAUAGCUAUAUUUUUAUAAAUUUUAUCAUUAGAGAAAUGGAUUUCAAAUCAAGUGAAACUUUGUAUUGAAUUAAUGGAUUUAACAUUUUUUAAAAAUAAUUUGGAACUAAAAAAAAAAGAUUUAAUUACUAAGAAAAUCAUAGAUCAAAACUAAUAUAUUCUGAUCCAUGAUUUUAUUAUUUUUCCUAUACAUACAAUUAUAUUUUUAUAAUUUUCUCACUAGGUAAAGAUAUUAUAAAUUAAGUGACACAUAAUUAAUAAUUUAAAUUUUUGAAUGAAUCUUUUAAUUUUAGGAAUAAUUUGAAAUUUAAAAAGUUGAUCCAAUUAAUUGUAAAUUAACUUAAAAUAUUAUAAAAUAUUAUGUUCAUAAUUAAGUACUAAAUGUAUAUAUGUAAUGAAAACUUAACUAGUUACAUGUUACAAAAGCCAAAAUUUAUUCAUUCUUUAUUUUAAAUAAAAUAUUAUUAAUAAUUAUUUUUUUUAAAAUAAUAUUUAGUAAUUAUUGUUUUUAAAUUAUUAUUAUUAAUUUUUAAUAAAAAAAUUGCAAAGUUAUUAAUAUCAUUAUAUUUCUAACAUAAAUUUAAAUAGUAUAUUUUUUAAUAUAUAUAUAUAUAUAUAUAUAUAUAUAUAUAUAUAUAUAUAUAUAUAUAUAUAAUUUAUGAUUUCAUUAUAAUAUUUUUAUUCAUGAUUGACGAAAAAUUAUUUAUUGUUUAAUUUAUUUGAAUUGCAAAACUAUUUUUCAAAAUUCAAGCGAGAAAAUAGGCCUGGAUUUGAAUUUCCUGUAGAAGAGAAGGAUGUGGAGAAUAUGUUGGGAGUAUUUGUGGAUAAAGAAAAGGCCAGGGUACUGAGAAAGGAGAGAGAACUUGCUCUUGCCAAAAGAGCCCUGCACAGGUAUUCUACUGAUUCUAAUUAUCGGUUCUUACAUGAUCAGAUUUCAGAUUUAUUUGCUGAGCUUCUGAAAUCUGAUACAGUAUUUAAACUCCGGUGAGCUUUACAAGAUUAGUCUCGCAUCCAAUUCCAAAUGGUGUCCCACAAUUGAUUCUUCUUAUGAUAAAUCCACCUUGAUAUGUGAAAAUAUUGCUCGAAAGGUUUAUCCUCGCGAGGAAUAUCCAGAAUACUAAGGAAUUGAGGAGGCUCACUAUGUUUAUAGAGUCAGGGAUAGGUUGAGAAAACAAGUAGUUGUUCCAUUACAUAAGGCCCUGGAGUUGCCAGAGGUUUUCAUGUGUUCGAACAAGUGGGGAUCACUUCCCUACAACCCUGUGGCUUCAGUGGCCAUGAAAUCAUACAAGAGCCUCUUCUCAAACCAUGAUACAGAGCGGUUUGGUGAGUAUCUUGAGAAAGUGCAAACUGGGAAGGCUAAGAUUGCAGCUGGUGCAUUACUUCCCCAUGAGAUUAUAGCUUCAUUGAAUGAGGAGGAUGCCGAGAGAGUUGCCGAGCUUCAGUGGGCAAGAAUGCUGGAAGAUUGAUCAAAGAAAGGGAGGCUCACAAAUUGCAUUGCAGUAUGUGACGUAUCAGGAAGUAUGAGUGGAACUCCAAUUGAGGUGUGUGUGGCUCUGGGGCAGUUAGUUUCAGAGCUCAGUGAAGAUCCAUGGAAAUUAAGGUAAUGUAAUUACUUUCAGUGCAAAUCCUGAGCUUCACAAGAUCCAAGGAGACAGCCUUGUAUCCAAGACUGAAUUUGUGAGGAUGAUGGAAUGGGGUGCCAACACUGACUUUCAGAAAGUUUUGACAGAAUCUUACAAGUAGCAGUGGAGGGAAAUAUGAGUGAAGAUCAAAUGAUAAAGAGGGUUUUCGUUUUCAGUGAUAUGGAGUUCGAUGAAGCUUGUGGGAGGUAUAACUAUUGUGACUAUGACUAUGAUAUGGAGGAAAUUGACGAGAGUCAGAAGGCAUCUCAGAAGUGGGAGACAGAUUAUGAAGUGAUACAGAGGAAAUUCCAGGAGAAAGGAUACAGAAAAGUUCCAGAGAUAGUGUUUUGGAACCUUAGAAACUCAUCAGCGACUCCAGUGACGGCCACAGAGAACGGGGUGGCCUUAGUAAGCGGGUUUUCAAAGAAUCUGUUGACCUUGUUUUUGGAAGGAGGUGGAAUUCUGAUCCCUCAGGAUGUGAUGGAAUUCGCCAUCUCUGAUGAAGAUUACAAGAAACUUGUUCUAUUUGAUUAAGAUAUCAAGAGAUUUAUCAAUAAUAAUAUAUUUUUUUUCUAUGUGAAAUACAUAUAAUAUUAACUGUGGAGUUAUCAAAGUUCUGGAGGUUUAAUUAUUUCUUCUUUUCAAGUUUUGUUUAUUUAAGGUUUUCUUUGUCUUUGUUAGGAAUUCCCCUUGGGUGGACCCAGCUGGGGAGUUGGAUUGAGGAAGUAAGCAGGCGAACUUGUGUUCUUCUAUGGACAGAGAAAAAAAAUAAAAUAAAAAAAUAAAAAAGGAGGUUAUUUGCAUUUGGAUGUCGUGGUUUGAGGGUACAACUACAAGCUCGAAAUUGUACAUAAUGUGAAAACUCCUGUGUCCAUUGCUGAGAACAGCAUAAAUGAUGGUGAUUUUCAAGUUGUGCCUGGUAUUCUACAGGAUGAAACAAGAAAGGAUCCAGGUGGUAUAUUGAACAAUAUCCCAAUCAUGUUGGUGGCAUCUUUAUUUAGUUAAUGGUAUUCAUUUGGUGGAAGCUGGUUGUUUAUGAUGUUUUUAAUUUUUUUUAACAUGAAGUUCGAUCAAAUACGUAUCUUAGUAUGUUUUGUUUGAGCUAAUUGGCAAAUGCGCUUUAAACAUGGUCACAUGGAUGCAGUUUUAUUUGUGAAAUGAUAAUAGUCGAUUACUUGGUCAGUAAGGUUUAUAUCUCUAACUUCAACAUCUUAUUGUAGUCUUUUAAAAUGUCAAAAGUUUAAUGCUUGAGAAAUUUUGGAAUGGAGACAUUCUAAACAAAGUUAAUAAUCCACAAGACUUGGUAAAACCGAUCAGAUGAUGCUUACGUACAUCAAUGCCUUCUUUAAGCCAUAUCCUAUUUUCAUUGAACGGGAUGUGCCAUCUAGUUUGGUUCUUUAAGCCUCCAAAUCCUAAACCUAGUCUCAAUUUAGAGCAAAUUUAGGGUGCAGGGCCUGCAUGCCUCCCCCUCCCCCUUCCACAAAUAGUAGUGACCUUGCUAUGCCUAUGCAUUGUCAAUGCCUCAUUUUCUAUGGUCUCCAAUGUAAUAUCUUAGUUUCAAUGUCUCUUUCCUUACUAUCUCCAAUGCAAUAGAUUGAUUUCAAUACCUCUUUACAACUAAGACCUCCAAAUUUUCUUGGUUCAAACCUACCAGAAUUUUUCUUCUCCUUUGCUUUCUAUCAAUAUUAGUUCCCCUAAUUUAAUAUAUACUUCUUUAUUACCUUCAACUCUACCUCUCUUUCUUUCUCUAAAAGCUUCCUCAAAGAUUUAAUUGCUUUCUUGCAUGUUUUAAGAAAACAAACAUGCUCAUAUUACAUUACCUCUACUUGAGAUCUACCUUAUACUCUACCUUCUUUCUUUACCUCCUAUAUCAUCUACUACAUUAGCUUCAAAAAUAUUAUUUAGUUUGAUACUAAAUAAGGCUCCUAAUCCUACUCUUCCUUCAACAAACUUUCUUUUUACAAGUUCCUUAAACUUUAUUUUUUAUUUUUUAUUUUUUGGAAAUUCGGGUUAGAAAGAUUCCAUUACUCUUACCUAAUAUUUCAACCAUCAAGUUGAAUCCACUUAUUGCCUAAAUCCAAGGAGUCUGCCCUCCACAAAAACAAGGAAAUUGAUCCCACAAUAACAAGGAGAUUGCCUUCCACAGAAACAAAGAGAUCUCCCUUCACAGAAGCCGAAUACAUUGCAAUCUAUUUUCUUUCUUGUAAGAUCAAAUCUUCAAUCGAGCUCCAUCUUAUGGGGGCAUAUUAGAGAAAUUUAAUAUUAUCCUUAAUUUACAUAUUAAUAUUUAUCUAUUUAUUAUAUAUUGAAUUAAAAUAGAAUAUAGAAUUUGAAUCAUAGUAGAAGUUUACUAUAAGAUUGAAUUACAAUAGUUAAUAGAGUUUAAAUUAUAAUAACUCAAAUACAUUUAUAUAUAUUUGACCUUACGAGAUUUUCUAUUUAUGUAUUUGAACUACAAUCCUUAUGAUCCUUAGGUCUCUAUACCUUCGUGAUGGGCUCCUUGACAUUUCAUAGGUUGUGCUACACAUGCAUUUGAAAUUUAGAGUGCAUUUGACAGUGAUUCUGGGAAGUGUUUUUGGCAUUUCUAACACUUAAAAUUUUUUAUUUUUCAAGUAUUAGAAAUGCUACAAACACUUUUGAAAAUUACUGUCAAACACACUCUUAGGAGCGCAUAUAGUAGAAAACUAGAAAUUGUGGUUUUUUUAGGAUUUACUGUAAUGUCAUUAGGAGGGUAGUAAGUUGAAACUGAGUAUGAAUAAAUAUUUCUUUCUUUGGGAUGUUCUUCUGGUAGGUGCUGAUGAAACUGUUCUUUUUACUGCCAAUGUCACAUAUCAGCCAGAAAUUGAAAAUUUCAGUCAAGGUGUCCUCGGUUUUAGUGGUGAGGAAAGCUAGAAAUUUUAAGGUGAAGUUCUGUUAAAAACCUUAAGUAGCUGGGAUAUCAGGCCUGUUUUGCUUGAAAAAAAAAGUUGCAAGAUAACUCAUAUGCCAAACAGGUUCUGAUAUUGUGAAUCUAUCGGCAGACAUCAGUAAUCUCAUCUUCUGAGAUGGAUGUUGGGGGUGCAUGUGGUGGUGGAGGGGCAAGGUUUCAUUUGGUUUAUUUUGUUGAUGGAUAUUGUCUAGCCCCCUGCGCCAAGUUUGAGGGGUGGUGGGUUGUGAUGGCCCUACAAUUACUAUUAAUUUCUUCCUCUUUUACCGAUUAAAGUGUCCGAACAGUCGAAGUUACCCUUAUGCAUGUCAACUUGAUCACUUACCUCUUCAAUGGAGUUUAUGCUGGUUCAUUUAGGAACUGAUUUUUAUUGUUAUGCAUUCUAUGCUGAUGUUUAGGCCUCUCCAUCAUCACUAUAUACAAAAAUUCUAGGUUGAUACUAUAGGUUGAGAUUUAUUUUUUAAAUAAAAAAUAAUAAAAAUAAAAAUUAUGGUGAUGUUUAGUUGUUUUAUGGAAAAUUUUAACAAGUUAUUUUUGGGCAAGUUUUCAAACAAAAAGAAAAGUAAAAGUUGUUUUGACAAAAACAUAUAGAAAAAAAAAAUCAUAGAAAAGAAAUAAUUUCCCCAUAUUCUAACUUUUUUUAAUUUUUCUCAAUGGGCAAAGGAAUAUCAAAUCAAGUUUGAGUAGGAUUUCUUAAUUUUUAAAAUAACUUACAAUUAAAAAAUUUUGGUGUUUUCAUUUUUGGACAAUUUUUUAUUAAGCAAAUGGACUCUGAGUCAUGCAAGAGAUAUGGUUGAUUAAUGGGUCAAACAAUUUUUUUAAAAUAAUUUAAAACUCAAAUACAUAAUCAAUGUCACAAAAUUUAUAAACAAAAAUAGGUUUAGAGAAGAUCUACACAUAAUUUUACUUUUCUAAUUUUAUUUUAUUUUAUUUUUUUGUUGGAAAAUAGUCUUCAAAUCAUGUAAGAUUUAAUAGGUUAAAUUUGUUAACAAUAAAUUUUAAAUUAUAAAAUAUAAUCUGGAACUUAAAAAUCAAUUCAAGUAAUGCUAAAAAAAAUCAAAUUUGGUAUAGAAUGACUACGUAAAAUUUUUUACAAAACAAAUGAAUUUUAAAUCAAGUGAGAUUUAAUGCAUUAGAUUUUUAUCAAAUAUAGUAAUUUUAAAAUUUAAUUUGGAACUCAACAAUAGACACAAUAAAUACCAAAAAAUAAUGAACCAAAAUUGGUUUGGAAUAACUCCACAACCUCUUUUUUUUUUUUUUGGUGCACACGAAUUUUCUUACUAGGUAUAUUGCUUUCAAAUUGAGAAAGAUUUACUAUUUAGAUUUUUUUUUUUAAUGAGUUUAAUGGUAUUUUAAAAUAAUUCAAAAUUUCAAAAAUUGACUAAUUACUAUUAUAAAUUCAUAAACCAAGACUAAUUCAAAAUGCAUUGGGGGCUAAGGGGGUUGAAAAUAGGGACAAUGGGAUGGGUUUGGGACAUGACACUCAUAUCUCAUUUCCAUUCCAAUUACAUAGUUAUCUCCCAUCCUUAUCCCAAACUUGUGUUGGAGCAAGUUGAUUUGUUCCCAUCUUUGUUGAUGAAAUGACUAAUAACCUCAUCCCCUCCUUAUCUUAGAUGUACAUUUUGUCAAAUUUGAUCAGGUAUGAUUGAUCCAAGCCCUAACCCUAAUUGGUAAUGACUGGAUACUACACCUAAUUGCAUUCUUCUUUCGUCGCAAAAUAAUGAGAUUAUAAUAAUCUAGCAAAUAAGAAAAAAUAGUAUGGAAGUUCAAUUUAACACCAUAACUAUCAAUAAUUUUAAGCUUAUAGAUGACUUAAAUGAUUAAAAACUAAUGCAAAAUACCAAAAAAAAAAGUUCAUAUAAAGAAUUCACAAGAGAACAAAAUGAACAAAAACCAAAUAUGAACAUGGGUCAACAUUAGUUAUGGAUUUGGAUUCCUUUCAAGGCCAAUCUUUGAACCAAGACUUCAUCAAAUCUACUACUUCAAAGGCUUUUGUGUUCUUCUUGGGUUGUGCUCUCAAACAAAGACUUCAAGGUGAUGCUCUAGAUGAUUGCAUUACACAUAUUUAGGGUGGAGAGAUUGGAGAAGCUUGAAGAUGCCAACGAUGGGUACAAUUGAGUGGUCAAUAAGAACAAUGUAGCCUAUGACUAGUUUGAUGUCGUGGUACAAGAGUUUUAGGCAUUGAGGUUAAAGCAAGAGCAACAUGGAAUUGAUUUUGGAGUCUUUCAAUUAGUGUAAAGGAGGAAGAAGUGGUAUUGAUUCUAGAAAUAGGGUUUUAGGUGGUGCGUUAGAGGAUGAAGAAGAAGAAAAAGAAGGAUCUGUUGGAAUUAGUGUGAGUGUGAAGAGAGAAGUAUAUAAAUAAGGGGAAGUAAAAGCAAAGUUCUAAAAGCUAUAUUUUUUUUUAUUGUUGGUGUAUGGUUGCAUGAUUAUCCCUAUAAAUAAUAGGAGUUUUUUUGGUAUUCUACUAGUAGUUGAAGGAUAAUUUCAUAAAUUUAUAUUUAGAGUGGGGUGGGGUGAGUUGUGACAAAAUUCAUACCCGUCCUAAACCUUGGUUCAGAUUUUUAAAAUAUCCUCAAACUUAUCAUAUACCCAACUUUUAUAUUUCAUACUUGUCUUGAUAGAGGCAGGUUAGGCCGGGUUACUUGAGUAACCUACAUAAUUGUCAUCCCUAGUUGAAAUACACUUUUUUGGCAGUGGCCACCAACUGAGCUAGAAGCUUGAUCGAUUGACCUACAAGAUUAGUUCUCAUCAUUUUAAAAAAAGUUUUGGCCUUGGUUGUGAGUGCAAUUGAAUCUAAACUGGCAUUUCCUUAAUGCAUCUACUUCAAUCCUAAAUUUCUUACUUCCUAAGCCUCAAUUGUUGUUAGGAUUUUGGAAAGCCCAUUUCCUUAAAUUGUAAAUUUAAGAAAAAAUAAAAUAAAAGUGAGACAUUUCUUGAUUGAAUAUUGUUAAAGGUCCCUUGGCAUUAAGACUUGGUUGAAGCCUUGGAAGAUUAGUGGAACUCUCAACUUGUGUUUGAAUCUUGAGGAGAGUGGACGUAAGCCAAAAUUUUGUCAAACCAUUAAACAAAUUGAGUUUGAAUCCUCAUUUCUUGAUUUCUUAUUUAUUUGCUUUUUCUUAUUAUUACUUGAAUUGUCAUUUGCAUUCAUUAAUGUUAAAAUUGGUUAUAAUUAACCAACACUAAUUCUCUUUCCCCUUCCCUUUCUUGGGUGUAAACCUAGGUUGGAUUAACUAGAUUAAUUUAUAAAAUCUAUUAAGAUGGUAAAAGAAUAAUUAUUCUUAACACACAUAAGAUCAUCUUCAAUCAAAUGACUCAUUGGCUAAUAUGUUGAAUUUGCUUAUUACUUGCAACUCAAAAUUGUGUUCUAGUUGAUAUGUCAAGUCCCCAGUGUAUGGACAUUAAAUUUGUAGUACGUGAUGGUAAUUAGAUGGUCCAACUCCAAGAAAGUGAUUGAAAACUAGUUCAAGAAAGGUGCAAAAGGGAAUUGUUUUGGUAUUUUCGUUUUUAUUCUUGAAGGUGGCAGAGCUAAAAUUUGUGAAAUCAAGCAAAACAUACUGAAAUUACAUUGAAAGAAAGAAAAUGGGAGUUAAUGUCUUGCAGUAGAUGAUAAGGACUUCAUGCAUGUAGUAUGACCCAUGUCUUGGACUGAUGCCAACUCACGGUUACACUUAUACCCUUGGUUCUCUCUUUACUACCUUGGCUAACCUAGAUCAGGCUAUGAGAUAGGCUCCUCACCACACCAUUACUUGCCCAUUAAUUAGAGACAUUUUCAAGCACUGAGGUAACAUGGUGACACCAAGAGGGUUUAUUCCUCGCCCUCCUCGCCCUCAACAAGUCUAGACUUGGUCUCAAAAAAAUGGAGAAAAAUGAGGUGUCGUUAUGUAGAAAUACAACAACCAUGCCUUCCUCAUUACUUUGAUUCAGAAUGUGAAGGUGAAAUUGAGAAACAGAAACUCUUGAAACCAAAAUGAAAAUUGAUACUUUUACGAAGAAUUACAACAACAUUGGAGGAAGACUACAUUCUUCCUCUUUAUUCCUACAUUUCUACACUACUUCUACUCCACUCCAUAUUUCUACAUACAUCUUUAAUCAGUCUUCCCUCCUUUAUAUAGAGCCAUCUUCACACAAAUUCCGCAAGGUAGAAAAGAGGAAUGAAACUUGGAGCAAGGUUCGACUACUGGCUGUAGCUUGUCAAGGCUGGAAGUGAACCUUUUUUCUUGGCUUUUCUGGGCAUGGGUAGUAACUUGUGGGUUCCUUUUUGGGAUACAAAUGGCUAGAACAUGUGGCACUAUCUUGUUGGAUGAUGUGUCAAGCAUGUGGCAGCCAUCUAGUGGCGAUUAUGUCAAUUUUGGGAUGGAGAGUUGGCAUCCAAUUGCAAAGAAAUAUGACGUCUACCAACAGGCAAUGUAAACCUAUGUAGAUCAUAUGAAGAUAGAGAGGAAAAAUAUAGAAAUGGAUAUAUACCUAGAACUAGCUUUUUAUUAAAUGAAACGGAGAGCCAACAAUGAAGGAAAAUAAAUUUUUUUGGCUUAUAUCAAAGAGUUCACAUUGUGCUACCCUAGGUUUUCUUAAAACUUACUUUUAUGAUAACAAAAAAAAAAAAAAACAUUAUUGUUUAAUCCUUUGUUUUAAACGCAUGUUUAGCAAGUUAUAAAAUGUAAAAAUCUUUCUAAGUUCAAAUAUGAAGAUAUGACAUCAUUUCAAGCAAGAUAGUCUCUAGGAAUUAAUGUAAAGCUAAAUUAAGGUGAAAUUAAAUUAGUUCAAUGCAUUAAUUUAAGAAACUUGACCUAUCAAAAGUACAAAAUUAGAUGAAAUCCAUUUCAAUGGUUAAAAUGAUCAAAAUCAAACUUUUUCUAAGUAUUUUUUAAAAGUAUCAAUAUUGAAAGACAAUUUUAUAUUUAGUCAGAGUUUGGACAAAACCAAAAAGCACACAAAAUCCAAGCGACCAUCUCUAGCUUGGAUGGUCGCUUGAUCUCUAGCUUGUGUACUUGGAAAGCAACAUCGAGAUGAUAUAUAUAUAUAUAUAUAUUUUAUAUAAUAUUGUUUGUCCAAAUUCCCUAAAAAUUAGGCCACCACAUGUUCAUAAUUCUCCCUUCUUGAAUUUGAAAACUCGGACAAUUGGACAAUGCGACACCUAAGUCCGGUUUCUAAAUGCUAAAGUGAAAGGGUAGGUAUGGACCAUUGAAAUGUGAUCACAACUUUUCUCUGUAGCCAUGUUGUCUCUUUUUUCUUUUGCAUGAUUUUCUCACCUUAACAGAAUCAUAGACUUGUUUAAUCUCUAAAUGGGAUUAAUUUCAUCCAGCUUUAAGCUACUAUAUUAUAUCUAGGUGGAGGACUUUUAAGAGUGCAACCGACAUAGAGCACAUGCAAGUGGGUAUAUGGGACAUGAAAUUUCUUCUUAUAAAGAUUGCAUGAUUUUUAUAUUAGAGUUGUUGGGGCGCAAUGUAUGUAGCUUGUUUUGCAGUUAAAUUAAUUGGAUAAGUAGACAUUGGCGUUUCUAAAUCUACUGUGAAGUGCUUCAUGUACGUGUGAAGUAUUAGAAAUUUCUUUCUUGGCAACUUGUUUUUUCUUUGCGGUCUACUGAUAGGUUUGACUAAAAUUAUAUUCCCUGUCAUGCUAAUUAAUUUUCACGUGCAUGCUCAAAAGAAGAGUAUGACCUUAGUGCACCAAAAUCACUUUGAUUAAUUUGUGAUAGGUUUUUGUGCAUCAUGACAUUAGCCUUAUUCAUUUAGAUAAUGUUUAGUUUUUAGAAAGUAUUAAGAAAAGGAAAAUAAAUAUUAAGAAAAAUAUUCUUAUAUUUGAUUGUAUUAUGAAAAAUGUCAUAAAAAAAUCAAAUAUAAUUUAAAUUAAUUAAUAAUUUAUACAUUUUCAAAUUAUUUAAUCUUUAUAUUGAAGAUAUAAUAUAAAUGAAAUGAGUUUUAAGUAUUAUAUAAAAGUGAUUUAUUGAUCUUGCAUAUAUGUAUUUCUUUUUUUUUUCUUCUAUUUUUUUUCUUUAUUUUAUUUUCCUUAUGUUUUCCUCAACAUUUUCCGGAACCAAACAUAGCCUUAGGAAAUCCACAAUUACCUUCAACUGAGUAUAUUCGGUUGUUUUAGCAAUGUUAGGCUGCUAACUUGUGUUGGUACGAACCUGUUAAGCCUAAAGAUGUAAUUAGUUAGGAUAUUCUUUUCCCUCUAGUCUUGUAGCUCCACGUGUAUAGUUGGUUAGGACCUCAUUGUAUAUAAUGCCUGCCCUGUUAUUGUUGAAGACAACAGAGAUAAAUAAUAUUAACAUUUUUCCUCUCAUCUCUCUUUGUUUCCCUCUGUUUUCAUCUCCUCUCUCAUCUUGGUAUCAGAGCCUCCAUGGAUUCUUUCAAAGAAACCUCCGAAUCACCUUCUGCUAGCAUUGUUAAUGUGCAAAACCCAUUAUCUCAGUCAAACAACCUUCCUUCACCAGCAGCCACACCCUCUUUUUCUUUCUUGUCUAUGAAUCAACCUCUCACAGUGAAGCUGGAUAAUGGAAACUACCUCAUCUGGAAGAAUUAGCUUCUGAAUGUCAUCAUUGCGAACAGACUCGAUGAUUUCAUUUAUGGAACUCGACCCUGCCCUCCUUGAUUUCUCAAUCUGCAACAACAAACCCUCACUCCAGAGUACUCGGUCUAGCAGAGAUACAAUCGACUUCUAAUGAGUUGGCUGUACGCAUCCUUGUCCGAAGAUAUAAUGACUCAGAUUGUUGGGUAUUCAACAACUGUGGAGAUUUGGAACGUCCUUAAUCAGAUUUACUCUGCCUCUUCAAUGGCGUGGGUUACCGAGCUUCACACCAAGCUUCAAACGCUCAAGAAAGAUGGACUCUCAGUUGGUGAAUAUAUUCAAAGGCUCAAAUCCAUUUGCAAUAGUCUUGCAGCAAUAGGAGAACUAGUUUCUGAGAAAGACCAGCUUAUCUAUUUGUUCAAUGGAUUAUAUUGUGAGUAUAAUUCUUUUGUUACCUCCAUUCAAAAUCGAUCUGACCAACCAACUAUUGAGCAAAUCCAUAGCCUAUUGCUUAGCUAUGACUUUCGGCUUGAACAACAAAACUCUGUUUCUCUCCAUUAUGCCCAAGUCCGUAUGGCUCAUCUGAACAAGAAACCUUAUAAAUCAACUCCUCAACCUACAUUCAAUCAUAUUCACAUUCAACCUAGAUACUCUUCUCCACCUUUUAAGCCAACCACUAGUCAAUAUCAACCCAGGAUUUUGGGCAAACCACAACCACAACCAUGACAGCCUCAACCUCAAUGGAAACCACAUUUUUCAAUCCAGAAUCAAAAGCCUCAGUGCCAAAUUUGUGGUAAAUUUGGACACACUGCUCUUAUUUGCUUCCAUUGCACAAAUUUGAACUAUUCACCCCAACCUUCUCCUAAAUCUUUCAAUACUGUUCUCACCACAAAUUCCCAGCUCCCUAAUCCUCCAAAAUUUUCUUACCCUACAAUGGCUCAUCCUGCUGCUACGCAUAACACGAUUCCUGAUACAAAUUGGUACAUGGACUCAGGUGCUACACAUCACUUUACUCCGGACAUCAACAUGCUUGACACUGUGACACCAUUUAGUGGUUUAGAACAGGUGACAGUUGGGAAUGGUAAGCAACUCUGUAUCUCACAUCUUGGUACUGCAAAACUACCAUCCUCGUAUUCUCCUCUUGUUCUACAUCAGGUAUAUCACACUCCAAAAAUUUCAAAUAAUCUUAUUAGUGUUAGAAAAUUGUGUUCUGAUAAUAAAGUUUUUGUUGAAUUUUAUGCCACUCAUUUUCUUAUCAAAGAUCAAGUUUCGAAGAGAGUUCUCUUUCAAGGUCAACUUGAUAAUGGCUUAUACAAAGUUCAGUCGUCAUGCUCUCCUUCUACUAUUUCCUUUCAUCCUCAAGUUUUCAUAGCCAACAUCAAGGAUCAAAAUUUGUGGCACAAGAGACUAGGCCACCCAGCUUUAUCUGUUAUUAAUCAAAUCUUGGAUUCUUGUAACAUUGCUCGAACACAGAAAAUUGGUUUUAAUUUUUGUAGUUCUUGUCAAUUAGCAAAAAGCCACAGGCUUCCUUUUUCUCUGUCUCCAUCCAUUGCAGAAAAACCUUUUGAGUUAAUUCAUACAGACCUAUGGGGUCUUUCUCCUGUUCGCUCUAUUUCUGGUGCUCGUUAUUUUUUACUUUUCAUUGAUGAUCAUACUCGUUUUACUUGGUUUUAUUUGCUCAAAACAAAAGAUGAAGCAUAUCCUACUUUUCUCAAGUUUCAAGCUCUCAUUGAAAAUCAAUUUAAUACCAAGAUUAAGGUUGUCCAAUCUGAUUGGGGAGGUGAGUUUCGAUCUCUCUCCAUACUGUUUUCAAAUAUGGGCAUUGUCUAUCGUUUAUCAUGUCCAUACACCUCACAACAGAAUGAGUGGGUUGAGCGAAAAAAUCACCAUGCGGUUGAAAUGGGAUUGUCCUUUCUUGCUCGCUCGGGUAUGCCCUUAUCUUAUUGGCCUUAUGCCUUUCAAACUGCCACUUACCUUAUUAAUCGUCUCUCUACCCCUGUGCUGCACCAUCAAUCCCCUUACUUCGCACUCUAUCACAAAUUCCCAGCUUAUACUCAUCUUAAGGUCUUUGUUCCUCUUGUUUUCCAUAUUUACGCCCUUAUAAUACCCAUAAACUCCAAUACAGGUCACUGGAGUGUGCUUUUCUUGGUUGCAGUUCACACCACAAAGGUUAUCUAUGUCUUGACAUUCAUUCUAGCAGGGUGUAUAUUUCUCGCCAUGUGAUUUUUAAUGAAGAUUCUUUUACAUUCAAGAAUUUGAAAUCUUCUCUCUCUUAGUCUAUUUCUUCUUCCUCUUCUUUAUUAGUUCCUCUGUUCAUUUCCUUGCCUCCCCUCUCCCCAUAUCCUCCUAUUUCUCCAUCUAUAUCUCAUUCUUUUCUCUCUUCUUCUUCUACCUCUAGUACUUGUUCCCCUCUCGUUGCUCCUACCUCUCUUCCUCCCUCUUCACACUUUGUGUCCCAUCUAUUCCACCUCCUUCUCCACCUUCUUCGAGUGUGGACCUGCUUGUACCUUGUGUGAAUACAAAUUUACUUACUUUUUCUCGCACUCACAAUAUUCAUCCUAUGGUGACCAGAUCUAAGGGUUUGUAUCUAUAAACCUAAGUUGCUAUUGAGUGUCUCCAUAGGUUCUCUCACUAAGCCUACUUCCUUUCUUCAAGCUAUUAAAGAUCCUUCAUGGAAGCAAGCCAUGGAAUUGGAGUUUGCUGCCCUUCAACACAACAAGACCUGGCAUCUAGUUCAUUCACCUUCCUCAGGCAAAGUAAUUGGUUGUAAAUGGGUCUAUAAGAUAAAGCUUUAGCCUGAUGGCUAAUUGAGAGAUACAAGGCCCGCUUAGUAGCUUAGGGUUAUCAUCAAACUGAAGGUAUUGACUACUUCGAAACAUUCAGCCUGGUUGUCAAGCCUUCUACUACCGUAUUGUGCUCAGUCUUACUUUUUCCCAGAAUUGGUGUAUUAGACAGCUGGAUGUUCAUAAUGCCUUCUUACAUGGUGACUUAGCUGAAGACGUUUUCAUGGAACAACCACCUGGAUUUGUUGAUCCUCUCUAUCCUACUCAUGUCUGCAAGUUGGAUAAGUCUCUCUACGGUCUUAAUAGUCACCUCGGGCUUGGUAUACUAAGCUGAGUACUUCUCUACUACACUUGGGAUUUGUUACUUCUAAGAAUGACUCUUCCUUAUUUAUUUGUCAUUCGUCUCAUGGGUUACUUCUUGUUCUUGUCUAUGUGGAUGAUAUAAUCGUCACUGGGAGCCACUCUCCUCAAGUUACUCACCUUAUCCAAUAGUUGCAUCAUCAGUUUUCUUUAAAGGAUCUUGGUCAUUUACACUAUUUUCUGGGCUUGGAGGUUCAUCACACCCCUACUGGUAUUCACCUCAGCCAAGCAAAGUAUAUCACUGAUCUCCUUACCCGGGCGGCUAUGUUGGAUGCCAAGCCAUGUCCCACUCCUAUGUCCUCCAACACAUAUCUUUCUCUUCAUGAUGGAGUGGCUCUUGAAAAUGGUUCAGAUUAUUGAAGUUUUGUUGGUGCCCUUUAGUAUUGUACCAUGACACGCCCAGAUAUAGCUUUUGCAGUAAAUAAAGUGUGUCAAUUCAUGCACCAUCCCUCUGAUGUUCACUGGCAGGCUAUAAAACGUAUUCUCCAGUACUUAAAGGGCACAUCUCAUUUUGGUCUCUUCCUACAGCCUUCCUAUGACUUCAACAUCACUUGCUAUACAGAUGCCGACUGGGCUUCCUGCCUUGAUGACAAGUGUAGCACCAGUGGCUACUGCCUCUUUCUUGCCUCUAAUCUGGUUUCUUGGUCAUCUUCCAAACAAAAAGUGGUCUCCCGCUCCAGCGCCAAAUCAGAGUACCGAGGGGUAGCAAAUGGGGCUGCUGAAAUUGCUUGGACUGAAUCUCUUCUUUGUGAACUUUCCACCCACUCGACCUCCCCUCAUUGUCUGUGACAAUAUCAGUGCCACAUACUUAGCUGUCAAUCCUAUUUUGCAUGCCCGCACCAAAACAUGUGGAAAUCGACUAUCACUUUGUCUCGGAACGUGUUCUUCAACGCUCUCUCUCUCUCCAGUUUACACCUUCGGAUGAUCAACUUGCUGAUUGCAUGACCAAGCCUCUCUCCACCCAACGUUUCAUCACUCUACGCUCCAAGCUCACUGUUCUCACUAGACCAAUGAGCUUGAGGGGGGAUGUUAAGCCUAAAGAUGUAAUUAGUUAGGAUAUUCUUUUCCCUCUAGUCUUGUAGCUCCACGUGUACAGUUGGUUAGGACCUCAUUGUAUAUAAUGCCUGCCCUGUUAUUGUAGAAGACAACAGAGAUAAAUAAUAUUAACAUUUUUCCUCUCAUCUCUCUCUCUGUUUCCCUCUGUUUUCAUCUCCUCUCUCAUCUGAACCAAAUGAUCCAUGUUAACCUUGGCUUGGUUUGAUUUGGCUCUAUCUUAGAGAGCUCAAGGAUCACGUCAACUCUGGUUUCUACUAUUCAGGUCCAUUCCCAUAUGAACUGGUUCAAAUUUGAGAAAAUGGUAACAGACCUUUAGUGAUGUUGGUUUGGAGCCAGUUGCCAAACCCGCCCUGAGCUUUACCACUAAUGUCAAGGGAGAAAGCCUUUUGAACAAAAACAAUAGCUUCAAGAGACUGAAUCGUGGAUGAAAUCUGAUCCACAUUUCUUCUCAUUUUGGAAACAAAUGAGAACUUAACUAAGAAGAUUCUACGGCCUCAUAGUGCUUUUCCUGAUCUAAGGUUGGUUCGUUUCCCAAAUUGUGAGAUGCACGGGCCAGACUUCAGAACUCUCACGCUCAGGAGUGUAUCCACGUGGUGGACAUAAGAUGGUGGCUUAAGAUCUGGUGUCGGUGGCUUUACUUUACUAGGAGAGUAGUGUGUCUUCAUCUCAUUCACUGCCGGAGGGUGGCGUAAGCAGUGACGCUAAGGUGGGGCAUAGUCAAUAUCAUUUGCAUUUGACCAUUAUAGUUUUCUCCCGGCUUGAAAGUAACCUUAUCGUGAUAAAGGAUUACUAGCACUAGUUCAGAUGACAGUCAUGUUAAAUUCGGACCAUGUUUGUGUCACAUUAUCAGCAACCAUGUGUUUAUGGUUCAUGCUUUCUGCAACUGAAAUUGAAAUUGAUAUAUAACCAGGUGAACUUCAAUCUAAAUUCUGGAAGUACUCAUGUGAGCGAUGGUGCCCAUCUGCAGAGUCCAUCAAUUGAAAAAUGGAGUGAGUGUAUCUAUAAGAGGGAAGGCUUGGCAAAUGUCCAGUUUUCUGGGAAUUCAACAAGGAUCUAAAAUAGAUUGUUUUCUUUGCUGAUUUCAAUGGUUGAAAUUUGAGAAGAUUGUGUCCCACAUAACACAACUAUUACUGGUCCUUCUGUUGCAAUUUAUCCUCUAAGGCUCUAGCAUGUCUUCCAAUUCCCACUUCCCUGUUACUCCAGGAAAGCUAUUUCUGUCAUUGUGAAGAAGAAAAGAGAAUGUAGAUAUCGAUGCUUUUAAGUGACUGGAGCAUUCAUAUCAGGUGGUCUGCAGCCAUAUAUGCCACUUUGUGAAGAUUGGAACAGUCAAUCACUAGGCUAUAUAUUAGUGUGGCCCAGCCACUUUAAUCAAGGACAAUUCUUCAUACUUAAAAGUCAAAUUCUGCCUUUAGUCUCAUUAUAAAUUGCUGUUUAAAUAUUAAGCAAACAUUUGUUUAAUGCGAUUAAGACAGUACUAACUCAAUACUUGUUCUAUUUUUGGAUGGAAAUGCUUGAUGGUUUCAUCAUUGGAUGGGAUAAAGGUGCAUUCAUGAUUAUGAAUACUUGUAGUUAUAUUUUCAUUCUCUUUUUUCUCAAUGAGACUUGUUGGCACAAUUUUUCUGUUCAGAAACCUACCUCUCCAUGGAAAAUAAGUUGUGAUUGAUAGUACUGGAUAUAUUCAAGAAAGCUAAAUAUAGAUAGCACAAAAUAUUAUCGACAUAAAUAGCAUUAACAGCGUACGUAUGUCUCAGUGCUCAUCAGCCAUAAGCAUGGGGCAAACACUUACGAUGAGCAACUUACGUCAAAAUUCCAGAAUAGGACAUAGAAGUGACAGAUCUAUAUAUAUAGAACACUGCAUAAGAGUCACAAGAAAGGAAAUUACGGGUGCAUAGCAGCUCUUAUUUCACAUACUACUCAUACUGAUCAAAGUCACUCAGUUGGGAUGGGUGGGAGUAGGAGGUUUGUGGGGUGGCUUGUGCGGAGGAGUUGGCAGCUUCUUUCCAGGACCUGGUGGCUUCUCUCCCUUAGGUGGUUUGCCAACUGGGGUUGGUGGCUUGUAUGAGUCUUCAGCAUUCUCUGCAGGAGGGUGACCAGGGUUGUGACCAUAAUGUGGUGGCUUCUCUCCCUUAGGUGGUUUGCCAACUGGGGUUGGUGGCUUGUGUUCUGGGAGUGGCUUCUCCCCCUUGGGAGGUUUUUCCAAUGGGGUUGGUUUGUGUUCAGGAGGUGGCUUCUCCACUGGAGGCUUGUGUUCAGGAGGUGGCUUCUCCACCGGAGGCUUGUGUUCAGGAGGUGGCUUCUCCACCGGAGGCUUAUGCUCUGGUGGUGGCUUCUCCACCGGAGGCUUAUGCUCUGGUGGUGGCUUCUCGAAUGGGGGAUGCUUAGGGUAAUCAGCAAGUGAGGGGGCGGUGAGAACCACCAGGCCAAGCAAGACCACUAGCAAGUAUGUAGGAGACAUCUUUGGGUUUAGACUCAGAUGGUGCAAAACUAGGAGAAUUGUCUUUUAUAGCGGAUCGCACCCAAUAAUGAAAUGACACGUGUCUUUAUGACCCAUGUGUAAUGGGGUCGAUUUGGGUCCUACAGUGUUGAAAACUUCGACAUCCACUUUUGGCCUUUUGCUUUCUCUACAGCCGCCUUGCUUUUUCCCUCUUUCCUUUUGUUUUCCUCCUGCCCCAUUCUAUCAACUAAACACAAUUAUGUAGUUGUUUAAUUCUUAAAUGAGAUAUUAUCCGUCAAUCGUAUCAUAUUUUAUCAACAGAGAACGGAGUGCAAUGUGGCAAUCCAAAGAAAGAAGAUCCAUAAUGCAGCUGUAAUUUUAUCGUUUACUUUUAUCUCUUGGACCACUGCAUUUUUGUUAAGAGGUGCAAUAAUACACGUCUUUAUCUGCCAUUCAAUGUUUACAGUAAAGAGAGGGCACAAAACUCUUCACUGCUCUGCAUGUGUCCCAAAAAUGCAAUUGGACAAAUUAUGAUUUGCAUGCUAAAAAGAGGCAAAUGAGGUUAAUUCGCACCAUAAUUAUUUUGUUUUCUGGACCCCGGGGCCCUUUGGUUGGUUUGGGGGUCAGAAAAUGAACAUCAUAGGGGGUUUUUCCCUUAUGUGCAUUUGUAUCUGAUGGCUUUAACUCGCCUUGUUACUACAAAGAAAUUGUCACAUAUAGGAACUUAUUCCAGGCUGAGUAUCUCCGCAUAGACCCUAUAAAAGAAGACAAGUCAUAAUGAACAUCUAACCUUUGUUCAAUUUGAUUCAAUGCCCCAUUGUGUCCACCUCACAAAUCUGAAUUAUUAUAUCCAUUGAAUACAUAAAUUAAUGAAGAAAAUAUGAAACCCAAGAUACAUCUCUGCACAACCUCAACCCUGGUUGCUAUGUUUCCCUUCUAUUCACAUGAGGAUAUUGAUUACGGAAUAGGGAAACCUAGCAAGGGUUUACUCGGCUCUGGUUUGAUGCUAAUUGCCAAACUUGCAACAAGCCCUGAGUUUGAAGCUCACAGAAGAUGUUAUACAGGCAGGGAAAAACCUUCAGAGUUCGCUGCCAAAGAUAAUUAUUAAGGAGAUAUCACCAAGAGAAUUCCAAGGAGUCUGAAUCAAAGACAAAUUGGUCGUUCGUGGAGGUUCUUACUUUCUUUUGGGUAUAACUCACUGAGGGCACUGUCUUUUUUAUUUUCAUUUCACAUUUAGAGUUCUGUUCUGGAAACAUAUAAAAGGAGCAUCAGUUUGUUCUUGGGUAACCCAUAGUCGUGAGUGGGUCCAUUUGCAUGCUACUUAGUUGAAAAGUUGGACCAUUUGCUCCGACGCCUACCUCCUGGAUUCCAUGCUCGGAUAAAACAAGAAUAAAAAAAUAUUUAUAAUUUACAAAUGGGGGAAAGAAAAAAAUGUCAACAACAAACUAGGAAAAAAGAGUAGUAAAAUUCAUGUCACAUGCUAGUGAGAGAAGGGGUUGUUACACUCACUCGAAGUUCUUUUCAAAAUAUCGCAUGGUAUUUUAUUUUAUGUGUGAGCGCAGUUGUGAAUGGAACGUGCAAAAGUCCAAAUUGGUGACCUUUAAUAAAUAUUUAAAACAAAAAACGAAAAAAAGGAGGGAAAAGGGAUCAGAAAAGAUAAAACAAUGUGUACAAAAGCUCAAUUAGUUUGCAAAUUACUGUUUGGAUUUUGAUAGUAUUUUAUUUGAUGUAAAAGAGAAUUUAAGAUAUUUCCGAAACAAAAGCAUUAGUUUGCUCCAUGUCAAUUUCGGCAUUUCUCAUAUGUUUCACACAUACACAGAAGAGCAUCGUUUUUUAAAGCAUGCAUUUAUGUUGGAUUAAUUUGGAUUUUGUGGGAACUGGGGCAAGGAUCACAUGGAAGAGAGGUUGACUUUUUUCAGUACUUCAAUGGUUGAGACAGGUGAAGGCCUGAUUGAUACUGAAGCCUGAAAUUGCGACUCCGUCAUUUGUCAAAACAUAUGACAGCUUCCAUGCUCUCGUUUGGUUGCAUUGUUCUGUGGUCAUGCAUACAUGCCACUUAGUGAUCAGUCUGUAACUGUCAAUCAUUGGGCUUUGACUGAACAACAUCAGCCAUGUAUAAAUACUUGCAAAUCAAACGGUCUUCUUCCUCCCAUAAGGAAUUUCGGUUUAAUUAUGAAGCAUGCAUUUGGCUGACCAUCAUAAACCACUUCUUUAAAUUGAUGAAUGAUAGUUUUUCAUUCAUUCUUUCAUUCGUUCAUAUACAGAGUAUAUAUAGAGGGUAAUCAUCAUUCUAAGAAUGGGAAAGAAUGAUACAAGGAAAUAAUGAUAUAAAGAAAUAACAACUAAUAUUCUAAUAUCUCAACUUUCCUAAUAUCUAAACAUUCCUAAUAUCUCAACACUAAAUGAUAUAAAGAAAGAAUGAUAUAAGGAAAGCAUUCCUAAUAUCUCAACACUCCUCCUCAAGUUGGUGCAUAGAUGUCAAACAUGUCCAACUUGUCUAAAAAUUUUGAGAACAGUUGACUUGAGACAUCUUUGGUGAGGAUAUCGGUCAAUUGAUCUUCUGAUCGAAUCUUAGGCAAUUCCACAAUCUUAUCAUCCAACUUUUCCUUAAUGAAAAAUCUAUCCAUCUCGACAUGCUUUGUACGAUCAUGUUGUACUAGAUUAUGAGCAAUGUCACAUGCUGCUUUAUUGUCACAAAACAAUCGGAUUGGUUGCCUAGAUAGGUAACCUAAAUCCUAUAAGAGGAGUCUUAGCCAUAAUGCCUCACAAAGUCCUAAAGUCAUACCUCUAAAUUCCGCUUCUGCACUUGAACGAGCGACGACAUUUUGCUUCUUACUUUUCCAUGUCACAAGAUUACCACCUACAAAGGUAAAGUAACCAGAUGUAGAUCGCCUAUCAUCCACUGCACCGACCCAAACAGCAUUAUACUUCUAUACUCUGAUGAUCAACAUUUUUAGCGAACAAAAUUCCCUUCCUAGGAGCAUUCUUCAAAUACCUCAAAAUACGCAUGACUACAUUCAUAUGUUGCUCUCCAGGAUUAUGCAUGUAUUGACUCACUACACUCAAUGUAUAAGCAAGAUCUAGUCUUGUAUGAGCUAAGUACAUUAAUCUCCCCACAAGUCUCUGGUAUCUUCCCUUAUCGAUUGAUACUUGAUUAGGCUCAACACACAAUUUCAGACCUUCUUCUAUUGGUGUAUUAAUAGGUUGACAUCCCGACAUUCCAGUUUCCUGUAGAAGAUCUAAGGCAUACUUUCUUUGAGACAGAAAAAUUCCUUCACUUGAUCGAGAAACUUCAAUCCCAAGAAAGUAUUUCAGACGACCAAGAUCUUUCAUUUCAAAUUCUCUAGAUAGAUACUUUUGCAAAGCUUUUCUUUCUUCAGGAUCAUUUCCUGUAACUACAUGUCAUCCACAUAUAUCAUAAGUGUCGUAAUCUUACCAUGUUGCUUUUUCAAGAACAAAGUGUGAUUUGAAUUACUUUGAUGAUAGCCAAAAGCUCUCAUUGAUUUUGUGAACCUUCCAAACCAUGCUCUCGGGGAUUGCUUCAACCCAUACAAUGACUUCUUCAAUUCGCACACCUUCUGACAUUGCUUUUCUGACACCAUGCAUCCUGGUGGAAGAUCCAUAUAUACUUCUUCAGAUAAAUCGCCAUGCAGAAAGACAUUUUUUACAUCGAACUAUUGUAAUGGCCAAUCUAGGUUUGCAGCUAAAGACAAUAAUACUCGAACUGUGUUGAUCUUAGCUACAGGUGCAAAUGUCUCUGUGUAGUCAAUUCCAUAAGUUUGAAUGUACCCACUAGUCUUGCUUUAAAUCGUUCAAUACUACCAUCUGCCUUGUACUUCACAGUAUAGAUCCAACGACACCCAACUAGCUUCUUUCCUGGUGGACAUUCUACGAGUUCCCAUGUUUCAUUUUUCUGCAAUGAUUUCAUCUCUUCAUUCAUGGUUGCUUUCCACUUUGGAUCAGCUAAAGCUUCCUGCACACUAUUAGGAAUAGCUACAGUAGAUAAUUGAUUUACAAAUGACUUAUUUGAUUCAGACAAACCAUGGUGUGGACCCGCAUUUUUCACGUGCGCCUCUACUCGAUCGGCGAGACUCGCUUUCUAUUUGUGAAAAAUUAAUUUUAGAAAAGUUGGAGUCGCCACCUAUUUUAUUUUUAUUUUGAAGGGAAAAUAAAACAAGAAAGAAAAACCCUAAAAAGUGACUCCAUAGUUUUGGAAAAAGCAUGUCUUUGGGAAACCUGAGUCUAGGUCCGGGGAUCAUGUUACUUAUUGGGAAGGUACCUCUAGGAGGUAGCACCCCUCUAAGCCUUAUGAAGGUCUCUACUAACUAAAUUAAGGGAAGUGUGGCAAUAAAUCGAUUGAUCAUAGAUACCUAAGUAGACUAGGUGAUUUUAAAGUGUGGCAUGUCAAACACAAUCAAAUUGCAAUAAAGGAGAGUUAGGGCGCGUACCUGAACCGCUUCUCAAGCGCUAUCAUAAAACAUCAAUGGUUAAUUUAAAUAAUAUAUCAUCCAGCAUGUAUUUUAUUAGAAAUAAUCAAACAAUGAAACAUGUAUAUCAGAACACUCAAGCAUUAUUAGACAUAAGCAUUAUUUCACUAUUCACAGAAUUCAGAAAGUAGGUGAUAGAGGACAUACCUGGAUAGCAUAGAUAAUUUGUAAUGUGCUUCCUCAAGUUGUAAGGGGUUAGAUAACAAAUAAUAAAAUAUAGAAAUCCUAGCAUGCUCGUUAUCUAAUUAGCAUAGCAAAAGUGAUCACAGUAUACAGAAUCAUCAAUUAUCACAUACAUCUUGUAUAUAAUUCCUAAAAAAAAUAGAUAGACAUGAUUUCAACAAGUGUCAAAUGUGGCAACAAAAAUAAAUUUUGAAAAGAUUUUCUUAUGUAGGGGUUUCACCAAUUCCCCAAAUUAAUAUACACGAAUUUAGCUUAGAAUUAUCCCAUUUAUUUGGGACUACAAGCUUUGAUUCGUGUUUUUGUUCAAAACCAAAAAUUUUUGUUGAAAAUCAAGAAGGAUGCGAACCGAACAAGAUAUGGUUGCAUAUUAUUUUUAAAUAAAUAAAUAAAUAAAUAAAGGAGAUUUUGAUCCUGAGGACUUUAAUGAGUUUUUUUUUUUAAAAUAGAUUUUUAAAAUGAUUUUUUUGAGAAAAGUAUUUUAUUUUAAAAUAAAAGGGAUUAAUUUGGGAAAAAAAUAAAAUAUAAGAAAUAAAAUACCAAACAAAACAAAAAUGAAACCUCAAAGUAAAAUUUUUUUAGUAAUUAACAAAAAUGAUAAUGGUGAUGGUAGAGGGCAAUCUUCAUGAUUUUCCAAUGGCCUCAGAAAGAAAAUCAAAUUAAAUGAAGGAUCACUAACAGGCAAGACAUUCUAAAUUAGACAAACUAACAAAGUAUCAAUUCAUGAACUAACCGCUAGGAUUUUGAAAGCAUAUAAGCUAAGAUAAGGGUGAUCAGGAACUAAUAUUAAUGAUUUUGAAAUAAAAACUAAAAAAAAGGAUCAAUUCGGGUAAGGAACUAAAAUUAUAAAAGUACCUAAACUAAUUAUGACGAGUUUGACUAAAUUAAACUAAAAACAUGAACUUUCAAACAUAGAAUUAAUUUUACUAAUGAACCAAAGCAAACUAAAAAUAUGUACUUUCAAGCAUAGAAUUAAUUUUAUUGAUGAACUAAACUAUAACAAAUAUCUAAACUAAAUAUAAUGAAUCAAAUUAAAUUAAAGCAACUUAAAAACGCAAACUUUCAAACAUAGAAUCAAUUUUAUCAAUGAAUUAAAACUAUAAAUGUAUUUGAACUAAAUAGAUGAAUCAAACUAAAUCAGAGCAAAAUUAAAAAAAAAAAAGAACUUUCUAACAUGAAAUCAAUUUUAUCAACAAAUAAAUGAAUGAAUAACAAGUAAUUAAAAGAAUAGCUACUACAUGAAUAACUGAAUGAAUAAAAUUCAAAUGUUUUCAAUCUGAAGCAAUCAAUCAAAAUUAAAUAGGGAUCAAAUCAAAAUAAUCGAAAUCGGAAAAACAAUAUGCAAUCUUUCUAAAGGUUUAACCAGACAAUUGAAUUAAAAUUAUGAAUAGAAUAAAUUAAUAAACCAAAUCGAAACCUAAAUUGUACCUAAAAAGAUUAAUUAAUUAAACUAAGAAAUCAAAAUCAAUAACAAAACUAAACUAAGGAGUAAAUUAAGACAAGACUAAUUAAAUUAAACUCACAAACACGUUUUAACUAUCAUAUGGAUUAAAACAAAAUUAGCAUGGACUUAUGAAUUACGAACAAAAAUAAUCAAAACUAUUUUAAAAAACUCACCUCUAUUAUAAGAAAAAAUCUGCCUUUGAUGCGUUGAGGUGGCUCCCCUCUCUGUGUGGAUCUCUCUGCUCCCCAGAAAAAAAAUGUCUCUUCCUCCGUUCUCUUUUGUUUCAGCAAAAUAAUAUAUCCCCUGCUGUGGAUCUCUCUACUCCCAGAAAAUAAUAUAUUCUCUCCGUGUCCUAAAGUGGACCUAGGGUGCCUAAGUGGACCUAGGGUGCCUAAAUGGGCCUAGGGUGCCUAAAUGGGCCAAGUGUAUCUAAAUAGGCUUAGGGUGCCUAAGUGGGCCUAAGUCUAAGUGAGCCUAAGUCUAAAUCAAGACUACCAAGGAUCAUAAUAAGGGGUUAGGCAAUCCCUUAACCAAAGUCUCCAAGGUGGCUAAAAAAAAGUAAGUAGUAUGAGUAGCUAUGGGUCACCAAGGAACUACUGUGGAGCAUUGAAAACGAAUUUAAAGACAUGUGCCAAAGGGACAAAAUUGAGGGUCUACAGAUGGUUAGACACAUAGUUGCUCAUGGGAUAUUUGACUUUGGUAAACAAUUCAGAUUCAUAUGUGGGUUUAGGAAUACCUUUAUUAUGACGGUGUGGUAAUCGUUUCAUGAAUGGAUCAGGUUGCAAAUUAAGAACACCCUCAGCAAACAACGAUUGGUUUGGUAUUUCAGUGAAGACAUCUUCGAACCCAAAUUGUUGACCACUCAUAUCCAACUCACCCGCUUCCUGGUUCACUAGUUCAGAUUGUCCAAAUUCAUCAUUCUCAUAGAUAUGAUAAUCAUAAUCGAGAGUCUGAAUUUCCUUAUGGUACUCCCCCUGAAGUUCAGACUUAGAUGAAAAAUACAUCGAAUAUUCAUGAAACAGCNNNNNNNNNNNNNNNNNNNNNNNNNNNNNNNNNNNNNNNNNNNNNNNNNNNNNNNNNNNNNNNNNNNNNNNNNNNNNNNNNNNNNNNNNNNNNNNNNNNNNNNNNNNNNNNNNNNNNNNNNNNNNNNNNNNNNNNNNNNNNNNNNNNNNNNNNNNNNNNNNNNNNNNNNNNNNNNNNNNNNNNNNNNNNNNNNNNNNNNNNNNNNNNNNNNNNNNNNNNNNNNNNNNNNNNNNNNNNNNNNNNNNNNNNNNNNNNNNNNNNNNNNNNNNNNNNNNNNNNNNNNNNNNNNNNNNNNNNNNNNNNNNNNNNNNNNNNNNNNNNNNNNNNNNNNNNNNNNNNNNNNNNNNNNNNNNNNNNNNNNNNNNNNNNNNNNNNNNNNNNNNNNNNNNNNNNNNNNNNNNNNNNNNNNNNNNNNNNNNNNNNNNNNNNNNNNNNNNNNNNNNNNNNNNNNNNNNNNNNNNNNNNNNNNNNNNNNNNNNNNNNNNNNNNNNNNNNNNNNNNNNNNNNNNNNNNNNNNNNNNNNNNNNNNNNNNNNNNNNNNNNNNNNNNNNNNNNNNNNNNNNNNNNNNNNNNNNNNNNNNNNNNNNNNNNNNNNNNNNNNNNNNNNNNNNNNNNNNNNNNNNNNNNNNNNNNNNNNNNNNNNNNNNNNNNNNNNNNNNNNNNNNNNNNNNNNNNNNNNNNNNNNNNNNNNNNNNNNNNNNNNNNNNNNNNNNNNNNNNNNNNNNNNNNNNNNNNNNNNNNNNNNNNNNNNNNNNNNNNNNNNNNNNNNNNNNNNNNNNNNNNNNNNNNNNNNNNNNNNNNNNNNNNNNNNNNNNNNNNNNNNNNNNNNNNNNNNNNNNNNNNNNNNNNNNNNNNNNNNNNNNNNNNNNNNNNNNNNNNNNNNNNNNNNNNNNNNNNNNNNNNNNNNNNNNNNNNNNNNNNNNNNNNNNNNNNNNNNNNNNNNNNNNNNNNNNNNNNNNNNNNNNNNNNNNNNNNNNNNNNNNNNNNNNNNNNNNNNNNNNNNNNNNNNNNNNNNNNNNNNNNNNNNNNNNNNNNNNNNNNNNNNNNNNNNNNNNNNNNNNNNNNNNNNNNNNNNNNNNNNNNNNNNNNNNNNNNNNNNNNNNNNNNNNNNNNNNNNNNNNNNNNNNNNNNNNNNNNNNNNNNNNNNNNNNNNNNNNNNNNNNNNNNNNNNNNNNNNNNNNNNNNNNNNNNNNNNNNNNNNNNNNNNNNNNNNNNNNNNNNNNNNNNNNNNNNNNNNNNNNNNNNNNNNNNNNNNNNNNNNNNNNNNNNNNNNNNNNNNNNNNNNNNNNNNNNNNNNNNNNNNNNNNNNNNNNNNNNNNNNNNNNNNNNNNNNNNNNNNNNNNNNNNNNNNNNNNNNNNNNNNNNNNNNNNNNNNNNNNNNNNNNNNNNNNNNNNNNNNNNNNNNNNNNNNNNNNNNNNNNNNNNNNNNNNNNNNNNNNNNNNNNNNNNNNNNNNNNNNNNNNNNNNNNNNNNNNNNNNNNNNNNNNNNNNNNNNNNNNNNNNNNNNNNNNNNNNNNAACCAAAGGAAGCAUGUUCCAGACGUCGAUGCCACAACCAAAUUUCAGACUUUUUCUUCUCCUCCUUAGAUCCAUCUGCCAUCAAGGCUUGUUGCAACUUAUUUGAAUCCUUUGAUUGCAAGUCCAAGUAUAGAGUUUCCCCCGCUUAAUACGACAACCAAUCGUCUGUCUUGUUUGAAUGUCCUUAAUCACACAAAAUUCAGGCCAAAAAAUGACAAUACAAGAUAAGGCUGCAGUGAUUUGAGAAACUAACAAAAGAUUGUAAUCUAAAGAUGGAACAACUAAAACAGAAUCCAAAUUCAAAGUAUCAGUAAGAGUUAAGGAUCCUUCCCCAAUGACUGGGGUUGUGUUACCAUUGGCUGUGGAAACAAUUUUUUGUGAGGAAGGUCUAAGGGGUGAAACCUGUCUAGAAUCAAAAGUCAUAUGAUCUGUAGCACCAGAAUCAAUUAUCCAUGCACUAUUAAUAACAGGUGUAAAAGUAUUUAAAAACUUACCACAAUGAUCUGUAGCGGCUACUAAUGCAGAGACUUUCUCAACAACAUUAGUCUUUGUUUUUAUUUCGGUAACAGUUGCAAUCAAGGUUUUCUUGGAAUUCUUCUUCCGUUGAUCACGAUUAUUAUCAUUAAUAACAAAGUGUUGAUAGCCUAAACAUGAUCUAAAGGUCCAUGGUGCAAACCCUCGGUUCCUCAUUGUUUUCCUGGUCAUACCAAGAGUUGUUGCUUUGAAAUUGUGGGAUAUCCAGACUGGUGGGAUCAGUUUUAUUGCAGUGAGUGCAUUUGAAUGUUGACUUAUCAAUAUUAGGGCUUGUCUUCGGAUGGUUGAUUGCUGUUGGACUACCAUAGCGACAAAAUAUCCAGGAUUUCAAUUCCAGGGCUCUGAUACCAUCUUCAAAUUGAUGAAUGAUAGUUUUUCAUUCAUUCUUUCAUGUACAGAGUAUAUAUAGAGGGUAAUCACCAUUCUAAGAAUGGGAAAGAAUGAUACGAGGAAAUAAUGAUAUAAGGAAAUAAUAACUAAUAUCCUAAUAUCUCAACUUUCCUAAUAUCUCAAUAUUCCUAAUAUCUCAACUUUCCUAAUAUCUAAACAUUCAUAAUAUCUCAACACUAAAUGAUACAAGGAAAGAAUGAUAUAAGGAAAACAUUCCUAAUAUCUCAACACCACUUCAUGAUAUAUAUAGUUUCUUACCCUUAAUCAAUGGUUUCUAAGUGAAUUUAUAUAGAAAGAAAUCCAAACUGUAGACAGCAGUAUUGGUAACACUCAAUAUUCUGUAUAUAAUAGAAUAAAUAGCGUCACAGUGAUCGUCGCCUACAAGCAAGGUACAAAUACCACAAAGAGUGACCCACAUAGACAUUCCCCAACAAGAUGUAGUAGUGACUGACACAUAGCCACAAUUAACACGUAGAAAAGGAUAAGACCGGUGCACAGUAGCUCUUAUUUUACAUACUACUUAUGCCAACCAAAGUCACUCAGUUGGGAUGGGAGGGAGAUGGAGGUUUGUGCGGUGGCUUGUGGGGCGGAGUUGAUGGCUUCUUUCCAGGAGCUUCUGGCUUUUUCAUCGGAGCUGAAGGAGGCUCAAUCUUAUGAGGCGGCUUGUACGAGUCUUCUUUGCUCUCGAAAGGAGGGUGGCCAGGGUUGUGACCAUAAUGUGGUGGUUUCUCUCCCUUGGGAGGUUUACCAAUUGGGGUUGGUGGCUUGUGUUCUGGGAGUGGUUUCUCUCCCUUGGGAGGUUUAGUGGGUGACUUGUGUUCUGGAGGUGGCUUCUCCACCGAAGGCUUGUGCUCCGGUGGUGGCUUUUUGGUUGGAGGGGGCUUGGGGUAAUCAGCAAGAGAUGGGGUGGUGAGAACCACCAGUCCAAGGAACAACACUAGCAAGUAUGUGGGAGACAUUUUUGAGUUUGGGCUGAUCAGAUGAUGCAAAACUAAAGCAUUACGUGACCUUUUAUAGCAAGUAGCUCCCAAUACCUACUUGACACGUGUUACUGUGACCCAUAAAUAUUAUGGGGUCUAUUUGUGCCCUACCGGGUUGAAAACUUGGACAAUUGGGCAAGGACCCGCCUGACUAUGGAGGACUACUGAGGUGUGAUCACAGCUUUAGGAUUUUUCUUCCUCUGCAGCCGUCUUGCCGUUGGCAUGAUUUUCUUAAUCUCAAAUAAAGGCAUAGUUAUAGAGUUGUUUAAUCUCUAAAUGGGAUUUUAUAUAUCUUCAGAUAGCCAUUAAUACAUUUGAUGAAGAAAGAAAGACAAGUGCAUACAACAUGUAUACGACUAGCUUUCAUGGAGUUCAUUUAUGAUCAGUUUUCCUGUACAUGUAAACCAAGAUCAUAUAUGUUUUUGUUCCACAACAAUUUUGGAAUCUUGUUUAUCCGUUUUUAUCAUUAUAAUGUCACAUAGGCUGCCAACUUGGGCGCUAAAUUAAAGAUCCAGUUGGGCAAGUUCGUUUCAGAAUUUCAAUGGUGGAUUCAGGAAUUGUUUUAUAAGAUAUGCAAAAUAGUAGAGGGAUGAAUAGUGUUUCAUUAAGAAAAGAGCCCUGUAAAAAUAUUGUUUAAAGGUGCCAUAGAAACUAUAAUCAAUAAAUAACUUUUUUUCCCCAUGGGUGGUGUUUCUUGUGGGGAUCAGUGACUGGUUUGAGUCAACGCCGUGUCUCUUUAGUCCAGAAAUCAACUAUUUUAUGCAUUGAAUACAUCAACAAAGAAAAUAUGAAAGCCAAAUGACACCUCCCCCGCAAAAACUAAACCCUGGUUGCUAACUUUCUAUGUUUCAGUUCCAUUCACACAAGAAUAUUAGUUCAAGUUUGAGAAAAAUGGCGACUUACCUAGUGAUAACUCGGUCUUGGUUUGCGAUUUGACUUUAACGUCAUGGGUUGAAGCCUCCUACAAUCAUCGUGUAUGCUAGUUCAAAGCUCGUGGAAGAAGUUAUACAGGGAGGGAGAAACCUCCACAGCAAGCUCCAAAAGAGAAUUAUCACAUUGAAAGCUCCAGUUGAACACUGGGUGAAAGCCAUAACAAGAUUGGUUUUCUAUCGCUCUUUUAAGUAAUGGAAGAUUAUUAUCUCUGCUUGUCACUACAACCGUGCAUGCUGCUAGAUCUUUCUAGACACUUCAAACAGUGAAACCAAGUAUGAUUCUUUUUCUCUUGAGUGGGUCCACUUGCAUGCCAAUGAACGAGUUGAAAAGUUGGACAAUUGGCCACAGCGCGCACUUACCUUCUGGAACCGAAGGUCAGUGAAGUGGGGUUCCUUUUGGCCCCUUGUGUUUCUGUUCCAACCUACUCCAGGAACCGAAGUUCAGUGAAGUGGGGCUACUUUUGGCCUCUUGUGUUUCUGUUCCAACCAAACAAAAAUGGGAGGGAAAAAUAGCAUUAUGCUUGUGCUAAAGAUCAACGCAUGAUAGCUGAAUAAGGGAGAAAAAGGCAUUGCUAUCUCAAUUUCAUAAACUUGAUAAGUAGUGACAUUAAUAGUCUUCCUCAUAGAUGGAUACAUGGUUUUAUUUUAUUUAUUUAUUUUUAUUUUUUUGUUUUAUGUCAAUGCUAAUGAAUGAAGUGCAUUAGCUUGUUUUGUGACUAGAACUACAAAUGUCCAAAUUGGAGCUUCUCCAAUAUAUUUCUCAGUGAGUUAUUGAUUAGAACUCUUGGAUUGAGUUCCAAGAUUUGAAUCAGACCCCUCUAGCAGCUUCAGGGGUACGUAGCAACCUAUAGCAUAUUAAUGAAGACUUAGGAUUUAGACUUAGGAAUACAAAUUAAUAUGUACCUCAUGCUCUGACUAGCUUCCCUGCGUAUGCACAAAAUGGAGAUGACUCCCAAAAAAAUAGCAGAAUCGCCUUAGUAUGUUUUUGUGGUUAAGAUGAUUCUCCACUUUAUAUAUCCACAUUGGUUCAUUAUGCAAAUUAAUCAACUAAGCUAUUUUUAUUUUUUCUUAAAUGUGAAAUAGGAGCUCCAAAUUAACCUAACCAUUGGCCUGAUUGAAUUGAUUUCACUUGCAUAAUGUUAUAGUAGAAGUCCGUAAUUUGAAUUUUAUUUUUGCAAAAGGUAACGUAAAUGAAGCAUUGUAAUUAAAUUUAUUUGUAAUUACAAACUAAUUUUAUUUUAUUAAGAAUUAAUUUAAUUACUCAUUUAAAAUAAAAAUCAGUUAUACUUUUACCAAGAUGAUAAUAUUCAUAUUUUUCUAGUUAACAUAUAUAAAAUAGUACACUUUUUCAUAUAAAAAAAUAAUUUAUGAUUUAUUAUAAUGUUACUAUUCACAUUUUACUAAAUUGAUGGUACAUGAUAGUGAGAGAAGGGGGUGUCACACUCAGCUAAAGUUCUUUUCAAAAUAUUGCAUGGUGUUUAAUUUUAUGUGUCGGCGCGCGUGUGAAUGGAACCUGCAAAAGUCCAAAUUGGCGUUUCUCCAUUUUCCACAUAGGAUGGUGACGUUAAUAGACAAAGAUACAAUAUCUGUAGACAUUGCUUAAAAAUCGAUGUGAAGUAUUAGAAAUUACAGGGCACUGUACUGGGGGAGCGGCUGCCCCGCCAAAGGAGGAAGAAUGUAGCAAUUUCUUCUGUUAGCCAGGCCUUAGGAUUUAUGCAUGGGAUGCCUAAUAACAAACAGAGAAAAUAUACUUUUGGGGAAGGUAUCCAACAACAGACACCAUCAUUCAGAUGGUGGGAAGGUAUCCAACAGAUGCCAUCAUUCAGAUGGUAACAUAUAUAUACAUUUAUUAGUGAGUUUUUUUAAUACCUAUAAAAAAAAAUAUACACUUUGAUAUUGUGGCUGAAUCCAUUACAUACUCAACUAACCUUGCUCAUUAGGGAUUUGACUUAACAAGGGCAACGUUGCAGUACAAGCUCAAAACUUUAUGCAGGUGACAUUACAUUUGGUAAAGAAGAGGAAAAUAACGAAAGCCAUCCAUAAAAGCAAAAUUCCACAUGGGAUGAAAUUCACAAGCUUCAUUUACGAUAGAGUCGCAUCCAGGCAAUUAAUUCCACAUUAGACCGCCUGUUGACAUGUGUACCAAUCUUUUUUCAAAAAAUAUUUAUAAAUAAUUGAUACUCACAAAAAUAAUUUAAUAUUUAUAAAGGAUAAAAAAAUAUUUUCAAAUCUAUAACAAUUUAUAAAAUAUUAAUAAAAAAUUAUCUCUUAAACUUAGUAUAGUUUUAUCAGAUUAAACUUUUAUUUUGAACAAAUAAUUUUAAUCUAAGUUUUAAAUUCUAAAAUUAUUUCCUUAAAAUAAAAUUUUAAAAUUCAACACUUCAAUUGAAAUUGUCUUUUUAAAAAAUAUCUUCUUAUUUUAAUCCUUAUAAACUAUAGUUGAUUGAAAAUACUAUUGAAGUUCUCUCUUAAAAAAAAGUCUUAUUUUAAUCUUCAUAAAUUGCCCUUGAUUUGAAAAUAAAUUUUCAGUUAUCAUAUUUUAAAUAAUAUCUAUAUUUAAAAUACUCUAUUUAAAAAAAAAUGAACUAAUUUUAAUUAUAUUAUAUUUUAUUUUUUUAUAUAUUUUUAAUGAUAAACCAAACAUAGAAAAUCAUUUUUCUAAAUAUUUUAAAAUUUCUAAGCAACCAAACAUAAUCUUCAAAAUAAAAGGAAAAUAAGGAGGGACAUUUGAGAAAUGGCGAUUAAAAAAAAGUGUACAAAAGCUCAAUUAAUUUUCUUCUAGUCUUUUAUAUAAAAAAGUAAAGGAAUUGAAAAGUAUUGAUAUGUAAAUUAAUAUUUGGAUUUUAAUAGUAUUUUAUUUGUCUUUCUCUAUCUCAUGUAAAAGAGAAUUUAAGAUAUUUCCUAAAGCAAAGCAUUAGUUAUCUGCAAUCAGUGGUGAUCAUGCCCCAUGUCAAUUUCGGACCCAUAUCUUAAAACUGUAUAAUUUGCAUUCAAACAUUACUGAUUUCUCAGAUGUUUCAUACUCCACAGAAGAGCAUUGUUUGUGAAAGCAUGCAUUUAUGUUGGAUUUUGGAUGAUGUGGGAACUGGGGCAAGGAUCAUAUGGAAGAGUGGUCGAUUUUGUUCUGUACUUUAACAUUUGAAAUAGGAGAAGCUCGGGCAUUUGUGGGGCUUAAUUGAUUUUGAAGCCUGAAAUUGCGUUUCUGUCAUUUUGUAAAAAAUAUGGCAGAUUCCAUGCUCUCAUAUGUUUGGUCUGUGGCCAUGUAUAGAUGCCCCUUAGUGACCAGUUUGUAACUGUCAAUCAUAGUGUUUUGACUCUGGCUCAACAACAUCAGCCAUUGACGGAUUUUCAUACUUGCAAAUCAAAUAGUCUUCUUCCUCCCUUAGGAAUUUCGGUUUAAAUGUUAUUAAGCAUACAUUUGGCUGACAAUUAUUAACCACUUCAUGAUAUGGUUUCUUACCCUUAAUCAAUGGUUUCUAAGUGAAUAUAUGCAGAAGGAAAUCUGAACUGUAGACAGCAGUAUUGAUAACUCUCAAUAUUCUUUAUAUAAGAGAAUAAACAACGUCAUAGUGAUCGUCGCCUACAAGAAAGGUACAUUUCCCAACAAGAUGUAGUUGUGACUGGUACAUGGACGCAAUUAACUCGUACAAAAGAAUAAGACCAGUGCACGGCAGCUCUUAUUUUACAUGCUAAUUAUGCUAACCAAAGUCACUCAGUUGGGAUGGGAGGGAGAUGGAGGUUUGUGCGGUGGCUUGUGGGGCGGAGUUGGUGGCUUCUUUUCAGGAGCUUGUGGCUUUUUCGGAGCUGAAGGAGGCUCAAUCUUAUGAGGCGGCUUGUACGAGUCUUCUUUACUCUCGACAGGAGGGUGGCCAGGGUUGUGACCAUAAUGUGGUGGCUUCUCUCCCUUAGGUGGCUUGCCAACUGGGGUUGGUGGCUUGUGUUCAGGAAGUGGUUUCUCUCCCUUGGGAGGUUUACCAAUUGGGGUUGGUGGCUUGUGUUCUGGGAGUGGUUUCUCUCCCUUGGGAGGUUUAGUGGGUGACUUGUGUUCUGGAGGUGGCUUCUCCACCGGAGGCUUGUGCUCCGGUGGUGGCUUCUCCACCGGAGGCUUGUGCUCCGGUGGUGGCUUCUUGAUUGGAGGGGGCUUGGGGUAAUCAGCAAGAGAUGGGAUGGUGAGAACCACCACUCCAAGGAACAACACUAGCAAGUAUGUGGGAGACAUUUCUGAGUUUGAGCUGAUCAGAUGAUGCAAAACUAGAAGAAUUACGGGACCUUUUAUAGCAAGUAUCUCCCAAUACCCACAUGACACGUGUUACUAUGACCAUAAAUAUUAUAGGGUCCAUUUGUGCCCUACCGGGUUGAAAACUUGGACGCUUGGCCGAGGACACACCUGACUAUGGAGGACUAUUGACGUGUGAUCACAGCUUUUGGAUUUUUCUUCCUGUGCAGCUGUCUAGCGGUUGGCAUUAUUUUCUUAAUCUUAAAUAAAGGCAUAGUUAUAGAGUUGUUUAAUCUCUAAAUGGGAUUUUAUAUAUCUUCAGAUAGCCAUUAAUAUAUUUGAUGAAGAAAGACAAGUGCAUACAACAUGUAUACGGCUUGCUUCAAUCGAGUACAUUUAUGAUCAGUUUUCCUGUGCAAGUAAACCAGUUUUUUGUUCCACAACUAUUUUGGAAUCUUGUUUAUCAGUUUCUAUCAUUAUAAUGUCACAUAGGCUGCAAACUUGGGCACCCAAAGAUCUAGGUGGGCAAAUUUGUUUCAGACUUUCAAUGGUGGAUUCAGUAAUUGUUAAAAGGUGUUUCUUCAUUAAGGAAAGAGUCCGGUAAAAAUAUUGUUAAAAGGUGUCAUAGAAACUAUAAUAAAUAAAUAACUUCUUUUCCCCAUGGGUGGUGUUUCUUCUGGGGAUCAGUGACUGGUUAGGGUCACCCAAAAUGAGUCCAGAUUAAAAUUGGUUCGAGUCAAAGCAGUCUCUUUUGUCCAGAAAUCAACUAUUUUGCGCAUUGAAUGAAUCGAUAAAGAAAAAAUGAAAGCCAAAUCACACCUCCCCUGCAAAACCUAAACCCCGGUUGCUAACUUUCUAUGUUUCAGUCCUAUUCAUAUAGGAAUAUUGGUUCAAGUUUGAGAAAAAUGGCAACUUACCUAGGGUUUACUUGGUUUUGGUUUGCGACUAUUUACGCAACCAACCAUGAGUUUGACUUUAACGUCAUGGGUUGAAGCCUCCUACAAUCAUGUAUGAUAGUUCAAAGCUCGUGGAAGAAAUUAUACAGGAAGGAAGAAACCUCCAAAGCUAGCUCCAAAAGAGAAUUAUCACAUCGAUAGCUCCAGAGAUUCCCAAGGGAACUGAAUCAAAGACAAGUUCCUCACUUUUUCUUCUUUUGAGGCCAAAUAUGAACCAAGGAUCACACGACCUCAUUCAACUUCAUAAGUUUGAUUUCAUGCAGUUGAACACUGGGUGAAGGCCAUGACAAGAAUUGAUUAAAAAAUUCUACCACUCUUUUAAGUAAUGGAAGAUUAUUAUCUCUGAUUGGCACCACAACAGCACAUGCUGCUAGAUCUUUCUAGACACUCCAUGCAAUGAAAGCACAAUGGAUCUUGUAAUGAUAGAAACUAAGCCAUGCUACAGUACUAGAUGAGGGGGUAAAACUAGUAGACAUCUUUCUAGACACUCCAUGCAAUGAAAGCACAAUGGAUCUUGUAAUGAUAGAAACUAAGCCAUGCUACAGUACUAGAUGAGGUGGUAAAACUAGUAGACAUGGCUGGCAGUUGAUUACUACUCAAAAAGUACUCUUUUAUAGCUUGAAACUAACUGUUUUAAACACUUUUGAGUAGUAGUUAAUACCUUUUAACUUAAUUGGCACAUUAAGGAACCUAGCAAGGGUUACUAAUCAACAUUUGGCAAGUUUUGAUGUUUUUGGUAGCUAUUUGAUCAUUGAAACAAGCCAAGAAUGAGGGGGAAUUUUGUGAAGUCCAUGGCAAUGCAAGUUAAAGCUCAAAUACAUGAAGAAUCCAAGCUUUGGAGCACUUCAUAGCCCUUUGCCAAGCCAAUCAAAGAUGCAAGGAAGAAAACCAAAGGAAGAAAUCCAACAAUCAGCAUUUUGGCAUGGCUAUGUGAAAUUUCGCACACCAUGCGAAACCACAAGAGGCAGCCAAAGAAUUUCGCAUGGUAUGCGAAAUCUUCUUGUGCACUGACUCUGUUAGAUUUUUAUCUUCAGAUAUUUUGUGUAAUUUCCUAGUUUCUCCUUGUAACCAACUUAGAUAUUUUCUUUUAUAUCUUUUUUUAUAUUUUUUAGGUAACAUCAUAUAUAAGAGGAGAGACAUAAGGAGGAUAUGGAUGUUUUUCAUAGAACACUUGUAAAUUUUUGGUAGUAAGAAAUAUACAAAGCUUUUUGCUCUGCCUUACCUUCUCAAGGGAUGAGUGGCUAGGUUUUCUUGGAGUGAGGGAAGCUAGGUGAAGGACCUGAAUGCAAAGGUGGGAGUUUUCCUUACUUUAAAUGAAAGUAGUUGUUAAACAUUAAUGGUUUUUAUUUUAAGGUUUAGCUUUAAAUCCCUGAAAAACACCUUGAAUGGCCAAUACUUGGUAAGCUUUUUAGAUUCUAUGGAUGCUUAUUGCUAGAUCCAUGGAUGUCUAUUAGUUAUCAUUUACGAGCCAUUGGAAGGUGAUUCAAGGUGAGGGUCUUUAGUGUUUGAAGCCAUUAAUGGGAAGCAAUUACCAUUUUUUCAUGAAUCCUUUGGAUCAAAUCUUAAUUGCUAAAUAUAAAACCGGUUUCGAGAGAUAACCACCAUCCUUUAUGUUAUUAUCCCCAACGCGAGGAGAAGAUCCGAAAUCUUCCUUUUUAUCUAAGGAACCCGAUCCUAGUGACCUAAAGCUCCAAGAUACCUUUUCUUUGUAGUUAACUUCAUUUAUUGUUUUUGCUUAACUUAAAAUCAAUCUUUGCAACCACAAUUCCAUUUUCUUUAAAAGCUAAUUUUUAUAAGGAAAAACACCAUUUUAUUUCCUUCACUAAGUCAACUGUACGAUGAAAACCCAUCCCUGUGGACGAUCCUAGAGCCACUAUACUAUGUUAGCUAUGCUACCCUAGUGUGAGGUGAUUUAGGUUUUAUAAAUUUUUUUGAUAACACCCAUCUGAGCCAGAAUCAAAUGGCACGACUGAACCAGGGACGAAUCAAAUGACGCCGCUACCAAGGAUGGUGCCAAAGUACAUUGACAUGACUUUUGGUGAACACUUGUGAUCUUCACCACAAGUUUGGUGAUUUUUCUUUUACUAAUUUUUUUUAUUUUAGCUUAUCUUUUAUUUAGUUUUUAGUUAACCUUAAAUUUUUCCUAGAAUUGUAUUUCUUUUGUUUUCUUUGUUUUUGUUUCAGUGAUCUUUAGUUGUGCAUGCCCUAUUGGAUAAGAGAUAUUGAGGGAAUACUUGUGAAGAUUGAAACUCCUCGAGAAACUGAGUUAGAAGUGUGCUUGAACAUCAUGGAUGUUCCACCUGAAGACCAGAAUAGCCAACAUGGUUAAGAGGAUAAUUUCAACACAUACCGAUCCAUGAGGAACCGCAUACAUCCACCUUGUAUGAGUGCACCGUCAGGCAUAAUGCCUCCCACUGAGCAGCUAGUAAUCUGACCUCACAUUGUGCCACUCCUACCUACUUUCCAUGGGAUGGAGAGUGAGAAUCCCUACUCGCAUAUUAAGGAAUUCGAGGAGGUUUGUAAUACAUUCCAAGAAGGAGGAGCUUCAAUUGACUUGAUGAGGCUCAAGCUAUUUCCUUUCACUUUGAAGGAUAAGGCCAAGAUUUGGCUUAAUUCUUUAAGGCCAAGAAGUAUCCAAACUUGGAUUGAUUUGUAAGCCGAGUUUCUUAAGAAGUUCUUCCCUACCCAUAGGACCAAUGGUUUGAAAAGGCAAAAUUUGAACUUCUCAGUUAAAGAGAAUGAGAAAUUCUAUGAGUGUUGGGAGAGCUACAUGGAAGCUAUUAACGUUUGUCCUCACCAUGGCUUUGACACAUGGCUCUUAGUGAGCUAUUUUUACAAUGGUAUGUCUUCUUCAAUGAAGCAACUCCUAGAAACUAUGUGUGGAGGAGACUUCAUGAGUAAGAAUCCGGAGGAAGCCAUGGACUUUUUGAGUUAUGUGGCUGAAGUUUCAAGAGGAUGGGAUGAACCAAAUGCUAGAGAGGUGGGAAGAAUGAAGUCUCAACCUAAUGCUAAGGGUGAGAUGUAUGUUUUGAAUGAAGACAUUGACAUGAAAGCAAAGGUUGCAGCUAUGGCAAGGAGAUUGGAAGAGCUAGAAAUGAAGAACAUACAAAAAGUGCAAGCCAUUUCUGAGACAUCAAUGAAAGCUAUGCCUUGUUCCAUUUGUCAAUCUUAUAAGCACCUAGUGGAGGAGUGUCCUACAAUUCCAGCAGUGAGAGAGAUGUUUGGUGAUCAAGCAAAUGUUAUUGAUCAAUUCAAGCCUAAUAACAAUGCUUCAUAUGGCAACACCUACAAUUCAAAUUGGAGGAACCAUUCAAAUUUCUCUUGGAAACGAAAGCCACCUCAAUACACACAACCUACUCAAGCACCUUAGCAAUCCUCGAAUCUUGAACAAGCUAUUGUGAACCUUAGCAAGGUUGUGGGAGACUUUGUGGGAGAUCAGAAGUCCAUCAAUGCUCAACUGAAUCGGAGAAUUGACAGUGUGGAGAGUACAUUGAACAAAAGGAUGGAUGAGAUGUAAAAUGAUCUGUCUCAAAAGAUAGACAAUGUCCAAUACGUAAUCUCAAGGCUUACCAACCUCAACACAGUGUAAGAGAAAGGAAAGUUUCCUUCUCAACCUCAUCAAAAUCCUAAGGGUAUCCAUGAAGUAGAGGCUCAAGAGGGAGAAUCUUCAAAGGUGAGGGAAGUCAAAGUAGUUAUCACCUUGAAGAGUGGUAAAGAGGUUGAUCAACCCACAUCCAAGCCAAAGCAUAAUGAAGAGAGUGUAGCAGAAAAAGAAAAGAGAGGAAAAUAAAGGAAUUAGAAUAGAGAAAAAUACAAAGAAAGAUGACCAUGAGUCUAGUGUGGAUGAAGAGCCCGAGAGGAUGGUGAUCAAGGAAGAUAUGAUGAAGAAACACAUGCCUCCACCUUUCCCCUAAGCUUUGCAUGACAAAAAAAGAACCAAUAAUACAUCAGAAAAUUUUGAAGUAUUGAGGCAAGUGAAGGUCAAUAUCCCUUUGCUAGACAUGAUCAAACAAGUGUCGACAUAUGAAAAAUUCUUGAAGGACUUGUGCACUGUAAAGAGAGGGUUGAAUGUGAACAAGAAAGCUUUAUUGACCGAGCAAGUGAGUUCCAUCAUACAGUGCAAGUCCUAGUGAAGUACAAAGAUCCGGGUUGCCGUACCAUCUCAGUGAGUAUUGGAAGGACUUGUGUGGAGAAAGCUUUGUUGGACUUGGGAGCAAGUGUGAAUUUGCUAUCCUACUCUGUCUAUAAGCAGUUGGGAUUUGGAGAGUUGAAGCCAAUAUCCAUCACUCUAUCUCUAGCGGAUAGAUCAAUGAAGAUUCCAAGAGGGAUGAUCGAAGAUGUCCUGGUUCAAGUUAACAAAUUCUACUAUCCAGUAGAUUUUGUUGUUCUUGAUAUGGAUCCGGUUGUCAAAUGAACUAAUUAUGUUCCUAUCAUACUUGGAAGACCCUUCCUAGCUACAUCAAAUGCAAUCAUCAAUUGUAGGAAUGGAGUCAUGCAACUCACAUUUGUCAACAUGACAUUAGAGCUCAACAUCUUCCAUUUGUACAAGAAGCAUAUCCAUCAGGAGGAAAAAGAAGGUCUAGAGGAAGUGUGAAUGAUUGACACUUUAGUGGAAGAGCAUUGUGAUCGAGAAUGCAAAAAGAUUUAGUUGAGAAUUUUGGGGAUCUUGAUGAAAGGUUACUUGAACCCUCAGAUUUGCUUGCUACCCUACUCCAUUGGAAGAGAAGAGAAGAAAUUCUACCCUUAUUCAAUGAGGAGGAGACGCAAAGAGCUGCAAAGGAGAAACCCCCAAAACUUAUUCUUAAGCCACUACCCACAGAGUUGAAGUAUGUAUACUUGGAAGAAGACAAGAAGUGCCCUAUUGUUAUAUCUUCAACUCUUACCAUUCAUCAGGAGGAUUGUCUACUUGAAGUCCUUAGAAGAUGUAAGAAGACAAUAAGGUGGCUAAUUUCUUAUUUGAAAGGGAUCAGCCCUUUAGUCUGCACCCAUCAUAUUUACAUGGAGGAUGAAGCUAAGCUAAUUCAUCAACCUCAGAGAAGGUUGAACCCUCACAUGCAAGAGGUGGUUCGAGCUGAAGUUCUGAAGCUACUUCAGACCAGUAUUAUUUACCCCAUAUCAAAUAGCCCAUGGGUGAGUCCUACUCAAGUUGCGCCAAAGAAGUCUGGGAUCAUGGUGGUGCAAAAUGAUAAGGGAGAAGAUGUCUCUACACGCCUCACUACAGGUUGGAGGGUGUGUAUCAAUUACAGGAGGUUGAAUGCAGUGAUAAGAAAGGACCAUUUCUCAUUGCCCUUUAUUGAUCAGGUGCUUGAGAGGGUCUCUGGGCUUUUUUUUUUAUUGUUUCUUGGAUGGCUACUCCGGGUACUUUCAGAUAGAAAUUGAUGUUGAAAACCAAGAUAAGACCAUUUUCACAUGCCCAUUUGGAACCUAUGCAUAAAGGAGAAUGCCUUUCGGCUUAUGCAAUGCACCCGCAACUUUCCAAAGAUGCAUGUUAAGCAUUUUCAGUGAUAUGGUGGAGCGUAUUAUGGAAGUCUUUAUGGAUGAUAUCACCAUUUAUGGAAGUGCAUUUGAUGAAUGCUUGGUCAACUUAGAAGCUGUUCUGAACCGAUACAUUGAGAAAGACUUAGUGCUUAACUGGGAGAAGUGCCAUUUCAUGGUACACCAAGGGAUUGUCCUUGGGCACAUUAUCUCCAAGCAAGGCAUUGAAGUUGACAAAGCAAAGGUUGAACUCAUUGUUAAGUUGCCAUCCUCAACAAAUGUCAAAGGAGUAAGGCAAUUCUUUGGCCAUGUCGGGUUCUAUAGGAGGUUUAUCAAGGAUUUCUCUAAGCUUGCAAGGCCUCUUUGUGAAAUAUUGGUGAAUGAUGUUAAAUUCAUAUGGGAUGAUGGAUUUGAAAGGAGUUUUGAAGAAUUGAAGCUAUUUUUGACAACCGUACCAAUAGUGAGGGCUCCCAACUGGCAACUGCCCUUUGAAGUAAUGUGUGAUGUCAAUGAUUUUGCUAUAGGAUUUUUUCUUGGGCAAAGAGAAAAUGGAAAACCUUAUGUGAUCUACUAUGCGAGGAAGGCAUUGAAUGAGGCACAAAGAAACUACACAACCACCGAGAAAGAAUUGUUAGCUGUAGUUUUUGCCUUGGAUAAGUUUCGCGCUUACUUGGUGGGGUCCUUCAUCAUGGUUUUUACUGAUCACUUUGCUUUGAAGUAUCUGUUGACUAAGCAAGAUGCUAAAGCAAGGCUGAUUAGAUGGAUUCUCUUACUUCAAGAGUUCAAUCUCCAUAUCAAAGAUAAGAAAGGAGUGGAGAAUGUGGUAGCAGACCACAUUUCAAGGCUAGCUAUCGCACAUAAUUCCCAUGCUUUGCCCAUUAAUGACGAUUUUCUAGAGGGGUCUCUCAUGUUGGUGGAAGUUGUCCCUUGGUACGCUCACAUUGCUAACUACCUGGUCACGGGAAAAGUUCCAAGUGAGUGGAAAGCACAAGAUAAGAAGCACUUCUUUGCAAAAAUUCAUGCCUACUAUUGGGAAGAGCCAUUUCUAUUCAAGUAUUGUAUGGAUCAGAUAAUAAGGAAGUGCGUUCCUGAAGAAGAGCAACAGGGGAUCCUUAGUCAUUACCAUGAAAAUGCAUGUGGAGGCCACUUUGCUUAUCAAAAGACAGCCAUGAGGGUGUUGCAAUCGGGUUUCUGUUGGCCAUCACUUUUCAAAGAUGCCCACACCAUGUGCAAGAGUUGUGAUCGAUGCCAGAGGCUUGGGAAGUUGACACGCAGGAACAUGAUGCCUUUGAACCCCACUUUAAUAGUUGAUAUUUUUUAUGUUUGGGGCACUAACUUCAUGGGACCUUUCCCUAUGUCUUUUGGCUACUCUUACAUCUUGGUAGGAGUAGAUUAUGUUUCUAAGUGGGUUGAGGCAGUCCCAUGCAAACACAAUGACCAUAGAGUGGUUCUCAAGUUUCUUAAAGAGAAUAUCUUCUCAAGAUUUGGGGUGCCCAAAGCCAUAAUUAGUGAUGGGGGUACUCAUUUUUGCAACAAGCCUUUUGAAACUCUCCUAGCCAAGUAUGGGGUGAAGCAUAAGGUAGCUACACCUUACCACCCUCAAACUCAUGGACAAGUUGAGUUAGCAAACAGGGAGAUUAAAAACAUAUUGAUGAAGGUGGUGAACACAAACAGAAAAGAUUGGUCAGUCAAGCUUCUUAAUUCACUAUGGGCAUAUAGAACAACUUACAAGACCAUUCUCGGGAUGUCUCCUUAUCGCCUAGUUUAUGGCAAAGCAUGCCAUCUCCCUGUGGAAUUGGAAUACAAAGCUUGGUGGGCAAUCAAGAAGCUCAACAUGGAUUUGAGCAGAGCUGGGUUGAAGAGGUUCUUAGACCUUAAUGAGAUGGAGAAAUUGAGAAAUGAUGCCUACAUCAAUUCAAAAAUUGCAAAAGAAAAAUUGAAGAGGUGGCAUGAUCAGUUGAUUUCCCGCAAGGAUUUUCAAAAUGGACAAAGAGUCUUACUUUAUGACUCUAAACUCCACAUCUUUCCGGGCAAGCUGAAAUCAAGGUGGAUAGGUCAUUUUACCAUUCACCAAGUGCAUUCAAAUGGAGUAGUGGAACUACUCAACUCCAACAAUAUCGAGAACUUCAAAGUGAAUGGCCACCGUCUCAAGCCCUUUGUGGAGUCUUUUUCUCACAACAAGGAGAAAUUCAUCCUCCUUGAUCCACAUCAAGCUUAACAAGACCAAUUUUCUUGAUGGACUUAGUCUUUCUAAAGACUAUCGAGUCCAUAACUUUUUGUUUUAUUUUUUAUUUGAGAUUUUUUCGGUAUUGUUACUUGUUUUGUUUUUUAUUUUUCGUUUUAAUUUUAUUUGGUUUGAUUUAACUUAGGUUUUUGAUGAUCAAUUACAGGGGGGAUUUCAAAUAGAGGAAAAACCAAGAUAAUUCGCACACCCUACGAAAAUUUCGCAAGGCAUGCGAAAUUUAUGGCUUAUUUUGCAUGGGGUGAAAAUUUUCGUACAUCUUACGAACCAAUUUCGAACACUUUGCGAAAAUAAACCAACCCUGCGAAAUCAUUUCGAUUACUCUACGAAAUUUUCGUAGAGCAUGCGAAAAAUUUAGCACACCAAACACCAUUUCGCAUACUAUGCAAAAACCUAAGGGGUCUGCGAAACCAUUUCGCACCUCCAAAUCCAUUUCGCACAUUGUGCGAAAACCAAGAGGCGCUGUGCGAAAAUGAAAAGUCGCCCUGUCAUCCCUUUUUAAACCCCUCGAGCCCUAAAAUCUCCAUUUCGCAAGCACCCCUGUCCUUGCGAAUCCCUCAUUUUCCUCUACUACCUUGCAACCUCGUCCCUUUCCAUUUGAUAUUGUGCCCCGCGCACAUCUCAUUUCAGAGACUCGCACUCCGCGCCCCCUCAAAGCAUGGACUCGAGACCCACCUUCCAUUUCCGACGUGGCACGGACCCAAGGAGCCCUUUCUGCCCCUUCACUAAGACACACACCAAGGCAGAAAGCCUCCUUUGCUCAAGUGCCUAGUGAUUCUCCAUCUUAGGCCUCAGAGGCCUCGGAGGCCCCGUGGAUUCCACCUUCCGAGGGUAGAGCAGCCAUUGGUCCUUCCUCUUCUACUCCUUAGCGUAGAUACGAGACGAGGAGACCACCUACUACACAAGGGGCGACUACUUCGAGCCUUGAGAAUUCAGUACGAUGCCUUCCUGCCAAGAGGGUCAAGACUUCAGGUCCAAGUGAGUCAUCCAGAGCUUCAUAGCCUAAGCCUCCUGUAGAUUCCAAGGUUCCUACUGACAUAUCACCGGAGUCUAUUAUCAGAAGCCCGAUGCUCAUAGCACCGCCCAUUGAGGGCAACUCAGAUUAUAGAGCGAGAUCUUUCCACUUGGAGCUAUAUUUUGAUCAGGAGGCCAUACGACAGCAGCCUGAGCUCCGAGACUCUUAUGGCUUACUGCAGAGGUACCAUCUUGAGGAACUUAUGACUCCUCGUGAGUUUUUUUAUCCCAGAGUAGCACUAAACUUUUACCAGUCCAUGACUACUCGUGGCGUCCCGAGUCCUACCACGAUUCACUUCACCAUUGAUAGACGUCAUGGUAUCCUCAAGGCCAGACAUAUUACAGAGGCUCUACAAAUUCCUUUCGAGCUAGAGGAUCCAUCUGUUUUUCGCUAAUGGUCCCCAGUAUCUCAGAGGGACAUGGUCCGUAUUUUAUCUAGGGGAACAUCUACAGAUUCGAUCUUUCUACGGAAGGAGCUUCGACCUGGGAUGCUCCUCUUAGAUGUGGUGCUAUGCUCCAACCUCUUUCCCUUACAACAUUCGGUACAUAGGUGAUGAGCUAUUUUGGACGCUUUAUUCCGUAUAUCAGAGGGCUUCUACUUUGGCCCGCACCACUUGAUCAUGGUCUCCCUCAUCCACUUUGAGGAGAAGGUUCAUAGGAAGAAGCUUCAGAGGGUGGACACCAUUCCAUUACUAUUCCUGAGGUUACUUUGCCAGGUCUUGGAGUACAUGGGCUUUCCUACUGAGCCUCGGCUCGAGCUUUGCCGCCUUUGUCGAGAGUGAUCCACUCUCGACAAAUGGAAUUAGUUGGCGGGCUAUUCUGCACCUCCAGGAGCCCCUCCCAUGGUAGCACCUCCAAUGUCCCCACAGGCAAAGUAGGGCGAGCUCCCGGCAAAGACUGUACCACCAAUGCCCACACUUGAGGCUAUUUCUGCUGCUCUGCCUAUGACUCCUACUGUUCCACCAGUUGGUCCUUUUACAUCCGAGCCUUCCAUCACCAUCUCGGCUUCGGAGUUUCGCGCCCUUGUGCAUACCUUUCAGACACUCACCACCACACAUACUCCUCUCUUCUAGCAAAUGGUUGAGAUGUGUGCCCAUCAGGACCGGAAGACUACUAUACUCUGCCAAAUUCAGCAGCACCUAAGACUUUUGCCUCAACCUCAACCUAACCAUCCCAUAUCAUCAGAGCCUCUAGCUCCAACUGAGGAUACUAUUCCACCUGAGAACACUACCACAGUAGAGGUCCGGUUUCCACCACCUUAAGAGGCCACCACAGCUACAUCAGAGGAUGUGUCAUCUCCACUUGAGGCUCCCACUACUUGAUCAUAGGACAUAUCUUUAUCUUAUUGUAUUUACAUAUUAUAUUACUAGAGAUUUGUCCUUGUUUUGAUACUUUAUAUUCUGGGAUUGGAUGUAUUGCCUGAUGAUAUCUCAAUUGUACUUUCUCAUAUUAAUAUAUAGACAUCAAUUUUUUUUAGUAUACUUAGCAUUUUUCUAUUUCCUCUACUCAUUACUCUUUUGUUUUUUUUUACUCAUGUGGUUUCUCUUAUACAACUCAGACUCCAUUUCACUCAGGAGGUACCACUUCCUCCCUUUAUUUUCAAUUGCUCUUGAAAUAUUGAGUGCAAUGUUGAUCUUGGUUGGGGGGAGAGUUGAGGAAGGAAGUUUUGUUAAUAAUGCUAGGUUAAUUUGUUAAUUUAGUUACUUUCUGCUUAAUUUUAAAAGUUUUCACUCUACUUUCCAUGGUUAUUAAGGAAAAAUUCUCAAAAUGAAAUGGGAGAAAUCGAAUUCUUGCAUUUUUACUUGAAUCUUAGAAUUUGUAUCAUGCUUAUUAAAGUUGAUGAAUUAUUGAAACUCCUAUUGAAUUCAACCUUAUUUUUUCCACUUUAAUCUUACCACACACGGUGCACAUUAGGUUCCAGUUAUAAGAUAAAAAACUAUCUCACCCCCUAAACUUAGAAAAAUUUACACUUGGUACCUUUGACAUCGUUUUAAUAGUGUUGGGACACCUUAUAAAAGGCCAAUGAGCCUUUAAAAAAAAAAAAAAAAAAAAAAAGAGAAAGAACAAAGUAUUGCACUUGCCUUGAAACCUGAGCAAGAUCCGAGGGGUAUACAGUGAAAGUCUUUAAAACCUGGUGCCCUAAGCCUUGAUUGGUUGGGAGUCACCGACCUCAAUGCUCGUUAUAAGGGUGAAUAGGUGGAGUUUAACAUAUUGUAGGUGCUUGGGUAUUGAAUUUCAAUCUCAAAAGUCCGGGAAAAAAUCUAAGGAGUUAGUGGUCAAAAGAUCCUUAAAGCUUGAUGCCCUAAACCUUGAUUGGUUGAGAGUCAUUGAUGGAUCCCCGCUACAUGGACAUUUUAGAAAACAAUACCUUUAGCAUUGCACGCCUACAAUGAAAAAAAAAUGUGAAAUAAAAGAGGUGCGUUCUUAGCCUAUUGGAGGUUGGUCAGUUUGCUAAAGUUUGAGAAAUCUAGGUUGGGGGGAGAGAAUAGUCCGACAUACUAUAAUAAAAAACUAAUAACCUUAACACUUAGAUUUUUGUGGAAGAGUAAGGAUUGGACCUUUAGGGGUGGAAAUUCUUUUGAUGCUUAAAUUUGCAUAAUGCCUACUCUUUAUAAAUUAUGAUUAGGCAAGAGAUUUGAUGACUCUUGUUCAAAGUUGGGUUUUUCCUCUUUGAUGUUCCAUGAGAGAGUAUAAUCCUCAUCAUGCCACUUGAAAUCUUUUUGGAGUGAUUAACAUGAUUUUGUAAAUUAUUUUACUGUCUAUUUUUCUUUAUCUCUCUUUUAUUGCUAAUGGACUAGCAAUAUGUCAGUUGGGGGGAGUGAUUACUACUCAAAAAGUACUCUUUUAUAGCUUGAAACUAACUGUUUUAAACACUUUUGAGUAGGUGUUAAUACAUUUUAACUCAAUUGGCACAUUAAGGAACCUAACAAGGGUUACUAAUAAGUUUUUGGCAAGUUUUGGUGUUUUUGGUAGCUAUUUGAUCAUUGAAACAAGCCAAGAAUGAGGGAGAAUUUUGUGAAGUCCAUAGCAAUGCAAGUUAAAGCUCAAAUACAUGAAGAAUCCAAGCUUUGAAGCACUUCAUAGCCCUUUGCGAAGCCAAUCAGAGAUGCAAGGAAGAAAACCAGAGGAAAAAAUCCAACAACCAGCAUUUUCGCAUGGCUGUGCGAAAUUUUGCACACCAUGCGAAACCACAAGAAGUAGCCAAAGAAUUUUGCACACCAUGCGAAAUUUCGCAUGGUAUACGAAAUCUUCCUAUGCACCAACUCCGUUAUAUUUUUAUCUUCAGAUAUUUUGUGUAAUUUCCUAGUUUCUCCUUGUAACCAACCUAGAUAUUUUCUUUUAUAUCUUUUUUUUAUAUUUUUUAGGUAACAUCAUAUAUAGGGGGAGAGACAUAAGGAGGAUAUGGAUGUUUUUCAUAAAACACUUUUAAUUUUCUGGUAGUAAGAAAUAUACAAAGUUUUUUGCUCUGCCUUACCUUCUCAUUUUGUUUUCACCUAUCUUUCUAGCCAAACAACCUCUGAGAAUGAUUUCUCAGGGGAUGAGUAGUUAGGUUUUACGUUUCUUGGAGUGAGAGAAGCUAGGUGAAAGACCCAAAUGCUAAGGUGGGAGUUGUCCUUGCUUUAAAUGAAAGUAGUUGUUAAAUAUUAAUGGUUUUUAUUUUAAGGUUUAGCUUUAAAUCCCUUAAAAACACCUUGAAUGGCCAAUACUUGGUAAGCUUUUCGGAUUCUAUGGAUGCUUAUUGCUAGAUCCAUGGAUGUCAUUAGUUAUCAUUUAUGAGCCAUUGGAAGGUGGUUCAAGAUGAGAGUCUUUAGUGUUUGAAGCCAUUAAUGGGAAACAAUUACCAUUUUUUCAUGAAUCCUUUGGAUAAAAUCUUAAUUGCUAAAUAUAAAACUGGUUCGGGAGAUAACCAUCCUUUAUGUUAUUAUGCCCAAUGCAAGGAGAAGAUUUCGAAUCUUCUCAUUUGUCUAAGGAACCCGAUCCUAGUGACCUAAAGCUCCUAGAGACCUUUUCUUUGUAGUUAACUUCAUUUAUUGUUUUUGCUUAACUUAAAAUCAAUCUUUGCAACCACAAUUCCAUUUUCUUUAAAAGCUAAUUUUUAUAAGGAAAAGCACCAUUUUAUUUCCUUCACUAAGUCAACUGUAUGAUGAAAACCCAUCCCUGUGGACGAUCUUAGAGCCACUAUACUAUGUUAUCUAUGCUAUCCUAGUGUGAGGUGAUUUAGGUUUUAUAAAUUUUGUUGAUAACACCCGUCUGAGCCAGAAUCAAAUGGAACCACUGAACCAGGGACAAAUCAACAGCCUAUAUGGGAGGGACACAAGUUUAAUUGAUUUGCAUUUCAGCGUUAUAGAUAAGUAUGUUUUGGAAGAUUUGUUCUGGAAAUACUGCACCAAGUACGAUUCUUUUUCUCUUGAGUGAGUCCAUUUGCAUGCCAAUUAACGAGUUGAAAAGUAGGAGCACCUACCUCGUGCUCAUGGAACCGAAUGUCAGUGAAGUGGGGCUCCUUUUAGCCUCUUGUGUUUCUGUUCCAACCAAGGCGGCGUAGGGAAAAACAACAAUAUGUCUGUGCUAAAUAUCAACGCAUGAUAGAUGUUUUUUUUUUUUUUUUUGGUAUGUCAAGGCUAACGAAUGAAAUGCAUUAGCUUGUUUUGUGACUAUAACUGCAAAUGUCCAAAUUGGAGUAUCUCCAUUUCUCACUUCGGAUGGUUAACUUUAUAAACAAGAUAUAGGAAACAUGUGAACAUCUUGAGGAACAAUUCAAAUUAUUCAUUAGAAGUCCUGGGUUAAGUUCCAAGAUUUAAAUCAGACCCUUCUAGCAGCUUCAAGGGUACUUAGCAACCUAUAACAUAUUAAUGAAGAUUUAGGAUUUAGACUCCGGAAUACAAAUAAAUAUGUAUCUCAUGCUUUGACUAGCUUCCCUACAUAUGCAUAAAAUGGAGAUGACCCAAAAAAAAUAGCAGAAUCUAGCUUCCCUACAUAUGCACAAAAUGGAGAUGACCCAAAAAAUAGCAUAAUCGCCUUAGUUUCUGUGGUUAAGGUGAUUCUCCGCUUAAUAUCCACAUUGACUCAUUAUGCAAAAUCAACUGAGCUAAUUUUAUUUAUUUAUUUAAUGUCAAAUAGGAACUCCUAAUUAACUGAUUACUGUCGAAAAGUGCUAUUUUGUAGACCUAAUUAUAAGGGUUUUAAGCACCUUUGAGUAGUAAUCAUAUUCAUUUAACCUAAUUAAUUCAUUAAGCUCCUUAGUAAUUAGUUCUAACCAUUUUUAGUGGCAAGUUUACAUGUUUUUCAUCAGCUUAUGAACCAAUUCAAGCAUGCCAAUUGAUGGAGGAGCUACUUGGGCGAGUUAAGCAAGGAUUUUGGACGUUUACAGGCUUGAAUUUCAAGUGGAAACACGAGCACAAGCAAUGGGAACACCAUUUCGCAAGGGGAGGCAAUUCACCUUGCCAAAUGACCAAUUUCGCAAGGGGAUUUUCCUCAUGGUGCAAAAUUUGGUCAUUUCGCACCAUGAAGAAACCACCUUGCAAAAUUUCGCAAGGUGGAUUUAGGCACCUUGCGAAAUGCCAAAUUUCACAAGGUGGCUUUUCACCUUGCGAAAUUUGGACCUUUCAUCUUCCCCCCUUGCGAAAUGCCUUUGAAAUCCCCUGUUUUGAGACGCUGUUGAUGAUAUUCCACUGCCGGUUCUCCAAGAUAUUUUGCUUGACUUUUAGCUUUAUAAAUACCUAUUUUACCCUUGUAAUCAACCAAUGAAAAGGUUGCUUUUGUAAUAGCUCUUGUAAUUUAGCUUUUUAUUGUCUUUAAAUAGAGGUGAAGAGCCUCAGACACGAUCAUCUUGUAACCUGUAACUUUAUAAGUUAUAAGAGCACUUUUGUUCAUACGCUUCUUUUCUCUUUUCUUUCUCAUUUUCUUAGUAGCCAAACAUCCUUGGAGGAUGAAAUCCCCAAGGAUGAGAGGCUAAAACCUUUUAGUUUCUUGAAGUAAUGGAUGCCAUGUGAAGCUCCCGUGUCAGGAUGGAGAUUUCCAAGCCAUAAAUGUAAGUAGCUGAGCGUCAUAAAUGUUUUCAUUCAAAGUAAAGCUUUUAAUCCCUCUGACUUGCUUUGAAUGGCCAAUACUUGAUAACCUUUUGGUCUCAAUGGAUUCUUAUUGUUAGAUCCACUGACGUUCAUUAGUUAUCUCCUACGAGCCAUUGUAUUGCAAGUCGAGGAGAUGACCUAUACCAAUAAAAGAGCAUUUAUGAGGUUCAACUACCCUUUUUGUAAGUUUUCAAGGACUAAAACUCAGUUGUUAAACUCAUACCGGUUCGAGAAGUAAGCAUCACCUUAGUUGCUUCCCCAACUCGAGGUGAAAAGUCCCAAAAUCUCCAUUUUUACACAGUGAGUUAAGCAUGGCUAUCCAAAGCUUUAAGAAACUUCUUUUUCCAUCUUUUAACCUAUUUUCAUGUUAGUUUAGUUUACAACACCUUCAUCUUUUUAUGUUUUCAUCUUAACCUAAUUUUUAUUAAGAAAAGUUCACUCCAUCCUCCGAACUUCACCAGUUAAAGUAAAAACCCUUCCCAGUGUUCGAUCCUAGAGCCACUAUGCUAUAGUAGCUUUGCUACUUUAGUGUAAGGACCUUAGGUAUAAAUUUUGUUGAUACCCUUACAUGCCAAGCUACCAAGAGUCGGGUUAUCAUUAACCUAACCAUUGGCCUGUGUAAAUUGAUUUCACAUGCACAAUGUUGUAGUAGAAGUCCAUAUUUUGAAUUUUAUUUUUGUAAAGGUAAGGAAAAUGAAGCAUUGUGUAAUUAUAAAAAUAACUUCAUUGGAAUUCACAAGGUUCACCCAAAAUGGAGCUACAUCUGUAUUCUAUCCUACAGUAGACUAUAUAGAUUGUACAAUAGUAAAUUGCAAAUACAAUUAAUAAGUCUUGUGCUUCCUUACUAAUAAUCCUUUGACAUGAACAUUGCAGCACUAAGGUCCUCUUGGGAAGACACCUUGCACCCAUGAGAGCACUAAGAGGAAGCAAGGCAGAGUCAUGGGUGCAAUGUCAUGACUUGUUGUUGCACCAAGAGAGGCUUGGUGAUGCCAUGGUGUUGCAGUAGCAAGAAUGUUGCCUUGGCAGGGACACGAUCUAGGGAUAGAUGCCAAGAAAGGCUUAGCACUCACAUGAGUUGCACAAAGAUGAAUGUAAUAGAGCAUCAGAGAGACGUCUUGGCAAGUAAAUGAAUGGAUCCAAGAGACAACAACAUGAGGAGUUUCAAAUGGAUAAGGAAUGACUCAAAGACAUUUGAAAGCUACAAGUUGGAUUCUAAUUACGAUUGCAAUUUGAGUUUGAGUAGGAGUUUAGAUUUUGAUUGUAAUUGUAGUAUGAGUUGGACUAGGAUUGCUUAUCCUUAGUCAAUAUAGGAGCGGUUCGUGUCACCCUAUGAAAAGAGUUUGAGUAGGGACUAGGAUUGCUUACUCCUAGUCAAAUAUGGAGUAGGUGGUGCCACACCUAUAAAAAAAAGGGACAACAUGAGAGAGAGAGAGAGAGAGAAAGAGAGAGUGAAUUCACUAAAGAUAUUGUGGGAGUUUUGCUUUGUUACGUCUUGUAUUAUUACUUAGAAUAGGAAUAAAAUACAAGUUGGGGCUAGAGCCCCAUAAUUAAUCUCGUGUGCCUUUGUGGUUAUUCUUUAUUUGUCAUCUCGUGUGGAUUGGAUUAGGUUGACUUAGAGGGCUUCUAAGCACCACCUUUGUGGGUUAUUAUUUAUUUUCCAUCUCUUGUGGAUUAGAUUAGGUUGACUUAGAGGGCUUCUGAGCACCACCUUUGUGGGUUAUUAUUUAUUUUCCAUCUAUUGUGGAUUAGAUUAGGUUGACUUAGAGGGCUUUUAAGCACCACAUUUGUGGGUUAUUCUUUAUUUUCCAUAUCGUGUGGGUUGGAUUAGGUUGACAAGGAGAAAAAUUAUGUGGGAAAUUUGUGUUGGGACACUUACCAUAACCAAGUAAAAUCUACCAAGUCCUUUGUAAUAUCUUCAACAAAUAUUUUAGACUAGUUCUUUCAGUUAGUGUAAAGGAGGAAGAAGUGGUAUUGAUUCUAGAAAUAGGGUGUGUGUAUUUGAACUACAAUCCUUAUGAUCCUUAGGUCUCUAAACCUUCGUGAUGGGCUCCCUGACAUUUCAUAGGUUGUGCUACACAUGCGUUUGAAAUUUAGAGUGCGUUUGACAGUGAUUCCGGGAAGUGUUUUUGGCCUUUCUUACACUUGAAAAUUUUUAUUUUUCAAGUAUUAGAAAUGCUACAAACACUUUUGAAAAUUACUGUCAAACACACUCUUAGGAGCGCACAUAUAUAGUAGAAAACUAGAAAUUGUGGUUUUUUUAGGAUUUACUGUAAUGUCAUUAGGAGGGUAGUAAGUUGAAAUUGAGUAUGAACAAAUAUUUCUUUCUUUGGGAUGUUCUUCUAGUAGGUGCUGAUGAAACUGUUCUUUCUACUGCCAAUGUCACAUAUCAGCCAGAAAUUGAAAAUUUCAGUCAAGGUGUCCUCUGUUUUAGUGGUGAGGAAAGCUAGAAAUUUUAAGGUGAAGUUUUGUUAAAAACCUUAAGUAGCUGGGAUAUCAGGCCUGUUUUGCUUGAAAAAAAAAGUUGCAAGAUAACUCAUAUGCCAAACAGGUUCUGAUAUUGUGAAUCUAUCGGCAGACAUCAGUAAUCUCAUCUUCUGAGAUGGAUGUUGGGGGUGCAUGUGGUGGUGGAGGGGCAAGGUUUCAUUUGGUUUAUUUUGUUGAUGGAUAUUGUCUAGCCACCUGCGCCAAGUUUGAGGGGUGGUGGGUUGUGAUGACCCUACAAUUACUAUUAAUUUCUUCAUCUUUUACCGAUUAAAGUGUCCGAACAGUCGAAGUUACCCUUAUGCAUGUCAACUUGAUCACUUACCUCUUCAAUGGAGUUUAUGCUGGUUCAUUUAGGAACUGAUUUUUAUUGUUAUGUAUUAUAUGCUGAUGUUUAGGUCUCUCCAUCAUCACUAUAUACAAAAAUUCUAGGUUGAUACUAUAGGUUGAGAUUUAUUUUUUAAAUAAAAAAUAAUAAAAAUAAAAAUUAUGGUGAUGUUUAGUUGUUUUAUGGAAAAUUUUAACAAGUAAAAGUUAUUUUUGGGCAAGUUUUCAAACAAAAAGAAAAGUAAAAGUUGUUUUGACAAAAACAUAUAGAAAAAAAAAUCAUAGAAAAUAAAUAAUUUCCCCAUAUUCUAACUUUUUUGAAUUUUUCUCAAUGGGCAAAGGAAUAUCAAAUCAAGUUUGAGUAGGAUUUCUUAAUUUUUAAAAUAACUUACAAUUAAAAAAUUUUGGUGUUUUCAUUUUUGGACAAUUUUUUAUUAAGCAAAUGGACUCUGAGUCAUGCAAGAGAUAUGGUUCAUUAACCGGUCGAACAAUUUUUUUAAAUUAAUUUAAAAGUCAAAUACAUAAUCAAUUUCACAAAAUUUAUAAACAAAAAUAGGUUUAGAGAAGAUCUACACAUAAUUUUACUUUUCUAAUUUUAUUUUAUUUUAUUUUUUGUUGGAAAAUAGUCUUCAAAUCAUGUAAGAUUUAAUAGGUUAAAUUUGUUAACAAUAAAUUUUAAAUUAUAAAAUAUAAUCUGGAACUCAAAAAUCAAUUCAAGUAAUGCUAAAAAAAAAUCAAAUUUGGUAUAGAAUGACUUUGUAAAUUUUUUUACAAAACAAAUGAAUUUUAAAUCAAGUGAGAUUUAAUGCAUUAGAUUUUUAUCAAAUAUAGUAAUUUUAAAAAUAAAUUUGGAACUCAACAAUAGACACAAUAAAUACCAAAAAAUAAUGAACCAAAAUUGGUUUGGAAUAACUCCACAACCUUUUUUUUUUUUUUUUGGUGCACACGAAUUUUCUUACUAGGUAUAUUGCUUUCAAAUUGAGAAAGAUUUACCAUUUAGAUUUUUUUUUAAUGAGUUUAAUGGUAUUUUAAAAUAAUUCAAAAUUUAAAAAAUUGACUAAUUAAUAUUAUAAAUUGAUAAACCAAGACUAUUUCAAAAUGCAUUGGGGGCUAAGGGGGUUGAAAAUAGGGACAAUGGGAUGGGUUUGGGACAUGACACUCAUAUCUCAUUUCCAUUCCAAUUACACAGUUAUCUCCCAUCCUUAUCCCAAACUUGUGUUGGAGCAAGUUGAUUUGUUCCCAUCUUUGUUGACGAAAUGACUAAUAACCUCAUCCCCUCCUUAUCUUAGAUGUACAUUUUGUCAAAUUUGAUCAGGUAUGAUUGAUCCAAGCCCUAACCCUAAUUGGUAAUGAGUGAAUACUACACCUAAUUGCAUUCUUCUUUCAUUGCAAAAUAAUGAGAUUAUAAUAAUCUAGCAAAUAAGAAAAAAUAGUAUGGAAGUUCAAAUUAACACCAUAACUAUCAAUAAUUUUAAGCUUAUAGAUGACUUAAAUGAUUAAAAACUAAUGCAAAAUCCUAAAAAAAAUAAAAAUCAUAUAAAGAAUUCACAAGAGAACAGAAUGAACAAAAACCAAAUAUGAACAUGGGUCAACAUUAGUUAUGGAUUUGGAUUCCUUUCAAGGCCAAUCUUUGAACCAAGACUUCAUCAAAUCAACUACUUCAAAGGCUUUUGUGUUCUUCUUGGGUUGUGCUCUCAAACAAAGACUUCGAGGUGAUGUUCUAGAUGAUUGAAUUACACAUAUUUAGGGUGGAGAGAUUGGAGAAGCUUGAAGAUGCCAACGAUGGGUACAAUUGAGUGGUCAAUAAGAACAAUGUAGCCUAUGACUAGUUUGAUGUCAUGGUACAAGAGUUUUAGGCAUUGAGGUUAAAGCAAGAGCAACAUGGAAUUGAUUUCGGAGUCUUUCAGUUAGUGUAAAGGAGGAAGAAGUGGUGUUGAUUCUAGAAAUAGGGUUUUAAGUGGUGCGUGAUUACUACUCAAAAAGUGCUAUUUGAUAGCCUUUAAUUAAUCCUUUUUAACACUUUUGAGUAGUAGUUUAGGCCUUUUAACUCAAUUGGCAUGUUAAGGAUCCUUUAAAGCAAUUUUGAUCACUUUGUGCAAGUUUUGGUGUUUUUGUUAGUAUUUUGAUCACCAAAGCAAGUCAAGAAUGAGGAGAACUAUGAGGAAUCAUGGGCAAAGCUUAGAAUUCAAUUGCCAAGAGUGAAUCCGGAUUGCAAGGAGAAAAAGCAAAGAGAAUCUGUCAUGAAGCCUAUUCUUGAUGACAGUCGUAGCAGCCACUUUUGGAGCACUUUCUGAAGUCCAAAUGAUGCAAGCUAUAUACCAUUUCAAAGAUCAGGAAGUCAACAAUCCAAUGCUUCAAACGGUGCGCGAUUCGGAGUUGAAACGAAGAAGUUGCAGCCAUUACAAGCCAGUCACUCUAAAGUGUUGCGGAAUCAGCCUUUUGUUGCGAGAAUUUCGCAGCACUUUUGUACAGUAAGGUGUUUCUCCUUCUGACGAUGCACGAACCAUGCCGCGAGAGGGAAGCUAGGAACUUCAAGAUGGAAGCCAACUUUGCAGCCUGGUGAAGAUAGCUUGGUCUUGCGAAAUAAUUUCGCAGCCCUCUUGGGUGUCUGCGAAAUUUCGCAGGCACCACUUUUUUCCUGCGAAAUGGCUCCGGAAGCCUCCCGAAGCUUGCUACCGACAUUGGGAGAUAUUUUCCAUUAGAUUUUUGUUGUCUAAAUUCCAAAAUACUCCUUGUAAACCACCAAUUACAUGAUUCCUUAGUUUUUAAGUUAGUAAAAAGACCAAAUAUCUAUGUAAUAAUUAGUUUUAUAUUAGUUUGCUAUAAAUACCUCUCGGGAGCAUGUUCUCAGAGAGGAGUUCCUUCUGUAACCAUUUUGGUAAGCAAGUAAAGUCUUUUCUUUCUACUGCCUUACCUUCUCACUUUGUAUUUUCAUUUUAUUUCUAAGUUAUGAAUUCUCUGAGGAGCUUUCCCCAGAGAAUGAGUAACUAAACCUCCAAUUCCUUGGAGCUAAGGUUGCCGGGGAAGGUUCCAAGUGCAAGAAUGCAAAGCUCUGUGGUUUUAGCUAGUAAUGAAGAGGAAGUGAAAUCCUUUAGUGAUUUCAAUGUUUUUAGUUAACUUAAAACACCUUGGAGUCACCUGGGCCAACACUUGGUAAGGCAAGUGAUUUCCAACCGUGGAAAUGCACUAGUUUACCCCUUGCGAGCCUCUGGUAGGUGACUUCAAGGUAGGAUUUUCUGGAAUUACCAACACUUGGUAAGCUUUUGGACUCCUAGGAGACAUCCAUUAGUUAUCUCUUGCGAGUUUGUGAAGGGGAAUCCAAGGUUAAAGAUCACCUUGAAUGGUAAGUGCUCGUGAGAGGCAUGAACCAUUGCAAGUUGUAUCAGUGAGAGAAUUAAAGUGAAAUCUAAUUGAAGGAGUCUCUGUACAUCACCGGUUAGAGAAUUGACUAUAAGUUGAAUCUCUAAUGCGAGGAAAUGAACCAUCUGACCGGAGCUAUGUCUUUUGCAUGAGGAACCACCCCAGUGAACCUAAAUCUCCAAGGAAUGCUUUUCUUCCUAAAUUAUUCCAAACUUCUGUUAAGUUAGUUAGUUUAAGUCUAAACCUUUACCAAUCAAACUUUGUGUUUUAUUUCUUAAGCUAACCGUGAAAUGAAACAAAACCAAUUCACUUGGAAUUGGUAUCCUUGAUUGCUUGCAAAUCAUUCCCAGUGAACGAUCCUUAGAGCCACUAUACUAUAGUAGCUUUGUAUUUGCUACCCUAGUGUAUGGUGUUAUAGGUAUAAAUUUUGUUGAUCACUUCCUCAAUCAAGGAACACCAGCUGAACACAAAUCAGCUGAGACACCAAUUGGGCAUGAGUCAAAUGGCGCCGUUGCCGGGGAAUGAGUGUCAAGAUCAUUGUGAUACCAUUUUUGAGCACUUGUGAUUUUCAUCACAAGUUGGUAAAGUUUCUUUCACUUUACUAAUUUUCAUUCUCUCUUUGUUUAUUUACAAUCUAAGUUUAUCUUUUUAAAAUUUAGUCUAGUUUAAUUUUGCUAUUGUAGCCUUGUUUCUCUUGUUGUCCUCUGUUCUUGUUGUCCUCUGUUUUCAUUUUAGUUGCAGCUGAAUACUAGUUGUGUAUGCCAAAGUGGAUACGAGACAUUGGAGGUAGGCUUAUUAAGUGUGAUACACCUCAGAGAGGAGAAUUGGAAGUAAUCUUGAAUAUCAUGGAGGCUGCACCUGAAGAUCAGCAUAGUCACCAAGGUCGUCAAGACAAUCUCAAUGAAUUCAGAUCAAUGAGGGACCGUAUGCAUCCACCUCGUAUGAGUGCACCAUCAUGUAUAGUGCCCCCUACAGAGCAACUAGUGAUCAGACCAUAUCUUGUUCCACUUCUACCAACUUUCCAUGGGAUGGAAAGUGAGAAUCCGUAUGCACACAUCAAGGAAUUUGAAGAUGUUUGUAAUACAUUCCAAGAGGGAGGAGCUUCAAUUGAUUUGAUGAGGCUUAAGUUAUUUCCUUUUAAUUUAAAGGAUAAGGCCAAAAUUUGGCUUAAUUCUUUAAGGCCAAGGAGUAUCCGCUCUUGGACUGAUUUACAAGCUGAAUUCCUCAAGAAAUUUUUUCCUACUCAUAGAACAAAUGGCUUGAAAAGGCAAAUUUCAAACUUCUCAGCUAAAGAGAAUGAGAAAUUCUAUGAGUGUUGGGAAAGAUACAUGGAAGCUAUAAAUGCUUGUCCUCACCAUGGCUUUGAUACUUGGCUACUGGUGAGUUAUUUUUAUGAUGGUAUGUCCUCCUCAAUGAAGCAACUCCUCGAGAAAAUGUGUGGAGAAGAUUUCAUGAGCAAAAAUCCAGAGGAAGCUAUGGAUUUCUUGAGCUAUGUAGCUGAUGUUUCAAGGGGAUGGGAUGAACCAACUAAAGGAGAAGUGGGAAAGAUGAAGUCUCAGUUGAAUGCUUACAAUGCAAAGGCUGGGAUGUAUACUUUAAAAGAGGAUGAUGACAUGAAAGCAAAGUUGGCAGCUAUGACAAGAAGAUUGGAGGAGCUGGAGCUGAAAAGAAUGCAUGAAGUGCAAGCUGUUGCUGAAGCACCAGUGCAAGUGAAGUUGUGUCCCAAUUGUCAAUCGUUUGAACAUUUGGUAGAGGAAUGCCCUGCAAUUUCAGCUGAAAGGGAAAUGUAUAGAGAUCAAGCAAAUGUUGUUGGACAAUUCAGGCCCAAUAACAAUGCUCCUUAUGGAAAUACCUACAAUUCAAGUUGGAGGAAUCAUCCAAAUUUUUCAUGGAAGGCCAGAGCAACUCAAUACCAACAGCCGGAUCCACCAUCUCAACAAUCUUCAAGUAUUGAACAAAUAAUAGCUAAUCUCAGCAAGGUAGUGGGAGAUUUUGUGGGAAAGCAAGAAGCCACCAAUGCUCGAGUGGAUCAAAGAAUGGACAGAGUGGAUCAAAGAAUGGACAGAAUGGAGAGUAUGUUGAACAAAAGAAUGGAUGGAAUGCAAAAUGAUAUGAAUCAAAAAUUUGAUAACAUCCAAUAUUCAAUUUCAAGGCUUACAAAUUUGAAUACACUGCAAGAAAAGGGAAGAUUUCCUUCUCAACCUAACCAAAAUCCCAAAGGUGUCCAUGAAGUGGAAAGCCAUGAGGGAGAAUCAUCACAGGUGAAAGAUGUGAAAGCUUUGAUCACUCUAAGGAGUGGUAAGAAAAUUGAGCAGCCAACACCCAAGCCACAUGUUGAGAAAGAAGAAGAGAUGAAGAAAGGGAAGGAAAUGGAAGAUAAAGGCAGUGAGAUCAGUGAAGAAAAGAAGGACUCUGAUGCAACAAUGAAAGUAAUUCCAGAGAAGGAGCUUCUGAAGGAAGAAAUGCUGAAGAAAUCAACUUUUCCACCUUUUCCUCAAGCAUUACAGGGGAAAAAGGGGGUUAGAAAUGCAGCUGAAAUCCUAGAAGUAUUGAGGCAAGUGAAAGUUAAUAUUCCACUGCUGGAUAUGAUCAAACAAGUUCCAACGUAUGCAAAAUUCCUAAAGGACUUGUGUACUAUCAAAAGAGGGUUGACUGUAAACAAGAAAGCCUUCUUGACUGAGCAAGUAAGUGCAAUCUUACAGUGUAAGUCUCCUUUGAAGUACAAAGACCCUGGAAGUCCUACCAUUUCAGUCAUGAUUGGAGGAAAGGUAGUGGAGAAAGCCUUGCUAGACUUGGGAGCAAGUGUGAAUUUGCUUCCAUAUUCUGUCUACAAGCAACUGGGACUUGGAGAGUUGAAGCCAACAGCAAUCACUUUGUCUCUGGCAGAUAGAUCAGUGAAAAUUCCAAGAGGGGUAAUUGAGGAUGUAUUGGUUCAAGUAGAUAAUUUCUACUAUCCUGUAGAUUUUGUUGUUCUUGAUACAGAUCCUACUGUAAAGGAAGCUAAUUUAGUUCCUAUCAUCCUUGGAAGGCCAUUUCUUGCAACUUCAAAUGCAAUCAUCAACUGUAGAAAUGGGCUUAUGCAACUCACUUUUGGUAACAUGACACUGGAUCUAAAUAUUUUCUAUAUGUCUAAAAAGCAAAUCACUCCAGAAGAAGAAGAGGGUCCAGAAGAGCUAUGUAUUAUUGAUACUUUGGUGGAGGAGCACUGCAAUCAACAUAUGCAAGAUAAGUUGAAUGAAAGUUUUGUGGAUAUUGAGGAAGGUUUUUCUGAAUCUCCUAAUGGGCUUGCUACUCUACAAAGUUGGAGAAAGAUAGAAGGAAUUCUACCUUUGUUCAAUGAAGAAGAGGAGGCAGCUGUUGAAAAAGAAAUUCCAAAACUCAAUCUGAAGCCUUUACCUAUGGAGCUGAAAUAUACAUAUCUUGAAGAAAAUAAUCAAUGUCCUGUCGUAAUAUCUUCAUCUCAAACCAAGUCUCAAGUGAAGGAUGCAAGCUUCAAAUGGGAUCCGGGCAAACUGAAUCAGGAAGGGCAAAAAGUUUUGAUGUAUGACACAAGACUCCAUAUCUUUCCUGGGAAGCUCAAGUCAAGGUGGAUUGGUCCAUUUGUUAUUCACCGAGUAUAUUCCAAUGGAGUGGUGGACUUAUUGAAUUCCAAUGGCAAGGACAGCUUUAGAGUCAAUGGAUAUCGUCUUAAGCCGUUCAUGGAGUCAUUCAAAUCAGAAAAGGAGGCAAUCAACCUCCUUGAACCUCAAAAAGCCUAAGUGAAAUGGGUUUGCUGGACGUGGUUUUACCACAGUCCAAAAAUUUUUGUAAAUUUUGUAAAUUUUCAAGUUGUUUCCAUGCUUUUAAUCUUAGUUUUUGAUUUUAAAUCAUGUUUUUAGGUGUGUUUUAAUCGUUUUAUAUGAUCCCAGGCGGAAGAAAUUUCAAGGGGAUUGAAAAGAAAAAAAUCGGGUCGAAAUUGGAGCCGAAACAGAGCAAAAACAGGGGAAAAACAGAGCUCUGCGAAAUUUCGCAGGGUGAAGGAAACUUCUGCGAAAUUGGCAUUUUGCUGCCAAACCAUUCCGCAGCACUGUAGAAGCCUCUGCGAGUGUAUUUCGCAAUUGCGAAAGUGGAUUUGGCACACGAGUGCCACUUCGCAGCACAGUGACAUCAAUUUCGCAGCUGCGAAACUCACUGCGAAGUUGCUGCGAAAAUGGCAAGUUGCUGCGAAAUUGGCGUUUUGUUGCGAAACGUAAUCUGACCCCUGGGCUUCCGUUUUUCCUAUUUAUACCUGUCAAAAGUGCUGCGAAAAAGGUUUCAAAAAUUAGAGCACCAUUCUCGCAGCCCUUUCAUCUUCUUCGCCAAGCCACGCCGUCCGUUUCUCCGGUCGUCUUCUCCGUUUAGCAGCGCCGGCCAAAGAUCGAUAGCCCAAAAAUGGCACGAACGCGAGGGGCAAAGUCUUCAUCCCCUUCGAACCGCAAAAGGAGUCUGCGAAAGGAGCCAAGUUCAGGCUCUGUUCCAGAACCUGCUCCAAAGCCUUCGCCGUCGAGACCACAACCUUCUCCAGUGAAGCCGGCGCCACCAAAGCCGCCGGCAAGGCGAUAUUUAACCAGGUCAGGUGGUCAGCCAUUGAAGAAGAAAGCCAGAGUUGAGAGCUCUGAACCAAUCGAUUUGACUGAGCAAUCCCCUGAGAAAUCACCAAAUCCUUCACCGGUACAAAUUCCAGUGCCAUCACCGGUUCCCUCGCCAAUUCCCUCACCAGAAGCAACUCCAAUUCCAUCGCCGGUACCAUCUCCGGCACCCCAAGAAAAAGCUCAGGAGCCUCAAGCGCCAAUUCCAGAGCCCCAAAUUGCAGCUGAAGCACCUCUGGAAGAAGUGAUCCGAAGGCCAAUGCUGCCUCAGCCCCCAAUCGAAGGAAACCUGGAUUGCCGAACUCGGGCAUUCCAUUCUGAGCUUUGCUUCGAUUUAACAGCAUUCAGAGUGAGGCCAGAGCUUGCCCAAUCCUUCCAACUGCUGAGGAGAUAUCAUAUGGAGCAUCUGCUAGCUCCAAGGGAUUUUUUCUAUCCCCGGGUAGUCACGGAUUUCUACCAAACCAUGACAACCAAAGAAGUAAGAAAUCCAACUCUGAUUCAUUUCAUAAUUGAUGGAAGGCAUGGUAUUUUGGGAGCAAGACAUAUUGCUGAAGCCCUGCAAAUUCCUUUUGAGCCAACUCAAUUCGACAAUUUUAAAGCUUGGACAAAUCCUACUGAGUUAGAGAUGGUUAGCACACUAACCAGAGGAGCUGCAAAUCGAUCGCAUUUGUUGAGGGGGGAGCUACCUCCAGUUAUGUUUUUGAUUGAUGCCUUUUUGAGGCAUAAUAUCUAUCCCCUGCAGCAUUGGACCCAAAGAAGGGGAAUUCUCCUAGAAGCCUUGUACAAAAUGUCUGAAGGAUUCUUCUUUGGGCCUCAUCAUCUGAUCAUGGCAGCCCUUCUAUACUUUGAGGAGAAGGUUCACAAGAAGAAGCUUCAAAGAGCAGAUUGCAUUCCACUCCUCUUCCCAAGGCUGCUAUGCCAAGUUUUGGAGCAUCUCGGAUACCCCUCUGAGCCUCAGCAGGAAAGAAAGAGAAUAUGCCGUGAGCCUUUUACCCUUGAUAAAUGGAAUAAUAUGACGGCCUACAAAAUUGAUCAGCCUGGGCAGCCUCAGCCAGCAGCAAGGAGAGUCUCCCCAAGACAUAUACCUGAAGGUAUAACACUUGCUACUCCUGCCAUCCCUCGAGCUCCACCAGCUGCACCUGCUCCAUCACAGCCAUCCACAUCAGCUGAGCCGAGGAUGGCCAUCCCUAUAUCCGAAUAUCGAGAGCUGUGCCGUGCAUUGGAGACUCUUACAGCUUCUCAGAGCAAUCUUGCUCAGGAGUUGGCAGCCAUUAAAGCAUGCCAGGAGCAGAUGUUAGCCUCUCAGACUCAACAAGCUGCCAUCCUAAGGCAGCUUCAAGUCCAUUUCGAUCUGCCACAAGCUGUAGAGCCCUCUAUUCCUACUCCACCAGAGCCACACUCUCAGCCUUCAGAGUCUCAUCCUCCAGAACCCGAAGCACCAGCUGAUCCACCUACUGAGGAGGCAGAUCCUUCUGCCUAGCACCAUCACCCCCCUCAUCAGACAUUAUAUAUAUAUUUGCUGUUUAUGUUUUUAUGCAUGUUUGUUUUGUUUUAGUUGAAAAGAAAUCCCAGUAUUUUGGUACUAUAUAUGGGAUUCCUUGUGUUACUUGUCUUUAGUAUUGUAAUCACAUGAACUCAAAGUAAUACAAGUUGACUAUUUCUUGUUAAAAGUUAGCAUUAAAGUUUCCUUAUUUCCUUUUCUCACAUAUUCUAUUCUUUUUGAAACAUGUGGUUUUCCCCAAUCAAUAUUCGAAUUUGAUAUCAGCAUGGAGGUACCACUUCCUCCCUUUUAUUACAGUCACUCAAAUCACAUUGAGGACAAUGCUCAGUUCGGUUGGGGGGUAUGAGGAAGGAAGUAUUCUAAACCUUUUUGGUAUUGCAAUUAUAUUGGUUAAUUAGUUGUAGAUUUUACUUUUUACUAGUGUUACUCUAUUCUCCAUGAAUUUUGAGGAAAAAUUUUCAAAUUAAACCAAGAGAAAUUGAACUGUUGUUUUUCACUUGACUUAGAGUAUGGAUUAUGCUUACUAAAGUGGUUCAAUUGUUGAAACUUCUACUGAAAUUGAAUUGAGUUCUUCCACUUUAAGCUAUCCACACACUGUGCACAUUAGUUUCCGAUUAUAAGAUGAAAAGCUAUUUCCCUCUUGACUUAGUAUAUUUUUGGGACUUGGUAUAUUUGACCUCAUUUGAUAAAAAUUGAAACACCCUGCAAAAGGCCAAUGAGCCUUUGAAAUAAAGAAAGUUGUUUGCUUGCCUUGAAACCCGAGCAAGGUCUGAGGGGUAUAUGGUGAAAAUCUUUAAAGCCUGGUGCCCUAAGCCUUAAUUGGUUGGGAGUCACCGACCUCAAUGCUCGUUACAAGGGUGAAUAGGUAGAGUUAGCAUAUGGUAGAUGCUUGGGUAUUAGAAAUUCAUUCUUAAAAGUCCGGGGAAAAAUCCGAGGAGUUAGUGGUUGAAAGAUCCUUAAAACUUGGUGCCCUAAACCUUAAUUGGUUGGGAGUCAUCGAUGGACCCCCAUUACAUGGACAAGUCAGAAAGAGUACCCCAUAAAGCUACCUUAAAAAAAAAAAAAAAAAAAAAAAAAAAAAAAAAGAUGAAAGUGUGUUCUUUUCUUAUUGAUUUUGGUCAGUUUGCUAAAGUGUUGAAAAGAGAUAGGUUGGGGGGUGAGAUUAGUAGCAUAUUAUUCUCGGAACCUAAGGAACCAAUACACAUAGAUUUUUGUGGAAGAUUGAAGUUUAGUUCUUAGAAAAUGAAAUGAUUUUAAAACUUCAGUUUGCAUAAUGCACUCCCUUGAUUGACAGUGUUUAGCAUAGGUGUUAUGACUCUUGUUGAGAUUUGGGUUUGUAUUUCUUUAAUGAUUCAUGUGAGAAAUAGAUCAUCAUGCCACUUGAGAAUUAUUUUCCUUUUAGCAUGAUGUUGUAAAUUUUAGAUUAGUUUGCUAUUUAUUUUUUAUUUUCUCUCCUAUAUUGCUAAGGGACUAGCAAUAUGUCGGUUGGGGGGAGUGAUUACUACUCAAAAAGUGCUAUUUGAUAGCCUUUAAUUAAUCCUUUUUAACACUUUUGAGUAGUAGUUUAGGCCUUUUAACUCAAUUGGCAUGUUAAGGAUCCUUUAAAGCAAUUUUGAUCACUUUGUGCAAGUUUUGGUGUUUUUGUUAGUAUUUUGAUCACCAAAGCAAGUCAAGAAUGAGGAGAACUAUGAGGAAUCAUGGGCAAAGCUUAGAAUUCAAUUGCCAAGAGUGAAUCCGGAUUGCAAGGAGAAAAAGCAAAGAGAAUCUGUCAUGAAGCCUAUUCUUGAUGACAGUCGUAGCAGCCACUUUUGGAGCACUUUCUGAAGUCCAAAUGAUGCAAGCUAUAUACCAUUUCAAAGCUCAGGAAGUCAACAAUCCAAUGCUUCAAACGGUGCGCGAUUCGGAGUUGAAACGAAGAAGUUGCAGCCAUUACAAGCCAGUCACUCUAAAGUGUUGCGGAAUCAGCCUUUUGUUGCGAGAAUUUCGCAGCACUUUUGUACAGUAAGGUGUUUCUCCUUCUGACGAUGCACGAACCAUGCCGCGAGAGGGAAGCUAGGAACUUCAAGAUGGAAGCCAACUUUGCAGCCUGGUGAAGAUAGCUUGGUCUUGCGAAAUAAUUUCGCAGCCCUCUUGGGUGUCUGCGAAAUUUCGCAGGCACCACUUUUUUCCUGCGAAAUGGCUCCGGAAGCCUCCCGAAGCUUGCUACCGACAUUGGGAGAUAUUUUCCAUUAGAUUUUUGUUGUCUAAAUUCCAAAAUACUCCUUGUAAACCACCAAUUACAUGAUUCCUUAGUUUUUAAGUUAGUAAAAAGACCAAAUAUCUAUGUAAUAAUUAGUUUUAUAUUAGUUUGCUAUAAAUACCUCUCGGGAGCAUGUUCUCAGAGAGGAGUUCCUUCUGUAACCAUUUUGGUAAGCAAGUAAAGUCUUUUCUUUCUACUGCCUUACCUUCUCACUUUGUAUUUUCAUUUUAUUUCUAAGUUAUGAAUUCUCUGAGGAGCUUUCCCCAGAGAAUGAGUAACUAAACCUCCAAUUCCUUGGAGCUAAGGUUGCCGGGGAAGGUUCCAAGUGCAAGAAUGCAAAGCUCUGUGGUUUUAGCUAGUAAUGAAGAGGAAGUGAAAUCCUUUAGUGAUUUCAAUGUUUUUAGUUAACUUAAAACACCUUGGAGUCACCUGGGCCAACACUUGGUAAGGCAAGUGAUUUCCAACCGUGGAAAUGCACUAGUUUACCCCUUGCGAGCCUCUGGUAGGUGACUUCAAGGUAGGAUUUUCUGGAAUUACCAACACUUGGUAAGCUUUUGGACUCCUAGGAGACAUCCAUUAGUUAUCUCUUGCGAGUUUGUGAAGGGGAAUCCAAGGUUAAAGAUCACCUUGAAUGGUAAGUGCUCGUGAGAGGCAUGAACCAUUGCAAGUUGUAUCAGUGAGAGAAUUAAAGUGAAAUCUAAUUGAAGGAGUCUCUGUACAUCACCGGUUAGAGAAUUGACUAUAAGUUGAAUCUCUAAUGCGAGGAAAUGAACCAUCUGACCGGAGCUAUGUCUUUUGCAUGAGGAACCACCCCAGUGAACCUAAAUCUCCAAGGAAUGCUUUUCUUCCUAAAUUAUUCCAAACUUCUGUUAAGUUAGUUAGUUUAAGUCUAAACCUUUACCAAUCAAACUUUGUGUUUUAUUCCUUAAGCUAACCGUGAAAUGAAACAAAACCAAUUCACUUGGAAUUGGUAUCCUUGAUUGCUUGCAAAUCAUUCCCAGUGAACGAUCCUUAGAGCCACUAUACUAUAGUAGCUUUGUAUUUGCUACCCUAGUGUAUGGUGUUAUAGGUAUAAAUUUUGUUGAUCACUUCCUCAAUCAAGGAACACCAGCUGAACACAAAUCAGCUGAGACACCAAUUGGGCAUGAGUCAGUGCGUUAGAGGAUCAAGAAGAAGAAAAAGAAGGAACUGUUGGAAUUAGUAUGAGUGUGAAGAGAAAAGUAUAUAAAUAAGGGGAAGUAAAAGCAAAGUUCAAAAAGCUAUAUUUUUUUAUUGUUGGUGUAUGGUUGCAUGAUUAUCCCUAUAAAUAAUAGGAGUUUUUUGGUAUUCUACUAGUAGUUGAAGCAUAAUUUCAUAAAUUAAUAUUUAGAGCGGGGUGGGGUGAGUUGUGACAAAAUUCAUACCCGUCCCAAACCUUGGUUCAGAUUUUUAAAAUAUUCUCAAACUUAUCAUAUACCCAACUUUUAUAUUUCAUACUUGUCCUAAUAGAGGCACGUUAGGCCGGGUUACUUGAGUAACCUACAUAAUUGUCAUCCCUAGUUGAAAUACACUUUUUGGCAGUGGCCACCAACUGAGCUAGAAGCUUGAUUGAUUGACCUACAAGAUUAGUUCUCAUCAUUUUAAAAAAAGUUCUGGCUUUGGUUGUGAGUGCAAUUGAAUCUAAACUGGCAUUUGCUUAAUGCAUCUACUUCAAUCCUAAACUUCUUACUUCUUAAGCCUCAAUUGUUGUUAGGAUUUUGGAAAACCCAUUUCCUUAAAUUGUAAAUUUAAGAUAAAAUAAAAUAAAAGUGAGACAUUUCUUGAUUGAAUAUUGUUAAAGGUCCCUUGGCAUUAAGACUUGGUUGAAGCCUUGGAAGAUUAGUGGAACUCUCAACAUGUGUUUGAAUCUUGAGGAGAGUGGAUGUAAGCCAAAAUUUUGUCAAACCAUUAUACAAAUUGAGUUUGAAUCCUCAUUUCUUGAUUUCUUAUUUAUUUGCUUUUUCUUAUUAUUACUUGAAUUGUCAUUUGCAUUCAUUAAUGUUAAAAUUGGUUAUAAUUAACCAACACUAAUUCUCUUUCCCCUUCCCUUUCUUGGGUGUAAACCUAGGUUGGAUUAACUAGAUAAAUCUAUUAAGAUGGUAAAAGAAUAAUUAUUCUUAACAUACAUAAGAUCAUCUUCAAUCAAAUGACUCAUUGGCUAAUAUGUUGAAUUUGCUUAUUACUUGCAACUCAAAAUUGUGUUCUAGUUGUGUCAAGUCCCCAGUGUAUGGACAUUAAAUUUGUAGUACGUGAUGAGUAAUUAGAUGGUCCAACUCCAAGAAAGUGAUUGAAAAGUAGUUCAAGAAAGGUGCAAAAGGGAAUUGUUUUGGUAUUUUCGUUUUUAUUCUUGAAGGUGGCAGAGCUAAAAUUUGAGAAAUCAAGCAAAACAUACUGAAAUUACAUUGAAAGAAAGAAGAUGGGAGUUAAUGUCUUGCAGUACAUGAUAAGGACUUCAUGCAUGUAGUGUGACCCAUGUCUUGGACUGAUGCCAACUCACGGUUACACUUAUACCCUUGGUUCUCUCUUUACUACCUUGGCUAACCUAGAUCAGGCUAUGAGAUAGGCUCCUCACCACACCAUUACUUGCCCAUUAAUUAGAGACAUUUUCAAGCAAUGAGGUAACAUGGUGACACCAAGAGGGUCUAUUCCUCGCCCGGAACAAGUCUAGACUUGGUCUCAAAAAAAUGGAGAAAAAUGAGGUGUCGUUAUGUAGAAAUACAACAACCAUGCCUUCCUCAUUACUUAGAUUCAGAAUGUGAAGGUGAAAUUGAGAAACAGAAACUCUUGAAACCAAAAUGAAAAUUGAUACUUUUACGAAGAAUUACAACAACAUUAGAGGAAGACUACAUUCUUCCUCUUUAUUCCUACAUUUCUACACUACUUCUACUCCACUCCAUAUUUCUACAUACAUCUUUAAUCAGUCUUCCCUCCUUUAUAUAGAGCCAUCUUCACACAAAUUUCGCAAGGUAGAAAAGAGGAAUGAAACUUGGAGCAAGGUUCGACUACUGGUUGUAGCUUGUCAAGGCUGGAAGUGAACUUUUCUUGGCUUUCUGGGCAUGGGUAGUAACUUGUGGGUUCCUGUUUGGCAUAAAAAUGGCUAGAACAUGUGGCACUAUCUUGUUGGAUGAUGUGUCAAGCAUGUGGCAGCCAUCUAGUGGCGAUUAUGUCAAUUUUGGGAUGGAGAGUUGGCAUCCAAUUGCAAAGAAAUAUGACGUCUACCAACAUGCAAUGUAAACCUAUGUAGAUCAUAUGAAGAUAGAGAGGAAAAAUAUAGAAAUGGAUAUAUACCUAGAACUAGCUUUUUAUUAAAUGAAACGGAGAGACAACAAUGAAGGAAAAUAAAAUUUUUUGGCUUAUAUCAAAGAGUUCACAUUGUGUUACCCUAGGUUUUCUUAAAACUUACUUUUAUGAUAACAAAAAAGAAAAAACCAUUAUUGUUUAAUCCUUUGUUUUAAACGCAUGUAAGGUGUAAUUAAGUUAGUUCAAUGCAUUAAUUUAAGAAACUUGACCUAUCAAAAGUACAAAAUUAGAUGAAAUCCAUUUCAAUGGUUAAAAUGAUCAAAAUCAAACUUUUUCUAAGUAUUUUUUAAAAGCAUCAAUAGUGAAAGACAAUUUUAUAUUUAGUCGGAGUUUGGACAAAACUGAAAAACACACAAAAUCCAAGCGACCAUCUCUAGCUUGGAUGGUCGCUUGAUCCCACCUAGAGAUGUGCAUGAGUAAAAGGAUUUGAAAAUGGAAAUUGACUAUGUAGUCGAUCAAUUAACUUUGCAACAUCAUAUGCAAUCCUAAUUGCUAGUCAUCUAAUCAAUUAGGUAGUCAAUCAACAGGCCAAAAAUAUGUUUAUAAUGACUAUUUUGUACAAAAACCACCUGUAUAGUUAAAUAUAAUGCAUUUCAUUUAUAAAUCUUCUAAUUCUUGAAUAACGAUCCUAUCAUCCUUUGAAAGUUUUUAUUACACUUUUUUUACUUUUGUUCUAAAACUUACACAUCACCCUUAAUUGUACCAUGAGAACCUAGCUAUUUUUUAUUUUUUUUUUUGUAAUUCAUCAAAGUUAGCUUUUGUAUUCAUUGUUGUAUUAUUUUUAGUAUAACUUAGAAAGCUAGUGUUUUCAAGUGAGUAAAAUUAACUUGUAAAUAUUGUAAAGAUUCAUCGACAUGUAUCUUAAACUAAGUGUACAAGUUAAAACAUUUGCUAGUAGAUUUUCUCAAAAUUUAGAAUAGAGCUUGAGACUAUUGAAAUAGGUGGGGUUGCACCAAACCACAUCACAUCGUUGUUUGCACCUUUUUUCACUCUCUUUUACUUAGUUGCUCUAUAUUUGUUGUCUAGUAAUAUCCUAUAGGCUUGAUGGGUUAGGGAGCAUCCCUUUGUGAAAAAAUUUUAUUCAAUCCUUAGUUGUAUCACGCAUAUAUAAAAUGCCUCAUUGUUUUAAUGGUAUUCAGUCGUGGCAUCACAGAUAUGGGCAUCUAAAUUUUAAAAGUUUGAAACUUUUAUCUAAAGAAAAUAUGGUGCUUUGCCUUUUUGUAAAGCAUGUUGAUGAAAUCCAUGAGAAUUGUGUACUUGGGAAGCAACACCGAGAUGACUUUUUUUUUUUUUUUAUAAUAUUGUUUGUCCAAAUUCCCUACAAAUUAGGCCACCAGAUGUUCAUAAUUCUCCCUUCUUGAAUUUGAAAACUCGGACAAUUGGACAAUGCGACACCUAAGUCCGGUUUCUAAAUGCUAAAGUGAAAGGGUAGGUAUGGACCAUUGAAAUGUGAUCACAACUUUUCUCUGUAGCCAUGUUGUCUCUUUUUUCUUUUGCAUGAUUUUCUUACCUUAACAGAAUCAUAGACUUGUUUAGUCUCUAAAUGGGAUUAAUUUCAUCCAGCUUUAAGCUACUAUAUUAUAUCUAGGUGGAGGACUUUUAAGAGUGCAACCGACAUAGAGCACAUGGAAGUGGGUAUAUGGGACAUGAAAUUUCUUCUUAUAAAGAUUGCAUGAUUUUUAUAUUAGAGUUGUUGAGGCGCUAUGUAUUUAGCUUGUUUUGCAGUUAAAUUAAUUGGAUAAGUAGACAUUGGCGUUUCUAAAUCUACUGUGAAGUGCUUCAUGUACGUGUGAAGUAUUAGAAAUUUCUUUCUUGGCAACUUGUUUUUCUUUGCGGUCUACUGAUAGGUUUGACUAAAAUUAUAUUCCCUGUCAUGCUAAUUAAUUUUCACGUGCAUGCUCAAAAGAAAAGUAUGACCUUAGUGCACCAAAAUCACUUUGAUUAAUUUGUGAUAGGUUUUUGUGCAUCAUGACAUUAGCCUUAUUCAUUUAGAUAAUGUUUAGUUUUUAGAAAGUAUUAAGAAAAGGAAAAUAAAUAUUAAGAAAAAUAUUCUUAUAUUUGAUUGUAUUAUGAAAAAUAUCAUAAAAAAAUCAAAUAUAAUUUAAAUUAAUUAAUAAUUUAUACAUUUUCAAAUUAUUUAAUCUUUAUAUUGAAGAUAUAAUAUAAAUGAAAUGAGUUUUAAGUAUUAUAUAAAAGUGAUUUAUUGAUCUUACAUAUAUAUAUUUCUUUUUUUUUUCCUUCUAUUUUUUCUCUUUAUUUUAUUUUCCUUAUGUUUUCCUCAACAUUUUCCGGAACCAAACAUAGCCUUAGGAAAUCCACAAUUACCUUCAACUGAGUAGAUUCUGUUGUUUUAGCAAUGUUAGGCUGCUAACUUGUGUUGGUACGAACCUAUUAAGCCUAAAGAUGUAAUUAGUUAGGAUAUUCUUUUCCCUCUAGUCUUGUAGCUCCACGUGUACAGUUGGUUAGGACCUCAUUGUAUAUAAUGCUUGCCCUGUUAUUGUAGAAGACAACAAAGAUAAAUAAUAUUAACAUUUUUCCUCUCAUCUCUCUCUGUUUCCCUCUGUUUUCAUCUCCUCUCUCAUCUUGGUAUCAGAGCCUCCAUGGCUUCUUUCAAAGAAACCUCCGAAUCACCUUCUGCUAGCAUUGUUAAUGUGCAAAACCCAUUAUCUCAAUCAAACAACCUUCCUUCACCAGUAGCCACACCCUCUUUUUCUUUCUCGUCUAUGAAUCAACCUCUCACAGUGAAGCUGGAUAAUGGGAACUACCUCAUAUGGAAGAAUUAGCUUCUAAAUGUCAUCAUUGCUAACGGACUCGAUGAUUUCAUUGACGGAUCUCGACCCUGCCCUCCUCGAUUUCUCGAUCUGCAACAACAAACCCUCAAUCCAGAGUACUCAGCUUGGCAGAGAUACAAUCGACUUCUGAUGAGUUGGCUGUACGCAUCCUUGUCCAAAGAUAUAAUGGCUCAGAUUGUUGGGUAUUCAACAGCUAUGGAGAUUUGGAAUGCCCUUAAUCAGAUUUACUCUGCCUCUUCUAUGGCGCGGUUUACUGAGCUUCGCACCAAGCUUCAAACGCUCAAGAAAGAUGGACUCUCAGUUGGUGAAUAUAUUCAAAGGCUCAAAUCCAUUUGCAAUAGUCUUGCAGCAAUAGGAGAACCAGUUUCUGAGAAAGACCAUCUUAUCUAUUUGUUCAAUGGAUUAGAUUGUGAGUAUUAUUCUUUUGUUACCUCCAUUCAAAAUCGAUCUGACCAACCAACUAUUGACAAAAUCCAUAGCCUAUUGCUUAGCUAUGACUUCCGGCUUGAACAACAAAACUCUGUUUCUCUCCAUUCUGCCCAAGUCCAUAUGGCUCAUCUGAACAAGAAACCUUAUAAAUCAACUCCUCAACCUACAUUCAAUCAUAUUCACAUUCAACCUAGAUACUCUUCUCCACCUUUUAAGCCAACCACUAGUCAAUAUCAACCCAACAUUUUGGGCAAACCACAACCACAACCAUGACAGCCUCAACCUCAAUGGAAACCACAUUUUUCAAUCUAAAAUCAAAAGCCUCAGCGCCAAAUUUGUGGUAAAUUUGGACACACUGCUCUUAUUUGCUUCCAUCACACAAAUUUGAACUAUUCACCCCAACCUUCUCCUAAAUCUUUCAAUACUGUUCUCACCACAAAUUCCCAGCUCCCUAAUCCUCCAAAAUUUUCUUACCCUACAAUGGCUCAUCCUGCUGCUACGCAUAACACGGUUCCCGAUACAAAUUGGUACAUGGACUCAGGUGCUACACAUCACUUUACUCUGGACAUCAACGUGCUUGACACUGUGACACCAUUUAGUGGUUCAGAACAGGUGACAGUUGGGAAUGGUAAGCAACUCUGUAUCUCACAUCUUGGUACUGCAAAACUACCAUCUUCGUAUUCUCCUCCUGUUCUACAUCAGGUAUAUCACACUCCAAAAAUUUCAAAUAAUCUUAUUAGUGUUAAAAAAUUGUGUUCUGAUAAUAAAGUUUUUGUUGAAUUUUAUGCCACUCAUUUUCUUGUCAAGGAUCAGGUUUCGAAGAGAGUUCUCCUUUAGGGUCAACUUGAUAAUGGCUUAUACAAAGUUCAGUCGUCAUGCUCUCCUUCUGCUGUUUCCUUUCCUCCUCAAGUUUUCAUAGCCAACAUCAAGUAUCCAAAUCUGUGGCACAAGAGACUAGGCCACCCAGCUUUAUCUGUUGUUAAUCAAAUCUUGGAUUCUUGUAACAUUGCUCGAACACAGAAAAUUUGUUUUAAUUUUUUAAAUUCUUGUCAAUUAGCAAAGAGCCACAGGCUUCCUUUUUCUCUGUCUCCAUCCAUUGCAGAAAAACCUUUUGAGUUAAUUCAUACAGACCUAUGGGGUCUUUCGCUCGUUCGCUCUAUUUCUGGUGCUCUUUAUUUUUUACUUUUCAUUGAUGAUCAUACUCGUUUUACUUGGUUUUAUUUGCUCAAAACAAAAGAUGAAGCAUAUCCUACUUUUCUCAAGUUUCAAGCUCUCAUUGAAAAUCAAUUUAAUACCAAGAUUAAGGCUGUCCAAUCUGAUUGGGGAGGUGAGUUUCGAUCUCUCUCCAUACCGUUUUCAAAUAUGGGCAUUGUCUAUUGUUUAUCGUGUCCAUACACCUCACAACAGAAUGGGCGAGUUGAGCGAAAAAAUCGCCAUGCGAUUGUCCUUUCUUGCUUGCUCUAUGCCCUUAUCUUAUUGGCCUUAUGCCUUUCAAACUGCCACUUACCUUAUUAAUCGUCUCUCUACCCCUGUGCUGCAUCAUCAAUCCUCUUACUUCGCACUCUAUCACAAACUCCCAACUUAUACUCAUCUUAAGGUCUUUGGUUCCUCUUGUUUUCCGUAUUUGCACCCUUAUAAUACCCAUAAACUCCAAUACAGGUCACUAGAGUGUGCUUUUCUUGGUUACAGUUCACACCACAAAGGUUAUCUAUGUCUUGACAUUCAUUCUAGCAGGGUGUAUAUUUCUCGCCAUGUGAUUUUUAAUGAAGAUUCUUUUCCAUUCAAGAAUUUGAAAUCUUCUCUCUCUCAGUCUAUUUCUUCUUCCUCUUCUUUAUAAGUUCCUCUGUUCAUUCUCUUGCCUCCCCUUUCCCCAUCUCCUCUUAUUUCUUCAUCUAUACCUCAUUCUUUUCCCUCUUCUUCUUCUACCUCUAGUACUUGUUCCCCUCUCGUUGCUCCUACCUCUCUUCCUUCCUCUUCACACUCUGUGUCUCCAUCUAUUCCACCUCCUUCUCCACCUUCUCCGAGUGUGGACCUGCUUGCACCUUGUGUGAAUACAAAUUUACAUACUUCUUCUCGCACUCACAAUAUUCAUCCUAUGGUGACUAGAUCUAAGGUUUGUAUCUAUAAACCUAAGUUGUUGUUGAGUGUCUCCAUAGGUUCUCUCACUAAGCCUACUUCCUUUCUUCAAGCUAUUAAAGAUCCUUCAUGGAAGCAAUCCAUGGAAUUCGAGUUUGCUACCCUUCAACACAACAAGACCUGGCAUUUGGUUCCUUCACCUUCCUCAGGCGAAGUAAUCGGUUGUAAAUGGGUCUAUAAGCUAAAGCUUCAGCCUGAUGGCUAAAUUGAGAGAUACAGCCUGCUUAGUAGCUAAGGGUAUCAUCAAAUUGAAGUAUGGACUACUUCGAAACAUUCAGCCUGAUNNNNNNNNNNNNNNNNNNNNNNNNNNNNNNNNNNNNNNNNNNNNNNNNNNNNNNNNNNNNNNNNNNNNNNNNNNNNNNNNNNNNNNNNNNNNNNNNNNNNAGCUUCAGCCUGAUGGCUAAAUUGAGAGAUACAAGGCCUGCUUAGUAGCUAAGGGUUAUCAUCAAAUUGAAGGUAUUGACUACUUCGAAACAUUCAGCCUGAUUGUCAAGCUUUCUACUAUCUGUAUUGUGCUCAGUCUUACUUUUUCCCAGAAUUGGUGUAUUAGACAGCUGGAUGUUCAUAAUGCCUUCUUACAUGGUGACUUAGCUAAAGACGUUUUCAUGGAACAACUGCCUGGAUUUGUUGAUCCUCUCUAUCCUACUCAUGUCUGCAAGUUGGAUAAGUCUCUCUACUGUCUUAAAUAGUCACCUCGGGCUUGGUAUACUAAGCUGAGUACUUCUCGCUACACUUGGGAUUUGUUACUUCUAAGAAUGACUCUUCCUUAUUUAUUUGUCAUUCGUCUCAUGGGUUACUUCUUGUUCUUGUCUAUGUGGAUGAUAUAAUCGUCAUUGGGAGCCACUCUCCUCAGGUUACUCACCUUAUCCAACAGUUGCAUCAUUAGCUUUCUUUAAAGGAUCUUGGUCCUUUACAUUAUUUUCUGGGCUUGGAGGUUCAUCACACCCCUACUGGUAUUCACCUCAGCCAAGCAAAGUAUAUCACUGAUCUCCUUACCCGGGCGGCUAUGUUGGAUGCCAAGCCAUGUCCCACUCCUAUGUCCUCCAACACAUAUCUCUCUUUUCAUGAUGGAGUGGCUCUUGAAAAUGGUUCAGAUUAUCGAAGUUUUGUUGGUGCCCUUUAGUAUUGUACCAUGACACGCCCAGAUAUAGCUUUUGCAAUAAAUAAAGUGUGUCAAUUCAUGCACCAUCCCUCUAAUGUUCACUGGCAGGCUAUAAAACGUAUUCUCCGGUACUUAAAGGGCACAUCUCAUUUUGGUCUCUUCCUACAGCCUUCCUAUGACUUCAACAUCACUUGCUAUACAAAUGCCGACUGGGCUUCCUGUCCUGAUGACAAGUGUAGCACCAGUGGCUACUGCCUCUUUCUUGCCUCUAAUCUGGUUUCUUGGUCAUCUUCCAAACAAAAAGUGGUCUCCCGCUCCAGCGCCGAAUCAGAGUACCGAGGGGUAGCAAAUGGGGCUGCUGAAAUUGCUUGGACUGAAUCUCUUCUUUGUGAACUUUCCAUUACUCCCCCUCCCCUCAUUCUCUGUGACAAUAUCAGUGCCACGUACUUAGCUGCCAAUCCUAUUUUGCAUGCCCGCACCAAACAUGUGGAAAUCGACUAUCACUUUGUCACGGAACGUGUUCUUCAAUGCUCUCUUUUUGUCCAGUUUACACCUUCUGAUGAUCAACUUGCUGAUUGCAUGACCAAGCCUCUCUCCACCCAACGUUUCAUCACUCUACGCUCCAAGCUCACUGUUCUCACUAGACCAAUGAGCUUGAGGGGGGAUGUUAAGCCUAAAGAUGUAAUUAGUUAGGAUAUUCUUUUCCCUCUAGUCUUGUAGCUCCACGUGUACAGUUGGUUAGGACCUCAUUGUAUAUAAUGCCUGCCCUGUUAUUGUAGAAGACAACAGAGAUAAAUAAUAUUAACAUUUUUCCUCUCAUCUCUCUCUCUGUUUCCCUCUGUUUUCAUCUCCUCUCUCAUCUGAACCAAAUGAUCCAUGUUAACCUUGGCUUGGUUUGAUUUGGCUCUAUCUUAGAGAGCUCAAGGAUCACGUCAACUCUGGUUUCUACUAUUCAGGUCCAUUCCCAUAUGAACUGGUUCAAAUUUGAGAAAAUGGUAACAGACCUUUAGUGAUGUUGGUUUGGAGCCAGUUGCCAAACCCGCCCUGAGCUUUACCACUAAUGUCAAGGGAGAAAGCCAUUUGAACAAAAACAAUAGCUUCAAGGGACUGAAUCGUGGAUGAAAUCUGAUCCACAUUUCUUCUCAUUUUGGAAACAAAUGAGAACUUAACUAAGAAGAUUCUACGGCCUCAUAGUGCUUUUCCUGAUCUAAGGUUGGUUCGUUUCCCAAACUGUGAGAUGCACGUGCCAGACUUCAGAACUCUCACGCUCAGGAGUGUAUCCACGUGGUGGACAUAAGAUGGUGGCUUAAGAUCUGGUGUCGGUGGCUUUACUUUACUAGGAGAGUAGUGUGUCUUCAUCUCAUUCACUGCCGGAGGGUGGCGUAAGCAGUGACGCUAAGGUGGGGCACAGUCAAUAUCAUUUGCAUUUGACCAUUAUAGUUUUCUCCCGGCUUUAAAGUAACCUUAUCGUGAUAAAGGAUUACUAGCACUAGUUCAGAUGAUAGUCAUGUUAAAUUCGGACCAUGUUUGUGUCACAUUAUCAGCAACCAUGUGUUUAUGGUUCAUGCUUUCUGCAACUAAAAUUGAUAUAUAACCAGGUGAACUUCAAUCUAAAUUCUGAAAGUACUCAUGUGAUAGAUGGUGCCCGUCUGCAGAGUCCAUCAAUUGAAAAAUGGAGUGAGUGUAUCUAUAAGAGGGAAGGCUUGGAAAAUGUUCAGUUUUCUGGGAAUUCAACAAGGAUCUAAAAUAGAUUGUUUUCUUUGCUGAUUUCAAUGGUUGAAAUUUGAGAAGAUUGUGUCCACAUAACACAACUAUUACUGGUCCUUCUGUUGCAAUUUAUCCUCUAAAGCUCUAGCAUGUCUUCCAAUUCCCACUUCCCUGUUACUCCAGGAAAGCUAUUUCUGUCAUUGUGAAGAAGAAAAGAGAAUGUACAUAUCGAUGCUUUUAAGUGACUGGAGCAUUUAUAUCAGGUGGUCUGCAGCCAUAUAUGCCACUUUGUGAAGAUUGGAACAGUCAAUCACUAGGCUAUAUAUUAGUGUGGCCCAGCCACUUUAAUCAAGGACAAGUCUUCAUACUUAAAGUCAAAUUCUGCCUUUAGUCUCAUUAUAAAUUUCUGUUUAAAUAUUAAGCAAACAUUUGUUUAAUGCGAUUAAGACAGUACUAACUCAAUACCUGUUCUAUUUUUGGAUGCAAAUGCUUGAUGGUUUCAUCAUUGGAUGGGAUAAAGGUGCAUUCAUGAUUAGGAAUACUAGUAGUUAUAUUUUAAUUCUCUUUUUUCUCAAUGAGACUUGUUGGCACAAUUUUGCUGUUGAGAAACCUACCUCUCCAUGGAAAAUAAGUUGUGAUUGAUAGUACUGGAUAUAUUCAAGAAAUCUAAAUAUAGAUAGCACAAAAUAUUAUCGACAUAAAUAGCAUUAACAGCGUACGUAUGUCUCAGUGCUCAUCAGCUAUAAGCAUGGGGCAAACACUUACUAUGAGCAACUUACGUCAAAAUUCCAGAAUAGGACAUAGAAGUGACAGAUAUAGAACAUUGCAUAUGAGUCACAAGAAAGGAAAUUACGGGUGCAUAGCAGCUCUUAUUUUACAUACUACUACUCAUACUGAUCAAAGUCACUCAGUUGGGAUGGGUGGGAGUAGGAGGUUUGUGGGGUGGCUUGUGCGGAGGAGUUGGCAGCUUCUUUCCAGGACCUGGUUGCUUCUCUGCUGGAGUUGAAGGAGGCUUAAUCUUCCGAGGUGGCUUGUAUGAGUCUUCAGCAUUCUCAGCUGGAGGGUGACCAGGGUUGUGACCAUAAUGUGGUGGCUUCUCUCCCUUAGGUGGUUUGCCAACUGGGGUUGGUGGCUUGUAUGAGUCUUCAGCAUUCUCAGCAGGAGGGUGACCAGGGUUGUGACCAUAAUGUGGUGGCUUCUCUCCCUUAGGUGGUUUGCCAACUGGGGUUGGUGGCUUGUGUUCUGGGAGUGGCUUCUCCCCCUUGGGAGGUUUUUCCAAUGGGGUUGGUUUGUGUUCAGGAGGUGGCUUCUCCACUGGAGGCUUGUGUUCAGGAGGUGGCUUCUCCACCGGAGGCUUGUGUUCAGGUGGUGGCUUCUCCACCGGAGGCUUAUGCUCUGGUGGUGGCUUCUCGAAUGGGGGAUGCUUAGGAUAAUCAGCAAGUGAGGGGGCGGUGAGAACCACCAGGCCAAGCAACACCACUAGCAAAUAUGUAGGAGACAUCUUUGGGUUUGGGCUCAGAUGGUGCAAAACUAGGAGAAUUGGCUAGCCUUUUAUAGCGGAUCGUACCCAAUAAUGAAAUGACACGUGUCAUUAUGACCCAUGUGUAAUGGGGUCGAUUUGGGUCCUACAGUGUUGAAAACUUCGACAUCCACUUUUGGCCUUUUGCUUUCUCUACAGCCGCCUUGCUUUUUCCCUCUUUCCUUUUGUUUUCCUCCUGCCCCAUUCUAUCAACUAAACACAAUUAUGUAGUUGUUUAAUUCUUAAAUGAGAUAUUAUCCGUCAAUCGUAUUAUAUUUUAUCAAGAGAGAACGGAGUGCAAUGUGGCUGUAAUUUUAUCGUUUAGUUUUAUCUCUUGGACCACUGCAUUUUUGUUAAGAGGUGCAAUAAUACACGUCUUUAUCUGCCAUUCAAUAUUUACAGUAAAGAGAGGGCACAAAACUCUUCACUUCGCACCAUAAUUAUUUUGUUUUCUGGACACCCCGGGGCCCUUUGGUUGGUUUGGGGGUCAGAAAGUGAACAUCAUAGGGGGUUUUUCCCUUAUGUGCAUUUGUAUCUGAUGGCUUUAACUCGCCUUGUUACUACAAAGAAACUGUCACAGAUAGGAACUUAUUCCAGGCUGAGUAUCUCCUCAUAGACCCUAUAAAAGAAGACAAGUCAUAAUGAACAUCUAACCUUUGUUCAAUUUGAUUCAAUGCCCCCAUUGUGUCCAUCUCACAAAUCUGAAUUAUUAUAUCCAUUGAAUACAUAAAUUAAUGAAGAAAAUAUGAAACCCAAGAUACAUCUCUGCACAACCUCAACCCUGGUUGCUAUGUUUCCCUUCUAUUCACAUGAUUUGAUGCUAAUUGCCAAACUUGCAACAAGCCCUGAGUUUGACACCUAGUAUCGAUGGGCGAAUUUAAAGUCUCCUCCAAACAUAUAUUCCACAGCUUGAAGCUCACAGAAGAUGUUACAGGCAGGGAAAAACCUUCAGAGUUCGCUACCAAAGAUAAUUAUUAAGGAGAUAUCACAAAGAGAAUUCCAAGGGGUCUGAAUCAAAGACAAAUUGGUCGUUCGUGGGGGUUCUUACUUUCUUUUGGGUAUAACUCACUGAGGGCACUGUCUUUGUUAUUUGCAUUUCACAUUUAGAGUUCUGUUCUGGAAACAUAUAAAAGGAGCAUCAUUUUGUUCUUGGGUAACCCAUAGUCGUGAGUGGGUCCAUUUGCAUGCUACUUAGUUGAAAAGUUGGACCAUUUGCUCCGACGCCUACCUCCCGGAUUCCAUGCUCGGAUAAAACAAGAAUAAAAAAAAUAUUUAUAAUUUACAAAUGGGGGAAAGAAAAAAAUGUCAACAACAAACCAGGAAAAAAGAGUAGUAAAAUUCAUGUCACAUGCUAGUGAGAGAAGGGGUUGUUACACUCACUCGAAGUUCUUUCCAAAAUAUCGCAUGGUAUUUUAUUUUAUGUGUCAGCGCAGUUGUGAAUGGAACGUGCAAAAGUCCAAAUUGGCGUUUUUCCUUUUCCCGUGUAGGAUGGCGACCUUUAAUAAAUAUUUAAAACAAAAAACGAAAAAAAGGAGGGAAAAGGGAUCAGAAAAGAUAAAACAAUGUGUACAAGAGCUCAAUUAGUUUGCAAAUUACUGUUUGGAUUUUGAUAGUAUUUUAUUUGUCCAUCUAUAUUUGAUGGAAAAGAGAAUUUAAGAUAUUUCUGAAACAAAAGCAUUAGUGUAAAACUAAAUUAAGGUAUAAUUAAGUUAGUUCAAUGCAUUAAUUUAAGAAACUUGAUCUAUCCAAAGUACAAAAUUAGAUGAAAUCCAUUUCAAUGGUUAAAAUGAUCAAAAUCAAACUUUUUCUAAGUAUUUUUUAAAAGCAUCAAUAUUAAAAGACAAUUUUAUAUUUAGUCGGAGUUUGGACAAAACCAAAAAGCACACAAAAUCCAAGCGACCAUCUCUAGCUUGGAUAGUCACUUGAUCCCACCUAGAGAUGUGCAUGAGUAAAAGGAUUUGAAAAUGGAAAUUGACUAAAUAUUUAGUUGAUCAAUUAAAUUUGCAAUGUCAUAUGCAAUCCUAAUAGCUAGUCAUCUAAUCAAUUAGGUAGUCAAUCAAGUGUUUGUAAUGACUAUUUUGUACAAAAAACCACAUGUAUAGUUAAAUAUAAUGCAUUUCAUUUAUAAAUCUUCUAAUUCUUGAAUAACGAUCCUAUCAUCCUUUGAAAAUUUUUAUUACACCUUUUUUACUUUUGUUCUAAAACUUACAUAUCACCCUUAAUUGUACCAUGAGAACCUAGCUAUUUUUUUUUUUUUUGUAAUUCAUCAAAGUUAGCUUUUGUAUUCAUUGUUGUAUUAUUUUUAGUAUAACUUAGAAAGCUAGUGUUUUCAAGUGAGUAAAAUUAACUUGUAAAUAUUGUAAAGAUUCAUUGAUAUGUAUCUUAAACUAAGUGUACAAAUUAAAACAUUUGCUAGUAGAUUUUCUCAAAAUUUAGAAUAGAGCUUGAGGCUAUUGAAAUAGGUGGGGUUACACCAAACCACAUCACAUCGUUGUUUGCACCUUUUUUCACUCUCUUUUACUUAGUUUCUCUAUAUUUGUUGUCUAGUAAUAUCCUAUAGGCUUGAUGGGUUAGGGAGCAUCCCUUUGUGAAAAAAUUUCAUUCAAUUCUUAGUUGUAUUACGCAUAUAUAAAAUGCCUCAUUGUUUUAAUGGUAUUCAGUCGUGGCAUCACAGAUAUGGGCAUCUAAAUUUUAAAAGUUUGAAACUUUUGUAAAGCAUGUUGAUAAAAUCCAUGAGAGUUGUGUACUUGGGAAGCAACAUCGAGGUGACUUUAUUUUUUUUUCCUUUUAUAAUGCCACACCUAAGUCCGGUUUCUAAAUGCUAAAGUGAAAGGGUAGGUAUGGACCAUUGAAAUGUGAUCACAACUUUUGGCCUUUUCCUUUCUCUGCAGCCAUGUUGUCUCUUUUUUCUUUUGCAUGAUUUUCUUACCAAAACAGAAUCAUAGACUUGUUUAGUCUCUAAGCUACUAUAUUAUAUCUCGGUGGACUUUUAAGAGUGCAACCGACAUAGAGCACAUGCAAGUGGGCAUAUGGGACAUGAAAUUUCUUCUUACAAAGAUUGCAUGAUUUUUAUAUUAGAGUUGUUCACGUGCAAUGUAUUUAGCUUGUUUUGCAGUUAAAUUAAUUGGAUAAGUAAACAUUGGCAUUUCUAAAUCGACUGUGAAGUGCUUCAUGUACGUGUAAAGUAUUAGAAAUUUCUUUCUUGGCAACUUGUUUUUUCCUUGCCAUCUACUGGUAGGUUUGACUAAAAUUAUAUUCCCUGUCAUGCUAAUUAAUUUUCAUGUGCAUGCUCAAAAGAAGAGUAUGACCUUAGUGCACCAAAAUCACUUUGAUUAAUUUGUGAUAGGUUUUUUUGCAUCAUUUAGAUAAUGUUUAGUUCUAAGAAAAAUUUAUAUAAAAAUGGUUUAUUUAUCUUACAUAUAUAUAUAUAUAUAUAUAUUUUUUUUUUUUUCAUUUUUUUUUCUUCUAUUUUAUUUAUUUAUUUUAUUUUCCUUAUGUUUUCCUCACAUUUUCCGGAACUAAACAUAGUCUUACGAAAUCAACAAUUGCCUUCAACUGAGUAGAUUCUGUUGUUUUAGCAAUGUUAGGCUGCUAACUUGUGGUGGUACGAACCAAAUGACCCAUGUUAAUCUUGGCUUGGUUUGAUUUGGCUCUAUCUCAGAGAGCUAAAGGAUCACGUCAACUCUGGUUUCUACUAUUCAGGUCCAUUCCCAGAUGAACUGGUUCAAAUUUGAGAAAAUGGUAACAGACCUUUAGUGAUGUUGGUUUGGAGCCAGUUGCCAAACCCGCCCUGAGCUUUACCACUAAUGUCAAGGGAGAAAGCCAUUUGAACAAAAACAAUAGCUUCAAGAGACUGAAUCGUGGAUGAAAUCUGAUCCACAUUUCUUCUCAUUUUGGGAAAAAAUGAGAACUUAACUACAAAGAUUCUACUGCCUCAUUCAUAGUGCUUUUCCUGAUCCAAGGUUGGUUCGUUUCCCAAAUUGUGAGGUGCACGUGCCACUCUCACGCUCAGGAGUGUAUCCACGUGGUGGACAUCAGAUGGUGGCUUAAUAUCUGGUGUCGGUGGCUUUACUUUACUAGGAGAGUAGUGUGUCUUCAUCUCAUUCACUGCCGGAGGGUGGCGUAAGCAGUGACGCUAAGGUGGGGCACAGUCAAUAUCAUUUGCAUUUGACCAUUAUAGUUUUCUCCCGGCUUGAAAGUAACCUUAUCGUGAUAAAGGAUUACUAGCACUAGUUCAGAUGACCGUCAUGUUAAUUCGGACCAUGUUUGUGUCACAUUAUCAGCAACCAUGUGUUUAUGGUUCAUGCUAUCUGCAACUAAACUUGAUAUAUAACCAGGUGAACUUCAAUCAAAAUUCUGGAAGUACUCUUGUGAUAGAUGGUGCCUGUCUGCAGAGUCCAUCAAUUGAAAAAUGGAGUGAGUGUAUCUAUAAGAGGGAAGGCUUGGCAAAUGUUCAGUUUUCUGGGAAUUCAACAAGGAUCUAAAAUAGAUUGUUUUCUUUGCCGACUUCAAUGGUUGAAAUUUGAGAAGAUUGUGUCCACAUAUCACAACUAUUACUGGUCCUUCUGUUGCAAUUUAUCCUGUAAGGCUCUAACAUGUCUUCCAAUUCCCACUUCCCUGUUACUCCAGGAAAGCUAUUUCUGUCAUUGUGAAGAAGAAAAGAGAAUGUACAUAUCGAUGCUUUUAAGUGACUGGAGCAUUCAUAUCAGGUGGUCUGCAGCCAUAUAUGCCACUUUGUGAAGGUUGGAACAGUCAAUCACUAGGCUAUAUAUUGGUGUGGCCCAGCCACUUCAAUCAAGGACAAGUCUUCAUACUUAAAGUCAAAUUCUGCCUUUAGUCUCAUUAUAAAUUGCUGUUUAAAUAUUAAGCAAACUUUUGUUUAAUGCGAUUAAGACAGUACUAACUCAAUACUUGUUCUAUUUUUGGAUGCAAAUGCUUGAUGGUUUCAUCAUUGGAUGGGAUAAAGGUGCAUUCAUGAUUAUGAAUACUUGUAGUUAUAUUUUCAUUCUCUUUUUUCUCAAUGAGACUUGUUGGCACAAUGUUGCUGUUCAGAAACCUACCUCUCCAUGGAAAAUAAGUUGCGAUUGAUAGUACUGGAUAUGUUCAAGAAAGCUAAAUAUAGAUAGCACAAAAUAUUAUCGAUAUAAAUAGCAUUAACAGCGUACGUAUGUCUCAAUGCUCAUCAGCUAUAAGCAUGGGACAAACACUUACUAUGAGCAACUUACGUCAAAAUUCCAGAAUAGGACAUAGAAGUGACAGAUCUAUAUAUAUAGAACACUGCAUAUGAGUCACAAGAAAGGAAAUUACGGGUGCAUAGCAGCUCUUAUUUUACAUACUACUACUCAUACUGAUCAAAGUCACUCAGUUGGGAUGGGUGGGAGUAGGAGGUUUGUGGGGUGGCUUGUGCGGAGGAGUUGGCAGCUUCUUUCCAGGACCUGGUUGCUUCUCUGCUGGAGUUGAAGGAGGCUUAAUCUUCCGAGGUGGCUUGUAUGAGUCUUCAGCAUUCUCAGCUGGAGGGUGACCAGGGUUGUGACCAUAAUGUGGUGGCUUCUCUCCCUUAGGUGGUUUGCCAACUGGGGUUGGUGGCUUGUAUGAGUCUUCAGCAUUCUCAGCAGGAGGGUGACCAGGGUUGUGACCAUAAUGUGGUGGCUUCUCUCCCUUAGGUGGUUUGCCAACUGGGGUUGGUGGCUUGUGUUCUGGGAGUGGCUUCUCCCCCUUGGGAGGUUUUUCCAAUGGGGUUGGUUUGUGUUCAGGAGGUGGCUUCUCCACUGGAGGCUUGUGUUCAGGAGGUGGCUUCUCCACCGGUGGCUUGUGUUCAGGAGGUGGCUUCUCCACCGGAGGCUUAUGCUCUGGUGGUGGCUUCUCCACCGGAGGCUUAUGCUCUGGUGGUGGCUUCUUGAAUGGGGGAUGCUGAGGGUAAUCAGCAAGUGAGGGGGCGGUGAGAACCACCAGGCCAAGCAACACCACUAGCAAAUAUGUAGGAGACAUCUUUGGGUUUGGGCUCAGAUGGUGCAAAACUAGGAGAAUUGGCUAGCCUUUUAUAGCGGAUCGUACUCAAUAAUGAAAUGACACGUGUCAUUAUGACCCAUGUGUAAUGGGGUCGAUUUGGGUCCUACAGUGUUGAAAACUUCGACAUCCAGUUUUGGCCUUUUGCUUUCUCUACAGCCGCCUUGCUUUUUCCCUCUUUCCUUUUGUUUUCCUCCUGCCCCAUUCUAUCAACUAAACACAAUUAUGUAGUUGUUUAAUUCUUAAAUGAGAUAUUAUCGGUCAAUCGUAUUAUAUUUUAUCAAGAGAGAACGGAGUGCAAUGCAGCUGUAAUUUUAUCGUUUACUUUUAUCUCUUGGACCACUGCAUUUUUGUUAAGAGGUGCAAUAAUACACGUCUUUAUCUGCCAUUCAAUGUUUACAGUAAAGAGAGGGCACAAAACUCUUCACUGCUCUGCAUGUGUCCCAAAAAUGCGAUUGGACAAAUUAUGAUUUGCAUGCUAAAAAGAGGCAAAUGAGGUUAAUUCGCACCAUAAUUAUUUGGUUUUCUGGACACCAUAAAAAGAUGUUAUACAGGCAGGGAAAAACCUUCAGAGUUAGCUACCAAAGAUAAUUAUCAAGCAGAUAUCACCAAGAGAAUUCCAUAGAGUCUGAAUCAAAGACAGAUUGCUCGCUCGUGGGGGUUCUUACUUUCUUUUGGGUAUAACUCACUGAGGUCACUGUCUUUUUUAUUUGCAUUUCACAGUUAGAGUUCUGCUCUGGAAGGUUUGUUCUGGAAACAUAUAAAAGGAGCAUCAUUUUGUUCUUGGGUAACCCAUAGUCGUGAGUGGGUCCAUUUGCAUGCUACUUAGUUGAAAAGUUGGACAAUUUGCUCCGACGCCUACCUCCUGGAUUCCAUGCUCGGUAAAACAAGAAUAAAAAAAAAUAUAUAAUUUACAAAUGGGGGAAAGAAAAAAUGUCGGAAAAAAUAGUAAAAUUCAUGUCACAUGCUAGUGAGAGAAGGGGUUGUUACACUCACUCGAAGUUCUUUUCAAAAUAUCGAAUGGUAUUUUACUUUAUGUGUCAGCGCAGUUGUGAAUGGAACGUGCAAAAGUCCAAAUUGGCGUUUUUAUUUUUCCCAUGUAGGAUGGUGACCUUUAAUAAAUAUUUAAAACAAAAGACGAAAAAAAAAAGGAGGGAAAAGGGAUCACAAAAGAUAAAAUAAUGUUUACAAAAGCUCAAUUAGUUUGCAAAUUACUGUUUGGAUUUUGAUAGUAUUUUAUUUGUCGUUCUAUAUUUGAUGUAAAAGAGAAUUUAAGAUAUUUCCGAAGCAAAAGCAUUAGUUUGCUCUGUGAUGUCCCACAUCGAAUAGGGGAGAAAGUUUCUGGCGCUAUAUAUGUAGAGGCUCCUCUUAACCAAGUAGAUGCGUUUUAAAACCAUGAGGGCCCCCUUAGGUCCAAAGCGGACAAUAUCUACAUGAUUGGGUGUAAGUCAUUACAAAUGGUAUCAGAGCCGAUCCCCGACCCCGGUGUGGGGGUUUGUUUGGCCCUGUAAGGGGUGUUUGUCUGUUUGACCCCACAAUCCCAUGGGACACAACGAGGACGUUGUGUCUGCAUGGGGGGGCGUUUGUGAUGUCCCACAUCGGAUAGGGGAGAAAGUUCCUAGUGCUAUAUAUGUAGAUGUUUCUCUUAACCAAGUAGAUGCAUUUUAAAAUUGUGAGGGCCUCUUUGGGCCCAAAGCGGACAAUAUCUACAUGGUUGAGUGUAAGUCAUUACAUGCUCCAUGUCAAUUUCAGCAUUUCUCAUAUGUUUCACACAUACACAGAAGAGCAUCGUUUUUUAAAGCAUGCAUUUAUGUUGGAUUAAUUUGGAUUUUGUGGGAACUGGGGCAAGGAUCACAUGGAAGAGAGGUUGACUUUUUUCAGUACUUCAAUGGUUGAAAUAUGUGAAGGCUUGAUUGAUACUAAAGCUUGAAAUUGCGACUCUGUCAUUUGUAAAAAAAUAUGACAGCUUCCAUGCUCUCGUUUGGUUGCAUUGUCCGGUCGAGAGGUGCAAAAAGCAUUCUCUCUCUUCUAAUAGUCUUUUCGUUUAAAUCAAGGGAUUUGCCUUCCCGGUCGAGGUCCAAUAGAGGGUAACGGUCACCUACUAAACAUUAAAUGCUCCAACAACUAGUGAACUGAUCGACCCCAGCUCGACUAGUUGAGGUUACUUUUUGGUUUUCUUGUCUCCCGAGGUUAGAAACCUAUAAAUAGAGAGCUUCACUUCAUUUAUGAGUAAGAGAACACCUAAAUUUAUUUGUUUACCUACUUGUUUUUGCCAUAAAAGCUCUCAUUUCUUUUCUUGGUGUAUUAAAUCUCCAUUUGCAUAUCCUUUAGUGCACCUUUGUGAUUCAUUCUAGCCUUGAGUUGUAUUUAAGCCUUUGUUGAGCUAGGUUGAGAGUUUCAUACUUGUUUAUUGAGUGUUAAAGCCUUCAAGUGAGUUAAAACUUGAAGAGAUUGUGUAAGAGCCCAUUGGAGUCGGAAUCCAAGUGUAAAGGUGAUUAAAAGCUUGGUUGAAGCUUCAAGUUAGUGGAACUCUCACUCGGUUAUGAGCUUGAGAAGAGUGGACAUAGACAAGGCAGUGUCGAACCACUAUAAAAUCUGAGUUUGAUUUCUCUAACCUUAUCUCUUUAUAUUUGCUUCUCUUGUGCUUAAAUUUUUUGUGUUUAAAAAGAAUUUUUAAAAACUCAAUUCACCCCCUUCUUGGGAGUUUUUCUCUUUUAAGAUCAGCUUUUAUUUUCUCAAUUGGUAUCAGAACUAUGCCUCUUGUUUAAGACUUAAUCGUCUAAGAGGAAAUGGCUAAUCCAUCAAGUUCAUCUCACAUUGAAAGUUUUGCAACCAAUAGACUUCUUUUUUUUUUUUUGCGGGAACUGAUUAUCCCUAUUGGAAAACUAAAAUGACUUGGUUUUUACAAUCAAUUGAUUUAGAUGUAUGAGAUGCCAUUGAAGAUGACCUAACUUUUCCUUCAAAACUAGUUGAUGGAGUCAUGGUUCCAAAACCUAAGCAAGAAUGGGAUGAGCGUGAUUGAAGAAAUUUUCAAUUAAAUGCUAAAGUCGUUUAUACUUUGCAAUGCUCUAUGGACAGAAAUGAAUAUAAUAGAAUAUGUCAAUGCAAAUCGGUUAAAGAAAUUUGGAGAUUGCUUGAAAUAACUCAUAAAGGAACAAAUCAAGUUAAAGAGUCAAAAAUCAAUUUACUUGUUCAUAGAUAUGAAUUGUUUUUUAUGAAAGAUAAUGAAACUAUUGUUAAGAUGAUCACUAGGUUCACCAACAUUGUUAAUGGUCUUAAAGCCUUGGGAAAGACCUACAAGGAAUCCGAAAACGUGAUGAAGAUCUUGAGGUCACUUCCAUCAAAGUGGCAUACCAAGGUCACCGCAAUUUAAGAAGCAAAAGACUUGAUCAAGCUACCUUUGGAGGAGUUCAUAGGGUCAUUGAUGACAUAUGAAAUCAAUUUGGCAAAGAAGUAACAAAAAGGUGAAGACAAAAAGAAGAAGAACAUAACUCUCAAAGCUACAACUAAGGAAGAAGAAGUUGAAGAAGAAAAACAAAUUGAAGAAGAUGAAGAUUUAGCCCUCAUCACAAGAAAGUUCAACAAAUUCAUGAGGGGUGAAAGGUUUAGAAGAAGAAGGUUCACUUCUAGAAGAGACUUUUCUAAAAAGGAAUCUUCAUCUAAUGGUGACAAAAAGAGAUGGGAAGAGAAAAGAGACUUGGUGUGUUUCAAGUGCAAGAAACCGGGACACAUUAAAUAUGAUUGUCCUCUCUACAAAAGUGAAGUCAAGAGGAAAAAGAAUAAGGCAAUGAUGGCCACUUAGAGUGAAAGUGAAGAUGAAUCAUCCGAAGAAGAAAAUGAGAAAGAAGUGGCAAACAUGUGUUUCAUGGCAAUAGAUGAACUUGAUGAGGUAAAAUCUAACCUUAGUGAUUAAGAUAUACAUGAUGCAUUUGAAGAAUUGUAUGAGGAUUUUUAAAAACUUAGUUUGAAAAAUAUUUCUCUUAAAAAGAAAGUUCAACAACUUGACAAAGAACUUAGAGAAGUAAAAGAAAAAUUUUCAAAUGUUAAAGUUUCUAAAACUCAUCUUGAAAAAGAAAAUGAGAUUCUAAGAAAGAAAAAUGAAUAGUUGAACUCCUCUCUUUCAAUCUUUUCUUCUAGACAAAAAUCUUUUGAAAUGAUUCUAACUAGCUAAAAAUGUGUUUUUGACAAACAAGGGUUAAGAUUUAAAUCUUCAAAAAAUCAAAAGUAUUUUAAAAACUAUUUUGUAAAGGAAUCCACAAGUGCAAGUCCUUCCACUACUUGCAACUUUUGUGGAAGAGAAUGGCACAUUAGUAGUACGCCCUUUAAGAAAUGGUUCUCAAAAGAAUUUAAAUGCAAAAACUAAAAAAGAUUUGGAUUGAGAAAUCCAAGGUCACUAACCCUCAAGGACCCAAAAAGAUAUAGGUACCUAAAUCAACUUGAGUUUUAUGUUGUAAGGUUCAAAGAAUGAUAAGUGGUUCUUAGAUAAUGGUUGCUCAAGACACAUGACCGGAGAUGAAUCCAAGUUUGCUUUUCUUAAAAAGAAAAAUGGAGGAUAUGUUACCUUUGGAGACAAUGCAAAAGAAAGGAUGAUUGGUCAAGGCAACAUUGGUAAUGGCACAUCCUCUCUCAUUGAAAGUGUUUUAUUAGUAGAUGGUUUCAAACAUAACCUUUUAAGCAUUAGUCAAUUUUGCGACAAAGGUUUUUAAGUGAUUUUUUAAGCAUCUCAUUGCAUCAUCAAGGAUAUUCAAAAUGAUAAAACCAUUUUCAUGGGCCAUAGAUGUGAUAAUGUUUAUGCUAUAAAUAUUUCAAAAUAUGAUGGCCAUGAUAGAUGUUUUUCAAGCAUGCAUGAUCAAAGUUGGUUGUGCCAUAGGAGAUUGAGACAUGCUAACAUAGACCUCAUUUCCCAACUCAACAAAGAUGAACUUGUUAGAGGCCUUCCCAAAAUAAUUUUUUAAAAAGAUAAAGUUUGUGAAGCUUGUCAAGUGGGAAAGUAAAUCAAAAACUCUUUUAAAAACAAAAACUUCAUUUCCACAUCUAGGCCACUUGAGUUGUUGCAUAUGGAUUUAUUUGGUCCCUCUAGGACACCAAGUCUUAGAGGAAAUUCUUAUGCAUAUGCUAUUGUGGACGACUUCUCUAGAUACACAUGAGUCUUGUUUUUUAGUCAAAAGAAUAAAGUUUUUUAUGAGUUUUCAAAGUUUUGCAAUAAGAUUCAAAAUGAAAAAGGUUUUUCAAUUACUUAUAUAAGAAGUGAUCAUGGGAGAGAAUUCGAAAAUAUUGAUUUUGAAGAGUAUUGCAAUGAGCAUGGAAUUGACCACAAUUUUUUGGCUCUUAGAACUCCUCAACAAAAUGGGGUAGUUGAAAGGAAAAAUAGAACUCUUCAAAAAAUGACAAGAACCAUACUAAAUGAAAACAACUUACCAAAAUAUUUUUAGGCCAAAACGGUUAACACUUCUUGUUAUGUUUUAAAUAGAGUAUUAUUGAGGCUCAUACUUAAGAAAACUCCCUAUGAGCUUUGGAAAAACAAAAAACCCAACAUUAGUUAUUCCAAAGUCUUUGGAUGCAAUAUUUUAUAAUAAACACCAAAGACAAUCUUGGAAAAUUUGAUGCAAAAUUGGAUGUUGGAAUUUUCCUUGGUUACUCAACUUCAAGUAAAGCUUUUCGAGUUUUAACAAAAGAACCAUGGUUGUAGAGGAGUCCAUCCAUGUUAUUUUUUAUGAAUCUCCAAGAAAGAGAGAGGAUUGAUGAUGAUUUAGGUUUGAAGACCUCUAUAGGAAGAUUGCAAAUCGAAGAUAGAAGACAACAAGAAGAAAAUGGAGAGAAUCCAAAGAAAGAAGGAUCACCAUUGGCACUACCCCCUCAUCAACAAGCGCAAGGUGAAUCAAGUCAAGAGCUUCCUAAAGAAUGGAAGUUUGUCAUCAAUCACCCACAAGAUCAAAUUAUAGGCAAUCCAUCUAGUGGGGUAAGAACUAGAUCCUCUCUUAGAAAUAUUUGCAAUAAUCUAGCUUUUAUCUCUCAAAUUGAGCCUAAAAAUAUAAAUGAUGUUUUAGAUGAUGAAAAUUGGAUAAUUGCAAUGCAAGAAGAGUUAAAUCCAUUUGAAAGAAGUGGAGUAUGGGAAUUAGUACCAAGACCUUCAAAUCAAAGUGUUAUUGGAACUAGAUGGAUCUUUAGAAAUAAAAUGGAUGAAAAUAGCAUAAUUGUUAGAAAUAAAGCAAGAUUGGUAGCCCAAGGUUUUAAUCAAGAAGAAAUGAUAGAUUAUGAAGAAACCUUUGCCCCCGUAGCUAGGUUGGAAGCCAUUAGGAUGCUACUUGCCUUUGCAUGUUUUAAAGACUUUGUUUUAUAUCAAAUGGAUGUGAAAAGUGCUUUUUUAAAUGGUUUUAUAAAUGAAGAAGUAUAUGUUGAACAACCACCCGGUUUUCAAAGUUUCAACUUUCCUAACCAUGUUUUUAAACUUAAAAAGACACUUUAUGGUUUGAAACAAGCACCUAGAUCAUGGUAUGAAAAAUUGAGUAAAUUUCUUUUGAAAAAAAUGUUUUAAAAUGGGAAAAAUUGACACAACUCUUUUUAUAAAAACCAAAGAAAAUGAUAUGCUCUUAGUUCAAAUAUAUAUUGAUGAUAUCAUUUUUGGUGCUACUAAUGUCUCUCUUUAUGAAGAAUUUUCUAAGUGCAUGCAUAGUGAGUUUGAAAUGAGCAUGAUAGGAGAACUCAACUUCUUCCUUGGACUUCAAAUCAAGCAACUAAAGGAAUGAACCUUCAUCAAUCAAGCAAAGUAUAUAAGAGAUCUUCUCAAAAGGUUCAACAUGGAAGAAGCCAAAACAAUGAAGACUCUAAUGAGCUCAUCCAUUAAGCUUGAUAAGGAUGAGAAAGGUAAAUCCAUUGACUCUAUUAUGUAUAGAGGCAUGAUAGGUUCUUUGCUCUAUUUGACCACUAGUAGACCUUACAUUAUGUAUAGUGUGUGUUUGUGUACUAGAUUUCAAUCUUGUCUUAAAAAAUCUCACUUAAGUGUCGUGAAAAGAAUCCUCAAAUAUUUGAAAGGGACAAUGGACAUAGGCUUAUGGUAUCCUAAGAGUGAUAACUUUGAAUUAAUUGGUUUUUUGGAUGCUGAUUUUGUCAGUUGUAGGGUUGAAAAAUAAAACACUAGUGGCACUUUUCAUUUCUUAAGACACUUACUUGUCUCAUGGCAUAAUAAGAAGCAAAAUUUGGUAGCUUUGUCAACAGCAGAAGCUAAAUACAUAGCAACUGGUUUAUGUUGUGCACAAAUCCUUUGGAUGAAAUAAACACUUAGUGAUUUUGAUUUAUCUUUUGAGCAUAUUCCUAUUAAAUGUGAUAAUAGUAGUGCCAUAAGUAUAUCAAAAAAUCUCGUGCAACACUCUAGGACUAAGCAUAUAGAGAUUAGACAUAAUUUUCUUAGAUAUCAUACACAAAAGGAUGAUAUAACACUUGAAUUUGUAAGCAUAAAAGACCAACUUGCCGAUAUCUUUACAAAACCUCUAAGAACAUUUUGUUGAUAUUAGAGGACAAUUAGGAGUGAUUUCUUUAUGAUCUAAUGUGAUGAAUUCUUGAUGAAUAUACUUUUUGAUUGCAUGAAUUUCAUGUCAUAUAUGCAUCAUAUAGAAAUAUACUUAGAUAAUGGUCAAAUUUCGACCAAAAAUCAAAAUUCCCAUGGCAUUAGGCAUAAAAAUUUUGGAAUUUCAACUGAAAAUGGUAGGAGGAGGAUCACAAAAUGAGAAAGUAUGCAAAAAUUGAAAAAUCAAAACGUUGACCAAGCGGUCAAUCGGACUAGACCGAUCGACUAGUUUGUCGAGAUUUAGGAUUUUUAAGAGACUCCAACGCUUCAAUUUUUGCACCGUUCUCCUCUAUUUCUUCACGGUUUCUCUGAUUUUGUCUUUUAGAGACUAAUUUGAGUGCGUUUUGGAUCAAUUGAAGCAUUUUGGAUUGGAUUUUAGGAAGAUUGAAAGUUAAGGUUUCGGAUUUGGGUCGCCUUCUCUUCCUCUCGCGUGUCACAAUCAGCUUUAGCAUUGUUCUCUUUCCAUUUUCACACACCUAGGGUUUCAGUUGUGAGCAUCUCUCUCUCUUUACCAACCACUACUCCCUUGCUUCUUCCAUAUGGCUCCUAGGCGAGAGUCCGCUACUUCUAGGGCACAAGGCAAGCACCCAACUGAGUCGUCUCAGUCAAAGGCACGUCGAAAAGUGAGAUUUGACAUUGCCUUGUUCAGUUCCAUGGAGGACUACCAACUAUACAAGCAACACUUUGCUUAGAGACGAGUAGUUCCCAAGAGAAAUAUUAAUUUUCCUCAACUUCAGCAUUUCGAAUUUAAGGGUCUAUUUACUAGGAUGGUUGGUUGUCUAUUGUCACAAUUUCGGAGCCGGUUUUCCUGACCUUAGUGCGAGUUUUUUACUCGAGGGCGACUUAUGGCAUGGGUGGCAUGAUCAUUUCUACUGUUGGAGGAGUUGAGAUCUGUCUGGACCCAGAGAGCAUCUGCCAUAUUUUCGAUAUUGCUCUGGUUGGACUCAAAGUAUACAAGUCCAAAAUGUGGCCCAUUGUGCCAGGAUUUGAGCUUAGAGAGGUCAUUCAGAGGAUUUGUGAACUUCCAGACGCCCAGGAGAUGGGCAAACCAUUGCCACACAGUUUGACGGUCAUCAACAGGGUGCUACACCAUAUAUUGUGCUCUAUCUUUCUACCACGAAGUGGACAUUGAGAUGAGGUCUCUUAUUAUGAGGCAUUCCUUAUUGACUCCAUUCUAACGGAGAGACGAAUUCAUCUACUAUGUCAUCAUUCACUAAGCCUCCUCACAGUGACAUACCACCUCAUCAGGCACCUCUUGCUCCUGACCAUGCUCCAUUGAUGGAUUUAUUUACUCAUAUUAGCUCUCUAGGCACUCGCAUGAAGGAGUUUGUUGUAGUUAGUGAUACAUGGUUCUACUCCAUAGAGGAUCGCAUGGAUCAGUAUCAGACUGGCUUCACGUCACAGUUUGAGUAUCUCCAAUAGAGGAUUGAGCAUAUUGAGGAUCACUUGAGCAUGAGAAGAUGAUGGCUUUUCUAUGCUCUGUGUUUCCACCUCCACCUCGUCAACCUUGAUUUCUUAGAGACCCAUUGUUUUCAUUUUGUAAUGUUGCCAAAAGGGGGAGAUAUUUAGGAUCUAGGACUCUAUAGGAGACUUACAUGCAUAUCAUUUUCAUAUCAUUGUUUGGAUCGUACAUAUUGGAUAGUGAUACUUUUUACUUAUAUAUGAUAUGCCUAUAUGUUUCAUGUCUUACAUUGUUUCUUAUUGCAAAUUAUCUCUAACAUGUCUUGAUUAUCUUUUUUUUAACUUCAUAAAUUUUGAUUGUUAACCCAUGAUUGGUUUGAGGGGAAGAUUCUUCUUCUCCUAGAUAACCAAGGUUUGUCAUCAUAAAAAAAUUGGAGAUUGUUAGCCCAAGGGUUCUCCUAAUCAUGUUUUGAUGAUAACAAACCAUGCUUAAGUUACUAAUUGGUUUGAAUUAUAAAGAAUUUCAAGUGUUAAUUUGAAAAUUCAUCAAAGAACCUAAUGGAUGCAAGAUCAAGAUUUUUGGAAGACCUUUAAUCAUAAGAAACAUAUGUAAGAUGAAUGCAUGGGUGCACUUAAGAUUUGCAUAUCAUUUCAUGCAUAUUUGGAAAACACGGUUUAUGCUUUAAAGUUACAUUUCCAUCAAAAUUUGAGAUCCAUCAAAUGAACCUUAGGAAAAAUGUUUUAAAAUUGGCAUAUAAUUUUACCUAAAGACCUUGCCUAAGUGUUAGAAGCAAAAGGACAAAAAAAAUAUAGGUUUUCUGGUCAAAAAUGGUGAACCAGUCAAGGCAUUGUCUAAAUCAGCUCAAUCGGCCAAGGUACCGGUCGAUCGGUUUCCCUUUCCCUGUCGAGAUCUAGUCAAGAGGUACAAAAAUCACAAUCUCUGUCUCUUUCUCUCUUUGUCUAUCUUCCAGUAGUCUUUCCUUCCCGGUCGAGGGAUUUGCCUUCCCGAUUGAGGUCCGAUUGAGAGUAAUAGUCACUUGCCAAAUAUUAAAUGCUCCAACAGUUAGUGAACUGGUCGACCCCCACCUUGCCCAGUUGAGGUUACUUUUUGGUUUUCUUGGCUCCCGAUGUUAGAAACCUAUAAAUAGAGAGUUCCACUUCAUUUAUGAGCAAGAGAACACUUGCAUUUAUUUGUUUACCUACUUGUUCUUGCCUUAAAAGCUCUCAUUUCUUUUCUUGGUGCAUUAAAUCUCCAUUUUGAUAUCCUUUAGUGCACCUUUGUGAUUCAUCUUAGCCUUGAGUUGUAUUUGAGCCCUUUUUUUAGCUAGGUUGAGAGUUUCAUACUUGUUAAUUGAGUGUUAAAGCCUUCAAGUGAGUUGAAACUUGUAGAGAUUAUGUGAGAGUCGAUUGGAGCCGAAAUCCAAGUGUAAAGGUGAUUAGAAGCUUGGUUGAAGCUUCAAGUUAGUGGAAUCCUCACUCAAUUAGGAGCUUGAGGAGAGUGGACGUAGCCAAGGAAGUGUCGAACCACUAUAAAAUUUGAGUUUGAUUUCUCUAACAUUGUCUCUUUAUAUUUGUUUAUCUUGUGCUUAAAUUUAUUGUGUUUAAAAAGAAUUUUUAAAUACCCAAUUCACCCCCCUCUUGGGUGUUUUUCUCUUUUAAAAUUAGCCUUUAUUUUCUCACAAACUAUUGUAGUAUAGUGGUUUUUAGGUGUCAUCCAUUAGGAUGAAUUGUUCUCGGUAAUUAAGGCGUGAAUGAGAGGAGAAUUAAUGAUUGUGAUUAAGUAAAAUUGAUUUGAAAAUUCAUGGUGAAAAAUCAAUUUAACAAUGGUUUCUAAUUGAGAAAAACAAUGAAAUGUGAAAUAAAAUAAAAUUAAUAGGAAAUGAAAUUCUCGAAGUUAGAAUUUUCUAAAAAACAAAUUCCAUGGUGAAUGGAUGUUGAGAUCUAAUUUUCAUCAAGUUAGAUUGAAAACCGAAAUUUUCAUAUAAACUGAUUUUUUAUUUAGUUUUAGGUCUAGAUUUAAUUUCCCUUAAAAUUAGGUUAUUUAAUCCAAGAAAUCAAUUCAAAUCAUAUAUUCAAUUCAUCUUAAAUUAUCUUCCAAUUAUUCACACAAUGCAACUAUUCAAUCUCAUCAAAUCUAGCUUUUAAGAAUUUAAUGAAUCUACCUAGUUUGCAUUGUAAUAGUCAUCCAUGACAAUUUGAAGAGAAAAAUAAUUCAAUUAAUCAAUCACUUGGAUCAAAUUACCUUUGCAAUUAAAGUUCAUUUCUCUAAUUCACCACAGAUUUUGUCUCUAGAUCCUCCUUUCUCAAAGAAAAAUGAGAUUUAGCCACACAUGAUUGGAGAUUUGGUCUCAUAAGGCAUGUUUAGCUAGUGAUAAAAUGAGAGAAAAUAAAGAAAAAUAGAGAAUUCGAUUAAGAAAGAAAAUCUAAAAAAUUCUACAAUUAGAAAUGUCCAAAAAGCUUUUUCAUGAGAAAAUCAAGUUUCUAUUUAUAGGCCAAGGUCAAGUGGACACUUGACAUCAUCUAAGAGGUCUUCCGGAAGCUUCUUCAUCAAGAAAUCUGGAGUUUAAUAAUAAAAUGGUCAUUUCACAAGAGCUCAAACAAUUUCGCAUGAUUAUGUGAAAUAAAAAAUGCAACAACAGCAAUUUACAUCUUCUUGGAGCAUUUCGCAUGACUGUGUGAAAUUUUCACAUGAUCAUGUGGAAUCGACUUGACAACUCUCAUUUAGCCUACAACAUAAUUCCACCUUUUGGUCCAUUUUUCAUAGUCAUGCGAAAUGGAAAUAUUUGAUUUUUAAGUUUUCUUUUGUCAUUUCUUUCAUUUCCUUCUCUUGAUUCCACUUCAACUACCUCCGAAUCCUGGUCCAAACCAAUUGCAUUACUUCUUUCAUUAUGCAUUUGGAUCAUCAUCAACAUUAUUUGUUCUCUUCAAUUUGAUUCAUCUCUUUUGUCACCAAUUUAUCAAAAUCAUACCUUGAAAUGACUCCAAAACUUCAUAAAACUUGUUAGUAACUCUUGCAAGGGCAACAACAUAUUAAUUAAGUGUUUUAGGCAUAGUUACUACUCAAAAGAUGCGAAACUCAUGAUAAUUAUUAUAUAAAAUAUGCUCUUUUUGAGUAGUAAUCAACUUUCUUGCAUAAGCAGACCUUUUAGGGUGGAGUACUAAAGACCAAUAUGCUUGUCCUUGUUGUAAUAAAGAAACUUGCUCUUAUUGAUUGCACCAUGGGAGAAAAUUUUGCUACAUGAGUUAUCAUCAAUUUCUUCCCACCAAUCAUAGAUUUAGACGUGACAAGAGGCCUCUUAAUGGCAAGGAGGAACUGACACUCACACUUAUACAAUUAUCGGGCAUUGAUGUGUUGCAACAAUUAGAAUAACUUACACCAAUUAUGUUGGGGAAGUCACAAAAGGCAAACAUGAAAACUAAAAGGAAAAAAGAAAAAUGUUACAUAUCACCACAACUGGAAAGAAAAAAGUAUUUACUUUCAUUUGCCAUAUUGGAAAGCACUUAUUUUACAUCAUAAUAAUUUAGACAUAAUGCAUAUUGAGAAAAAUGUGUGACAAUAUAAUUGAGACAUUGUUCAGUAUUGACGAAGAAACAAGGACAACCUAAAUAGUCAUCUCGAUUUACAAGCUCUAACUAUUAGAAAUGAGAUUCACCCAAUAGAAAGCAGGACCAAAUUUAUUUUGCUUGCAACAUGCUACUCACUCACCCCAAAUGAGAUUAAGGAAUUUUGCAAGUUUUUGAAAUCAAUAAAGGUCCCCAAUGGCUAUUCUUUCAAUAUCUCUCGUUAUGUGCAACUCAAUGAAAGGAAGAUAUAUGAGCUCAAAUUGUAUGAUUGUCAUGUCCUAAUGCAACAACUUCUCUCACUUGUAGUUCGUGGAGUUCUACAUAAGAAUGUUUGUGGAGUUAUCAUAGAAUUGCGUAAUUUUUUCAAGCAAUUGUGCUCAAAGGUGUUAGAAACAAAUCACUUACACCAACUUGAGAACAAUAUUAUUGUCAUACUAUGUAAAAUGGAGCAAAUAUUUCUUCCAUCAUUCUUUGAUAUUAUGGUGCAUUUACUUGUGCAUCUAGUAAGGCAAAGGUUGCAAGACUUGUGCAAUAUUGUUGGAUGUACCUAAUUGAACGAUAUUGUUAUAAUUUCAUAUGAAUCAUUUAAUUUUAUUUUAUAUUAUGUUCAGUUCAUUAACAUGUACAUUGGUCUACAUAUGGAUGAUGAUAGGUACCUAAGCACUUUAAAGUCAUAUGUGCGUAAUAGAACUUUUCUAGAAGGUUCUAUUGUAGAAAGGUACCUUGCAAAAGAAUGUACAACAUUUUAUUCUAGGUACUUGAAUGAUGUGGAAAUAAAGUAUAAUCACAAUGAUAGAAACUUUGUUGGUUUCAACACUAGAGGAGAUGAAAGGGGUUAUCUUUAAACAUAUUGGACAUGCAUUGGGAAAGCCCAUAUUUCAUUAACUUAGUUCAAAAGAGUGGUCACAAGCACAUUUAUAUGUGUUGACAAAUUGCGAAGAUGUCAUACCAUUCAUUGAGUAAAAAAUUUAUUUGAAUUUUAAUUAAAGCUCUAGUUUAUAUCCUUAAUCAAUGUUUUUUAAAUUCACAAGGAGCACAAGCAAACCAUCAAGGCUAGACCACAUAUACGUGUUUGAGACGUAGAUUUAAUUCAUAACAAGGAAUUUAUCAAGUGGUUUGAAAGACAUGUAAGUAUAUUCCUUAUUAUAAGGGAUUUAUUUCACAUUAUGUUUAUAUUGAAUCCAAACCUAUUAUUGAAUUGUAGGUUGAACAAUUACAUAAUGAAGGUCAUAUAUCUGAACACCUUCUCACAUUAUCAUGUGUUCCAAAUUCAUUAGUUACAUGCUUCAAAUGAUAUAUUGUCAAUGGAUUUAGAUCCCACAUUAAAGAACGUGAUAAAAAAGUUUUUAAAAAAAGACUCAGAAUAAUGGAAUUGUUGUAGUUGCAAAAACGUCAAGCUUUACAAGUGCAUGUGAUAUGAGUCCAAUUAUUAGUGAUGCUCUCUACUAUGGUGUUCUAACUAAAGUUGUUGAGUUACAUUAUCUUGGUGAAAAUAAGGUUGUUUUAUUCGAGUUUGAUUGGUGGGAUGUUACAAAUAUUGGAAAAUUGAUAAAAGAUGAUGAGUACAAUUACACAUUUGUUAACUUUGCAUGAAUUCUAACCACGAACGAACGAUUUGUACUUGCAUCUCCAGCAAAGUAAGUGUUCUAUGUGAAGAAUGCGAAUGAAUCAGAUUGGCAUACUAUCAUGGAGAUGCAACCUCAAGACCUCUAUAAGAUGAACGGGAUAGGAUCCAAUGGUGAUUUUGAACCAUUUCAACAAAGUGAACUACAUGAUCACUAAUAUAUCUCAGAUUUAGUUGAUGAAGAUAUAAUCAAGUGGAACAAAAGUGAUGUUUUAGGACUAAUCAUCCUAAAAAAUAUUGUAGUUUCUUAAAAAAAAAAUGAAAAUGAAGAAGAUAAUUGAACCUUUGUCAUACUUUAAAAAGCAACUAUGCAUUGUUCAUUUUGUAUGUUUUGGUUUUCUUCAUUUAAUUUCCUGAUUUUUGUGAUUCAAUGUCAUAUUAUUGAUCUUGAAAUAUUUUUCUAAUUUUUCAUUCUACGAUGGUUUCAACAAGGAUGACAUCAAGUCAAAAAAGGAAAUGUGGUCCCACACACAAUAUUGCAUUACAGGGAUUAAGGUCAGGGAAGAAGGUAAAAGUUGCAUUUAAUGAGUACAAUCAAUUGGUUAAACAGAAAAAUGGAAAACACUUAUCGAGCUACAUAGGGACACUUGUAUCUAACCAACACAAUGUACCUCUCCAAGCUAGUGAUUGGAAAAAUGUUCCAAAUGAUGCAAAAGAGAAAGUAUGGCCUUUGUUUUGGUAUGUUGUAUUUCUCACUAUAUGAUGUCAUUUCACUGUUAUUCUAUUUUGUGACUAACGUUUGAAUCAUAUGUAAGAAAAAUUUGAAGUAGAUAAAGACUGAAAAGAUUACAUGUUGGGUAUAGCCUCAAAUAAAUAUAGAAGCUAUAAAAAUAUGAUGAAUGCAAAAUACUAUGACCCUUGGCAUAAGGAUGCAUGAGGAGAGGUUAAUACAUAAAUCACCAUUUGUCUCUGAUGUUGAUUGGAAGUGGCUUGUCUCUGAUGCAUAAACCAAAUCCCCCACUGAAUGUUUGAUAUUUGAUAGCAGGAAAAACACACCCGCAGCUAUACACCUCCAUCAUUCAGAUAAUUAUAGUGGGGGAGAUGAUUCAUGGUUGCCCUUAUACCCUUUAUUUGCACCAUCUAUUGAGAUUCUUUAUCAUGGCCAGGUUUUACUGCAGCAAUAAGAUAUGGUGGCAACAAUUUUAUCUAUAGGUGCGGUUCCAGACCGCCUCCAUAGGUGCGGUUCCUGACUGCCUCCAUAGGUGCCUCUUCUUGUAAUGUUUGUUCUGGGAAUUACACUUGAAAGCCUUAUCGUGAUAAGGGAUUACAAACACUAGUUCAGAGGACAGCCAUGUUAAACUUCCACUAUGUUUGUGUCACAUUAUCAGCAGCCUAGUGUUUAUUGGUCAUGCUAUCUGCAACUAAUAUAACCCGGUGAACUUCAAUCUAAAUUCUGAAAGUACUCAUGUGACAGAUGGUGCCUUUCAGCAGAUAUCAUCAAUUUAAAAGUAGUGUGUGUGCCUAUAGGUGGGAAGGCCUUGGCAAAUGUUCAGUAUUCCGGUAAUUCAAGAAGGAUAUAUCUAAAAUAGAUUUUCUUCUUGCCCAUUUCAAUAGUUAAAAUUUGAGAAGAUUGUGUCCACAUCACACAAAUAUUAUUGGUCCUUCUGUUGCAAUUUACCUCUGAACAUGUCUUCCAAUUCCCACGGUCCUGUUACUCCAGGAAAACUAUUUCGGUCAUAUUGAAAAAAAAAAUAUUAAAGAAGGUACACAUGCUUUUAAGUGGACUGGGGCAUUCAUAUCAGGUGGUCUGUAUCCACAUAUGCCACUUCGUGAAAGGUGGAACAGCCUAAUCACUAGGCUAUUUAGUGUGGCCCAGCCACGUUAAUCAAGCACAAGUCUUCAUACUUAAAGUCAAAUGGUGUCUUUAGUCUCAUUACACAUCGCUAUUUGAAGAUUAACUCAUCACUAGUGUAAUGCGAUUAAGACAGUCCUAACUCAAUAUUUGUUCUAGUUUUGGAUGCAAAUGCUUGCUGGUUUCAUCAUUGGAUGGGAUAAAGGUGCAAUCAGGACUAUGAAUACGUGCAGUAAUACUUCAUUCUCUUUUUUCUCAAUGAGACUUCUUGGCACAAUUUUGCUGCUCAGCAACCUACCUUUCCAUGGAAAAUCAGUUGUGACUGAUAGUAAUGGAUAUAUUCUAGAAAGCUAAACAUAGAUAGCAUUCAAUAUUAUCGAUAUAACAUUAACAGCGUAUGUCUCAAUGCUCAUCAGCUACAAGCAAUGGACAAACACUUUGAGUAACUCACAGCAGUCAAAAUUCCUAAACAGGACAGACGUGACAGAUCUAUAUAUAGAACACUGCAUAUGAGUCACAGGAAAAGAUAAUACGGGUACAUAGAAGCUCUUAUUUUACAUAUUACUCAUACUGAUCAAAGUCGCUCAGUUGGGAUGGAUGGGAGAAGGAGGUUUGAGGGGUGGCUUGUGCGGGGAAGUUGGCAGCUUCUUUCCGGGAGCUGGUUGCUUCUUUGCUGGAGUUGAAGGAGGCUUAAUCUUCCGAGGUGGCUUGUAUGAGUCUUCAGCAUUCUCAGCAGGAGGGUGACCAGGGUUGUGACCAUAAUGUGGUGGCUUCUCUCCCUUAGGUGGUUUGCCAACUGGGGUUGGUGGCUUGUUUUCUGGGAGUGGCUUCUCUCCCUUGGGUGGUUUGCCAACUGGGGUUGGUGGCUUGUGUUCUGGGAGUGGCUUCUCCCCCUUGGGAGGUUUUUCGAAUGGGGUGGGUUUGUGUCCUGGUGGUGGCUUCUCUCCCUUGGGAGGUUUACCAAUUGGGGUCGGUGGCUUGUGUUCUGGGAGGGGCUUCUCUCCCUGGGGAGGUUUAGUGGGUGGCUUGUGUUCUGGAGGUGGCUUCUCCACCGGAGGCUUAUGCUCUGGUGGUGGCUUCUCGAAGGGGGGAUGCUCAGGGUAAUCACCAAGUGAGGGGGUGGUGAGAACCACCAUGCCAAGCAACAACACUAGCAAGUAUGUAGUAGACAUCUUUGGGUUUGGACUCAGACAGUGCAAAACUACGAGAAAUCGCUAGCCCUUUAUAGCGGCUCGGACCUAAUACUGACAUAAUAUAAAAUAAAUAUUAUAUUUUAUCAAGAGAGAACAGAGUGUAAUUUUAUCAUUAAUACCGAUCGAGGCCAAAGAAAGAAGACCCAUAAUCCAUUUCCCACAAGCAUACACAAUGCAGCUGUAAUUUUAUCAUUUACUUUUAUCCCUUGGACCACUGCAUUUUUGUUGAGAGACACAAUAACACAUUUUUAUCUGUCAUUCAACAUUUACAGUAAAGAGAGGGCACAAAACGCAAUUAGAUAAAUUAUGUUUUGCCUGCUAAAAAGAGGCAAAUAACUUUAUUUGCAACAUAAUUAUUUUGGUUUCUAGUGACCCCGGGGCCUUUCGGUUGGUUUGGGAUCGGAAAAUGAACAUCAUAGGGGGGGUUGUGCCCUUAUGGGCAUAUAUAUCUGAUAGCUUCAACUGGCCUUGUUCCUAGAAAGAAAUUGCCAAAGAUAUAAACUUAUUCCAGGCUGAAAGUAGAUGAGAGUCAUAAUGAACAUCAACCUUUGUUCAGUUUGAUUCAAUGCCCCCAUAGUGUUCAUUUCACAGAUCUGAAUGAUUAUAUCCGUUGAAUACAUAAAUUAAUGAAGACAAAUAUGAAACCCAAGAUACAUCUCUGCAUAACAACCCCAACCCUGGUUGCUAUGUUUCCCUUCUUCUAUUCACAUGAGGAUACUGGUUAUAAUUGUCAAACUUGCAACAAGCCCUUUGACACCUAACGUCAAUGGACGAAUUAAAAGUCUCCUUCAAACGUCUAUUUCACAGCAUGAAGCUUAUAAAGGAUGCUGACAACCUUCAGAGUUAGCGACAAAAGAUAAUUAUCAAGGAGAGAUAGUUCCAUGAGAAUUCCAAGGAGUCUGAAUCAAAGACAAAUUGCUCACUCAAGGGUUCUUAUUUUCUUUUAGGUACAAAUCUCUUGAGUGUUGUUAAAGAAACACGUCACUGUCAUUUUGAUUUGCAUUUAACAUUUCACUUUUGUUCUGGAAGGUUUGUUCCGGAAACAUAUCAAAUGAGCAUCAUUUUCUUCUUCGGUGACACAUGGUCGCGAGUACGUGGGUCCAUUUUCAUGCCACUUAGUUGAAAAGUUGGAAAGAAAAAACAUGCCAACAAGAAGAUAGUGAGAGAAGGGGCACUUCAAGCCUUUAACAUGAACAAACAGUAAAUAAAAGAUGUUUCUCCACUCAUAAAAGUGUGUUAGAUAGCAAUAUAACGAAUCACAUCCAAAAUCUUUACUAGGCUCAAACAUAAAGAAGACUCAUUUUUAAGAAAAGAUAAAAAUGGCAUUGUCUGAUAGUAUCCAAUACACGAGAUGGCACUUAAUUUGUACAAGAUCUGUCAAUGCUGACGCACAUUUUCUGAUUAAAAAAAAACUGAUCAGUCAAAAGCAAUGAAGAGAAGUGAUGACAAUGAAUGAUGCUUCCAAUAUUUUCACCCCUUAUAGUGUUCUUCAUGAUUCAGAUAUAUAAUUGGAAAUAGAACAACCCUAUGCCAUACAUUCGUCUAAGUAUGGUGUCUAAUUUUUUGUGUCAGCGGUUGCGAAUGGAGCGUGCAAAAGUCCAAAUUGGCGUCUCUCCAUUUCCACAUAGGAAGGUGACCUUUAUUGACAAAUACCCAAUAUUUGUAGACAUUCCUUAAAUAUCAUAACUUCUUGUUGAUUUGAAAAUCAUUUUUCAACUACCAUGUUUUAAUAAAUAUUUUUUAAAAUGUAUUUUUAUCAAAGUCCACCAUGAUGGAUAAUAUUCACCAUGCAAUAAUUAAUAAAGUACAAACUAAGCGAAAUGAAAAGCAUUUUCUUUGCUUUGAGUUGAUUUUGGUUGCAUUGAGUUGAUUUUGGUUUCAUGGUUUUUUCAACUCUUAUUUUGAUUGGAAGAUGUCAAGAAAAGAAAACAUAAAGAAAAAUUAAAAGGGAAAAAAGAAGAAAAAUAAAAAAAAAUAGAUUUAAAAGUUAAUAAAUUAUUUUUUAUAUUUAUUUUAAUUCAUUUCACUUAUUUUUCUUUUACUAUAUAAAAUUUAAAUAAUUUAAAUUUUAUAAUUAAUUUAAUUACAUUUCAUUUUCUUCUAUAUUUAAAUAUUGGAAAAAUAUUUUACUUAAUAUUUUUUUCUUUAAUUUCUUUGGCAUUUUGGGAACCAAACUUAGCCUUUAAAAUAAAAAACAAAAAAAAAAUGAAAAUAAGGAGGGAAAAGUGAGAAAAGAUAAAAACAAUAUGUAAAGGAUUUGAAAAGUAUUAGUUUGUAAUUACUAUUUGGAUUUCAAUAGUAUUUUAUUUGUCUUUCUAUAUUUCAUGUAAGAGAGAAUUUAAGAUAUUCCCCAAGGCAAAGCAUUAGUUACCUGCAAUCAGUGGUGAUAAGGCUCCAAGCCAAUUUUGGGCCCCAUAUCUUAAGACAGUACAAUUUCCAUUUCAACAUUUCUGAUUUCUCAGAUGUUUCACAUACCACAGAAGAACAUUGUUUGUGAAAAUAUGCAUUUAUGUUGGAUUUUGUAUGCUGUGGGGACUGGGGCAAGGAUCAUAUGGAAGAGUGGUUGACUUUUUCUGUACUUUAACGGUUGAAAUAGGAUAAGCACGGGCAUUUGUGAGGCUUAAUUGAUUUUGAAGCCUGAAAUUGCGUUUCUGUCAUUUUGUCAAAAAAAUGGCAGAUUCCAUACUCAUAUGUUUGGCCUGUGGCCAUGUACAGAUGCCAUUUAGUGACCAGUUUGUAACUGUCAAUCGUUGCGUUUUGACUCUGCCUCAACAACAUCUGCCAUUGACGGGUUUUCAUACUUGCAAAUCAAAUAGUCUUUCGUCCCAUCAGGAAUUUCGGUUUAAAUAUUAUUAAGCAUACGUUUGGCUGACAAUCAUUAUCCAGUUCAUGAUUUGGUUUCUUACCCUUAAUCAAUGGUUUCUAAGUGAAUAUAUGUAGAAGGAAAUCCGAAGUGUAGACAGUAGUAUCGAUAACUCUCAAUAUUCUCUAUAUAAUAGAAUAAACAGCGUCAUAGUGAUCGUCGCCUACAAGCAAGGUACAAAUACCAAAACGAGUGACUCACAUAGACAUCUCCCAACAAGAUGUAGUAGUGACUGACACAUGGACACAAUUAACUCGUAGAAAAGGAUAAGACCAUUGCACAGCAGCUCUUAUUUUACAUACUACUUAUGCUAACCAAAGUCAAUUAGUUGGGAUGGGUGGGAGAUGGAGGUUUGUGCGGUGGCUUGUGGGGCGGAGUUGAUGGCUUCUUUCCAGGAGCUUCUGGCUUUUUCAUCGGAGCUGAAGGAGGCUCAAUCUUAUGAGGCGGCUUGUAUGAGUCUUCUUUACUCUCGACAGGAGGGUGGCCAGGGUUGUGAUCAUAAUGUGGUGGCUUCUCUCCCUUAGGUGGCUUGCCAACUGGGGUUGGUGGCUUGUGUUCAGGAAGUGGUUUCUCUCCCAUGGGAGGUUUAGCAAUUGGGGUUGGUGGCUUGUGUUCUGGGAGUGGCUUCUCUCCCUUGGGAGGUUUAGUAGGUGACUUGUGUUCUGGAGGUGGCUUCUCCACCGGAGGCUUGUGCUCCGGUGGUGGCUUCUUGGUUGGAGGGGGCUUGGGGUAAUCAGCAAGAGAUGGGGUGGUGAGAACCACCAGUCCAAGGAACAACACUAGCAAGUAUGUGGGAGACAUUUUUGAGUUUGGGCUGAUCAGAUGAUGCAAAACUAAAGCAUUACGUGACCUUUUAUAGCAUGUAGCUCCCAAUACCCACUAAGUAUUGUGGGGUCCAUUUGUGCCCUACGGGGUUGAAAACUUAGACAAUUGGGCAAGGACCCACCUGACUAUGGAGGACUAGUGAGGUGUGAUCAUAGCUUUAGGAUUUUUCUUCCUCUGCAGCCGUCGUGCCGUUGGCAUGAUUUUCUUAAUCUUAAAUAAAGGCAUAGUUAUAGAGUUGUUUAAUCUCUAAAUGGGAUUUUAUAUAUAUCUUCAGAUAGCCAUUAAUAUAUUUGAUGAAGAAAGAAAGACAAGUGCAUACAACAUGUAUACGACUAGCUUUCAUGGAGUUCAUUUAUGAUCAGUUUUCCUGUACAUGUAAACCAGGAUCAUAUAUAUGUUUCUGUUCCACAACUAUUUUGGAAUCUUGUUUAUCAGUUUUUAUCAUUAUAAUGUCACAUAGGCUGCCAACUUGGGCGCUAAAAGAACCAGUUGGGCUAGUUCGUUUCAGAAUUUCAAUGUGGAUUCAGGAAUUGUUUUGUAAGAUAUGCGAAAUAGUAGAGGGAUGAAUAGUGUUUCAUUAAUAAAAGUGUCCUGUAAAUUAGAAGGUGUCAUAGAAACUAUAAUCAAUAAAUAACUUUUUUUCCCCACGGGUGGUGUUUCUUGUGGGGAUCAGUGACUGGUUUAGGUUCACCCAAAAUGAGUUCAGACUAAAAUUGGUUUGAGUCAAUGCCGUGUCUCUUUUUUCCAGAAAUCAACUAUUUUAUGCAUUGAAUAAAUCAUACAAAGAAAAUAUGAACGCCCGCAAAACCUAAACCCUGGUUGCUAACUUUCUAUGUUUCAGUUCUAUUCACGCAAGAAUAUUAGUUUAAGUUUGGGAAAAAUGGCAACUUACCUAGUGAUUACUUGGUUUUGGUUUGCGACUAUUUACGCAACCAACCAUGAGUUUGACUUUAACGUCAUGGGUUGAAGCCUCCUACAGGAAGGGAGAAAGCUCCACAGCUAGCUCCAAAAGAGAAUUAUCACAUUGAUAGCUCCAGAGAUUCCCAAGGGGACUGAAUCAAAGACAAGUUCCUCACUUUUUCUUCUUUUGAGGCCAAAUAUGAACCAAGGAUCACACAACCUCAUUCAACUUCAUAAGUUUGAUUUCAUGCAGUUGAACACUGGGUGAAGGCCAUGACAAGAAUUGAUUCAAAAAUUCUAUCACUCUUUUAAGUAAUGGAAGAUUAUUAUCUCUGAUUGGCAUCACAACAGCACAUGCUCCUAGAUCUUUCUAGACACUCCAUGCAAUGAAAGCACAAUGGAUCUUGUAACGAUAGAAACUAAGCCAUGCUACAGUACUAGAUGAUGAGGUAAAACUAGUAGACACGGGUGGCAGCCUAUAUGGGAGGGACACAAGUCUAAUUGAUUUGCAUUUCAGCAUUAUAGAUAGGUAUGUUUUGGAAGAUUUGUUCUGGAAAUACCGCACCAAGUAGGAUUCUUUUUCUCUUUAGUGGGUCCACUUGCAUGCCAAUUAACGAGUUGAAAAGUAUGAGCACCUACCUCGUGCUCGUGGAACCGAAGGUCAGUGAAGUGGGGCUCCUUUUGGCCUCGUGUAAACUUGAUUCAGAAGUGAAGUUAAUAGUCUUCCAUUCAGAUGGAUACAUGGGAAUUUUUCUCUUUUAUUUAUUUAUUUAUUUUUUUUUUGUGUGUGUAUGUCAAAGGAUAAUGAAUGAAGCGCGUUAGCUUGUUUUCUGACUGGAACCGCAGAUGUCCAAAUUGGAGUUCCUUCAUUUCUUACUUAGGAUUGUUACAUGUAUAAACAAGGUAUAAGAAAUAUGCCAACGUGUCUUGAGGAGUUAUUGAUUAGAAAUAACAAGUCACCCGACUGUAGAGUUCCAAGAUUUGAAUCUUCAGACCCUAUAGCAGCCUCUGGGGUACGUGGCAUCCUAUAGCAUAUUAAUGAAGGCUUUUUCGAUUUAGACUUCACAAUACCAAUUAAUAUGUAUGCACAAAAUGGAGAUGACCCCAAAAAAAACAGAAUCGCCAUAGUUUAUGAGGUUAAGGUGAUUCUCCACUUAAUAUCUACAUUAGCUAAUUAUGUAAAUCAAAUGAACUUCUAUUUUUCCUUUUUUUUUUUGGUUUAUGUCAAAUAGUAGCCCAUAAUUAACCCAACCAUUAGCCUGUUUGAAUUGAUUUCACAUGCACAAUGUUGUAGUAGUUCAUAUUUUGAAUUUUAUUUUUACAAAGGUAGUUAAGGAAAAUGAAGUAUAAUAAUUAUAAAAGCAGACUAUAUACACUACAAUAAUUGUUAGAAUGGUAUCUCAAAUUCUAAUUUAAAAUAUUAUUUUUUGUAAAAGAAAUAUUAUAUAGAAUAUUUCCUAAUUUUAUAAAUGAUUAUAAUUAGAUCUUUAUAAAAUAAGGAAAGUUGGUAAGAAUAUCUUUAUAAAUAUUUUAGGUCAUGAGAGAAAGAAAUGGGAUAAAAAUGUGAUGAAGAGGUGAAAUAAGAGAGUUGAUUAGGAUAUAGAUGUGAAGAAGAAAGGGAUUCAAUAUAUAUAUAUCUUUCAAUUACCACAUUAAAACCCUGUGAACCUUUUAUAUGGUUUACUUUAUUUUUAUAUUCCUCCUUUAAUAUAUUUACAUUAAUGCUUCCAUUGGCACAACAAUAACGAAUUACAAAUACAAGCAACAAGUCCCAUGUUUUAUUACCAAAAGCAGGUAAAAUCCACCUAAUAUAUUACAAUAUAUUCAUCCAAUAUUUUAGACCAAUUCUUCACCAUAAAUAUCAUAAUGUGGCUUUUGUUCUUUCUUAAAUUUAAAUUGAAUUGUCUUAUAUCAAUUUGUUUGUGAUUUUUUCAUUAACUUCACUUUCAUUUGGUUAUCUUUGGUUUUUGAAAAGUAUUAAGGAAUUAAUUAACAAAAUAAUGUUAAGAAAAAUAAUUUUCUCUCUUUUGAUUUUGAUUUUGUAGUAGAAAAAUAUAAUUAAAAUUAUUUAAAAAGUAUGUAAUUUUAAAUUAUUUAAUAUUUAGAUAAAAAAAAUAAGUCUAAUGAGUUUAAAAUAACAUAUAAAAAUAAUUUAUUUAUUUUAAAUUUAUUUUUUAUUUUCCAUUAUGUUCUCUUUCUCUUUUACUUUUUCAUAUUUUUUCUUACGAAGAAUCAAACACAACCUCAUAUUAUAUGUCAAGUGUUUGUCUAUAUUUGAGCAAUGUUAGAUACGGCCAUGGAUUCAUCAAACUAAACUGAUUUUAAUAGAUACUUCACAAAUUGAUUUAUACACUAAAUCAUUGGAUAGCAAUGAUGCAUUGGAAUUAAACGUAGGAUGAAGCUCGAAGAACACUGUUUGUGUAACAACAUAUUUAUGAAAUUAUGCAAAGGAUGAGCUUCGGGGUAGUAGUACAAGGUCAUUAAUGGAGAGCCGUGUUAAACCUUGAUUGUGAUUGGAUUCCGUUAUCAGCAACAGCAACCUUGUUUGUAACCUUGAAAGUCAUUCUGUCCACAUCGAAACUCCAAUUUGACGUUUGUAAUUACCAUUCCUGGAGUGUUCCUUGAUUGAAAUUUAAAUAAUAAUUGCGGCCCACAAGGAAUAUUUUCGAUUCUGUGGGAAUUUGACAAGGUUUGUUAGAGAAGACUGGUGACAUGUUGACUUCAAUGGUUCAAAUAGGAGACGUAUGUGGAUUUGGGGGGUUUAAUUGAAACUGAGUCCCUAUGGCUUUUUAAUAUUUGCAUUGAGCAGUCUCCAUGUGACUUCCUAAUUCCCACCAACCCUCCUGUCCAUGCUGUGAAACUAAAUUGUAAUUUAUCAGCCUUUGUCAAUGGUUUCUAAAUUAAAGAUAUAGACCAUGCAUGUACUUUAAUAAAAGCAAAUCUAAAGUGUAGAUAGCAGCAAUGGUGACACCCAAUAUUCUCCAUAAAAUAGAAUUAGAAUAAGCAGUGUUACAUUGUUCAUGAUCACCUACAAGCAUACAAGAACUUCCAUGAAUAACUCAUAGCAAUUGCCAACAGGGCGUCGUAGAGACUCAUACAUAGAACACUAUCCACCCAGAGGAAAGGACAAGACCAGUGCGCUGCAGCUCUUAUUUUUCACAUGUAUACCACCACUCGUAAUAACCAAAUUCACUCAGUUGGGAUAGGUGGGAGAUGGUGGUUUGUGGGGUGGCUUGUGGGGAGGAGUUGGAGGAGGCUUUAUUUUCUGAGGCGGCUUGUAUGAGUGUGCAGGAGGAUGCCCGGGAGUGUGACCAUAAUGUGGUGGCUUCUCUCCCGUAGGUGGUUUGCCAAAUGGGCUUGGUGGCUUCUCUCCCUUAGGAGGUUUACCAAUUGGGGUUGGUGGCUUGUGUUCUGGGAGUGGUUUCUCUCCCUUGGUAGGUUUGCCAAUUGGGGUUGGCGGCUUAUGUUCUGGGAGUGGCUUCUCUCCCUUGGGAGGUUUGCUAAUUGGGGUUGGCGGCUUAUGUUCUGGGGGCGGCUUCUCUCCCUUGGGAGGUUUGCCAAUUGGAGUUGGCGGCUUAUGUUCUGGGAGUGGCUUUUCUCCCUUGGGAGGCUUGCCAAUUGGGGUUGGCGGCUUAUGUUCUGGGGGUGGCUUCUCUCCUUUAGGAGGUUUGCCAAUUGGAGUCGGCGGCUUAUGUUCUGGAAGUGGCUUUUUUCCCUUGGGAGGUUUGCCAAUUGGGGUUGGCGGCUUAUGUUCUGGGGGUGGCUUCUCUCCCUUGGGAGGUUUGCCAAUUGGAGUCGGCGGCUUAUGUUCUGGGAGUGGCUUCUCUCCCUUGGGAGGUUUUGUUGGUGGCUUGUGUUCUGGAGAUGGCUUCUCCCCUGGAGGCUUGUGCUCCGGAGGUGGCUUCUGAAAUGGCGGGGGCUUGGGGUAAUGAGCAAGAGAUGGAGUACUGGUGAGAACCACCAUUCCAAGCAACAAUACUAGCAAGCAUGUGGGAGACAUCUUUGAGUAGUUGUAGCUAAGAUGGCGCAACACUGUAGGCAUUGGGUGGCCUUUUAUAAAGGGCUGGACCCAACAGCCAUAUGACACGUGUCAUGAUGACAAAUGAAGUUGAGGGGAUCCAGAUGGGUCCUACUGAGUCGAAAACUUGCACUAAUUGAUCUGGUGAGAUGACUAUUUCUGUCCUUUUGCCCUUCUCGGCCACCCUGUGCUGUUUUCCUUUUGCACGAUUUUCGUUGCCAAACAAGCAAAUAAUAUUUCGCCAAGAAAGAGGAGAGUGAAUGUGGAAUGCAUCAAGUCCCAUCAAGGAUGGCAGAGAAGAAAUAGAAGAUUGCCCAACUGUGAUAAACAUAGCAUACACGUAGCACCAGGAACUUCAUUUACUUCCAUCUAAUGGAACAUAACAAUCUUCUAAAGUUUUUGCAUGAUUUUGUUAUAUGUCUCUUAGCCUAAAGUUGGAAAUGCGCAACAAAUUUUGUCACUUCUCUAUUUCCCACUGAUGAUGUUAAUUAGCCUUCAUAGAUAUCAUCCUUUCUACAAAGUGCUUCAUUUGUGUGUUAUUGUAAAGUGUAAGAAAAGUAAUUGAACAUGUUCUUUUUCCUUUCAUAGAUGACUUUUGAUGUGCAUUUUAAAAGCAGCGCUGUGAGUCGGUGACCUUGAUUCACACGGAAACUAAGGCUCCUAUAGGACCCACUUUUAGCUGGUUAGGGGUGAAGAAAAUAUCAACUUUUCAGAGUGAUUUAAGUCAAGGCCAAGCCUCACUGUGUCAUUACUCGUGUGAAUUUUAUAUGCACAUACAUACAUAAAUAAAGUAUGAGACCCAAAUAACACCUUCCCUUUACAAACUUAACCCCAGCCGCUCUCUUUCAAUUCUUUUCACACAAGGGUAUUGACUCUAUAAAGGUCAAGAAAAUCAUAAUUUCCUAGGGUUUACAAGGUAAUUGGCUUAAUGCUAAUGUGAAAACAUAAAAGAUAAUAGUAUAUUGUAAGCUAACGAAUAUUCUAUAGUUAUAAUUAUUUGUGAUGUGCAUAAAUAAAUCUUCAUAUAUAUAAUGGAACAAUGAAUAAAGAACCAAUGAAAAAAUACUAUAUAUCAUUGCUUGGCAUUUAAACCGUAUAUGCUGCUCUUUCUAGCUACUCCAUCCACUGAAAGACAACAAGGUAAUCCAUGUUAUAAUGAUAGAAGAUACUGUCUCUAGGCUUUUUGUGAUGAAAAAUAUAAGAUAUGGGUAGGGUUGACCCUUGUAUGUUUGUCCUAUAAACACUUCAAAGUAACAUAUUUUUCUUCUUUAGCAACUCAUAAUGAUGGGGUUCAUUUGCAUGUCACUGAGUUGAAAAGUUGGACAAUUGCCCAUGUCGCCUUCCUCCUAGAUUCCGUAGUUCACGGGAAGGUAACUCAAGUUUGACAUAUUUUGAAUUCUUUUCACUCGGACGUCUUCAUAACCUGACAAAACAAAAAUGAAAAACAGAGGAUUGGUAUAUUAUUCAUGGUAAGCCUCAAAUUAUAGUAGUAUGAGAAAGGAGAAAAAGAUUUUGGGAACUCCAAUCUGGAUAAUUCUCGUUUCUUCUCUUGAAUAAAAAUUUCACUUACCUAACUUCGUUUGGAGAAAUGGCAUAUUUUAAUUUUGUACGUCAUUGCUAAUAAAUGGAGCAAUUUAGCAUGUUUUGUGACUGAAACUGCAAAUGUCCAAUUGGCAUUUCUUCAUUUCCCACUUAGGAUCUGAUCUUGUAGACCAUAUAACGAUAUGUAUCUGUGCAAGCAUUGAAAACUAAUGUGAACUAUGAGGAGUUACAAGCCACUGGACUGUAGAGCGAGUGCCAAGAUUUAAAUCUUCAGGCUCUAUCUGGGUAAGGGGAGGAUAGCGACCUAACCUUUUACCAAAGGCUUAGAAUUUAGACUUUUGGAAAAAAAUUUCUCAUGUUUUGGCUGGAUUUCUUGUGCUUGGCGCAAAAAGGAGAUGGCCUCAAGAAAUAGCAGACUCACUUUUGUUUUCAGCCCUUAAUAAUUCUCCACUGCUUUCCAUAACUACAUGGGUUAUACAUGCAGUCUGCUGCAAUAUUCCAGUUAUAUUUAUUAUUUCAAAGAGGGUGAAUGACUUCACAUGCAAUAUGUUGCAGUAACAACCCAAAUUUUGGCACACCAUCUUAAGAAUAGAAAAGUAUAAUAAAAGAAAUCAAUCAGAGAAUCACUUUGCAUGCAGUUCAUAGAGUUCGCCCAAAAUGGAGCCACAUGUACGGACAACCCCACAAUAGACAAUCUUCUCUAUACAGUAAUAAAAUACAGAAAUGGUUAAUGAAGCUCUGUAUUUCCUUAUCAUAUAUGACCGGUUGAAAACUCAGCAAGUCUUCCUCAAUCACAGACAGUUGGAGUUGCUUCAUCAAAAUCAUGCCUUCAUUACUGGCUUCAUUUUGGUUUCAAUGUCUGUUCUACCCUUAAAUUGGGUCUCUGCUUACUACCGGGAUAUCCUUUAGCGUCCUGCAAUUCUACUAGAUUAAAGAGAAUGACUUAAUUCUGCAUUCUGCCGUCCCUAGUCCAAGUGGUACUAGAAUUGAUGUUUCCUUUAGUGUCCUUUCUUCAUACUUUCAGGUUCUUCCCUUGUUUCAAUAAUGCUGUUUUCCUUCAUGUUUAACCUCUGUUGAACCACUUAAAACAACACAAUUUGCACACCAAUGUUUCUUUACAGAAAAGACUGUUUGCAAAAAUGCACAUGUUAUAAGGUUAAUGGAAGAAUUAAUUUGGGGAUAAGGGACUAGGAUUGGGCCAAUGAAGUUUGGUGUUAAAUUUUGAUUAUGAUUGCUUUUCAUUAUCAGGUACCUUAUAUUUGCUGAUGCUAUCUGGAACUAAAUUCAAAUCAGACAUUAUCCGAUUACUAACAGGACAUAUCAUGUCCCUCUGCAGAGUUUCUAAACUAACAUGUAUCGAAAUGUGGCCCCAAAAGGAAGGCUAGGAAGAUGGAGGAUUUUGUAGGAAUCGACCAGAAUCAGAUGGAAGAGAGAUAGUCCUGUUGACUUUAAUGGUUGUGAUAGGAACAUGCAUCAUUAUAUGAGAAGUUGCAUGAAUUUAUGUAUCCUGUUAUCGUUCCUUGACGAUUUCCCAAUGCAAUUUCACUGUCCACAAGACUAACCUCUCCAUGCAGUCAAAUGAAUUGUAAUUUCUCUAUUGGUACCAGUAGUACAUUUCAUACCAAACAUAUAGUAAAUAUAAAAUAUAAAUAGAUCAAGGAAAUCUGAAUUGUAGAUAGCACUGCAAGUAACACUCAAUAUUCUCUAUAUAUAAUAAAAUAAACAGUGUCACAAUACUCAUCACCCAGUGGCAAGGGAGAAAAACCUACAAUGAGUACUCAAAUCACCAUUCUCAAACAGAAACAUAGCAGUGACUGAUACAUAGAACCUAUAUGCUCACAGGGAAAGAAUAAGAUGACCAGUGCACAGCGGGCAGCAGCUCUUAUUUUACGUACAACUCAAAUCCCAAACUAACCAAAGUCGCUCAGUUGGGAUGGGUGGGAGAUGGUGGUUUGUGGGAUGGCUUCUGGGUAGGAGCUGGUGGCUUCUGUCCCUUUGGUGGUUUGCCUAAUGAGCUUGGUGGCUUGUGCUCCGGGAGUUGUUUCUCUCCCUCGAGUAGGUUUCGAGUCUUGUCAGAUGGCUUGUGUUCUGGUGGUGGCUUCUCUCCCUGGGGUGGUUUGCCGAAUGGGCUUGGUGGCUUGUGUUCGGGGAGUGGCUUCUCUCCCUGGAGAAGGUUACGAGUUUUGUCAUAUGGCUUUUGUUCUGGUGGUGGCUUCUCUCCCUGGGGUGGUUUGCCGAAUGGGCUUGGUGGCUUGUGUUCGGGGAGUGGCUUCUCUCCCUGGAGAAGGUUACGAGUUUUGUCAGAUGGCUUGUGUUCUGGUGGUGGCUUCUCUCCCUGGGGUGGUUUGCCGAAUGGGCUUGGUGGCUUGUGUUCGGGGAGUGGCUUCUCUCCCUGGAGAAGGUUACGAGUUUUGUCAGAUGGCUUUUGUUCUGGUGGCGGCUUCUCUCCCUGGGGUGGUUUGCCAAAUGGGCUUGGUGGCUUGUGUUCGGGAACUGGCUUCUCUCCCUUGGGAGGUUCAGUUGGUGGCUGCUGUUCCGUAGGUGGUUUCUUCACCGGCGGCUUGUGCUCCGGAAGCGGCUUCUCUACCUGGAGAAGCUUACGAGUUUUGUCCGAUGGCUUGUGUUGUGGUGGUGGCUUCUCUCCCUGGGGUGGUUUGCCAAAUGGAGUUGGUGGCUUGUGUUCGGGGAGUGGCUUCUCUCCAUUGGGAGGUUUAGUUGGUGAUUGGUGUUCCGUAGGUGGUUUCUGAAGUGGGGGAUGCUUGGGGUAGUCAGCAAGAGACGAGGUAGUGAGAACCACCAGUCCCAGCAGCAACACUAGCAAGCAUGUGGAAGACAUCUUUGAGUUCAGGCUGAGAUCUGUGCAAGGAUAACAGAAUUAGGUGGCCUUUUAUAGAGGCCUGGACCCAACACCCAUAUGACACGUGUCAUGCACUCAUGGUGACACAUAAUUCUAUGGGACCAUUUGGGUCCUACAGAAGUUGCAAAGUUGGACUACUGAGGUGUGAUCACAACUUUUGUCCUUAUUGCUUUCUCUGCGGCCAUUGCACGAUUUCCUUUAGCAUCAUUUUCUUGGCUAAAUAAGCGUAUUAUAUUUGUGGCAGACCGUCCACGUGUCAUAAACAGAUAUAUUAUAAUAAUGUAGUAUGCUUUUCUCCAAUGGAACAUGACACUCUUCUAAGUCUUGUUUUAAAUAUUGUGCAGGAUUACUUUAUACGUUGCAGUUCCAAGUCAAAAUUGGUGGGCAAACGUUGGCCUUUUUUCAUUUCACCUAAGAUUAAUGCUCACCUGGGAUAGGCACUACAUGACUUAUCUGCUCUUUUACUGUAAAGUUGCUUUGUGUAUGAGAUACACCUCCCCUGCACACCCUCAACAUUCGUUGCUCUGUUUUCCUUGUGUCCAGACGAGGAUAUUAAUUGGAGGCUGACAAAACGACUGCUAGCCCAGGAUUUACAAGGUCCUGGUUUGAGGCUUCGGUGAAAGUAUUUUUGAAAAGACACACAUAGAGAUAGUGCGUUUGGUGCAAUGCAGCACUGUGAGCCAUUCUGACGCGUUCUUAAUUUCAAAACUAAUGAAUGCUUCAAAAUUUUAAGAAGUGACAUUUCCAAAUAUUUGAGUUCGUUUAAUUGAACAUUGGAUAACUAGUGAUCAUAGAUUAUUAUCUGUGCUUGGCACUAUAAGAGGGUAUAUGCUUCUUUUUCUGGCCCCUCCUUCAAGGGAGGAGGGACAAUGUGAUCUGUAACGUUAGAAGCUAUUCCAUGUCAUCUUUGGGCUCAGUUCAAAACUAAAAGAUAAUGGGGGGGGGGGGGGGGGGCAUAUCAUUUUAUAUUUCUUCUAGAAGGUUUGUUCUGGAAAUAUUUCACAGGAGCAUAUCUUUUUCUUCUAUUACGUCAUCCGCAGCCUCCAAUAGGUCGGUUAACAAGCCACCGAGUUGAAAAGUUGGAAAAAUGGGAACACAGCCCGCCUCUUGUAUUCAGUAGUUAAAUAAAAGGUCACUAGAAGUGAGAUCCCUUUUGGCGUCUUGAUUUUCAAUCCAGCACCUCUGUGACCUGACAAACCAAAAAAACUAAAAAAUAAAAAACAGUACGUGGGUUGGUGUUAAGCAUCAAGACAUGUUAAUGAAAGAAGGUAGAGAAUAGGAUAUUGAAAUCCCAAUCCUGAUAACAUGAUUUUCUUUGCUAACAACCAUAUUAUAUUUUAUCAAGAAAGAGUAAUGCAUGUGGCGUCCAUCAAGACCCAUUAGAGUUCCGCUAAAGCUAUAGUUCUGUCAACGUUAUCAUUUACGUUUCCUCUAGAUAAUGGCAUUUUCCUCUAAAGCUCUUGCACCAUUAGGCUUCAAGUCAAAAUUUCACAUGUGAACUUUGGAAAUUUUCUCCAUUUGCCCCUAAGGAUACAGUUAGAAUUGACUUAAAAUCCUGAUUGAUAUGUACUAUUAACCAAAGAAUAUUGUAUAUAAUAAUUGAAAUAUUGUUGAUUCAUCGUGGAAAUACAUUUUGUAAGGAAAGUUGUUGAGAAUUUAGUAUGCUAUAUGGAGAAAAAAGUCAUGACUUAAGGUUGUGUAUGUAUAUUCUAUAUCAAAUAUUAGGUAGGAAUGUGGGAAAGAGCAGAGUGUAAUGAUAAGAAACAAAGAAAUAUAAGAUAUUCUUGAAAGUGGAAAAUAUAAAAUGGCUAACGAGUCAAAUUUAUGAUGCGUAAGGGGGAUCAUGUCACAUAAGAAAACCAUGGCAUACUAAAGACGUACGUGUGGUAUGGAGUAAUAAUUUUGUUAAAAUAAGUUUCUUGUUGGAGUACAUUAGGUGACUAUUCAUAACGUAUCAAAUUAAAGAGUCAAGUGCAUCAAUGAAGGCAUAUGUAGAAAAUUUGUUUGUGACAUGUACCAUAAAGAUAAGAUUGACUUGAUAGAAUUUAGUCUAAGUAGGAGUUGUUAAAGGUGUCUUAAAUUUCUAAUUGAUGUAUAUUUUUUUCUAAAAAAAUAUUAUAUAGAUAUUUUAAUAAAUGAUUAAUUCUUUGUAAAAAUACUUACAUAAUAAAAAACAUCAUUAAAAAUAUCUUUAUAAAUAUUUUAAGUUACAAGAAGGAAAAAAACCACUGUGAGAUAAUGAUGAACAUGCAACACUGUACCAAGUAAAUAAAAAUGUGAUAAAAAAAAAAGAGAAACACUCGAUAAAGGAAGGCUCGUAUAUAAAGAGUAAUAUUUUUAAUCAUAUGAUAGAAUGAUUUUCUCUCAUUCAUGAAUAUAGGCAAGAUUGGGGAACCAUUAUAAAAUUUUGUACACCUCGUGUAAAUUGAUGUUUGUCUUCAUAUUUUACACCAACAAAUGACAUUGAAGUUGUCAUUGAUAAAAGGGAAAAGGCAUGCCUCCACACCAUGUGCUUGAUUCGAAUGGUUCAAGUUUGAAGAAUUUUCUCCGGAAGAUCUAAAACAUUUUCGCCUUUAAAUUUCAUUUGAUUAUUAAUAUCCGAAAAAAUAGUUAAAUACUCUUUCUAUUUUUGAGUUGUUGAAUUUUUUGAAAGUUUUUAUAUUUGUUAUCAAGAAUUUCUAUUUUAUUAAGGGUGAAUAUUUAUAAAUAAGAUAUUAUAUAAUAUUUGGAUAAGAGAGAAUGGUGGAAUAUAAUAAAGUUUUAAUCCUUCCCAAUUUUGAACCUUUUUUUUUUUUUUUGAUAUAAUCGCCUUUCUCUUGCAAUCCUAUUAUCAGGUACCUUAUAUUUGCUGAUGCUAUCUGGAACUAAAUUCCAAUCAGGCAUUGUCCAAUUACUAAUAGGACAGAUCAUAUCUCUCUGUUUCUAAACUAACAUGUAUCGUAAUGUGACCUCAUAAGGAAGGCUAGGAAGAUGGAGGAUUUUGUGGGAAGCGACCAGAAUCAGAUGGAAGAGAGAUAGCCCUGUUGACCUAAUGGCUGUAAUAGGAGAAGCGUGUGGUUUUAUGGGACUUAACUGAUACUAAACCUGUAUGAUGCUUGGAGUGGUGUUUCUUUCAUUUUGUUAAGAAAAUAUGGCAGCAUACAUGCUUUCAACUGAGUGCAUCAGAGCAUCCAUAACAGAUGGUCUGCAACCCUAGGUGCAUGCCACUUUCUGACUGAUAAUGAAAUUGUCAGGUACCUGGCCUUGACUAAGCUCAACAGCAUCACAUAAAGAGAAGCUUUCAUACUUAGAUUACUGUUUAAAGUUUUUGCUUAUUUGAUUUCUUAAUGCCAUUAUGACAUUAUUGAUUCAAUUCUGCUUCCGAUUUUCGAAGUUCUGGGCAUCUACUGAUUGCAUCAUUAUAUGAGAAGUUGCAUGAGUUUAUGUAUCCUGUUAUUGUUCCUUUGCGAUUUCACUGCUCACGGGACUAACCUCUCCAUUCAGUCGAAAUGAAUUGUAAUUUCUUUACUGGUAGCAGUAGUACUUUUCAUAGCAAAGAUAAUAGAAAAUAUGAAAUAUAAAUAGAAGGAAAUCUGGAUUGUAGAUAGCACCAUAAGUAACACUCAAUAUUCACUACAUAAUAAAUAGACAGUGUUACAUAGGUAGAGAAACCUACAAUGAGUACUCAUCACCAUUCUCAAACAGAAACAUAGCAGCGACUUAUACAUAGAACCUAUAGGCUCGCAGGGAAAGAGUAACAUGAUAAGUUCACAGCGGGUAGCAGCUCUUAUUUUACGUAUUACUCAAAAUCUCAAACUAACCAAAGUCACUCAGUUGGGAUGGGUAGGAGAUGGUGGUUUGUGGGGUGGCUUCUGGGUAGGAGCUGGUGGCUUCUUUGUUGGAGUUGAAGGAGGCAUAUUCUUCUGAGGUGGCUUGUAUGACUCUUCGGCACUCUCUGCAGGAGGGUGCCCAGGGUUGUGACCAGAAGGAGGUGGCUUCUGUCCCUUUGGUGGUUUGCCUAAUGGGCUUGGUGGCUUGUGCUCCGGGAGUUGUUUCUCUCCCUCGAGUAGGUUUCGAGUUUUGUCAGAUGGCUUGUGUUCUGGUGGUGGCUUCUCUCCCUGGGGUGGUUUGCCGAAUGGGCUUGGUGGCUUGUGUUCGGGGAGUGGCUUCUCUCCCUGGAGAAGGUUACGAGUUUUGUCAGAUGGCUUUUGUUCUGGUGGCGGCUUCUCUCCCUGGGGUGGUUUGCCAAAUGGGCUUGGUGGCUUGUGUUCGGGAACUGGCUUCUCUCCCUUGGGAGGUUCAUUUGGUGGCUGGUGUUCCGUAGGUGGUUCCUUCACCGGCGGCUUGUGCUCCGGAAGCGGCUUCUCUACCUGGAGAAGCUUACGAGUUUUGUCAGAUGGCUUGUGUUGUGGUGGUGGCUUCUCUCCCGGGGGUGGUUUGCCAAAUGGACUUGGUGGCUUGUGUUCGGGGAGUGGCUUCUCUCCAUGGGGAGGUUUAGUUGGUGGUUGGUGUUGCGUAGGUGGUUUCUGAAGUGGGGGAUGCUUGGGGUAGUCAGCAAUAGACGAGGUAGUGAGAACCACCAGUCCCAACAGCAACACUAGCAAGGAUGUUGAAGACAUCUUUGAGUUCAGGCUGAGAUCUGUGCAAGGAUAAAAGAUUUAGGUGGCCUUUUAUAGAGGGCUGGACCCAACACCCAUAUGACACGUGUCAUGCACUCAUGGUGACACAUAAUUCUAUGGGACCAUUUGGGUCCUACAGAAGUUGCAAAGUUGGACUAUUGAGGUGUGAUCACAACUUUUGUCCUACUUGCUUUCUCUGCGGCCAUUGCACGAUUUCCUUUAGCAUCAUUUUCUUGUCUAAAUAAGCGUAUUAUAUUUGUGGCAGACCGUCCACGUGUCAUAAACAGAUAUAUUAUAAUAAUGUAGUAUGCUUUUCUUCAACGGAACUUGACACUCUUCUAAGUCUUGUUUUAAAUACUGUGCAGGAUUACGUCAUAAGUUGCUUGUUCCAAGUCAAAAUUGGUGGGCAAACGUUGGCCUUUUUUCAUUUUCCCUAAUAUUAAUGCUCACCUGGGAUAGGCACUACAUGAUUUAUCUGCUCUUUUACUGUGAAGUUGCUUUGUGCAUGAGUUACACCUCCCCUGCACACCCUCAACAUUUGUUGCUCUGUUUUUCUUGUGUCCAGACGAGGAUAUUAAUUGGAGGCUGACAAAACGACUGCUAGCCAAGGAUUUACAAGGUCCUGGUUUGAGGCUUUCACGAAAGUAUUUUUGAAAAGAUACACAUAGAGAUUGCGCGUUCGGUGCAAUGCAACAAUGUGAGCCAUUCUGAAGUCUUAAAUUUCAGAUUAAUGAAUGCUACAAAAUUCUAAGAAGGGCCGUUUCCAAAUAUUUGAGUUCAUUCAUCCGAACAUCGGGUAUAUGCUUCUUUCUCUAGCCCCUCCUUGAAGGGAGGAGGGACAAUGUGAUCUGUAUCGUUAGAAGCUAUUCCAUGUCGUCAUCUUUGGGCUCAGUUCAAUACUAAAAGAUAUGGGCGGGGCCCUUAUCAUUUUAUAUUUCUUCUAGAAGGUUUAUUCUGGAAAUCUUUCACAGAAACAUAUCUUUUUCUUCUCUACGUGAUCCGUGGUUUGAAAGUUGGAAAAAUGGGUCCGUUAACAAGCCACCGAGUUGAAAAGUUGGAAAAAUGGCAACACCGCCAACCUCUUGUAUUCGAUAGUUAAAUAAAAGGUCACUGGAAGUGAGAUCCCUUUUGGCCUCUUGAUUUUCAUUCCAGCAUCUCUAUGGCCUGAUAAAUUAAAAAACUAAAAAAAAAGACAGUACGUGGGUUGGUGUUAAGCAUCAAGAGUCAAGACAUGAUAAUGGAGAGAAAGGAUAUUCAAAUUCCAGUUCUGACAACAUGAUUUUCUUUGCUGAACUACCAUAUUAUAUUUGAUCAAGAAAGAGUAGUGCAUGUGGCCAGGAUCAAGACAUACAUUAAUUUCCACAUGAUGAAGACAGUUUCUGAGAGUUUCUUCUAAAGCUCUUGCGCGAGUAGGCUUCAAGUCAAAAUCUCCCAUGUAAACACUGGUUUUUCUUUCAUUGCCACUAAGGAUGCAGUUAAUAUUGACUUAAGAUCCUACGUGAUAUAUUUUUUUAAAAGAGCUAUAUUGUAGAUAAUAUUUGAAAUAAUGUUGAUUCGUUGUGGAAAUAUAUUUGUAAGGAAAGUUGUUGACAAUUUAAUAUAGUAUAAGAAGAAAAAAGUUAUCAACUAGCUAGAGAUGAGUAUGUAAAGUGAGGCUCACGAUUCAACGCGUAAAUAUAAGAUAUUUUAAGGCUCAAUAGUUAUGAUAUCUAUUUUAUUUUUUGUAUCUCAUAUAUUCAAAGAUAUAGUAAAAUGAUUUUACAUAUAUAUAUAUAUAUAUAUAUGAACAUAACUAUUUGUGCCAAUUGAUUUUUAUCUUUAUUUUGUAUAUUAGUAAUUAUAUUAAAGUUUUUACUAAUAUAAUAACUAAUAUAAAAGCUUUUUCUAAAAGAGUCAACAGAGCAAAACACUUAUUAUAAAAAAUAAUUUUGAUUGAAGGUGGAGUCAAUUAUUCUUUAUUUAACAUGUAAUGCAUACGGCGUGUACUUCAUAACUAAAGUAUAUAAGUGUAACAUCUCUUAUAUAUUCUCAUUCAAUCUCGAAAGUGGAAAUUUUAAAAAGAUUAAACGGUUCAAAUUUGUCGUGCAUAAAGGGGAUCAUGUCACAUAAGCAAACCAUGGCAUACCAAAGACAUAGGUAUGGACUAAGAAUUUUUUUCAAAUAAGUUUCUUAUUAGGGUACAUUAAUAGGUGACUUUUUAUGACAUAUCAAAGGAGUCAAGUGCACCAAUAAAAACAUAUAUAGAAAAUUCAUGCAUGACAUGUAUCACUAAGAGAAGAUUGACUUGAUAGAGUUUAAUCCAAAUAGGAGAUUGUUAAAAGGUGUCUCAAAUUCUUGAUUGAUAUAUAUUUUUUUUAUUAAAAAGGUUAUUAUAUAGAUAUUUCAAUAGACUAUUAAUUCUUUGUAAAAAUAGUUAUAUAAUGAGGAUGGUGAUUAAAAAUAUCUCUAUCAAUAUUUUGGAUUAUAAAAAGAAAAAAAAUGAGAUAAUGAUAAACAUAUAAAACUUGUACAAGUAGAUAAAGAUGUGAUGAAAGACACUUGAUGAAUGAAGGCUUUGUAUUUCAAGAUAUAAAUAUAUGGAGCAAAACUCUUAAUUAUAUGAUCAAAUGAUUCUCUCAUAUUCAUGAAUAUAAGCAGGAUUGGGGAACCAUGAUAGAAUCUUAUAUGCCUCUCCAUGUAGAGUGAUCGAUGUUUAUCUUCAUAUUUUACACCAGUGAAUGACAUUGAAACUCUUAUUGAUAAAAGGGAAAAGGCAUGGCCUCCACCCCAAGAAAAACAAGUAACCUCGGUUUAAAUCACUAGUCUACACCCCGAAGAGAGAACUAGCCAAACCUACUAAAAGAGAAACUUAACAAUUUAGAAAGAAACCGUCCAUGAUAAAGGGCCCCUAAAGGUCCAAUUCAGUGAGGUCGUGAACAAAAACACUUUCAUGUCAAAACAGAGAUAGGUACCACCAAAAUGUAAAGGGAAAGAUGUAAACCACGUCGAACUUUGGUAAUCAAUGGUAAAGAUAGCAUGAUAGCUAAAAGCACUAAAGCUGUGCUUGGUAUGCAAAAAUGAAAAGUGGAAAUCAGCGUCUUAUUCUUUUUCACCUUUAUUCACAUAUUAGGAUAACUAAUAUCUAAUGUUUUUUAUGUCUCAAAUUCUAUUCCAUGUUAUGGUAAACUUUCAUCUUGUUUAGAUCACUUUUGUCUGGUUUGGGCUCAAGACGAUAAGCCUAUAGAGACUUCAUAUUGGGUUGAAUCGAUGCCCUUGAUCUGAUCUGUUCGUUAGAAAAAUCUGAAUUAUUAUAAGCAUUUAGAUAAAAAAUAAAUAAAUGUGAAACACAAACUACUCCCUGCACAACCUUGACCCUAGUUACUCAGUUUCACUGCUCACAGGACUAACCUCUCCAUUCAGUCGAAAUGAAUUGUAACAAGAAGAUUUUUGACAGGAGGACGGUAGUUUAAAAUAAUAAUUUCUAAAGUACUUUUGUGAAAAAAAAUAAUUCCAAACGUGGAUUUUAUCAAGUAAAAAGAAAAAAAAAAGUUAUUUUCUUUUAAAAUCUGUUCUUCUAAAGAUGAUAUAUAUACCAAAAAAAAAAAUUGUUUUCUGAAGGUAAAAUUUUUAAAAUUCAUUUUUAAAAAAAUUUACACACUAAAAUUAUCUUUUCAAGAGAAGAUUUUUUUAAUUUUAAAUAAUUAUUAAUUUAUAAUUAAUUUGUUAUUAAUUAUUUAUUAAUUUUUUUAUUUGAAAAAUGCAUUUAUAAAAAACAAAUUUGUUAUUAAUUUAUUAAAUAAUUUUUACAAAAUAAAUAAUUUUUUUUUAUUUUAAUUUUAAAAUUAAUUUUAUUAUAUAAAUUUUAAAAUUAAAAAUAUUAAUAUUUAAUUUAAAAUUUAACUAUAAAAGGAAUAAAAUAUAGAAAAAUAAAUUAAUUUAUUAUUCAAUAAAUUAAUUUUCAAUAAAAUUUUCAGCAUUAAGAGAUAAAUUUUUAAGUAUUAAUCAAUUUAAAAAGAAAUAAUGAUCAUUUGUAUAUUAAGAUAUUUUAUUUAGUAAUUAUGAAUGAUAAACAACUAAAGUAAUUUGAAAAAAUAAUAAAAUAUUUAAAAAAUAAUAAUUUAAUACACGUAAAAUUAGAAAUGAUUAACUAUUUUUUAUUAAGAAAAAAUUGAGGAAAUAUUUUGUUAUUUAAAAUUUUUUAUUUGUUUUCAAUUUUUAAUGUUAUAGGUUUCAAGAAAAUUGAUCAAAUAAAAAUUAAGAAGUCAUUUUUUCAAAAACUAUAUAUCUAAAUAAAAGCCUUGAAAUUCAAAUACACAAUAUCAUAAAUAUAAACACCAAGUCAAUCCUUAAUUAUCAAAUGUUUUUAAUAUUAAAGAAUCAAAAUCACCUACUAUCAUGAUAAUAAGAAAACCAAUAAUAUUGUUCAUAUAAAUACUAAAAAGCUAACAAAUAUCCCAAACAAUUAAUAAAGUAUCAAACAUGAUAAAAAGUCAAUUAUUAUCAUGAAUGCAAAAAAUCAAUAAUUUUGUUUAUAUGAACCAUCAACAAAGAAAAAAAAAAUCAAUAUCUAAAUAUUAAACAUAAUUUAUAUUUUUAUAAAUAUUAUUGUUGAUAAAUAUCUUAACAAUUAUAAUUUUAGUAAAUAAAAUUAAUUAAUUUUAGUUUAAGAAUUAUUUUUUUAUACUUUCGUAUUCUUAUCAAAAAUCCCCAUUUUGCAUGUCUCCUUUGGCAUGACUUUCUUACCUAAACAAGCAUAUAUAUAUAUAUAUAUAUAUAAAAUAUUUGGUUAAGAAAGAGUACUAAAGUUUAUAUGGCACACAUCAAGAUAGAAACAGAAGUGGAAGAUAAUCCAAAUGUAUGAACAGAUAUAUUAUAUCCAUGUAGUGGUAGUGACUUCAUUAUUUACUUUUAUCUAAUGGAGCAUGACACACUUCUUCUGAAUAUUUUGCACGAUUAUGUUAUGUGUCAGCUUGUUCUAAGUCAAAACUAGUGAUAAAAAUCGGUUUUUUUUGCAUUUCCUUCAUGAAGAUGGCACCUGGAUGGGGCACUACAUGAGUGGCAUAGCACGAAGUGAUUUAUCUGCUCCCUUUACUAUAAAGUGCUUUGUGUAUAAGUUACACCUCCCCUGCACUGCCUCAACAUUUGUUGUUCUGUCUUCCGUCUGUCCAAACGAGGACAAACGUAUGUUGUAGGUUGACAAAACCACAGCUAGCCUAGGAUUUGCAAGGAUCUAGUUUGAUUCGUAUGCAAAAGGAUUGGUGAAAAGAUUCACAAAGAUAAUGCUUUUUGCAAUGCAAUCUUGUUCUAAUUCAACAGUGUGGACCAUUUUCAUGUAAUGCUUCAACUAGAUGUCAGUUUCAUGAAUUUUUGUUCAUCUAAUUGAUCACUGGAUAGGCCAUAACCCGAAGAAAUUCAAAAUUCCCUUCAGUACUGUAGCUAAGGAAAGAUCCCUAUCUACCACUGGGAUUUUAAGAGGGUAAAAAUGUAGGUGGGUGCCUAUAUCAUUUGCACUUCACUAUAGGCCUCUUUGGGAAGAUUUCUUCUGAAGACAUUUCAAAGAAACAUAUUUUUCUCUUCUCUCCGUAAACGGCAGCUGCAAGUCAGUCCAUUCACAGGCCACCGAGUUGAAAAGGCUGGAAAAUUGGCCAAAGCACCCGCCUCCUGGAUUCCAUGGGUAAGGAAAAGGUCACUGGAGGUGUGAUCCCUGUUGGCCUCUUGAUUUCCAUUCCGCCAUCUAUAUGACCUGAUAACCCAAAAACACAGAAGGAAAACGUCACCUGGGUUCAUAGUAAGCAUCAAGUCAUGAUAGAGACCAGACAACAUGACCAACAAAGAGUAGCGAAUGGGGCCAACAUCAAGCCCCAUUACGGUUAGAAGAUGGAAGAAGUAGAAGACAAUCCAAUUCUGAUAGAUUCGGGCAAAUGUAGUGCUGUUCAAACUUAAUCAUUUACUAUUUCUUCAUGAAUCACGGCAUUUUUCUUCUGAAAAUUUUCCAAGAUUAGGCCUCUGAAGAAAAAUUUCAUAUGUAAAUUGGUAUAUUAAGGAAAAGGCGUUACAAAGGUGAAAAAAAACCAAUCAAAUCUUAUAUAUGACAUCUCAAAAAUAUGAACUUGCUAUAAAUAUUUAAAAUCAAAAUCUUGCACAUCACCUCGUAGUACGAACUUGCUAUAAAACUUGAAAAUCAAGAAGAAAGGGGCAGUAUUGGACGAGACUACUUAGCACAUAUUAUUAUGAUGUUUUUUCAUUUUCUUAAUGUUGUUUUUAUGUCUUAAAUUCUAUUAUUCUAUGUUACGGUAAACAUUCAUCUUGUUUGUGUGGAAUAGGAUCACUUUUCUCUGGGUUGAGUCGAUGCCCUUAGUUAAUUUGUUCAUUUGAAUAAACUAAAUUAUUAUAAGUAUUUAGAUAAGAAAAACGUGAUACAUAAAUUACGCCUCUCGGCACAACUUCAACACUGGUUACUCUGUUUCAGUUUCCUCACACAAGAUUAUUGGUUCUAGGGUUUAUUUGGUUUUGGUUUGAUUCUAAUUGCUAAACUUUCUCAAGGAAGAUGUUAUAUAGGGAGUGAGAAACCUUCACUCUUGGCUACCUCCAAGAGAAGAGCAAGUGGUCUGAAUCAAAGAUAUACUGCUCACUUUUUCUUCUUCUAAGGACAGCUAUGACCUUGCUUUAAGGUUCGAAUAGCCUAAUGCAACCUCCCAUUUCUCAAGUCAGCUGAUGAUGUAAGUCACCUUGGCUUUCCACAUUCAUACGGUGAGGACGUUUGUGGGUGUAAUUCUCUUAACAGUUUUCAUUUUAUAUGGAAAAAUUCAUAAUUAAGGGUAAUUACUGAUUCCAUUUGACAGUGACCAAGUUUAAAAUAUUAAUUCAUAUAUUAAAUGCACAUUAAAAAAUCAUGGAAUAAAUAUAUUUACUAAUAUAUAGUUCUUUUGCCAUGUUCUGUCACAGAAGCAUCGAACUUUCCCUAGAAAUUUUUGCAUGGUAUUCUACUUAUGAUUUUGAAAACUCUAGGCACCUGAGGCCACUAAUUGCAUGGUUGGAUGAGGAGCUGCAUGAGAUUAUGUAUCGUGUUGUUCCUUAACUACAAAUAUCAGUUUUAAGUAGCAUCUCCAUGUGACAUUUUCCUGAUGCAAUUUCGCUGUCCACCAACAAAUUUCACCAUGCAGCAAGAUGAAUUGUAAUUUCUUUAUUGUUAUCAACAGCUUUAAUUAAUCUUGAUAUAUAUAUAUAACUUAGUAGAAGUAUAUUAAUCUAGAUUGUAGUUGCACUAAGAUAAUAGGCAAUAUUAUAACAGUGCCACAAUGCUCAUCGCCAAAUAGAAAGGUAGAAAAACUACAAUGAGUAACUCACAACAUUCUCAAACAGGACAUAGCGGCGACUGAUACAUAGAACACUAUUGGCACUCAGGAAAUGAUAAGAUCAGUGCCCAGCAGGCAGCACGUCUUAUUUUACAUACUACUUAAAACUAACCAAAGUCAUUCAGUUGGGAUGGGUGGGAGAUGGUGGUUUGUGCGGUGGCUUUUGGGUAGUUGGUGGCUUCUUUCCUGGAACUGAUGGUUUUUUUGUUGGAGUUGAAGGAGGCUUAAUCGUCUGAGGUGGCUUGUAUGAGUCUUCAGCACUCUCUGCGGGAGGGUGCCCAGGGUUGUGACCAUAAUGGGGUGGCUUCUCUCCCUUAGUUGGUUUGCCAAGUGGGCUGGCUGGCUUGUGCUCCGGGAGCGGCUUCUCUCCCUUAGGUGGUUUGCCAAAUGGGCUUGCUGGCUUGUGCUCUGGGAGCGGCUUCUCUCCCUCAAGAAGUUUACGGGUUUUGUCAGAUGGCUUGUGUUCUGGUGGUGGCUUCUCUCCUUGGGGUGGUUUGCCAAAUGGACUUGGUGGCUUGUGUUCGGGGAGUGGCUCCUCUCCCUUGGGAGGUUUAGUUGGUGGCUGGUGUUCCAUAGGUGGUUUCUCAACCGGGGGCUUGUUCUCCGUUGGUGGUUUAUGAACUGGGGGAUGCUUGGGGUAGUCAGCAAGAGACGGGGUGGUGAGAACCACCAGUCCCAGCAGCAACACUAGCAAGUAUGUGGAAGAGUACAUCUUUGAGUUCAGGCUGAGAUUU